rnacentral:lncRNA from 1 species
GUUGUCACCAAGAGACAAAGUCUCGAGCAAAGUCAAAUUUCCAAUUUCUGUAGGUAUACUUCCCUCCAAGGAGUUGUUAAACAAUGAUAAAAACUUCAGCUCUUUGCACUUGAAUAAACUAUUUGGAAUUCUACCGGAAAUUUGAUUCCAACCCAAGCUCAACCUUUCUAGUUUUGACAAAUUGCCUAGAGUAGAUGGGAUAACACCAAUGAAGUUGUUAAGGUACAGAGACAAUCUUCGAAGUUUACUGAAGCAACCAAACCAUGGUGGGAUUUCUCCAUUGAAGCUAUUGUUACCUAAGUCCAAAUAAUUCAUCCGACGCAAAUUAGUUAACUCAAUGGGUAAAGAGCCUUGGAAACUAUUUUGAUGAAUAUCGAGCCAAGCAAGGAAAGAUAGAUUUCCCAAUUGAGAAGAAAUGGUGCCUGUGAGAUCCAUGCUUGACAAAUUCAGAGCAGUGACUCUAUGGUGUCUAGAUCCACAUGUGACACCAAUCCAGCUACAAACGGAGGUAGAAGUAGACCAAUUGGUUGCCAAAAAAUUGUGAGGAUCAUGAGUUAUAUGAGAUUUGAGUGCUAGAAGAGCAGAUUGAUCAACGGUGAUGCUAGAAUAUUUUGCAGACAAAAUAACCCCAAAGGUUGCGAAUAGCAGCCCAAACAUAAACGGAGGGAGGAAGCUUGGUUUUGCCAUAAGGUUGGAUAUGGGUGUAAGGCGCAUAAGGAGAGAAACAACCGAGUUUAAUACAUUUCUAAUGUUAGUUCAAUAUUCUUUAAAUACUUUAAUUUGAUUGUAAGGAUUUAGGUAAGGCAUCCAUUGACUCAUAAUUUGAGUAAGAAAUUCGUAUAAUCUUGUUGGUCCAACCAUGUUAUAGAGAAAAAAAAGGAAAGCCUAAAAUAGAAGACUUAGUCUGAAGUUGAAGAGUAGCAUUAAUAAUUCGAUUGUAGGUUUGAGAAACCCAGGAGCCUUUUAUAGGUUUAAGUUUUUACUAGGAGGAAAAAAUUUAAGAUGUAGAAAAUUUUUAUUAUUAUUAAAACUAUUAUCAAAUGCUUAUUUGACGCAAGUUCAAAUUGUGUGAUCUCAUUUUAUAUUCCAAUGACAAAUUGAAUAAUUAGUGAGUUUAAUUUUAAAUUUUUUUAUUUUUAAUUAAUACAAAAAAUCUCAACUCAAAUUUUAAAUUAAAAAUUAAAAGUACUUUGUAAGUUUAUAGCACUUGUAAGUCUCAUUUCAUAAAUUACGUAAGCUAAAUUUAGCAAAAUCUUAUAUUUGAUUAUGAAAGUAGUAUGUUGUCUUACAUAAGCUAAAUUUAGAGUUGUUUGGAUUUUAUACUCAACUAAAUAAUUAAUAUCUUAUUUUUUGAGUGUAUAGAUUACAAAUGUUGUAGGAAUGUAUCCUUUGAGAUUGUUUGAUUCUAGUUUUUGACAAAUUGCUCAAAGUUGAUGGGAUAAAAUAAGUGAAUUUGAUGGUGUUCGGAAACAAGCUUCGAUGUUUAGUGAGAUUAAAAUUUGUUGGCAAAUUAAAUUACUCAAUGGGUUUCGAGGGUCAUGCUUGUUCCCUAUCAACCCAAGUACUACUAAGUCAGUACCCCUCUAAAUGGGGAGAACUUUGUUGAUCUUUCAUUGGUUUAAAAGUCCAAAUACCAAUUGUAAGGUAUCAAAACAACAAAGACAAGUAUUGGGGACCAGCUGAAGAGAGUGAGUGACACGGUUUGAUUUAGAGUCUCAUGAUUGCAACAUGUUUGAUCGUGAUCCUCAACUUUGGUUGUAAUGUCUAACAAAAUAAAUACCAAGAUGAAAAGACCCUUUUUCUAUAAAAUCUAAAUAUCUAGUUUUGAAGACAUGCCUUUGGUUCUCAUCUCUUACUUGUUCUGCACGGCUAAGUCGCAGUUGCUUCGAUGGACCUAUGUUGGAAUCAUGAAUUGAAAAGAAUGCCAACAAGUAAUAGAAACUUUGUAAUAUUCAGAUAGAUCAAAUUAAGCUUUGUGUGGACCAUUCGUGAUUGAAGCCAGUUCUGCCCUGGAUUAUUAUAGAUCAAAUAAUUACUUUGGCAACCUUGAAUUUAACAAUCUAAUCAUUAAAUUUAACAAUAUAAUUAUAGUUGCCUUGCAUUUAAAAUUUUGAAUUGAUCUGAUGUAUCAUUUCAGUCCAAAACUUUAUUUAUUUCGUAUAUAUUAUAUAAAGCAAAGUUUUUAAGUUUUUUUAAUGUAACUAAGUAAGCAUGUUUCUUCUGCCGCGAGUCAAAUGUUUACAGCAAUUUUAGCCAUAUCGUACAUUUUAUAUCAUUAUAUUGUUGCCUUAAUUAAAGUAGAAUAAUAUAUAUUUCCAUAAGUUUUAAAAAAAUAUCAUAAAUUUCCAUUGGGAAUUUGUUGGUGCAUUCUAAAUCACAUAAUAAUCAGAAAUAUGGAAGAUUUCCAUAUAUUCUCGCUUUUUAGUAUAAUUAAUAAUAAUAAAUCUUGUUGAUUCUGGUCUGCCUUUACUAUGAAAAAAAAAUUUAUAAAAUUAGAACCGUAAAAUUCAAGUAAAUCAAUUUUGGAAACCCUAAAUUAUAAUCUUCAUUUAUCUCUUUUGCAUAACAUCCAUCUAGUUUUGAGAAAUCUUCACUUUUAAUUUCAAAAUUGUAAUCAAAUAGUUUUAUCCAAUUAAAUAAUAAUAAUAUAUGGCUAUGGUGAUGUCUGUAAUUUCAUAAAAUAAUUACUCUAAUCUAAUCCAUGUCUCUUUCUUUUUUUCUUUUUUUGAACUUGCUAAUCCAUGUCUCUUUCAUUCUGUGUUUAUUAGGCAAUAAAUUCCUUUCGAUUUCAAAUUAGUUAAAGAAAAUUUGUGAUGUUAUACUUAAAUUGAAUCUUUUGUGGCUACUUAACAAUGAAGCGGCUUUGUGUUAGGAUUUUAAUAACGCUGCAAUGCCUGGCUACUCGCGGUUUUAAUUCUUUUAAUUCUUUUGUUGUGCGAAAAGAACAUGAUUAUAUUGUCCAAUGAAUUGUGUAAGUCAAGAUGUUUGCGAUUUGCUAAUGCAUGGAUUGAAUACCAACAAGGAAUCCUUAAACCCCUUCUUCUUCGUUUGAGGUAAUGGAUUAAACUGUGGAGAAUAAUUAAUAAUUAUACCACUUUUUACCAACAAGGAAUCCUUAAACCCUUUCUUCUUUGUUUUCUUAAAGCAUUGAUAGAUAGAAUUAUUUCUAUUCAAUCUCUUUGGUGGUGUAGGAAAAGGAUAUGAUUGUUCAAUAAUGAAUUGCGUAAGUCAAGGUUUUUGUAAUUUGUACGGAUGCGUGGAUUGAAUGAAUAGCGACAAGGUUUUUGUAAUUUUGUAAUUCUCUUCUGUUCCUUAAGCUAUAAAAUUUUAAUUUCUACUUUUGACUAUAUGCCUUUGGUUCUCAUCUCUUGUUAUGUAUGGCUGAGUCGCCGUUCGUUGGAUGGACCGACAUUCAAAACAUGAAAUGACAAGACAAGUAAUGUGAAACGUAUUUGAUUGAGAUCCUCAAUUUAUUUUCCAAACAUGAAUUCAAAGAAUCACCAUUUUUUUCAAUAUCUAAUUUGAAAAUUCGUCACAUCGAAACAAAUCAAGUUGAACUUUCCACAAGAUAAGAUCUCUUUUAAGACCGCAUGUGUGGACCAAUAUACAGGAUUCAACUAAAGAUGAGAUGAUUUUUCAGCUCUCCAUUGGUUAGAGCAACUGCCACCUCUAUCGUUUUCAUCUUAAAUUGAAAUAAAUUUCCACUGAUUAGACUCGUUAUUUUGUGUCUAUCUGCAAUUUGAAUGGGAUAACCAACGAAAGGGGGGAGGAGCAUUUGAUUUUUUCCAUUUACACUCUUUUCUUUUCUUUUUCUUUUUUUUUUUGAAAAAAAAUUGUGGCUCUAAACGAUCAUUUCUACCUUAUUUUUAUUUAUAGUAAAAUUUUUUUAUUUGUUGCAUUUUGUGUUUUAUUUCAACCAUAACCCGAAUUCUAAAAAGAAAUUAAGCUCAAUUUUACAAUUUGAGUCCAAUUAAAAAUCAAGCUCUAUUGACAAUUAAGUUUUACGACCUUGUUUGUUUUCGCGCAAAACUUGUUCACUUUUAUCAUUAAUGAACAACCGCCCUUUUUAUUUGUUUAUAUAUAUACAAUUAAGAAAGCAAAUCCUAUGAUAAAGCUCAUAGGAUUCAUAACUCUCCCCUUCAACUAAAUUUUUGUUUUAUUUUUUGUGCAUAGUUUAACUUAUGAAUAGGUUUACUCUCACAUACGUGAUAGUAUUCUCAAUUUUAUAACCUUAUCAAGGCUUUUAAUGGCCACAUUAACAUUGUUGUUAAAUACAAAUGGACAACAUCAAUUAAGGGAUCUAUUUAGCUAGUUUUGUUAGUUUAGGUGCUCAAUUGGGUGCAAAAAAUUUGGAGGAGUUUAAUUGAUUUUUUGAAAAUGCUCGAGGCAUUAUUUUACCAAUAAGCCAAAAUUUUAACGAUUAACUAAAUUAAUAAAUAACCUAUAAUAUUUAAAAUAUAGUUUAAAAUAUAAUAAAUUAAUAAGAAUAUUCAAGCAAUUAUGAAUUUUUCAAAAUUAUAUAAAAUUCAAAAAUAUUAAUAUUUUAUUUUAUUUAAAAAAUUAAUAUGUGUAUCAAUGUUUUAAUUCUAUUGGUACAAUGUAUAUUAAACAAAAAUUAUUUUUAUAUAAAAUAAAUAAAUAAAAGUAAUUUUAAUUUUAUUAAUUGUAUGUAUAAUUUUUUGUAAUGUAUGAAUAUAUCCAAUUAUUUAAACCUUUUAAGCUUCAAAAUAAUUGAUAGAUCUUUUAGGCCACACAUGUAAUAAAAGAAUUGAUACAUUUUUCUAAUUGGAGAUAUUCAUACAUUACAAAAAACUUUACGCGUUAAUAAAAUUAAAAUAUUUAUAUUUAUAUUUAUUUUUUAUAAAAUAUUUUUUAUCUUUUAUACAUCUAAAAAGGUACCAAUAGAAUUAAAAUAUUAAUAUACAUACCAACUUUUUAAAAAAAAUUAAUUUUUAUAUUUUUAAACUUUAUAUAAUUUUAAAAAAAUCAUCUUGAAUGAAUCCAGAUAUAUGGUUACCUAGAUUAAAUAUAACUAUGGAUAAUCAUAUGUCUAGAUUCAUUCUAGACUCAACUUUUAAAUAAUUUUUUUAUUAAUUUUAAAUUUUUAAGAUUUAUUUAAUAUUUUAAUACAUUUUAAUAAUAAUUAAAAAAAUUAAAAAUAUAUUUUAAUUUUUCUCCCUUUAAAUAAUUUGGUCCCAAUGUCACUUGUCAUUCCAUCACCAUUGUUGUUAAUUACAGCAUCAGCUACUGAUAAAAUUCUAAGGCCCCAAAAAGCGAAUAAUUUAUAAAAAUUUAAAAAUUCUUUUUCCAAUCCUCUCUUUGUUGGUUGUUUUUGAAAUCAAGGUCUUUGUAAUUUACAUGAAAAGAAGUAUUUAUUGCUCUUUAAUAUCUUGCUUGUUUACGUGUCUAUUAAACAAGGUUUUCACGUAAGCGUUGUGGGGUACUUGAAAAUGUUCUCUUUUCCCACUCAAAUUAACUUUGAAUUUAAUAAUUGUAGACAACUAAUUUUGAUUAAAUUGAUUAAAUCUUUUCGUUACUAAAAUGUAAAACCAAGUUAGAGGCUUGCAAGACGUUGAACAAUGUCAAUCAAAACCAUGUUUUCGGGUUAUGAAGUCAAAUGUACAUUUUGUGAUUUGGCCCAUGCAUUCUCCACUUUAGUUUAAAGUUACUGUUAUCUUUCUCAUUCUUUUAUUUUUAUCUUAAUUUCCUUCCAUCAUUCUUUUCGGAUUUGCUUUUGGAUGUUGGAAACUUGGAGUACUUGGGCCUUACCAGCCCUCGGUUUCGGUCUUAUAGGAAAUUACAUGAGAUAUGAACAUUGUGAGAUUAAUGUGUUGACACCAUUUUUUGGAUGAAAAACGGGGUCGACUUGGGUUUUGAAAAAUGAAACGGGAGUCGCCACCAAUCCUUUUUUUAUGAGGUGUGAUUGGAUCACCUCGAAAAGUAGUUGUUUUUAAUAAACGGUUUGAUUUUAUUAAAACAACUAGUUUGGUCUACGAAAUUCAGAAAAACGGGUUCGGGAGUCGGUUACGCACGAGGAAUGAUUAGCACCCUCGAUACGCCCAAAAUUGGUACCUAGUUGAUUACUUAAUGUCUUAAUGUUGAAAAUUGAUAACUUUGAAGAAUUUUAAAAAUACGAUCCUUGUAUUAAAAUGUUGAAAAUUUUUGGAAAAAGAAGCAUAUUUCACGUUAAUCGAGAAAAGACAUCAUAUCCAGUAAGUUAGGAUACAACGUCUCGAAUUCUCGAUACUCGAGUGAAUGCUAAAAUGUUACCCCUUUUUAAAAUAUAUUUUAUUAUCUCGGGUUUAGAAAAUAAAUCUUGCCCAGUAAGUUAGGGCACGAUCUUUUCUUAACUUCCGAGAUCAUUUUAAAAAACUUCGAGUUUGAAAAGAUUCGUGUAUUUAAAUUUAUUGAGAAAGUCAAAACCCAGUAAGUUAGGGCACUGUUUUCUCGAAUCCAAACACGAAAUGUCAUUUUAAAAAUUAAAUUUUGUUACAUCGAAUAAAAUAAAACACGAAAUCAUAAUGAAAGCAAAUUACAUUUUUUAUGCAUGGCAAAAUCAUAAUGAAUAUGAAAGUAUAGAAUGAUACGAUCAAUAGCAAUCAAUAUAAACGGUCAAACUUACAACAUAUAAAAUAACAAAAUAUAAAAACGAAUAAAAUUAAAUCAUUCAUUCAAAAUAAAUAAUGAAAAUGAAAUAAAUAAAGAGUAAAUACAAUAAAAAAAAGAGAUAUAUAUGUGUAUAUAGGUAUAUAGAUAGUUUUAAGCUAUAAAGGAUAAAAAUAUGUGCAUAUAUGAGUCAUAAAAUAUAUAAAGAACAUAUAUAGAACACGUAUUUAAAAAUAUGAAGAAUAUGUAAGUGUAUGUAUAUAUAUUAUGAAAACAAGAUAUGUAUAUAGAUAUAUAGAUAUGUAUAUAAAUUAAAAUAUAAAGGUAUAAUUAUCUAUUUAUUAAAAUAAAAAUACAUACAUAGAUAUGUAUAAUAAUAUGAAAAUACAUAUGUAGGUAUAAGUAAAAUAUAUAUGUAAAAAAAAAAGGGAAAUAUAAUAUAUAUAUAUAUAAAUAUACAUGUUUAUAUAAUAUAUAUAUAUAUAAAAUAUACAUGUUUUAAUAUAUAUAAAAAUAAUAUAUAUAUGUAUAUAUGAAUAGGUAUAUAAAUAUUCGUGAAAGAAAAAGUAUAAGAGAAAUAACAGUAAUAUUAAUACUAACAAUAAUAGUAAUAAUAAUAACCAUAAUAAUAAUAAUAGUAAACUAAUAAUAAUAAUAAUAAUAAUAAUAACUAAAUAAUAAAAUUGCGAAAAUGUGGACUGAAUCGAAAUAAAAACGAGGUUAUUGGGCAAAAUCGAAAUAAGAAAAGGCAAAAAGGACCAAAUCAUGUAGCGCACUGAAAGAGGGGGACCAAAAUUGUAAAUAAACCAAGCAUUAAAACGCAGCGUUGAAAUGGAUCGUAAUGUAACAAAAAUAAAAUGACGGGGCUAAAUUAAAAAAUAACAGAAAAUAAUGAAAAGGGGCCGAAUUGAAGUACGCUGCAGAGUCAAGCGACUGCGCGCGCAAAUAUACCCUUUAAAGAAAACACGCGGAUCCUCCCCCUGGGUCGGGUCACGGCGCGGGUCAGAGACCAAAACGACGCCGUUUUGUUCUCUGAACCCUAAAUUCAAAAACGACGUCGUUUUACAGGGUAUUUAAACCCAAAUUUUCUGAAAAAAAUCACUUCAGCCACCGAAGAAAGAAAAAAAAAUUGAAAUAAAAAAAAACUCCCUCUUCCUCUCAAAAGUCCGGCCUUUGGGUCAUAUUAGCGCCGCCGUUGCGUCACGCCGGCCACCGUACAUGGUGGCCGAAAAAAUCAAAAAGGUAAUUUUUUUACUUCAAUAUGUUGUAUAUAUAUAUACACGUAUAUAGUUUAGAAAUAAAACAAAAAAAUAAAGAAAAAUCGAAUAAAAACAGUCCAAUAAACCGAAAAGAAAAUAAAAAUAAAAAUAAAGAGGACCUUUAGUAUUUUGUUUUUGAUCUACACUUUUUGUUGAUUUGCUGGAAUCCUUUUUUAGUUGAAAGAAAAAACAUCCCUUGUUACAAUGUUUACAAUCGGUUUUAUUUUACCGAAACAAAAACCAAAUACCCCCCCCCCCCCCGUUUACCAAUUACAAGCCUUUCUUGGUUUUUAUACAUGAUUUUUUCGAUUUUCUUGUUUCUGUUCUGCUGUUUGCGUGUGCUUCUUUCUCUUGCAGGUGGAGCAGGUGGCACAGGCGGCGACGUGACCGCGACGGUGGGCAGGUGCGAGGCAGAGCAAGUGGGCGACCCUAGGUGCGGCGCACCUAGGGUUAGGGUUACCCCUUUUUUGUUAUUUUCUGAUUUGGGCUGAUUGAGUCUAUUGGGCUGUUUUGGGCUAGGUGAUUUUUGUUGGGCUUGGGUAAAUUUAGGUUGUAAUUGGGUUUUGCUGGUGUGGGCAAAAUUGGGCUGGUACAUAAUGUAUGUUUUUUUUUAUUUACAAAAUAUUAUUGUAUGUUAUUGUAAUAUUUGAGGAAUUUUUUUUUAGAAUUGUAUCGAUAACCACCAAAGUUAUUGUGAGAAAGAUCAAUAACACUCAAAUGAGUGAAGAAAACUUCAAAGAUAUCCACUUGACCAUAAAAUCUAUUCCAUACUUCUAGUUUAUCCAAAUUUCUUAAUCAAUUUGAGAAACUGCCAUUUAAAUAGUUUUCCUCAACAUCAAGAAGGUUCAAAUCUUUGCAAUUAUUAUUUGAAUAGUUAAUCCAAAUGCUUCUACUUUGUUGUUGUUGAUCCAAAAAGUUUGCAAUGUGCAACCUUUAACAAAAUUUGAUGGUAUGUUAGCAUCAAAAUUAUUUUUUCGUAUAUCAAUGUGUAAAAGAGAACAACUUAGGUUUCCAAUGCACUGCAGAAUCACUCCUUUCAAAUUAUUCCUACAUAACUGAAGACUUAAAAAGAGAACUCAAUUUGUAUAUUAAUGAAGGAAUUUCUCCCUGAAAGAUUAUACCAAUGCAAUGAAAGUGGUGGAAUUGGAAUUCACCUUAAAAGAAAAUUUGGAAUAGAGUUAGAGUUAAGAGAUUGAAACCAAAAAAUAAUAAUAACUUAUAUUUGUAACGUAACACAUGCAUGAUGUGCAUAUCCAAUAAAAUUGAUUGGUUAAUUUACUCCACAGAAACUUCUAGCCAUUUUUCAAUGCAUAGAGAAUACCAAUCCAUCGGAAUUACUACCUUUCAUAUGUGUACUUUUUAUUUCUAUUACUCAUGUGUUAUGAGAAACACAAAAGUAAAAAAAAAAUUACUAAUAUUUUCUUACUAACCCAAAAGCUUUUAAUUAAUACAAUGAAAUACAAAGUUACAGUUUAAAGGAUAAAGCCCAUACCUAAUAUUAACCCUUAUUAAGAACCUCCCCAUCCUAUUUAAAGUCAACACUAAUAUUUGGACUAUUGGACGUUAAGAGUGUAUAUUACCUCAUACUUAUANNNNNNNNNNNNNNNNNNNNNNNNNNNNNNNNNNNNNNNNNNNNNNNNNNNNNNNNNNNNNNNNNNNNNNNNNNNNNNNNNNNNNNNNNNNNNNNNNNNNNNNNNNNNNNNNNNNNNNNAAAAAAAAAAACUAAUUAGUUUGUUUUUUUUUUGCAUUUAAAAAGGCUUUUUAACAUUUAGUGUCACAAUCGCAUGUAGUAGAAAAAAAAUUUAUUAAAUUUUAAUUAAAAAACUUUGCAAUGUUGAACCUUUAGCAUAAACAACAAAUUUACAUUGGCGACCUCUAUACAAAUAGCUACAGCACUUACCAGACAGAAACAAAUCGAAUUACAACUUUCCCAGAAAUCUCUAAAAUUUCCAAAUUUCAAAAGCCAUAAAAUAAUAUAUAAAACUACAGUUUCACCUUAAUCAAUAUAUUUCCAGAUUGUGAGUCAAAGUCGGGCUUUAGAUCGCUUCAAUAUUUCAAGUUUCAAUCAUUUUGAGGUCGACUCAGUUGAAUUUAAUAGUCAAGUUAGGAUCCUUGAAUAUUUAUAAUUCAAUUAUUGAAUUUUGAUUUACUUGUACCAAUAUUUCUUACAAUUUCUAACUCAAAUUUAGUUUAUGUAUUAAUAACAUUAGAAAAGAAUUUAUUUAACACAUAUGUUCUAAAAUAGUUAGAUAUAAAUUAAAAAAAUGUACAAAUUUAAACAUACAAUUAGAAAAAUAAGUAAAAUUAUUAUAAAAUAUAAUAUCUCUUCAAAAUAAGUGAAAAGUUUUUCUUUUCUUUACCACAAACAAGUCACGUGAGUGGCUAAAAAUUACUAAUUGUGAUUAGUUCGUAGAUAACAAAUUACUAAAACAUGUGGAAAAAUAAUAUUUCAACCAAACGUAGUGUCAACCUAUAAUUAUUUUUUCUAAUCCAAAAGGAUUAUUUUAAAAACUAAAAGAUUGUAAAGCUACUUAAUAAUGAGAAGGAUCUAUUUACGUUGGGCGUGUCCUUGGUCGUGUGAGUCCUGAGACUAAAAUUUUCCAAAUUUAACUUUUUCAUAUUUGUUUUUCUUUUCUUCUUCCUGUUUCCACUUUCGUUCUUUUAGUUUUUGCUACAGAUGUCUUUUUUGCCACUUUUUUCUUUUCGUUAUUCAAUUUUCCUUCCUCUUUUGUUUUCAUAUUUUGCACGUUGCCGGACUUGCGCCUGUUGUUUCUUGUUCUUCUUCCUUUGCUGUGUUUUUUUCUGUUCUGCUAUUGGUUGUUGGGGACGACCGUUUCUUUGGAUUUUGUUGAGGGCAAUGUGUGGUAAGGGAAAUGGAUUUUGUAAUUUUAUCUUCUUUCUCUUGUGGUAUAAGUGUCAUCCGUUCGAUUCUUAAGAUAUUGUCUUUUCAGUUUGGCUUAGUUUUGGAUAUCUGAUCAUUUCCGUAGUAUGACUCUAUUUUGAUGAGGAUCGGGUAAUACGUACUCCUUUGGCGAUUUGAAGUGUUUCAGGAACUGAUUUAGCAAGGGAAAGCAAUUGAAUGUCAAUUUGGGGGUUUCUUUUGGUUGUUAGGGUAGAAUGCCCUACUAUUUUUAGCUAGAAUAUUAGGAAGCAAGGUUUGUUUUCUUUUUAAUUGUGCUCAUUUUAGUCACUAAUCUGUAUGUUGGGUGUUGUUUAGGUAUUGGAUUUGCUACUGUUGCGUUGGUGUCGAAAAAUGACUAGGUGUAUAACGAGAACCUUGUAAAAUAGUGAACGACACGAAGCUAAAAAAUGCACUGUCAAUGCCACACGGCCUUGUGGGUCACAUAGCCGUGUGGUAUGCCGUGUGAAUCACACGGUUGUGUGGCAACCCGUGUGGGUCACACGACCGUGUGACAGAUCAUGUGAUACGAGUAACUCAGCCCAAUUCAAAGGCCAUAAUAGAGAUGACCUUAGUUUCCCUCAAGGCCCAAUUACGAGAUCCAAAACCAAACAAAUAAAGUCAAAACUCAACUUAGUUGUUCAAGACUUUAUCAUGAAAAAAAAUUGAGAAGAAGAGUUGAAGUUUCAAGAUGAUGAAUUCUGGAGUAAUGAUGAAUUAGAAGAGACUAAUUAUGUUCGUGGGCCUAAACUCUCAAUCUAUGAUGACAAGCUCAUGUGGAAAAUGCUAACAAGCUUAGGCAUUUCACUUUAAGAAUCCCAAUUGAUCUUACAAGCCUACACGUUUCAUAUUAGGCUUAAUUUUUAUUAUAUAUAAGCCCAAUAUUUUAUUUAUCAGCUCUUAUUAUUUUAUUAUUAUUUUAUUCAGAAUUUUUGAUUAUUAUUAAGUAUUUUAAGUUAUUUAGGAGUUUUAUAUUAAUAAGAAAGUUUAGUUUAAAACUACCUCUUGUUUAGAUUAAAUUAGAGUUCUCGUAUACUUAGGAUUUUUAUUUAGAUUUAUAUUGCUAGCCUAUAUAUAUAGGCCUUUGUAUUGUACACAAUACAUUCAAUUCAUUAUUAUUCUAUUUCUCUUUUGAGUUAAUAAAUUCUCUCUAGGUUUUUCUUUUUUCAAGAAUUUCUCUUGAGUUUCUUUUAGAAUAGUUUUAACAAUAUUUUUAGAUUGUGGGGAUCAUCUUCAAACUUUUUCUUGUCAAGGUUUCUAUCUUAAAGGGGAAAUUAGAGCCGCUUAAAGGGGGUUGUAGAUUCUUCGUGUUUUCAAGGCUUCUUAGGAAUUCUACACACCAUGUUCUAUAUUUCCGUUUAUCUUCUUUAUUCGCUUCCUUAAUAUUUGAUUUAUUAUUUGAUUUUAGUUAUUUAUUUUAAUUGUUUCAUCUGAGUUUGAUUCAAUUUCGUUUCAAGUUGUAUCAAAUUCCAAGUUUCUUUUCAAACGUCUAGAGCCAUAAGUCAAAUUCGUAACUUUGACAAACUUUACGAUCCGCUUUCGCCUUCAUCCUUCUCAUCCUUUAUCACCAUGUAGGUCACACAGCCAUGUGAUAGGUAGUGUGUGGGUCAUACGGGCGUGUGGACCCAUUUUGGGUAGAUUGUUGGGCUAGAUAUGAGAUUUUUAAAUCGAAUUUGUAAUUACUCUAUAUGCAUGUAAGACCACUAAAUCCAUAAAAUUUAAGUGUUUGUAUGUUAGUGGCAUUAAUUACUAAACUCUAUUUAGGCUACGUGAUAUUAUUUGUAUUUAUACCUACAUUUGUAUCUGUAUGUGUAUUUUCUAACAGCAUGUCUGUGAUAAAUUUUACAUCUAAUCUGCAAUAUGAGAAAUUUUGUUAGCAUGUUAUGAUUUGUAAAAGCAUGAUUUUUCUGUAUGCGUAUAAGUAUAUAUUUUGUUUUUCUUUUCUUCUUUCUGUUUCCGCUUUCGUUUUUUUAGUUUUUGCUAUAGUAGUCCUUUUUGCCAUUUUUUUCUUUUCGUUAUUCAAUUUUCCUUCCUCUUUUAUUUCCAUAUUUUGCACGUUGUAGGACUUGCGCCUGUUGUUUCCCGUAGCUUAUUAUUUACAGUUUUUCUUGCAAUCCAAGUGCAAGUGUUAUGGGGCUAGAUCUUUCGUUUUACGAUCCGUGCGGCCUUAGGCGAUCCGUUGGUCCAAAAUCGCCUAAGUCAGCCUUUACUCAAGUGAGAAUUCCUUAAGAACUCCUCUCAAGGCACCAAGUUGAAAAGCGGAAGCGAUUUAUUCCAAAAGAAGAACAACAAAAAGAACAACAGAUAGAGUGCACACAAAGUGUUUGAGUAAAUGUUCUUAGAAUUCUAUUACUCUUAAAAAUUCAACAUACAAUGGAAUGAGUACAAAUGAGGGGGAGGCUCUCUAUUUAUAGUUGAGCUCCCCCAAAACCGACAGUCAAGAUACAUUUACAUCGACAGAUGAGAUUAACCAUAUUCCUUUAUUUUAGGGAUUUACAAUAUAUACUAUAUCAAAUCUAAUCUAAUUUUUAUAAGAUAUGAUUCCCUCAAUCUUCUAAGAUUAGUUACCAAAAUAGCCUAAGUUGUCAUAUCUCCAUUAUCGGGCCAACCAGACUUCAAUCUGACAGGCUUCUCCAAUAGCUCUUUGAAUCGGGCUAAUUCUCGUGGGCUAAAUGAUCCCCAUCUUAUCGAUAGACCUCUAUGGGGUGCAUCUUAUACCAUGGUGACGGGCUUUGCACUUAGACCCAUGACAUUCUCCCCCAUCUAUUCUCGCAACACCCUUGUUGCGACUUCCGAAUGGCACUAACUUGAUUCACCUUUGAACCCUCUUGUUGUCUUGACUUCUUCUCGACUUGCCUUGCGAUCGGGUUAUCCCUUCCUUCGAAACCUUUUCCUUAGCUUCCGUCACCUCUUAACUUGAACCAUUGCACUUGUUGGUAUAUCUUGUUGGCAAGAAGUCUCCGCUCUAACUUGCCCUAAUUUUGACUUGUUUCUGCUUGAAUCGCCUUGAUUCUCACAUCUUGGCUUCAUAUUGUCCACAGUCUCUUGGCCUCCUUGCUUAUGAACUUUGAAAGGGCCCCUACAACCUUGCCAAGCCAACAAGUUAGAAUUCAAAACACUAACAAAGUGUUCGCAAUGUACCUUACUUGCAGCAUUUACUCAUUUCGACUAUUUUUGCAUCGUUCCUUUUUCCUUGAAGCCUGAUGCACAACCCACAUUUCCCAAAGAUGUCGGCUCCAUAGUUGAAUCUACAGGCUUCAUAUUGAACUCUUACGCCACAAACACUUCCCAAGGAGCUUUCGUAACUUUUCAUUCUACUGAGUCAAUAUUCCUCCCAUACAAAACAUCCUCGACUAGUUGGAUUGACGACAACACCUUUGUCCCCACCUUCAUAUCUCAAUGCACUGGCACAACAAUUUUUGUUAACGGAUCGGUGAUAAUAUGAAUUUCAUCAACCCAUGGAAAUAGAACCGUCUGAAUCCUGUCAAGGAAGUUCAAGCCAAAUACAUAAUCGUAAUCAUCUAAUUGGAUUACUUUAAAGUCUUCCUUGCCCUUCCAUUCGUCAAUUUGUAGCUCCACAUUAUGAACUACUCCCACAGUUGGGGCCUCCUCAGAAUUUACUAUCUUGAUCUUCUUGUUCAAUUUCUUAAUCGAUAGACCAAGCUUCCUUGUAACCUUUUUUGAUAUGAACAAGUCUGAUGCUCCUGUAUCAAUAAGAGCACUCUGCUUCUGACCCGCAAUGUUAAUCUUUACAAAUAUCAACCCUUCUUUACCAUUCCUUUUCUUAGGAAUGAGCACCAUCGAAUUGACCCUCAAUAGGCUUUGCCUCUUCCAGCUCAUCAUUCCUCUUGAUAGCCAAAACUGAAGAUACCUUUGGGCAGUCCCUCUUUAUGUGUGGUCCCUUACAAAAGUAGUUGCGUAACUUUCCAUUCUUUUUUUUCGGGCUAUUAGGUCUCCACUUCCCAUUUUGUGGUUUCCUAUCAUCACCAUCGCUGCUACUACCGUUUCCAUCAUAGCUAUGUCCCUCUUUAUCUUCCUAAUGGUACCUACCAUUGCCCCUCCUAUUGGGCUUGAAAGAUUCAAACCUGUCCCUUAUCGGAACAAGUUCCACUAUAAAAUCCGCUACCAUCAUGGCAUUGGUAAGUUCUUAAACUCCUCGACGUUGCAAUUCUUGUUUCACCCAUGGUUUCAACCCAUCCGUAAAGGAGAAAAAUGCGUCUUUCUCACUCAAAUCAGAGGUCUAGAGCAUGAGUUCACUAAACUCCCGCACAUACUCCCUAACCGUGUGUCGUUAUGUAAGCCACCGCAACUUUGCUUGAGCUUCAUCCUCGACAUACUUGGGGUAAAACUGUGCUUUAAAUUCCUUUUGGAACUCCUUCCAAGUCCCAAUCUCAGUCCAACCACGUCUCACAUCAGUGGACCUACGUCGCCACCACAACAAAGCAACGUCAGUAAAAUACAUAGCAACAGUAUUUACCUUUGUGACAUCAUCCUCGAUGUUCAUCGCAUGAAAGUAUUGGCCCAAUGAAAGUUGUCCACUUCACUUGCGGACCUUACCCCUUCAAACGCUUUCGGCUUGGGCACAUCCAUUGCUUGUGGCUUCGGCUUUAAGGUCAACAUUCCAUUUGUUAUGACAGCCUUAAAAAUAUUAAGCUCCCCUUUAAGCUCAUUGAUCUCCUCCUUCAAAGCUGUCACCAUAGCCUCGAAAGCAUCGUCCUUCUCAACUAGCUUAUUCUCUGAAGAACCGAUAGUAUCCCACACAAAUUCCCUGAGCUGCUCUUACAUCGUCGAUCCUCUCCUUUAUAUCCCCCAUGGACUCCUCGAGAGUGACGACUCGAUCCUCUAAAGCUGACAAUAAGUCCCUCGAUCGACUCACUUUUUUGGCCUUUCCUCGGGUCUCCAUUGGCUCACUCUGACCAACAACUUCUUUUGACAUCCCAACAGUGCCUUUGAACCAAAAGCUCUGACACAAACUAUCACAAGGCAAGAUGUAAUAUCUGGAAAAUUACUACAGUAAGAAAGUAGGUAUCCUUGAUAUAGUAAAAUAAGGAAAUAAAGUGCCAAAAAGGGAAAUUUUAAGUUAUGGCAACAUUGGGGAGUAUAUUAUGAUAUAUUAAUUCAAGAAAGAAUUAAAUCGCAAAAGUGAGAAAAGUUUUGUUGAUCAAGAGUAAAUACUCAAAAUUUGAGAGGGUAAAGUGUAAAUAUGAAAGGUUGAAGGACCAAUAAUGCAAAAAUUUUAAGGGUUGAAUAAUCCAGAAACUAAGGAAAAUGGAUGAAUUAGGACAAAAUUGAAAAGGUGAAGAAUUUUGAGGGACUUAAUCAUAAUUUUACCAAAUUAAGUGAUGAAUCAAGGAUGGAAAUUUUAAAGAUUAUAUAGGGAAAAAUGGUCAAUUAGAAGAGAGAAAUCUAGAAGAUAAUGAUGAUGUUGGAGAUAUUUUAGAUUAAAUAAAUAAAUAAAUAUUAGUUUAUAAUAUUUUGAUUUGAUUUUUUUAAUGAUAUGUUAUUAUUUUAUUUAUUAUAUAUAUAUAUGUGGAAAGAAAGAUGAAAAGCCACCAUCCCACUAUUUUUCCCAUGCAUCAACGUGAGAAGAAGAGAAAAAGAAAGAAAGUUUUGCUUUUUUUACAAUUUGGUCCUUUAACCAAAUACUCACCAUUCUCACUUAAAAAUCAAAAGAAUUUCAUAGCCACCAAGAGAGAAAUUUGAUAAGGAGACUAUGGGGAGAAAAAAAUAUCAAGUUAGAUUCAAGAAAUAGAAGCUAGAGGAGAGAGAAAACUCAAGUUAAAGAUUGAAAUCAAUAGGACAAGGUAAGAUCAUCAAAAUUUCAAUAUAUUUUUAAGAUUGAUAUUAUUGAAAAAGCAUGGAAAUGAUGUUAUAGUAGAGUUUUCUUAUAUAAUGUCUUAUGUUUCUAAUAUAUUAGUGAAGGGAAAUAAGUAAAAGUGAUGGGAAAUAUUAUAAAGAAAGGGAAUAAGGGAGUUAAAAACUUAGUAAUCAACAUCUUACACUAAAACAAUUUUGGACAGCAGCAGUAGGUUAACUUUGAAAAAUCACCAUAAAUCAUGGAAAUUGAAUUAGAGGAUGAAAAAAAUAUGGAAUUCAAUCUUAUUGAGUCUAGCUUCUCAUAGAAGAAACAAUGUAAGCAAUGGAAUUGUAAAUCAUGAGAUAUAAUAAAUUUUGUGAGACAAGGUCAGAACGAUUUUGAGUUGCACUGUUCUAACUUUGGAAAAUCAUAAAAAAAAUUGGAGAAAAAUAAUUAGGGGCUUAAAUUUUUUUUUAAAAUCCUUAAUGAGUCUAUUUUUAAUAGAAACAAACGGUAACAUCAUCCAAAUCCUGUACUAGGAGAUAAUUAAUUUUUAGUGAAGAAGGUUCGAAACUAUCAAAUAGCAGAACAGGGAUGAUUUUAAAGAAUAAACUGUACUUAUUGGGUUAACCAUAAAUUCUAAAAAUUUUAUGGUAAGAAGACAUGUGAGUCUAGUUUCAUAUAAAUUUAUCAGAUUUUAAUUCAGAGUUCCGUAGCUCAAGAUAUAAAUAAUUUAGUGACUAUGACUAAAGUGGAUAACUUUGAAUGAACAUAUAAAUAAAUAGUGAAAUUAUAGAUAAUGUUACAUAUAAGCAUGUUAUAUACAUUAAGGAUAUGGAAUGGAGAGGAGGAGGAAAAUAUAUGAUUAUUCAACUAGCUUGAGUUUUCAUUAAAAAUGGCUAAUUUGCAUGUUUUAGGUUCAAGGACUAAAUUGAAUAAAAGUAAAAUUUUAAGGGUAAUUUUGUAAAAAGAUAAAAAAGUGACAAAAUUGCAUGAAAUGAAUUGUUUUAUUAUUUAAAUUAAUAAAUUGAAUGAAAUAUUAAUUUAGAUCAAGAUUCGAUGGAAAUUCGAGGAAAAUAGAAAAUUACUAAAAUGUCCCUAAAUUUUGGUAUUUUCUGCAAUUUAGCCUGGUAAGUUCGUAUGAACUAUAUUCUAUAUAAUUUUAAUUAAAGUGAAUGUUAUUUGGUGAUGAAUAUUAUAUAAAUAUGUCUUUUAUUAUUGGAAUUGAAUUAUUAUUGGUAAUAUGUAUAAUUAUUAGAUGCAUUAAAAUGAUUAUCGGAAGCUCGAUUGGGUUGGAAACUUGUCGGAGAUAUAUCACACUAUCCAUUGGUUCUAUCGGUAAUUUUGGAUGAUUUGAUUCUGGUUAUAAUGGCAUGUAUAAGUUAAAUUGGCCAACAUUAGUGCAUUAAUGUUUUGAUUUUGAUUGGUUAUUAAUAUGAAUGCUUGAAGAAAUGAAAUGUCUGUAAAUUAAUUUGUAAACUCCGGUAAUACUCUAUAACCCUAUUCUGGAAAAGGAUACUAGUUAUGGGUGUUACAUUUAUUAGUGUCAGAGCUACAGUUUAGUUGGUUCUUGGGCCGAACGUAGCAUAUGUGAAGUUUGGAAAUACAUGCCAUUUUAUAACCUGUGAUAGUAUGAUAUCUCUCGACUCUGGUGAGAUUUUUUUUACUCAUAGACAAAAAUACUUUCCCAACUAAGUUAAUUCCAAUAAUGUUGAAAGCGAUACUCAAGUAUAUGAGAAAAAAAUUGAUUAUGAUGAAUCGAAACUCAUAAAGGUAUGAAUAAAUGUUUUAUAAUACAUGUUAAUGAUGAAUAUUAUGUUAUAUGUACUAAUAAAAGUAAAUUUUAGUGCUACACGAACUAUUGUGCUAAUAAAAAAAUUAUAAAAUAUACAAAAGUAAUAUAUGAAGUAUAUGAUAAGGAUUAUUAGGGAAUUGUGGAUGAAUAGUGAAUUUGAAAAAUAUUACAUGUGUUAAAGAUAGAGAAGAUAUAAAUGCAUGAAUUAUUGGUACAAGAAUUAAAUUGUAAAGCAUGUAAAAACAUUAUGCGAAAAGUGUAAAAGUGAUAUGCAUGCAUGAAAUAAUUUGCCCAAGUAGAUGAGAUUAGAACUAUUAGGAUAUUAAGGGAGUUUAGCGUGCUUUUUGAUUAUUAGCACAUCAGUGCUCUCUGAUUAUUAGCACGUCAGUGCUAUCUGAUUAUUACCGCAUCAGUGCUAUCUGAUUAUUAGCGCAUCAGUGCUCUCUGAUUACUAGCACGCUCUUUGAUUAUUAGCACAGUAGUGCUCUCUAUUUAGCACAUUUGUGCUCUCUGUAUAGCACUUUUGUGCUCUCUGUUUAAUAGUGCAUAAUAAUACACCUCUGUAUCAGUCCCGUAUAUCCUAAGUGUUUUGUUUCAUCUACUGGGCCUCUACUAAAAAGGAAAACAAUUUUCGUUACAAGAUAAAAGAUUAUCUUUGAUUCAUGUUUGAAAUAUUGAAUUAAAAAAAAGUAUAGGUGGAUAGUAACAAGAGAACGUACUAUUCAGGAAAUAAGAAGAGAUGAAGUGAUGUUAAUGUUUGAUGAUAGAAAAAGGUUUACAAGGAAAAGAGAUAGUAAAAAAGAAGGAGAUUCAGAAAACAUUUUAAGAUCCAAUGAUGAAUGAUUAUAAAGGAAAAUAAGUUACAAAGUUGUGAAUAGAUAAGCAUGUAUUUGUAAUAAAAUAAUUUAAAGUUGUAAAUAAGUAAAUGUUAUUUAGUUUUGUAUGGAGGUUUAAAAAAGUAAUCCUUAUAGAUAAGAAUGAAAAGAUACAUUAAGAAUAAAAUGAGUGCUCUUUAGGAAUCUAAAGUUAUGAAAUAAUAAUAAAAUUUAUGAUACGAGUGAGAAGUAAAGAAAUUUGUGGGCUACUAACUAAUUUAAUAUAAAGAUUUGAAAGAUAAAUGGAAAUUUCAGAAUCAAAAUUUGAGGGUAAUUAAUUGAAAAGUUAAAUCAAACGAAAUGAAUUAGUUGAGUCAUUGAGAAGAAACGUGAUUGUGGAAUAUAAUUUGAAAAUGUGAAUUAAAUAUGAAAAUGUGAAUAGAAAGCAUGAACUAAAUGUUCAUGAGACAAAUAAUGGCUCAAUGUGAUAGUAUAUGAUAUUAAUUAAUGAAUGAAUUAUUAUUGAAAAUAUAUUAUGGAAUUUAAUACUUAGUCUGGAUUGAACGCGAGAUUGAGUACAAUCGUUCUGCGGCAAAGAAUGAAUUGACGGAUAAGACCAUAACUGGGUUAUGGCACCUUGGACAUAAGACCAUGGCUGGACCAUGGCAGUAUAGAUACAUAUGUAAGACCAUAGUUGGACUAUGGCACAAAAAGAGUGACGUACUCAUAUCCGUAAGCCGUUCUUCGAUUCAAUAAGAAAUGGUAAGAGAUUUAUGUGAUUGAAUUGAAAGAUUAUACAUUAUUAUUGAUAUUGAUCUGAAGGAAGUGUAUUUAUUGAUUAUAUUAUAUUUGAAAAGGAAAUUAUGUAUGUUGAGAUGAGUAAUAAACUUAAGUGUGACAUAUUGAAAAAAUAAGUUUAUCAAAGUUGAAUUUAUAUGCAAUAUGUGCAAGUAAGCUAACCAGUGAUGUUGCUCGAUGCUUAAGCAAGUGCCAAACUGUGGGUUGAAUGGUAAUAUGAUUAUUUAUAUGAUACAUUGAAUUGAUAAGUAUUUAAGUGAAAAUAUGCUACUGCUUAUGAAAAAGUGGUAAGGUUUAAAUUACGCAAUUUCUUAUGGAAUGAUUUAUCAUGUGAUCAAUUCGGAAAAGGUUUUGGUUAAAUGCACUAGCUUGUAACCAUGGUUGAAGGAUAUGUUUAUGACUUGUGUGUCAUGCAUAUGGAAUAAGCGUGGAAAGUAAAUAAAUGCAAAUGAAAAUAAAGAAAAUUCGAAAGAGUAUAAAGUUGUUUAAAAUCUUAUAUUGCUAAGGAUAAAAUGUACAAGUGAUGAUGUGGAUUUAUUUACCUCGUGAGUUGAUAAAUAUAGCCACAUGAGCAUUGGGGUAUCAAUAUUAAAUUAUUCUUGAUAUUUAUAAAUUUCAUAUUUGAAAUGAAUGGAUAUGAUUAAAGUGUGAUUAUGUAUAGAUAUUUAAUAAUAUAUUAAUUGAAAAGUGGAAAUUUGUGUUGAAUUGAAUUGUGAUUAAAAAAUUGAGAAUGAUUUGAAAUAUAAAAAAAUUGAAUACCCUAUUAACUAGACGGGUUGAGUUGGAUAUAGAUGGCAUGCCAUAGGAUCAAAAGAAUUUGGGGAUUUUUCGGCUUGGCCGAGAAGACACUGAAGUCAUCAUAUUUCUUUAGACUAUUCGAAGAAAAAACUGAGUGUCGUUUUGGUGUGUUUGGUUAGAAUCCGUGUAUCCGCCAAGGUUCGAGUCUUGUUAAUAGGGGUAAGCAAAUGAAAUUAUAAAAUUAAAUGAAGAAAGGACUUCUGGUUAAGUGGAAAGAGAAGAAAAAAGAGCUUAAUUAAGUAAAAAGUAGAAUAUUCUUGAAAAGGAAGUACAAAAUGAUAUAAAAACUAGAAAUGUUAGUGAUAAGAAUGGAUAGAAAAGGAUAAUUGAAAGAAUAUGGAAAUGAUAAAGUUCAUGAUCAAAACAAAAUAAGGAAAUUUCGAGGAUAAAAUUUAUUUUAGGGGGGAGAGAAAUGUAAUAUCUCGAAAAUCACUACAGUAAGAAAGUAGGUAUCCUUGAUAUAGUAAAAUAAGAAAAUAAAGUACCAAAAAGGGAAAUUUUGAGUUAUAGCAACAUUGGGAAGUAUAUUAUGAUAUAUUAAUUUAAGAAAAGAUAAAACCGCAAAAGUGAGAAAAGUUUUGUUGAUCAAGAGUAAAUACUCAAAAUUUGAGGGGGUAAACUGUAAAUAUGAAAAAGUUAAAGGACCAACAGUGAAAAUAUUUUAAGGGUUGAAUAAUCUAGAAACUAAGGAAAAUGGAUGAAUUAAGGCCAAAUUGAAAAGGUGAAGAAUUUUGAGGGACUAAAUCACAAUUUUACCAAAUAAGUGAUGACUCAAGGAUGGAAUUUUUAAAGAUUAUAAAGGGCAAAAUGAUCAAUUAGAAGAGAGAGAAAUCUAGAAGAUAAUGAUGAUGUUUGAGAUAUUUUAAAUUAAUCAAAUAAAUAUUAAUUUAUAAUAUUUUGAUUUAUUUUUUUAAUGAUAUUUUAUUAUUUUAUUUAGUAUAUAUAUAUGGAAAGAAAGAUGAAAAGCCACCAUCCCACCAUUUUUCUCAUGCAUCAACGUGAGAAGAAGAGAAAAAAAGAAAGUUUUGCUUUCUUUACAAUUUGGUCCUUUCACCAAAUACUCACUGUACAACCCAAAUUUUUCCCGGGCCCAACAAGCAGAGACCAAAAUACCCAAGCCCAAAUUAAACCCAAACAGCCCAACUACCCAAAACCUAAUGGCCCAAAUUUCAUUGAAGGCCCAAGUAGCCCAAAAUGUUUAAAAAAUUUCAGAAAAAAUGAAACCUAAGGCCUUCAAGCCUCAAGCGCCAUUCUGCCAGCCUCCCUCGCGCAUGCGCACGCCAUCCCUCGCGCAUGCGCACGCCAUCACCGCCGCUCGCCUAUCACCGGCCAUCCAUGCGUCUAACACCACCUGUAACACGCAAAAGAGGAAAAUGACAAACAGACAAUCUAAAUCGCAAACAACAAAAAAAUAGAAGUUUAGCAGUUUUAAAGAUUGGCUAUAUAAGCCGAACACAAGCAUUGUAAUAGGUUCUCUUCCCUUUUUAACGAACAUCAGAAAUAAAAGAAAAAAGAUUACUAUUCUUCAUUUUUUUUCAAUUGAUUAUUUUGUUUUUACUUCUUUUAUCUUUUUUUUAUUUUUAAAUUUUUUAAAUAAACAAUAAAAAAAAAGGGGAAGGGACUCACAGGAGUUGCGCCGCGCCUUGGUCGUCGGAGGGUCCCUUUUUCAGUGACAAAACCUGUGUUGAGAGGGCUAUUAGUCCCUUUUUAUUGUGUUGUUUGGGUGUUUCGUGGUUGGAUUUGAGUCAAGGGGGCUGGAAAAUUAAAAAAAAAAACUUUUUCCCUCGCCGACCACCAUGAACUGCGGCGUAGGCGCCGGCUACCGGCGGCCAGCAUGGCGAUGGCCGGCCGAUCCUCUUGCCGGAUUCUGGGCUAAGAGAGAGGGGGGAGAGAGUAUUCUUUGUUUUUUUUUAGAACAGAAUGGAAGAAUGAUUUUGUUAAAAUUUUUUUUGCUUUUAUAACUGACGCAAAACGGCGUCGUUUGGGGCCUGCUCCAGUGGCCUCAAAACGACGCCGUAUAGGACACUCGCACACGACCCGACCCGCUUCAGGGGGAUCCGCGUGUUUUAGCUCUGAGGGGAAUAUUUGUGCAAUAGGUCCCUCCACUUUUGCAACAUAGCGUAAUUCGAUUCUUUUUUUAUUUGAGCCGAGAAUUUUGCUUCCGUUUCAAUCUGGUCCUCAGGCCAUAUGCAAUCCCUUCGUUAAAGCGUCACGCUUUAGGACUGGGGAAUAUUUCCCUGAAGGUCCCUCGUGCUUUGAGCACGUUUCAUUUUGGUCCCGAACCACCCUCUUUUAUUUAUUUACGAUUUAAACCCCGAAUUUUGGGCCCAAUUUCAGUUUCGUCCUAUUUCAUUUAAUUAAUUUAUUAUUCUUUAUUAUUAUUUUUUUAAAAUAAAUAAAUUAUUUAUUUAUUUAUUUAUUUUUUAAGGGCUCUUCUUUUACUAUUAUGUAUUUUAAGUUUUACAUAUAUUAUCUAUUUUAAAUAUUUCACCUAAUAUUUACUUAAUUUUUUAUUACAUUAUUUGUUUUAAACUACCAUAUAUAUAUUGUCCUUUAAAUUUUUUAUACUAUUUUUAAUAAAGAAAAAGAAUACUGUUUUGUGUUUUAUUCAUUUAUAUAUUUUAAUCUAUAUUAGUAUUUUUCAUUUUAAGUUUCAUAUUUAGUUUGCUUGAGAUAUUUACCAUUUAUUUCGAAUUGAUCUCAUAAAUUAUUUGUCUUAGACUAUUAGUUACGUGAAAUUAUUGUCUAUAUUAUUUCGUCUCAUUUACUUUGAUAAUUAAUAUUUAUAUUUUAAAAUGAUGCAUGUUGUAUGGCUAUUACCAUUAUGUGUAUUAUUUUGUUUACUCGUAUUUUCAUGCUAUAGUGAUUCAUUCAUUUAAUAUUUUGAUCAUAAAUUAUUUCUCCAUGUUGUAUAUUAUCGUUCCAUCAACGUAACCCUUCACUCGCACAUUAUUUAUUACAUUAAUUUUUACCCAAACAUGCAAAAAUAAAAAUUUCCAAUAAGGCAAUAUUUUGUGUAUUAGUGAUUCGAGAAGGUCGUACCCUAACUUACUGGGUUUCGAUUUUCACAAUCAAUCUAAAUACACGAAUCUUUUCAAAACUCAAGUUUUAAAAGAUCUCGGGAAUUAAGAAAAGAUCGUGUCCUAACUUACUGGGCAUGAUCCCUUUUUUUUAAACCCGAAAUAGCUAAAUAUCUUUUAAAUAAGUAAAUUUUUGGGCAUGUAUUCUCGUAUCGGGAAUUUGAUGCGUUGUGUCCUAACACAUUGGAUGUGACAUGUUGUUUGCUCGAUAUGAGGAUUUUUUCUAAAAAAUAAUAAAGGUAAUAUUUUACAUUUGGAAUUUCGAUAAAGCGUGCCCUAACGUGCUGGGUUCCGAUUUCUCGUUUGACCAAAUAGCCAAAUAUCCUCUUAAAACUUCAAAGUAUGGGUUUUUGAAACCAUAAGGUGAUCUUGGUUUUGAUGGUUUAAAGUAUCGUGAUAUUCCUUCGGAACAAGAGAAUCUUAAAUUUCAAUCCAUGUUAUUCGAGUUUUUUUAAGGAUCGUAUUUUUUUUAAAUUUCUUCAAAGUUUUCAAUUUUUUGAAAUCAAGACAUUAGCUAAUCAACUAGGUACCAAUUUUGGGCGUUACGAGGGUGUUAUCCUUCCUCGUACGUAACCGACUCCCAAACCUAUUUUUCUGAAUUUCAUGGACCAAAAUCAUUGUUUUAAUAAAAUUAAAUUGUUUAUUAAAAACAACCACUUUCAAGGUGGCCCGAUCACACCUUAUCAAAAAGGAUUGGUGGCGACUCCCAUUUUCGUUUUUGUUUUCAAAAUCCAAGUCGACCCUGUUUUUAUCAAAAAAAUGGUGUCAACACUCACCAUUCUCAAUUAGAAAUCAAAUGAAUUUUCAUAGCCACCAAGAGAGAAAUUUGAUAAGGAGACCAUGGGGAGCAAGAAUAUCAAGUUAGAUUCAAGAAAUAGAAGCUAGAGGAGAGAGUAAAAUCAAGUUAAAGAUUGAAAUCAAUAGGACAAGGUAAGAUCAUCAAGAUUUCAAUAUAUUUUUAAGAUUGAUAUUAUUGAAAAAGCAUGAAAAUGAUGUUAUAGUAGAGUUUUCUUAUAUAAGGUCUUAAGUUCUUGAUAUAUUAGUGAAGGGAAAUAAGUGAAAGUGAUGGGAAAUAUUAUAGAGAAAGGGAAUAAGGGAGUUAUAAACUUAGUAAUCAACAUCUUGCACUAAAACAGUUUUGGACAGCAGCAGUAGGUUAACUAUGAAACAUCACCAUAAAUCAUGGAAAUUGAAUUAGAGGAUGAAAAAAAUAUGGAAUUAAAUUUUAUUGAGUCUAGCUUCUCAUAGAAGAAACGAUGUAAGUAAUGAAAUUGUAAAUCAUGAGAUAUAAUAAAUUUUGUGAGACAAGGUCAGAAUGAUUUCGGGUUCCCCUAUUCUGACUUUAGAAAAUCAUAAAAAAUUAGAGAAAAAUAAUUAUGGGCUUAAAUUUAUAUGUUUAAAUCCUUAAUGAAAUGGUAACAUCAUCUGAAUCCUGUACGAGGAGGUAAUUAAUUUUUAGUGAAGAAUCAAAACUAUCAAAUAGCCGAACAUGGAUUACUUUUAAAGAAUAAAUUGUACUUAUUGGCUAAACCAUAAAUUCUAAAAAUUUUAUGGUAAGAAGAUAUGUGAGUCUAGUUUCAUAAUUUAGCAUAUCUUAAUUCGGAGUUUCGUAGCUCAAGAUAUAAAUAAUUUAGUGACUAUGACUCAAGUGGAUAGCUUUGAAUGAACAUAAAAAUAAAUAGUGAAAUUAUAGAUAAUGUUACAUAUAAGCAUGUUAUAUACAUUAAGGAUGUGGAAUGGAGAGGAGGAGGAGGAAAAUAUAUGAUUAUUCAACUAGCAUGAGUUUUCAUUAAAAAUGGCUAAUUUGCAUGUGUUAGGUUCAAGGACUAAAUUGAAUAAAAGUAAAAUCUUAAGGGUAAUUUUGUAAAAAGGUUAAAAAGUGACCAAAUUGCAUGAAUUAUUUUAUUAUUUAAAUUAAUAAAUUGAAUGAAAUAUUAAUUUAGAUCAAGAUUCGAUGGAAAUUUGAGGAAAAUAGAAAAUUACCAAAAUGUCUCUGAAUUUUGGUAUUUUCUGCAAUUUAGCCUGGUAAGUUCGUAUGAACUAUAUUCUGUAUAAUUUUAAUUAAAGUGAAAGUUAUUUGGUGAUGAAUAUUAUAUAAAUAUGUGUUUUAUUAUUGGAAUUGAAUUAUUAUUGGUAAUAUGUAUAAUUAUUAGAUGCAUUGAAAUGAUUAUCAGAUGUGUUGGAAGCUUGUCGGAGAUAUAUCACACUAUCCAUUAGUUCUAUCGAUAAUUUUGGAUGAUUUGAUUCUGGUUAUAAUCGCAUGUAUAACUUAAAUUGGCCAAUGUUUGCUAAUUAAUGUUUUGAUUUUGAUUGGUUAUAAAUAUGAAUGCUUGAUGAAAUGAAAUGUCUGUAAAUUAAUUUGUAAACUCCAGUAAUGCUCUAUAACCCUAUUCUGGCGAUGGAUACAAGUUAGACGUGUUACACUAGAUCUUUCAUCUUGUGAUCCAUACGGCCUUAGGCGGUCCGUUCGUCCAAACUCACCUAAGUCAUCCUUUACUCAAGUGAGGAUUCCUUAAGAACUCCUCCCAAGGCACCAAGUUGAAGAGCGGAAGCGAUUUAUGCCAAAAGAAUAACAACAAAAGAACAACAAAAAGAGCGCACACAAAGUGUUUGAGUAAAUGCUCUCAGAAUUCUAGUACUCUUAAGAAUUCAACAUACAAUGGAAUGAGUACAAAUGUGGGGAGGCUCUCUAUUUAUAGUUGAGCUCCUCCCAAAUUGACGGUCAAGAUACAUUUACAUCGACGGAUGAGAUUAAACAUAUCCCUUUAUUUUAGGGAUUUACAAUAUAUGCCAUAUCAAAUCUAAUCUAAUCUUUACAAGAUAUGAUUCCCUCAAUCUUCUAAAAUUAGUUACCAAAUUAGCCUAAGUUUCCAUAUCUCCAUUAUCGGGAUAACCAGGCUCUAAUCUGACAGGCUUCUCCAAUAGUUCUUUGAAUCGGGCUAAUUCUCGUGGGCUAAAUGAUCCCCGUCUUAUUGAUAGACCACCAUAGGGUGCAUCUUGUGCUAUGGUCACGGACUUUGCGCUUUGACCUAUGACACAAGAUUAUCACAAAUUCCAAGUGGCAAUUGGAAAAUGAGAUACGAUGUUUAUGUUUUUUUUUCAUUUUUAAAUAUAGUAAAGACGAAAUUGAUGGAAGGGAAAACUUUAUCCUUGGUUUAAAAGUCCAUAUAUCAAUUACAAGACAUAAAAAACAAAGACAAGUAUUGGGGGCCAGCAAAUGAUAGUGAGUGACACUAUUUGAUUUAGUCUAAUUACAACAUGUUUGAUUGGAACUAUUUUGAAAUAUCUGAUUAAAUAAAUAUUGAGAGGAAAAGUCUUAAAUUUUCUUCUUUUCCUUAGCUAUAAAAUUUAAUUUCUAGUUUGGUUUACAGGCCUUUGGUUCUCAUCUCUAGUUAUGUAAGGCUGAGUCGCUGUUAGUUGGAUGGACCUACAUUAAAAACAUUAAUUGAAAACAUAAGUAAUAGAAACUUUGUCAUAUUUAGACAAAUCAAAUUAAAUUUUGCCUACCAUUUCCCAACCACAUCUUUAUUAACUUUUUACAUUUAUUAUCCCAAUAUUCAAAACCAAACAAUACAUCCAUUGCAUAUUCCUUUUCUUAAAUAUCAUUUUAUUUAAUGUCAUUAGACAUUACUCUAUUCUUUUUUUUUAUGAUAAAAAUUAUUAAACAAAAAAUUAUUACAGAUGUUGUAGGAACCUAUCCUUUGAGAUUGUUUGAUUCUAGUUUUUGACAAAUUGCUCAAAGUUGAUGGGAUAAAACAAGUGAUUUUGAUGGUGUUCGGAAACAAGCUUCGAUGUUUAGUGAGAUCAAAAUUUGUUGACAAAUUAAAUUACUCAACGGGGUAAAUAUCCAUAGAAGUUAUUGUCCCAAAGUGGGGCUGGACUUGGAUGGUGUCUGCGAGACUCAUUUUUAUCAAAUUCAAAGCAGUGGCAGUAAUACCGAUUAAAUUACAACUAGAAAUAAAAACAGAUCAGUUGGCUGGCAAGAGAUUUCGAGGGUCAUGCUUGGUCCCUAUCAUCCCAAGUACUACUAAGUCAGUACCCCUCUAAAUGGGGAGAACUUUGUCGAUCUUUCAUUGGUUUAAAAGUCCGACUACCAAUUGUAAGGCAUCAAAACAACAAAGACAAGUAUUGGGGACCAGCUGAAGAGAGUGAGUGACACGGUUUGAUUUAGAGUCUCAUGAUUGCAGCAUUUUGAUCAUGAUCCUCAACUUUGAUUGUAAUGUCUAACAAAAUAAAUACCAAGAUGAAAAUACCGUUUUUCUAUAAAAUCUAAAUUUCUAGUUUUGAAGACACGCCUUUGGUUCUCAUCUCUUACUUGUUCUGCACGGCUAAGUCGCAGUUGCUUCGAUGGACCUAUGAUGGAAACAUGAAUUGAAAAGAAUGCCAACAAGUAAUAGAAACUUUGUAAUAUUCAAAUAGAUCAAAUUAAGCUUUGCGGGUCCUGCCCUACUUCACACUCAAUUGACAGAGGGAUUGGGACAAUAAUUAAAGCCAUUGUGAGUGGUGGGGUAGGCGUGGGUAUGACCUUGUACCGACCCCAUCCCAUCUCUACCCAUCCUGCAUAAUAUAACAAACAUAUUUAAAAAAUAAACAUUUAUAAAAAUUUAAUUUAAUAAUUAUUUUAACAGUAUUUAAUUUUUGCACUUGUGUUGCAUUUGAAGACAUUUAUGAUGUAUUUGAGAUAUUGUUUGUAUUUUGAUAUUAUGUAAUGACUUUAUUUUUUGAAUCUUUUAAACUUGAAAUUAUAUAUUAUUUACCAAUUAAAAGUCGUGACGACUUACUUUUUUUUUUAAAUAGUGACAGUUGGAAUAAUGUCACAUAUGUGAUGGGAGUCUGGAGGAUAAAUAUUUUAUACUUUUGUAACAAAAAAUUGGUUUAUAUUUAUUUAAGUGAUACUUAUAAAUAUUGUCGAAACCACUUUUUGAAAACAAAAAAUUAGUUGUCGACUUUAAAAAUAAAAAUUGGAGUCACCACCGAUCUUUUAUUGGGGUGUGAUCGGCUCACCUUAAAAAAUGAUUUUGGUCUGCGAAAUUUGAGAAAACAGGUUCGGGAGUCGGUUACGCACGAGGAAGGGUUAGCACCCUCGUAACGCCCAAAAUUGGUACCGAAUUGAUUAAUUAAGGUCUUAAUGCCAACUAUCGAAAAUCCGUGAAGAAUUUAAAAAUACGAUUCCCUUUUUUAUUAAUUUUAAUUUAUAAAAGAUACUUGGAUAAAUCGAAGCGGUUGCUAAAGACCUUCUUGUCUAAGAGUAAUAAAAUGUCACACCCAAUACAUUAGGACACGAUAUUUUUAGUCCUCGAGAAUAAGCUUGUCUUUUGAUUUCCAAAACUCUUGCGGUGAAGUUUAAAAAGGAUAUUCAAUUGCUUUAAGUCAGAUGAAAAAUCGAAGCCCAAUACGUUAGGGCACAAUUUCUCAAAAUUUCGAGCAUUCAAUAUUACCCUUAUUAUUCCUUUUUUUUAAAAACUCCCUGUCUCGAGAAAACGACAUAUCAUAUCCAAUACGUUAGGACACGACGUAUCGAAUUCCCGAGAAUGAGCUUUUUAUUCAUGAUCUGUGUGAUUUUAUUGUAAAAUAAAUACUUGGCUAUCUAAAUUCAUUGAAAAGAAUUGAAUCCUAGUAAGGUAGGGCACAAUCUUCUCGAGAAUCAUGAAUACCGAGUAUCUUGAAAAUUUACAAAAUAAGAUGAUUUUAAUGCUUUAAUGAAAUAUAAUUUUUAAAACAAAUGUAGUGCGAUUGAAUAGUAACGUACAACGCAAAAGGAUAAUUCGAAAAUAAAAUAUACAUUAAUGAGCAAUGAAUAAUCAACAAAUAAAUACAAACAAACAUAGCAACAAUAAUCUCAAUUGUACAUUAUGCCAAUAUCAAUAUCAACAUUCAAAAGCUGAUAAAAAAAAACUCAAAAUAACUAAUAAUAUACUUGAUAAUACACGUAAAAAGUUGAAGUGGGUGAAAUAUAAUAAAGUAGGUUUUUUUUUUUAAAAAAAGAAAUAAAUUAUAUAUAUGAAAAUAAGUAAAAAAAAUAUGGAAUUAAUAAUAUAUCAUAAAUUGUGUAUAAAUAAUAUUAAAUUUACAUAAAAAUAUAUAAAAUAAUACAUAAUAAAUUUGAAGAAUAAUACAUGAAACUUAGAAUGAUACAUAAAAGAAACCUUUAAAAAUAAUAAUACAAUAGAUUUAAACAAUAUCAACAAUAAAUUUAUAAUAAUAAGUUUAAUUAGAAAUAAUACUAGACUUAAAACUAAAUAUAUUAAAAAAAGAAUAAAAGAAAUACUUAACUAAGUUUUUUUUCUUCUUUUUUUUUUAAAAAAAUGAGCAAAUCAAAAUAAGGAUUAAAUUGAUUUUAAGACAAAAUUAGAGAGAAAAAACGGAAAUAAACUAAAACGGAGGUCUAAAUCGUGACGUGCGAAUAACAUGAGGACCGAAUGGGAAAUAUUCCCUUCCCCUAAAACGCUGCGUCUUUAGCAUGGACUAAAUGAAACAAAAAUAAAAUAAGAGAUUAAAUUUAAAAGGAAAUAAAAGAACUGGAUUGAAGUACACUUGAAAAAUAGAGGGACUGUGCUCACAAAUAGACCGUCAAACAAAAUGCGCGGAUCCUUCCCUCAGGUCGGGUCACCGCGUGGGUCUGAGCACAUUACGGCACUGUUUUGGAACCAUCAAAACGGGCUUCAAACGGUGUCGUUUCAUAGCAUGCAUAAAAUAAAAAAAAAGGCAUUAAGCCAUUUUUGACAGAUCUGCAAACCCUAAGCAAAACUUUCCUCUGUGCGCCGCUCAGCAAACAGACGUUUGGAGGCCCCAAUCCCUCGUCCGACUCCGAUUGCGACGGAGCAAACGACGUCUCAGCUAUCUAUUAAUAAGCAGAGUAGUAAAAAAAAAAGAAAAGUGAAGAGAAAUUCAAAAAAUCACCUUACGAAACUCUGUUUAUGUUCUUUUUCUUUGAAUAUUUUUUUCUAUUUUUGUAUUCAAUCUCCGUGUGUAAAAAAAUACAAUGGCUUUCUGUUUGUUUUUAUAGCCGAAUAUGCGAAAACAUGAAAUAAAAAUAAAAUACGAUCUUUUUCUCUCUGCUGUGUUUUUUUUGUUUCACUUGCAGGUAUGGUGUACGGAGGUGGUGGCAUGGCGCACGUGGAGAGGAAGACCGAAGGCGGCGCGUUAUGAGGCUAUUGCGGCGGCUUAGUUUCUAGAAACCUUUAGGGUUUCUGAAUAUGUAAAAAAAAUGGGCUGUUUGGGCUUGUAACGUGAUUGGGCUAGGGAUUGUAUUUGGGUUUGUAACCGAGUUUGGAGAUUGGGCUAAUUAGGCUUAGGUUAGGUUUGGGCUAGGGGUUUUGGUUAAUUGUUUAAUGGACUUUUAUUGGACUUUGUAUUUUUAUUAUUUAGUUUUUAUAUUAUCUGUAUCGGGCCAUCAAAAAUUGGCUAUUACAAAUAUAUUAUAUGAAAUGGGUCAUAAGACGAGUAUAGUGGGGAUUAGGUGGGUUUGGGACCCACGUGGGUGGUGGGGCGAGGAUGGUUUUUGAUUUUGUACCCGUAAUGGGUUGUGGGAAGGGGAUAGAGAUGAAAAUUCUUGGUGGGGAUGGGGAUAAAAAUUGUGCAAGUCGAAGUCUGUGUAAUUUAAGUAAUGCAUACCAAGAAGGAAUCUUCGGCCCUCUCUCUUUCUAUCUCUGUCUUCCUCUCAUUUUGGUGUAUUGUUUGUUUGGAUGUGUUUUGUCUUGUCUUGUGUUGAUCUGAUUUGUUUUGUUCCAGUGAUGUUAAGCCUUUGACUAGUAAUAUGAGUAAUAUUGGGCUUCAACCACAAUACACGAUAAAGAAUGAAAGCCAGAGAAAUGCAAGACUGCAUGUCUACACCAUUAUUCACUAUUCAACAAUACAUUACUUAUUUUUUUCUUUCUGAUAAAAUUUAUUAACAACAAAUGUUAUCCUUGUUUUAUGGAUAAAGUAAUGUUUAUUUAAUAUAUCCAGAACAAUAAACUAAUUUCCAGUUAUACCUCUCAUUCAAUAAUAAUAUUUUUAUAAAUAAAAGAGUAGUCUGUCUCUAUAUAAAUAAAUGAGUUGGAUUGGCUGAUCAUUUGAUUUUGGGUUAAAUGAAAAUCAACUUCGGCCUGGAUGUAGGUAUUGGGUUUAAUGUAACUUACAUAAAGAGUCUAGUAUGUCGCUUUAUUUGACUUGUUUGGUUUGGACAUUCAAAAUUGAAAUUGAUCAAUUAAAUCGACAAAAUUGAGUCUCAACUAAAUAAAGUGAAAACUCAACUAAAUAGUACUGGAUUAAAUUGAUUCAAUUAAUCGAAUUUGCACAUACUUUAUAACCAUCAUGAUUCGUUCAUAUUAUUAUUCUCAUACUAUAUUCAUGCUAUGUAAUAAAAUUGUGUUAUAAAGUACUUGAUCUCGUUUUCCUAAAUUGAUGUAUUUGGAAAGAUCGAAACUUUUUUCUUUUUCAGGGUGUCUCUUGGAGCACAGGUAAGAUUAUUAAGAUUUUAUAUAUUUGGGCAAAACAGUUUGUUUCCUUUCAUAGGGAAGACAUUUCUUGACAAAUAGAACAAAAGUCAGCAGUUGAGAUGUCGGAAAGUUGGAUCAAUCUUUGCACUGACAGGGCGGUCCAAAUUGCCCUAGGUGAUUCUGAAGCGGGGGAAGUCAUAAGAAAUGGAAAAAGGGAGUGAAUUAUGGGAUACAACAGAAAUCUAGGCAAAUGCUCAGUCUUCAAUAUUGGAAAUCUAAAUUUAAUUAAAUUCCAAGAUGAAAAGUCCUUUUUUUCUAUAAAAUCUAAAUUUCUAGUUUUGAACACAUGCCUUUGGUUCUCAUCUCUUACCCCAUCAAUAUUGAAAAUUUUGCUGCUUCGAUGGACCUAUGUUGGAAACAUGAAUUGAAAAGAAUGCCAACAAGUCAUAGAAACUUUGUAAUAUUCAGAUAGAUCAAAUUAAGCUUUGUGUGGACCAUUCGUGAUUGAAGCCAGUUCUGCACUGGAUUAUUAUAGAUCAAAUAAUUACUUGCAAUCCUAAAAUUAACAAUCUAACAAUUGAAUUUAACAAGCCUUGCAUUUAAAAUUUUGAAUUGAUCUGAUACCUCUAUCAUUUCGGUCCAAAACUUUAUUUAUUUCAUAUAUAUUAUAUAAAGCAAAGUAUUUAAGUAUUUUUGAAUGUAACUAAGUAAGCAUGUUUCUUCUUCCGCGAGUCAAAAGUUUGCAGCAAUUUUAGCGAUUUCGUACAUUAUAUGUCAUUAUAUUGUUGCCUUAAUUAAAGCACAAUAAUAUGUCAUUAUAUGUCAUUAUAUUUCCAUAAGUUUUAACAAAUAUCAUAAAUUUCCAUUGGGAAUUUUGUUGGUGUAUUCUAAAUCACAUAAUGAUCAGAAAUAAGGAAGAUUUCCAUAUAUUCUCGCCUUUUAGUAGAAGUAAUAAUAAAAAAUUUUAUUGAUUAGCCUCUACUAUGAAAAUAAAAAUAAAAAAUUACAAAAUUAGAACCCUAAAAUUCAAGUAAAUCAAUUUUGGUUUUAAAAUUUUAAACAUACAUAUUAAAGAUCUCCUAACAAUUUUACUUUUAAUUAAAUUCAAGUAACAAUUUUACAUAUUAAGGGUUGAUUAAAUAGUUUGCAUAACAUCCAUCUAGUUUUGAGAAAUCUUCACUUUUAAUUUCAAAAUUGUAAUUAAAUAGUUUUAUCCAAUUAACUAAUAAUAAUAUAUGGCUAUGGUGAUGUCUGUAAUUUCAUAAAAUAAUUACUCUAAUCUAAUCCAUGUCUCUUUCUUUCUGAGUUUAUAGGCAAUAUAUUCCCUUCGAUUUCACCUAGCUUGUUAUAAUAAUGUUAUUCCAAAUUAGUUAAAGAAGAAAAUUUGUGAUAUUAUAUUUAAAUUGAAUAUUUCAAUUUAUUAGGAAUUGAUUUUAAAUUAGAAAGAUCAAAUUUUAAGUAGGAUCACUUAGGGAUCAGAAAUCUAGGCAAUUGUUCAGUCUUCACUGCUGAACCAUGGGGAGUUCUUGAUGGAUUAGCUCUCAUUCACAAAGGGCGCUAUGAUGGUGUAUUGAUACAAACUAAUAGCUUGGAGGUGGUUAAAGCCAUUUAGGACUCCUCUCCCUCAAGCUCGAAUUCUACUCUCAUCAGACGUAUAAAUGUACAUUCAUGGGCCAUUCGACAUUUUCUUAAAGAACAUACUUGAUACAACCAAUGAAUUUGUUGAUGUAUAGAUUCAAGCUAUGAUGUCUAGUGAAGUAAAAGGAUAUUUGUUGGCAUAGCUCUAUUGAAGUUGUUGUUACGAAUAUUUCAACUAAUGCAAAUUAGAUAACUCAAUGGGUAAAUACUUAUUAUCGCUAACGCAUGACCAUGAGUGACACUGUUUUAUUUGGAGUCUAAUGAUUGCAACAUGUUUGGUGAUGAUCCUCAACUCUGAUUGAAUCUAUUAUUUAAUAUCGGACAAAAUAAAACAUUGAGAUGAAACUAUUUCAAUUUUCAUGUUCUUUGAUGAAUCUAUUAUUUAAAAAUCUCAAUUAGUUAGUUGAUUAAAUUAAAAAAAAUUGAUAGUUGGGUGAGCAAAUAAGAAAAAGGGGCGAUAGUUGGGUGACAUGUGAUGUAGUUUACCCUAAUAAUAAAAUAUAGUAGGGUAAACUAUAGAGUUAGUCACCCCACUAUUAGUAUGUUUUUGAUUUGGUCACCUAACUAUGAAAAUUUACAAUUUAAUCACUAUCGUUUUAGAUCAUUUUUAUUUUGGUCACGUUUUAGAUCGUUUUUAUUUUACUCAAUCUUCGUUAAAUGGUUAACCAAAGUUAUGUUGUGACCUUUUUUUAACUAGUAUAAAAAACACAUUUAGUCUUCAAUACUUACACAUUCUAUCAAUUUGAUCCUCGAACACAUACAAUUAAAUGUAACAUAUAUAUUAUUAAAACGUACAAAAUCUAAUUAUUUAUAUAUAUAUAUUUAUCUAAAUAAUAUUAUAUGUGCUUAUAUUUAAUUACGAUUAUAAGGUUCAAAUGUGCAUUUAGCCCCUCGAACUUGGCACCUUCUCCCAUGUUGGUACUUAUGAUUUUUUUGUCCCAUGUUGAUACUUUUUUUUUUGUUAUGCUAUUAAAUAUAGGACACAUGACACUCUUCCGAUGCCAUAAUCUAUUUGUUUUAUAAAAAUAUAAUAAAAAAUUUAAAAUUUAUAUAUAUGAAAUUUAUAUAAUUUUUUAAAAUAUAAAAUAAAUUAUAAAUUAUAAAAAUAUAUGUAUCUAAAAAUUAAAAAUAUUACAAAAAUUUUAAAAAAUCUAUAAUUCCAGUUUGAAAAAUCAAAGACCUACCAAAUUUACACAUUUUUCUAAAUAAAUUGUAAACAAAUUAGAUAAAGAUAAAUUUUGAAAUAAAUUUUAUGUUUAGAGACAGGUGCAAAUUAUUACAUGAUUUUUUAAGUUAAUAAGAAUGCAAAAGAUGAUGAUUUUUCAAGUUAAAUUUUAUGUUUUAGAUCGUUUUUAUUUUACUCACUCUUCAUUAAAUGGUUAACGAAAGUUAUGAUGUGAUUUUUUUUAACUAGUAUAAAUAAUAUAUUUAGUCUUCAAUACUUACUCAUUUUAUCAAUUUAAUCCUCGAACACAUAUAAUUAAAUAUAAAGUAUAUACUAUAAAGACGUACAAAAUAUAAUUAUUUAUAUAUAUUUAUCUAAAUAAUAUUAUUUAGUUUUCUUUUUUUUUUUGUUAAUUUUUUGCUAGGUGAUGGGAAAAAUUUGGUUCCUUUGUUGAAAAUGCACACACAUAUACACAUAUAAAUUUAUCAGCAUUUAGUUAUAUGUGUUUAAAUAUAAUCAUUUUUAUAUUUAAUUAUAUGUGUUUGGGAAUAAAGUUGAUAGAAUUUGUAAACAUGGAGGGUGAAAUCUAUUGAAUUAUUUAGAAUAAGAAUCAAAUUGAUAGAAUGUGUAAGUAUUGAGAUAUAAACGUGUUAUUAUGCCAGUUGGAAAAUGCAACAUCAUCACUUCCGUUAACAAUUUAACGGGGAGUAAUCAAAAUAGAAACAAUCUAAAGUGUGAGUAACCAAAAUAGAAAUAAUAUAAAAUUUAAGUGACUAAAUUAAAAAAUUCAUAGUUGGGUGACUAAUUAUAUAGUUUAUCCGAGAUAGUAGAAGCAAUUAGGAUUAAUUCCAACAAACAUCUCAAACUAUUACUCAUAUUUUAAAUUGAACCCUAAACUUGUACACAUUCUCAUUAAAUUACUCAAAUAGAAUGUGAUAAUGUGUUAUGCUAUUAUUCAUCAAUAGUUCAUAGAACUUAUGCACCAACAAUGCAUCAAAUAUUCUCAUUAAAAGAAAAUGUAUAAAAUAAGUUUUAUACCAUCUAUAAUUUGUAAAAAAAAAAUCAAUAAAAAAAUAUAAAAAUACAUCUAUAAUUUCACAAAAAGAAUUACAUAUCUAUAAUAUCUUUUUAUAAAUUCAAUUCCAAAUCUCCUGUAAUAAAUCAACCUCACAAAUCUGAUUGAGGUUAAAAACAAAGAAUGCAUGUAUUGUGCAAUUAAAACCAUGAUCCAUUUUCAAUUCUAAAGUAUUGAACAUAUAAAUUUGCAUUAUUUUACCUCCUUUGAUUCUUCACAAACUCUUUGGAAUAAAUUAACCAUCUAUUCCUUAUUUCAAUUUUAUUAAAAAGAUAGGUUCCCAUAAAGACAGUCUUUACAAACCAGUGCACCUAUCACAAACACAUCGGGGAACAUUGCCAUGAGAGAGGACCUAAGAAAACAUAAUACAAACUACAUAACAUACAAUCAAGCACCCACACAUUGUUUAUUAAACAGCUACAGAAAAAGGCCUGCAUACCACCAAGCAAUGAAGUUUUCUGUUCUGUUUGCAACUUGUUGAACUCGCCGAAAUGUUGGCUUCUCUACCUUUUUGAAAAUCUUUGUCGGACUCGCUCCACGAUCCUAAUCAACCACCAUGGUUUUCCAGUCGUGAAUACAAUGUAUGCCAUACUCAUUCCCAGCACCAACCCACAUCCAUACCCCAUCAAUAUUGAAAAUUUCCAAUUCAAUUCAAUUCAUCACCAUCAUCAUCUCUAUCAAAUUUGGCUGGAGUUCCCUCAUCAGUACCACAGUUUUUUGAUAAUGGCAAACCACAUAAAUCCAAGUUUCCCAUGUAGGAAUCGUUAGUGAAAGUAUCAAAUUGUUUGCCUUGAGGAAUGGGUCCCUUGAGAUUAUUUUGAGAAAGGUUUAACACCUCUAAGAAUCCAAGAUUUUUUAACUGUGUUGGAAUUCUUCCUUCCAGCUUAUUUGAUGAGAGAUCUAAUGAUUCAAGCUCUAACAAAUUACCUAAAGAUGAUGGGAUAAGACCCAUUAAACAGUUAUGGGAGAGGUUUAGGACAAUAAGUAAAUGAAGCUCACCAAGUAUUUUUAGAAUUUCUCCCCUGAAUUGGUUACUAGAAAGGUCAAUAACCGUCCAAAUGGAUAAUAGUGUUUCAAACUUUAUUUCCAGCCCUUUUGCUGUAACAGAUAAACCACCAGAAGCAUAAUUCACCCAAAAUGCAACAGUUGCAUCUUUCGUGAUCUUUAGUUCUCUCAUGUAAUUUGGUUCAACUUUCUUUCCAUACUCAUCUCUAAUGGCAUACAUAUGCUCAAAAAAUAGGGUAGGUAAGUAGCCACUAAAAUUAUUGUGAGAAAGAUCAAUGAUUCGCAAUUUAGUUAAAGAAACUGUAGUAUCAAAGCUCUCUAUUUGGCCGUAAAAUCUAUUUGACCUCAAGAUAAGAACUUGCAGCUGAUCCAAAUUUCCUAACCAACUUGGGAAAGUGUCAUUCAAAUUGUUUUUUCCAACAUUGAGAAUAUUUAAACCUUUGCAAUUACCCAAAGAUCGUGGUAGUGACCCUUCUAAUUCAUUGUUGAUGACAGAAAAACUUUUUAACAUGCAACUUUUAGCAAAGUUUUCUGGCAUUUGACCAUGAAAAUUAUUAUUCCCUAGAUAAACUGCUGUGAGAGAAGAACUCAAGUUUCCGAUGCACUUUGGAAUUGUUCCCUCCAAAUUAUUCCCAUCUAAAGAAAUACCCAUAAGCGAAGUCCAAUUGCAUAUUGAAGAAGGGAUUUCUCCAAUUAAGUUAUUAUUUGAAACUCCAUACCAUUGCAGUAAAGGUGGUGGUGUUGGAAUUCGACCUUAGAGAUAAAAUUGAAAAUGAGAUAGAAUUAGGAGUUUGAAGAUUCUUUGGAAUAUAAAUUAUAAAAUAACUAUAUUACAUGCAUGAUGUGUACACUGAAUACAAAUAAUUGAUUAAUUUACUACAAUGUGAUGUGCCUAACUAUUUCUAGUGUUUGAACCGUUUUGAGUCAUAUCUUUCUUUGAACUCAUACCGUCCUAAGCCUUAGAACAUUACCAGCUCAGAAAACCAAUGUGACUUAAGUGUUCUCUAUGCAUAAUCUUCCGAAAUUGCUAACAAUUAUACUUAAUGAAUAUUUGUUGAUUCACAUGAUUGUGUCUACUAUAUAUCUAUUUGAUUUAUGUUAAUGGUGAUAUUGUUAAACAUUUGGUCAUGAGAAUUACUUCUAGUUUGUUAGUAAUGUAAAUUUGUAAACUAGUUUUCGUACUUAAAGAGCUUGGAUAUGAGCAUUUUGGUUAUGCUUUAGUUAGUUUUUGUAUUUUAGUUUUAAUUCAAUAGAAAGUGUAAAUUGAGUGUUCUUAUGAUCUUAGGGGCCGAAUGAGGCCUAAAGGUGGACUAACAUGCUUAGUAAGUGUGCAUGACACCAUUCAAAGGCAUAGGAACUCAAGGUUGGUCGCCAUGUUGCAACAUGGGAAUCCAAUGUCGCAACAUAGAGGAUAGAGUGCCAAUAUUCCAAGAUUGUCUUUAAUGCCGCGACAUAGACAAUGGAUGUCGCAACACACCCCUGAAGCUGAAUAUAGGAAUCAAGUAUACUACCUUCAAUGCUACAACAUAGGCACUGGGUGUUGCAACACUAACUCUGCACGGGAAAUAAUUACGACCUGAGGGAAUUUUGGUCUGCACAAUGAAAAUUAACACGAAAACAUCAACCGACCUAGGGUUAAGGACGAUGACCACCCCUAACUCUAUAAAUAGACCCAUUAGGCACAUGUUUAAAAAACAAUUUUAGGGAGACAAAAAUAAUUAUUAGGUUUUUAUUCUGUUAUAAGUUUUUACUAGUUAUUUGAUGUUUUUGUAAUCGAAAGGUCCUAUUCCGAAGUGAGAUUCUCACAAUAGGAGAUUGUUCUAAAGCCAGCUUUCAUCGAUAAAUCCAUGAGCAUCUCUUUUCCUUUUUUCUAUUUUUUAUAUCUUUUUCUUUAACAUUGUUUAAUUGAAUGUUUGUGUAAAGUUUAGAUAUCACUAUUAACAGAGUAUUUAGGUAACAAAGGAUAGUUUAGAUAUCACUAUUAACAAAAAAAAAAAAGUUCAGAUAUGUCAAGAAAAAUGACAUAAUUUAAGUACUAAUUUGUGGGUUAAGUCUUAUUUUUUAUAUAAGUAACAACUAUUAAUUUGAGAGUGCUUCUAUCGUUUUAUACAAAAUAUUUUCAUUAAAAAAAUAAUAUAUACACAAUAAUAUUCAUAACUUUUUCUUGAAUGAAAUAAUAUUCAUGACUUCAAUUUUAUUUGGAAAAAAAUGUAAAUAAAUAAUAUUUGCUAUGUAUACACAUGGAUGAAGUGUAUAAUUGAAUAAUCUAUUUCACAACAUCUAACCUUUAUAGAUGCAUGGGAAUGACUUUAAUUGAUUCUUAUAGUGUUAUAAAUUUCUUAGCUAAAAAAAUAUAAAUUUAAAAUGAAAAAUAUGAGAUUAUAAAUAGAUAUAAAUUUUCAUCUAAAUCUUGACAUUUUCUUAUGAGUUAACAUUUUUGAAACAUUUUUUUGAAAUCGACUUUUUAUUUAAAAACGAAAAUGAGAGUCUUCACGAAUCCUUUUUUAUGAGGUGUAAUCAGAUCACCUCGUAAAUUGAUCGCUUUAAUAUACGAUAUAUUUUAGAUUUUAUGUGGAUUCUCUUAAGUUCAAUAUUCAAAUUAUUUUAGAUUUCCAUCAUAAAGUUGAAUAGUUUGUAAUUCAAAUCAUUGCUCUCUUUUUACUUGUACCAAUAUUUCCUAUAUUUUUCUUAUGUUAAAAUAGGUAAAGUAUUAAAUAUAUAAUUAAUUUUUUUAAGUCAAAAGCUAAUUAAUAAUAUAUAACAACUAAAAAGGGAUUGCAUAAAUGUAACAACAAAAAGAAAAAAAAUAAUAUUAUACCUGAUAAGUUGUUAUUAGAAAGUUCAAUAACUUCAAGAGUGGUCAAGUUUCCAAUAGUUGAUGGGAUUUCACCUAAAAAUAUAAAUAUAUUGGUCAAAAUAGCUUGGUGCUAGAAUUAUGUUAUCUUCGUGUGUGUACUUUUUUAAAAUUAUGUUUAAUGUAGAUAGCUAACUUAGAAGUAACCCAGGAUAUAGAGAAAUUUUAAUAAGUACUCGAACACAGUUGAACUUUUGACAAUUUGUAACUCAAAUUUGUUUCUUAUACUCAAAAUAGUAUAAGAAAAAAAAAGAAAAAACAUGAUAUUAUACUUAAUAAUUUGUUAUUAGAAAGAUCAAUAGCUUCGAGAGUAGUCAAGUCUCCAAUAGUUAAUGAGAUUUCACCUAAAAAUAUAAAUAAAUUAGUCAAAGAAAAAAAUAAAGCAUCUAAAAAAAUGUCUUAUACCAAUAUUCUUAUAUUUUUCUAAUUUCAAAGUAGUUAAAGGUUUAAAUGUGUAAUUAAUUGUUUUUAAGCCAAAAGUAUUAUAGUAAGAAGUUAAAAGAUUGUAAUUAAUUAGCAAUAUAGGAGGGAAAAUACCAAAAUGAGCUUUAUCAAAAUGCAGUGUUUUGGGAAUAUAGAAAGUUGACAUCAAUGAGUCUCUCAACUCCACAAGUUUUUGCUUAUGCCUUAUCCUUCCACUCAUUUUCAUUCAAAUUCAUCUUAAUCUACAUAAAGACCAUGAAAUCACUUGCUCAAAAAUAAAAACUAACAAUAUUUAAGCACAUGAAAUGCAAAAUAUCUAAAAUGCUAUGAAAACAAACAACAGUUCUCAAGAAACAAAGUAAAUGCAACCUAAAAAAAGCUUAUUAUGAUCAACACUCAUCAUAUCUUGCACUUACAUUUUUACCUCUCCUCAAAUUAAAUUAGUUUCAGAUUAGAAACAAAACUAACACACGAUGAACUAAACUUAGUGCAUUGAUUAGAAGUCUUACUUACAAAUGGUAAUUUUUAUUAACAAUAAAAAAAAUAUUUAUCUUUGUGCCAGAGAAGAACACUGCAUAGAUCAUAAAAAGGAAAAACUAAAACAUCCAAAACAAUAUGUCAAACACUAAACACAAAAUUCAUAGUUGUAGAGGAGGAUUAGAUACAUUGGUCCUAUAAUAUGUCACUCAAAAUCUCAAAAUCAUCCAACAAAAAGAAAUCAUCACUUCAGUUAAUUAAAGCAAGAACAAAUAAAGUUAUGGAUGAACAAAUAUGGGAACUAAAGAAAAAUGAUGGAUCAAAAGGGACAAAUAAGCUAAUUUCUGCCAUAAGGUAGAUGGUGAACUUAGGACGUGGAGUUCUAAUAAAUACCUAAACAUUUACUUCAUAACAUCUUUCAUUUUCUAAAUGCAUAAUAUUAAUGACUCUAGGUUUUAAUCUUUUAAGGUAACUUCUAUUUUAUUUACUUAAAAAGAUUGCAUAAAUUUAAUAACAAAAAGGAGAAUAAAAGAAACAUGAAAUUAUACCUGUCAAUUUGUUAUUACUAAGAUAAAGUGAUUGGAGAGAAGUUUAGUUUCCAAUAACAAGAGGAAUUUCACCUGAAACGUAUAAUUAAAUCAGUCAAAAUUUGCAAAUAUUUUCCUAGCAAACCCUUAAUCUAUUUGUUGAGCAUAUUAGUAUCUAUUUCAUUUACCCAUUUUUAAAUAUGCAAGUUUUUGUUAAGUUUUAUAGUACUUAUGACAACCCAAAAAUAUUUUAAUUAUAAUACUCGAAUUUAUAGUUCAAAUGAUGAUGAAAAUUAGAUGGAAUAAAAUAGUUCACUCUUAAUAGUUUUGUUCAAAUAUAGGAUACAUCGUCGAAGCUGAACAAAUAUAUAUAUAUUAGAAACUUUUAUUAGUUAGCAGGGAUUAGCUAAUGUAAAACAACUGAUACUAUUGCAUACAAUGUGUUCCCUAGACUGCUUGCUAUUUAUCCCUUUCCACAAAUUAUCAAAAACACAUGUACAUUUUAAGCCAAACAUUUAUAAUAGUCAUAGGCGUCAUAUUGAUUCAAUUUUUUGCUAAGGAAUCAGCAAACACACACAUAUCUGCACAUAUAGACACACACAUAUAUCUGCACAGAUAGACUACUAGGAACCCAAAAAUGUCGCUAGACCCGAGAUAUAGUCUAGGUGAUAAGGGACUGAGGAGUUUAAUAGUAAAGAAACUAGUAAGAACUCACAUGAUAAUGAGCUUGUUGUAACCAGAUUACAAAGAAUGGGGCAUAGUCAAGUUUCCAAUUUCUAUAGGCAUAAUUCCCUCCAAAGAGUUGUUAUGCAAUGAUAAUUAAUACAUCAACUAUUGUAACUAGAAGAGACUGCAUAACAGUAACAACAAAAAAGAUAAUAAAGAUGAUAUUAUACCUGUUAAGUAGUUAACAGAAAGAUCGAUGUCCGUGAGAGAAAUAAGAUUUCCAAUAAUCGACGAAAUUUCACCUAAAAUAUAUAAUAAAAAUUAUCAAAAAUUUAUUUCACAAAAAAAAAAUCAAAAUUUAUUAAUUAUUUUUAUAAUAAACCUUAAAAUCGUCAAAAAUCAAAGCUACUUCAUGGUUGUAUUUUGUGAGGCUGUGGGAGUUGUGUGAAGAAGGGAAAGAGACAAUAACAGUGGGUCAAUGCGGGUAGAUAUAAGUCUGAAACAUAUAAUAUCAACUAUUUACUCUGUAAUCAAAGCUAAGAGAAAUCAUGUACUCUAUUUCUUUCCUAUUCAAUAAUAUCAACACAUAAAUAAUAAGGCAAAUCUAAAGGAUAGAAAAAAUAGCUAAUUACAAGUCUUGUGUGAUUCAAAAGGGUAUAAAGUAGGUCCUAAUUAAAAAUCAAACCUUAAAUUAAUUUAAUGUAAAAUUUAACCCUUUUCUUAUCACCAAAUAAAUUUACUUUUAGUAAAUUAGGAGUUUUAAUAAAAUAUUUGUAAUAUCUGAUUGUUUAUGACUAGGUGUUUUGUUUCCAACAUAUUCAGAAUUAACUUGCCUUAGAAAAACAGUCUAUAUUAUUUUUAAGAAUAUUAUAAAAGCAAGAUAUUAGAAAAAUGAAUGAAACAGUAACCAGGAAUUGUUUACCUUUGAGGUGGUUGUUACCAAGAUUCAAACUGUCGAGCAAAGUCAAAUUUCCAAUUUCUGUAGGUAUAGUUCCCUCCAAGGAGUUGUUAAACAAUGAUAAAAACCUUAGCUCUUUGCACUUGAAUAAACUAUUUGGAAUUCUACCGGAAAUUUGAUUCCUACUCAACCUUUCUAGUUUUGACAAAUUGCCUAGAGUAGAUGGGAUAACACCGAUGAAGUUGUUAAGGUACAGAGACAAUCUUUGAAGUUUACUGAAGCAACCAAACCAUGAUGGGAUUUCUCCAUUGAAGCUAUUGUUACCAAGUCCAAAUAUUUCAUCCGACGCAAAUUAGUUAACUCAGUGGGUAAAGAGCCUUGGAAACUAUUUUGAUGAAUGUCGAGCCAAGCAAGGAAAGAUAGAUUUCCCAAUUGAGAAGAAAUGGUGCCUGUGAGAUCCAUGCUUGACAAAUUCAGAGCAGUGACUCUAUAGUGUUUAGAUCCACAUGUGACACCAAUCCAGCUACAAACGGAGGUAGAAGUAGACCAAUUGGUUGUCAAGAAAUUGUGAGGAUCAUGAGUUAUAUGAGAUUUGAGUGCUAGAAGAGCAGAUUGAUCAACGGUGAUGCUAGAAUAUUUUGCAGACAAAAUAACCCCAAAGAUUGCGAAUAGCAGCCCAAACAUAAAUGGAGGGAGGAAGCUUGGUUUUGCCAUAAGGUUGGACAUGGGUGUAAGGCGCAUCAUAAGGAGAGAAACAACCGAGUUUAAAACUUUUCUAAUGCUAGUUCAAUAUUCUUUAAAUACUUUUCUAAUUUGAAAAUUCGUCACAUGAAUUGAUGAGUCCCAGUUGGUUGGAUGGACCUACAUUGGUGUUUUUCAUGCGUUGAGCCAUUAUUAAUCUCCCUCAUAUUGGGUUGCCUUUUACACUUUCUUCCAUUCAAACAUGAAUUUGUAAAGUGGCCUCCUUUUCACCAUUAAUUUCACACAAGCUUUCCACAAGAAAUGUUAUUUUAAGACUGCAUUAUUCACGUUUGGGCCAAACAAUGAAUUAUUUUUCAUCUAUCCUUCCCAACUUUUACCCUUACUUUCCAUUUUCAAUUAUUCUUUGUUUGAUAAAUCAAUCAAAUCAUGAAAUGAAAAGACAAGUAAUGUGAAACGUGUUUGAUUGAGAUCCUCAAUUUAUUUUCUUCACGGUUGCUCCCAAUUUCUUUCUAUUAACACACAUUGGAAACAUGAAUUCAAAGAAUCACCACUUUCUCCAAUAUCUAAUUUGGAAAUUCGUCACACCGAGACAAAUCAAGUUGAACUUUCCAGAAGAUAGACUUCUUUUAAGACUGCAUGUGUUGGUAUAUGCAGGAUUCAUAACUCUCCCCUUCAACUAAAUUUUUGUUUUAUUUUUUGUGAAUAGUUUAACUCAUGAAUAGGUUUACUCUCACAUACGUGACAGUAUUCUCAAUUUUAUAACCUUAUCAAGGCUUUUAAUUUUACUAAAAAAAAUUGCAGAAAUAUAACAACAAAAAAGAGAAGAAAAAUGAUAUUAUACUUGUUACGUUGGUUUUAGAAAGAUGUCCAAUAACUGAUGAAAUUUAAUUGAAACAUAUAAUUAAAUUUGUUAACUUAACAUGGCGUUAUGCUUUGUUGAGUUUAAUGGUGUGGAAGAGUAUGUUUGUUGUCUCCUGUUAGAGCUCGAACUCAUGUACUCGAUUUCUCUCAUCUUCAUGAUUGAAAGGAAAAUAGUUAAGCAAAUAAAUGAUAAUGCAAUAUGCAAAUCAAAGCGGUAGAGGGAAAUAGUUAAGUACAAAUAAAUGUUAAUUCAAAUAAAUAAUAUUUUGUCAUCUCUAUCUUUCUCUCAUUUUCCUUUGAGCUGAUGCGUUUUCGUUUCCUUUUUUUUCUUCUAAAUGUGAUGGAUUAAUUAAAUCCUUUUUCUCUCAUGGUAGCUAGGAUUAAACUGAACAAAAUUAUAAAAGUUAAAAUUGAAUUUAUUAUUAUACCUUAUAUAUAAAAGGUUAAAACGACAUAAUUGUAACGUACAAGGAGGACGAAAAUGCAACUAAAGGUAAAGUACAUGAACUACUAUAGUACUUGGACUUAUUCUACCGCAGACCCCGUUUUUCAACACUGACUAUUCGGUGCGUGAAUAGCAAGAAAACGAUAUAUUUGCUGUCUUAUAAAAUUAUCUCUUUAGAAAAAGAAAAUUCUCAAUUUAAAAAAGUCUUAAAUUUUAUAAGCAAAUUAAUAUUACCUUACCUUGGUUAAACUUAAAUGUUAAAUGAGUGUCGAAUGAUAAAUGGUGUAAGUCAAGGUCUUUGUAAUUUGUAUUAAUGCAUGAAUUAAAUAUCAACAAGGAAUCUUCGGCCCUCUCUUUUUGUCUCUUUCUCUCAUUUUCCUUUAAGGUGAUGGGUUAAAUCCUUUUCCUCUCAUGGCAGUUAAGACUAAAUUGAAUAAAAAUUUAAAAUUUAAAUAUCGGAGUUUUUUUUAUUGUACCGAAAGUCAAAAUAAACUUUUAACAGAACAAUUUUAGUGAAGGGAUUAAAAUGUUUGCUGUCUUAUAAAAUUAUCUAAUUGGAAAAAUAAUUCUCAAUUUAACAAUCUUAAAUAUUAUAAGCAAAUUGGUAUGUUAAUUUGAAAUUUUAUAAAAUGAUCUCUUUGGAAAAAAGUAAACUUAAAUAUUAUGUUAUUUGUAAUUUUAUAUUAAACUGAAAAUCCAGCAAAGUGGUUCGUGAGAGGGAUUAAAAUAAUUGACAAUUCACCACUUGGAGCCAUGAAAGUGCAGUCAUUGGGGAUGAGAAUUAGAAGUAAAACAUGUAUGACAACGGGAUUGGAUAUUGUGAAGCAAGAAGGGGGUACUGACACUACAACAAAAUAGGUUUAUAGUGGCGUUUUAACAUAAAACGCAGCAAAAGAUCAAGUAUUAACGGCAUUAAUCAAAAAAUGCCACAAUAAAUGAUAAUUAGCGGCGCUUUAAAAAACUACCACAAUAGAUAGAGAAUUAGGAAACGCCGCCAAAAAUUGAGCAAAAUGACUUCGUUUUUUGUUGGGGUUUAUUGGCUUUAGUGGCGCUUUUUAGAAAACGCCGCAAUAUAUAAAGCAUUAGCGGUGCUAGUUUAGAAAUGUCACAAUAGAUCGAGCUUUAGCGGCGAAGUCUGAGAAACGCCACUAUAGAUCAAGAAAUAGCGAUGCUUUUUGUAAAACGCCGCAAAAAAUUUGAGCAAAACGGCUUCUUUUUUUUUAGCUUUUAUUGGCUUUAGUGGCUCUUUUUUAAAAAAAGCCGCUAUAGAUCAGGAAUUAGCGGCACUUUUUGUAAAACACCGCAAAAAGUUGUGCAAUACGACUUCGUUUUUUGUUGACCUUUAGUGUAAUUAGCAACACUUUUCUAGAAACGCCACAAAAAGUUUGAUAUAAAACGACAUCGUUUUUUCAUGAGCUUUACUAGCAUUAGCAGCAUUUUUCAAAAACGCAAUAAAAAAUAAAUUUAUUUUAGGGUUUAGGGAUUAGUAUUUAAGGUUUAUUGUAUAUGGUUUAGGGUUUAGGGUUCAUGAUAUAAUGUUUAUUAUUUUGGGAUUAGAGUUUUGACUUUAGGAUUUAGGGUUUGGGAUUUGGGGUUUAAAGUUUAGGGUUUAUGAUUUAAUGUUAAGAGGUUAGUGUUUACGGCUUAUAAGAUAUAGAAGUUUACUAUUUUAGGGUUUGAUGUUUAGGGUUUAAGGUUUAGGGUUUAUGAUUUAAGGUUUACAAUGCAUGAUUUAGUGUUUUAGGGUUUAAUUACUUUUGUGAUACCAAAUUCAAAAAAAUUACAAAUACUUUUCGUCUUUUACUUCUUAUUAUGUUAUUAUGGUUCUAAGUGACAUGAAUGCUUAGUUUAUUGACUCGUGGCAUAUAUGUUAUGAUGACAUUUGAUAAUUGUGUUAUUUACAUUCGUUUAUUCACUUAAAAAUAGAGUAUAAUUUUAAAAUUAUAAUAUAUUGUUUGAAUAAUAUCAUUAAUUUAUAAAUUUGAAUAUUUUUUAUAUUUAAAUUAUACACGAUAGAUUUAUAAAAUUCUAACAAUGAAAAUAAUGUCAUAUUAAUGUAUCAAAUUUAUAAAUCUAUUAAAAAUUUGAAAAUUUAUAAAUAAUAUUAUUUCAGACACAUAUAUAUUUAAAAAGUGAAUAAUUAGCGGCGUUUCUCUGAAAAAAGCCACAAAAUGUAAGUAUUAGCGGCAUUUGGUCUAAAAAUUCCGCAAAAAUGUAUUAAAAAUUGGACAAAAUGGUGUCGUUUCGAUUUAGGAAUUUAAUUGGCAGUGGCAUUUUUGUUGAAAACGCCACAAAAGUUGUAAAAUUAGUGACUUUUUUGUAAGCGCUACAAAUGUUGCAAUACUAAACGGAGUCGUUUUCUUCCACAAAUCAGGUUUCUACUACAUCCCCGCUCCCAGCCCCAAGUUCCCCAUCCAAAUCCCUAAUCAGUCAUAGAGAGUUCUUCGAUUUUUGUUUCUGUGAUUCUUCAAUUGGUUUUUUUACUUAAAAAGAAAAGAUUUGUUUCGGUUUCUUGUAAACUUUCAUACAAAGACAGAGAAGACGAAGAAGGUGGCCGAACAUUCCAAUUCUGUUUUUUGGUCAAUCAGUAUUUAAGGUUCAUUUUCUUUAUUUUGCGUGUUUAAACUUUGGGUUUGUCUUGUUUUUUCUUUUUUAAUUUUUUUGUUUAUAAUUUGUUGUUGACCCUAAAAUGAAGUGAAAUCAUCUUUGGUUUUAGGGUUUUCGAUCCUUGUACAAGUGGAAACCAUUUCGAAGUGCUUUCAUUUCUCUUCAUCAUCGUCAAGGUACUGUACUACUUUCAUUCUUUUAUCUUACUUCAAGUUUUGGCGUUGGAUUAGGGUUUUAGUCUGAAUGCGUUUUUGUUGAUUCGCACUGUAUUGUUGGUUUUUUUGGAAAUACUAUUAGUUCAAAUGAUGAAAUUGGUUUGGAAUAAAUGUGAUGUUGUUGGUGACGAUAGGUUGGAAAUAAGUUGGAGUUUAGCAUAGAUUUCUGCUUAACUUGGACAACAAAAUGGGAAUAUACCUCUUAUUAUUGUCGAAACCACCUUUUUUGAUAAAAGCGUCGACUUUAAAAAAUGAUAAGAUCAUAGAAACUCAUCUUUUUCAGGUAUAGACUAAAGAUGUUGUAUUCAAUCUCUUUUAUCGUGUGAAAAGAAAAUCGUAAAUAACACUGAAUUAUCUACGUCAAGCAUUGACUGAGGUCUAAAUUUAAUAAGUCAGUAGAAACUCACGACUCUUGUAAUGGAUUACUCAUCGUGGAACAGAGAUAAUUUGGUGGCUCUCUUUCUCCCUUUAAAUAAUUUGGUCUCAAUGUCUGCGUGUCAUUCCAUGACCAUUGUCGUUAAUUACAUUGGCGACCUCUAUUCAAAUAGCUACAGCACUUACCAGACUGAAACAUAUCACCUACAACCUAAAACGAAUUACAACUUCCCCAGAAAUCUCUAAAAUUUCCAAAUUUCAAAACCCAUAGAAUAAUAUAUAAAAAUACAUUUUCACCUUAAUCAAUAAAUUUCCAGAUUGUGCAGCACGAGUCAAAGUUGAUUUAACCCAUAGGUUCUAACAUAAAUUUAAUUAAAGUAUUAAUGAUAUUUGGUUUCUAGUGUAAUAACAUUAACUCAUAUGUUUUAAAAUAGUUAGUCAUAAAAUACAAAAUAAUUAGUACAAAUUUAAACAUACAAGUAGGAAAAUGAGUAAAAACUCUUGUAAAAAAUAUGAUCUCUUCUAAAUAACUGAAAAGUUUUUCUUUUCUUUGCCACAUAUAUGUAACACCCCAAACUCAGCCUAGACUUAUGGCCGAAUCUAGAGAUGUCACAAAGAAGGAUUUUGAAAAUAGUCAUUUCGACAAAGCCUUGUAUAGUUGUUCGAAAAAUCAUCCAAGUUUAUAACUAUUACUGAAAGUGUUGUUAAAUCAAUUCAUUUGCCAAAACAUAAUUUACAGCGGAAAUCUUAGAAAUCAAUAUAUUUAAAAAAAAAUCUCAUUCAUAAUUUCAGAAAACCUUUAUUUUAGUAAAAACCAUAUUUUUAACCAACCAUUGCAAAUAAAGAAUCAAAUUGAAAAUCCAAAUCCAAAAUAAGCCAAAAGUCCAGAGAGUCCAUUAAUUACAAAAAUCCAAGAAAUAAUCCUUAAUUAAAUAAAAACCAUCAUUUAUAGUCAGUUCACAAACUUGUGGUCAUCAUAAGACUCUGUUGCACCGAUCCGCCUAAGUUUGUGGAUUACCUGAACAAAACAGACAAACGAAUGUGAGUUUUCGUAAACUAAAUGUGUAACCCAAUAGAAAUAGACAUCCUAUACAUACAGAAAUCACAUAUACAGUCAAAUUCAGAUUCGGACAUAAGUCCUUUACAGACACAGAUAACAGAAUCAGAUAUGCAGAACAGAUAUACAGAAUCCUACCCCAUCCUCUACACACCAACUUCGAUCAUCCCAUCACACCAUGUGGGGUUAAAAACACUCAUCCAUCCCUACACACCAUAUAGCAUUGAUAUGACACAUAACAGAUAAUAUGAAGUCAAACUGCCAGGGUAUAGGCCAAAGGUCAUUGUACAAAUCACUUCCUCCACAUAUACGAUUCUCAUCCCAAGCAUAUAUACAGAAUACGGAUACAGAAAUAUCAUACUUAACAUGCUCGUAUACAGAUAACAUAUAUAUUAACAGAAUAGUCAGAAAUGCAUAACGGUGUCCUACUCAGAGCAGACUAUCAAAAUACCAGAUUACAUAAUUUAGGGUUUGGUUAGCCCUUAUCGACCCUACGGUAGGCCCACAGUCGUUUGGAUCGACCCUAGGAAAAAUUUAAGAAUGGCGUAUGGGCCCACACACCGAGACUAGCCUUGCCUAUAUGGCCCACACGGCUUGGCCCAAAACCCACACACCUGUGUGGCAUGCCCAUGAAGGCCUACACGCCAAAUCUGGCCUACCCCGUGUAGCCCACAGGCCACACUCACAACACCACACGGCAGUGUCUUGCACACGGCUGCAUUUUUGUCAGACAUAUGGCCAACCACACGGCCAGGCACACGCUUGUGUGGCAUCAACAAAAUGCUUUUUCAACUUUUGUCGAAACUUGAUUUUUCGUGUUUUGGGUACACACAUGGUACAAUUUUGAUGCGAAAACACUCCAGAGACCAUCAACACCUAAAAUUGAACAUUCAAAAGUCGAAUUAGCCGCCUAAAAAGAUGCCAAACCAAAACUACAUCAAAACAGACAAUCCCUUAAUCAACCAAAACCCUUACCUUUGAAUGAGCAACAGUGAUUCCGCACAACUAUAACACCGAUGGAAAUCCCUAGCCCUUCUGUCUUCUCUUGAGCAAUAAGAUUCACAUUAAUAACACAAUUGAAACAAGCUACCAUUGCAUAAAACUUCCAGAGUACUUACCAAACACAACCCGAGUAGAAGACACAGAACCCAACACAGAGAUUGACAACAGUUUGAAUGGAAAAAAGGUAAUAGAAAGAGAUAAAAAUCGAGAGUGCCACGAAGACGAAGAACAAUUGACAUCAGAAAUUUUGAGAGAGAGGGAGCCGAAAUUUUUGAAAAAAACACAAAAACAAAAACUGAUAACAGCAAUAUCUCAACUCCCCACUAACAUCUCAAUCUCAACUACCUAUUCACUCAGACACCCACGCCCAUGCAAGGAUUCGAACACAGAACCUCUAACACAACAACCCCUUACCACUCGAACUAACAGACUCAUUCUGAUAUGGAUUAGCAGACAAUUUUAUAUAAGCCCACUCAACAAGGGUAAGGCUUGGAUCGAAAAUAGCAAAAUUAUCAAAUAUGAAACUUAAACCUAAGACCCCAUACACACACCUAGAACACUUAACCACUGAAGCAGAUACAUAUUUUAUAUCAGAUUCCACAAAAACAGACUUAAAUUAAUCAGGGCGUUACAAAUCUACCCCUUAAAAAAAUUUGACCUCGAAAUUUACCUAAUCCAAAUAGAUGAGGAUAUUGCUAACGCAUAAAGUCCUCAGGUUCCCACGUGACUUCCUCAGUGCCAUGAUUCUACCACAAAACCUUCACCAAAAGAAUGGAAUUCCUCCUUAGAACCUUAAUAUCUCGAUCCAAAAUUUGAAUGAACUCCUCUUCAAAAAUCAAAUCCAGUCUAACCUCAAUCUCUUCAACAGAGACAAUGUGAGAAGGAUCAGACUGGUACUGUCUCAACAUCGACAUGUGAAACACAUGAUGGAUACGGUCCAACUCUGAAGGUAGCUCCAACUGAUAAGCGACCCAUCCCACAUGCUUUAAAAUCUUAUAUGACCUGAUGAACCUAGGGCUCAACUUGCCCUUACGACCGAACCUCAGAACUUUCUUCCACGGAGAAACCUUAAAAAAAUGAAUUCACCCACAGAGCACUCGAUAUCUCUCCUCUGCAGAUCUGCAUAAGACUUCUGUCUAUCAAAAGCUGCCUUCAGACGAUCCCAAAUCAGCCUGACCUUAUCUUCAGUCUCAGAAACCAACUCAGGACCCAAAACCUGACUCUCACCCAACUCAGUCCAAUAUAGCAGCAUACGACACUUACGAUCAUACAAAGCCUUGUAAAACGAACUCAGCUAACGACAAAAAGUUCUCUCAACUACCACGAAAAUCAAUCACACAACUCCGAAUCAUAUUCUCUUGUAUUUGAAUCACCCUCUCAGAUUGACCAUCAGUCUAAGGAUGGAACGCAGUACUGAAGUCCAGUCUCGAACCCAAAGCCUCAUGAAUUUUUUCUAGAACCGAGAAGUGAAGCGAAGAUCCUUAUAAAAAAUUAUCAAAACUGGAACCCCAUGCAGUCUUAUAAUCUUAGAAAUAUAGAGCUUUGCUAACUUUUGCAAAGAGUAGUCUGUCCAAACCAUAAUAAAAUGGGCAGACUUGGUCAAUCGAUCUACGAUGACCCAAAUAGAAUCCUUCUUAGUGGGUGUCAAGGGCAACCCACUAACAAAGUCCAUCGCUACUCGUUCCCAUUUUCAUAAAGGAAUCUUAACAGGUUGAAGCAAACCCGAAGGCAACUGGUGCUUAACUUUAACUUGGUGGCACGUUAGACAACGAGCAAUAAAAUCUGUAACCACAUUGUAAUAGGCCUAAUUUGCCCAAGCUCGUAUGCAUAAACCAAAUAAAGAAUAAAUAAAGUCCAACAAUUACGGAGUCCAUUUACAUUUAUCCAAAACGCCCAAAUUACAUCAGCCCAAAUACAAUGUGGCCUAAGACAAACCUUCAAAAACCCUAGUAGCAGCACACAACCCCUAGCACCGCAGCAGCCAGAGUCCCUCUCCGCGUGACUUACGCCUCCACAUACGUGCACACUCCUUAAUAGCCACCAAACCUACGAAAAAAGAGCCAUACAACGCAGCAAUAGCAGAAUAAUAGCAAAAAAUGCAACGAAUAUUAAGGAGGAGAUAGAGUUUUUAUUAUUUUCUUAUUAUUUUUUACGGCUAUAAAAGGCUGAUAUUGAAUCUGUAAAUAGAGGGACGGGGGAAAACAAAGAGAAAAAGAUUAAAGAGAAACAAUUAUACAGAUUCAAUUUUUUUAAAAUAACGAAAGGUGAUUUUUUUGUCUUAUUUUUUGGUGUUCGUCAUUUUUGUCUUUUUUUCUUGUUUAUUAUUAUUUUUAUUAAAAAGGAGAGGGAGGGGGGCUUACCUCUUUGUUGAAGCCACCGAUUUGAUACCUCCUCUACCGUAAUCGGAGCUCUGGUAUGAGAACAGGUGAACGGCGGGGCAAAAACGGGUUAAGAAAAACCCUAGCAGAGCAAACGUCUCAAAAAUGUGAAAUAAAAUGGUUUUUAAAUCUUUUUUUUGUUAUUUUUAUGUUUAAUUUAACACAUAAACAGAACGGUGUUGUUUAAAGGGGCUAGAUCCGCGCGUUGACCCGACCCGCAAGCAGGGUCUGCGUGUUUGGUCCCCUUUUUUUAUUUGAUUUUAAUGCAGAUUUUUCAUGUAUUUUCAAUUUAGCCAUUUUUUUCUUUCUGUUUUAAUUUGGUCCAUAGACCAUUUGCAUUCGCCCACUAGAACGGUGCCGUUUGACCAACGUGGGAAUAUUUCCCUUCUAGUCCUCCUCCUUUCUCGCGCAUUGUGAUUCAGUCCUUUUUUCCUUUUUUAUUUUUUAUUUCAGCCCUAAAACUGUGUAGUUUCAAUUUAGUCCCCUGUUUGUUUUUAGUUAUUUUAUUAUUAAAUUAAUUAUUUAAUUAUUGUCCUUAUUAUUAUAUAAUAUCAUUAUUAUAGUAUUAUUAUUAUUAUAACCAUUGCAUUUGUGCAUAUUUGUUACACUGUACGUAUAUACACUUUAUAUUAUAUAUAUAUUCAUAUACAUUUUAUAAUACAUAUACAUUUUCCAUAUUUUAGAUUUUCUAUAAUAUAUACGUAUACCUUUUUUAUAAAUAUUUUUUUAUUUUUUAUAUAUUCCAUUUUUAUAUAUAUAUACCUAUUGUACAUAUAUAUAGGUAUUUGAAUGUAUACAUGUACGUGUUUUAAUGAUUUACCUAUAUAUAUACUUAUACAUUUUUUUAUUUUGUAAAUAUAUACAUAUAUACAUACUUUAAUUUUUUUUAUCUUAUUUUCAUGAUUUUUACAUACAUAUAUAUAUAUAUAUACAUAUAUACAUACAUAUUGUCGAAACCAUUUUUUGAAAAACAAAAAUUUGUUGUCGACUUUAAAAACAAAAAUUGCAGUUGCCACCGAUCAUUGAUUGAGGUGUGAUCGGCUCACCUUAACAACGGUUUUGGUCUGCAAAAUUUGAGAAAAUAGAUUCAGGAGUCAGUUACACACGAGGAAGGAUUAGCACCCUCGUAACGCCCAAAAUCGGUACCGAAUUGAUUGUGUAAUGUCUUGGUGUCGAAAGUUUGAAAAGAUUUUAAAAGAAAACUUUUUAACUUGAAUGAAUUAAAAUAAUAAAACAUUCUUAUUUUAAAGAAAUAAAACAUCACACCUAGUGAGUUAGGGGAAAUCGACAGCAAAUCAAAAAAAAAGAGGAAAAUAAGAAAAAAUAUAAAGAAAAAGAUUCGGGGGGGAUUUUUUCAUUAAUUUCGGCUAUAAGAGAAAGGGAGCCUUUUGUAUUUUGAGAGGACACACGCAUAUUGUAUGAAACCCACAAAAAAAUCAGUACAAAUAAACGCAAAAAGUUUCCAAAAGAAAAAAAAAGGAUAGCAUAGGUGAUUCUCCGAUUUUUAUAUAUAUAUUUUUGUUAUUCUUCUUUUUUUCAUUUUCGGUUUGCUUCGAAUUGUUUUUUACUUUAAAAAAUUUUAAAAGGAGAGGAAGAAGGAGACCCUUACCUUCGCAAAGGCGCACCAACGGAGCUCCAUUCACUCCGUCCGAAAUCAAAGAUGAAUGGGGAUUUCGGGAUUGCAACGCGGAGUUGAGAGGGGAGGGCUUAGGCUUUUCUUUCAAAUGGCAGAGGAGGGUUGUUUAGGUUUAGCAAAUCUAUCAAAAUGGCUUAAUGCCGUGUUUUUAAAUUUUAUGCGUGCUAUGAAACGGCACUGUUUGAGGCCUGUUCCAGUGGCCUUAAAAUGGCGCCGUAUUGGCCAUAUAACCCGCCCGUGUGACCCGAUUCUGGGAAGGAUCCGCGCAUUUUGAUUGAUUGGUCUAUUUGCAUGACAAGUCCUCCCCUUUUUCUAAAGUUUUCGAAUCGGUUAUCUCCCCUCUUUCUGAUUUAGCCCCGCAUCCUGCUUUUAUUUCAUUUCAAUCCAGCUUGCAACGCCAUGUUUUAGGGAAGCGGGAUAUUUCCCAAUCGGGCCCCCAUGUAAUACGCGUGUUGCAGCAUGGUCCCUAGCCUCUUUUCGUUAUUUAUUAUUUAUACCCCAUGUUUUGUUGUAGUUUCAAUUCGAUUUUUAACCUUUAUUUAAAUUGUUUUAAUACAUUUUAUAUUUUAAACUAUUUCAUUUUCUUUUUUAUUACUUUAUUUACAUAUUUUAAGAUUUUUGUAUAUAGAACCUAUUUUAAUAUAUAUAUAUACAUUAUUUAGUUUAAAUUGUCUUUUAAUAUAUAUUAUUUAGUUUAAAUUAUUUUUUUAUAUGUUAUUUCAAAAUUUGAUUAUCCUUAAAUCGAUUUAUUUUUAAAAUUCCUCUUUUAUAUAUCAUAUUUAAUGCAUUAUAUGUUAUUUUAACCUACUUUGCAAAUGAUUUAUUUUAAGUUAUUUAUUUAUGAUUUUGUUUUUAGUUGCUUUAUACAUAAAUUUUAAAUUUAUUCUAUACCACUUGCUUUAAAUUGCUUUAUGUUAGUUUUUUUAAUUCGUUUUCACGCACUAUUUUUUUUGUUUUUUUAUCCCUUAUUUAAAUUAUUUUAUAUACCUAUUUUUAAACCCUAUUUUACUAUAUGCUUGGGUUAUUUCAAACUAUAUAUAUAAUUCAUUUUAGAUUUCUAUACAAAUAAUUCAUUAAUUAUAAUUUCCCAUGUUCCAUAUUUCUUAAGUUAUUUUCAAAAUUUGUACAAUUUCAUAUGUAUUAAUUUGUUUGGUGCUUUGGUUGACCUUUAAUUCAUUAGCCUUUGAAUGUAAGCAUGAUAUAUGAUGUGAGAUAUUUGCUCUUAUGUGCAUUGUAUUAAUUAUUUAUAUUGAUUGAUUAUCUGUGUUCAAUAAUGUAUAUUUCGACUUACGAAUUAUCGCUUCACAUUGUACAUUAUUAUCCCAUCGCGUUUUAUACGCAUUAAAGAUUACGUUCAAUAUCAUUUAAGUAUCGAGAGCAUUUUUAUUCAAAAAGUUUUUCAAAAUAAUGCAACAUUUGGAAUUUGGGAUCCUCGAAAAGAUUGUCCUAACUUACUGGAUUCCAAUCUUCCUCGAGAUUUAAGAAACCGAAUAUCCUCUUUGAUUAACAUAAAUAAAAAGCUCAUUCUCGGGAAUUCGACACGUUGUGUCCUAACGCAUUGGAUAUGACAUGUUUUCUCGAGACGAGGAUUUUUCUAAUAAAUGAAAGUAAAGGCAAUAUUCGAUAUUUAGGAAUUUUAUGAAAUCGAGCCCUAACUUUCUGGGUUUUGAUUUUCUCAAGUGACCCAAAUAAUCAGAUAUCCUUCUCAAAAUGUAUAGGUUUUAAAAGUCAAAAGAUAAGCUUAAUUUUGAGGAUUUGACAUGUUGCAUUCUAACUUACUGAGUGUGACAAUUUAUUUCUUUAAAAUAAGUGAGCCUUAUCAUCCAAUUCAUUUUAUUCAAGAUAAAAGGAUCGUAUUUUAAAAUCUUUUCAAAAUUUCGACAUUAAGACAAUAAACAAUCAAUUCGGUACCAAUUUUGGGCGUCACGAGGGUGCUAACCCUUCCUCGUGCAUAACCGACUCCCGAACCUGUUUUCUCAAAUCUCGCAGACCUAAAAUUUAUUUUUAAUGGUGAACUGAUCACACCUUAAUAAAAGAUCAAUUGCGACUCCCAUUUUCUUUUCAAAAGUCGAUCCCCAUUUUUCAAAAUUUAAAAGUGGUUUCGACAACGCACAUAACAGAUAGGGACCAAAAGGGAAAUUAAUCCAUUCUCCCAAAACGCUGUGUUUCAAUAAGGAUCGAAGUGAAAAAAAUAAAACGUGUAGUAAAAUUUAAGAAAAUUAUGAAAUUUAAUUAAACACACAGCAAAAACAGGGGGACCAAUUUCGCAAAUAUCCCCAAUAGCGAAAACACAUGGGUCCCCAAAUGGGUCGAGUCAAUCACACGGGUGUAGGCCUAUACGGCACCAUUUUGGGGCCACUGAAAUAGGCCUAAAACGAAGUUGUUUCAUGUAUGUUAUAAAAAUCAAAAUUUUUCUAAAACAACCCAUUUUCUACCAUAUUUUAUAAAAAAAUACCACCCUAGCUUUCUCUGUUAGGGUUUGUAACCCUUUCUUUACCCGCCGCGGCAUUUUUGUCUUUCCACCGCGGUUUCACCGCGAUCGGUGGCUGGAGGCCCACCGAGUUGAGUUUUUGAGCCCCGCUAGCAGACCCAAGGGCAAAGGUAAGCUUUCUUACUUCUUUUCUUUUUAUUUUCUAUUUGGUGCACAAAGGGAAAAAAAACCAUCAAAGAAAUUAAUGAGCAAGAAGAAAAUAGACCUAGAAAAUCACCUUCAACUUCCUUUGUCCUUUUUUAUUUUCAAUGGGGUUUUCCUUAUACAGCUUUUUGUUCUAUUUUCUCCUAUUCUUUUCUAUCCCCUACUAUUGUUGCGCCUUACACUAUUUGUUUGCUGUUUGGAUCUGUUUUUUUGCAGGUGCAGAGGUCGUGGAAGAGGCGUGCGAGUGGAGGCUUGCACGACGUGCGUGAAAAGUGACAACCGCUGGUACACACGUUCGGUGAGGGCCCGAUGAUUACGGCACCGCUAAAACUGUACUAGGGUUUCUCGAUCCUUCCUCUGCUAUUGGUUUUGGGCUACUGUUUGGGCUCAUUUAGGUUUAGUAAUGGGCUGUUAAUUAUUUGUUUUUAACCAGGCUAAAAUUGGCCUAUUACAGCUGCCCCUCUUUGCUCGUUAUCGUGUAACAAGAAUGGAGCAAAGACUUUAGAAAUGGCUAAUUUUGCCUAGCUGUGCUGGACUUCGGGGCUCAAAUAGCUUCAUUCCAUCCUACUGCAUCUUCAGAGGUAUAGGAAUUGGUGCUUUGAUCCACUCCAUUACAACAUUAGGGAAAUAAGAUUUGUAAUUCUUCGAGGGAACAUUUGCUAUCUUCAGUCAGCUCCACUGCAACUUUAAGGAGAUACAACUUGUAGCUUCAACUUAUUCCACUGAUAUUUGACAUGACCUGCUCUUUUGUAAUUCAUAGAGAUAAGAUCUGUUUUUUAUCCACUCCACUGUAACUUCAGGGAGAUAGGAUUACUUUCUUCUGUCUGCACCACUGUAACUUUAGGGAGAUAAGACUGGAUGCGAUUUGCUUUACUGCAACUUCAGAGAGAUAAGAUCUAAUUUUAAUCCGCUCCACUGCAACUUCAGGGAGAUAGCAAUAUUGGCUUUCAUCUGCUCCACUGCAACUUCAGGGAGAUAAGACCUGCCCUCUUCAAUCUGUUUAACUGCAAUGUCGGGGAAACAAGAUUCACCGUCGUAGCUUCAAUCUGUUCCACUACACCACCAGGGAAGUAAGAUUUGCCGUUGUGGCUUCAAUAUUUUUAAUUGCAAUGUCGAGAAAGUAAGAUUCGCUAAUGUAGCUUCAAUCUUUUUAAUUGCAAUGUCAGGGAAGCAAGAUUCACCGUCGUAGCUUCAAUCUAUUCCACUGCACAGCUAGGGAAGUAAGAUUCGUCUUUGUGGCUUUAAUCUUUUUAAUUGCAAUGUCGGGGAAAUAAGAUCCACUGUCGUGGCUUCAAUCUAUUCCACUACACGGCCAGGGAAGUAAGAUUCGCUAUUGUGGCUUAAAUCUAUUCCACUGUAAUGCCAAAGAGAUAGGAUUCACUGCCCAUAGCUUCAAUUCGCUCCACUUCAGCUAAUCCAAGCCUUAACGCCAAGGAGAUAAGAUUCGCCAUCAUAGCUUCAAUCUUCUCCGCUACAACGCCAGGGAAAUAAGAUUCGCCGUUGUGGCUUUAAUCUUUUCCAUUGCAACGCCAAGGCAAUAAGACUAGUGUCUUCGAUCUGCUUCACUGCCAAUACAAGAAGGCAAGAUCUGCUAUUUUCAACCUACUCCACUGCUGCUCAGGGAGACAAGGCUGGUAUCUUCGAUCUACUUCGCUACCAAUACAAAAAGAGAAAAUCUACUAUUUUCAACCUACUUCAUUGCUGCUCAGGGAGACAAGGCUGAAGUUUCACCGAUUUGUUCUCUGGGGAACAUGACCUGUAUAAUUUAAUUCAUGAACCUAAUUAUGCCUAGUGAUUAGGAUGUCAUAACCAGAAUGAAUCAAAUGCUCCUAACUAGAUGCAUAUGAAUGACAUUUCAAUGAAUGCAGAAUGUCAUUUUUUGAGAAUAAUCCUUUUUAUCACUUAGGUUGUCAUUACUCAAAGUUUAUUAAGGCUUUAUCACUGACGUGCCAUAACGUCCUCUUGCUUGGCUGGCAUCUCCAAAGAGACACCUAAUCAGACUGCCCCCACUGUGAACUUCAAAGUCCAAUCCACUAAGUCGCAAAAAAUUAUGCCAUCCUUCUCCCCUUGUGACCCAAGGGUAGAAAAAUCUUACUUUUUCUCAAUCUUCUCUUAUUGCAAUGCGAAGCACUUUGGUUUUCUAUACCAUUCCCAAUGUGUCAUACCAAAUGCUCAUGCACAAAUGAAGAAGUUUCUUCUCCGAGAAAACCUCUUCUCAUUACCUGAUGAACAUCGCUUGCCUUUUUAUUGAAGCCUUAUCACCAACAUGACAUCUCGUCAUUUUGUUCAGUCAAUGUUUUUUUCACAACAAAAUAUAAAGGGAUAGUCUUAAUUUAGACUUUUCCCUCUUAGAUAUUUCAACCUUUAAACCUGGUGCAUUCUAAACAAUAGCCCUGUUUCAGGUUACUAUAUUAUUUAGAAACUUCUAGAGUAAUAUGCAAAACUUCCCUUGUGAAAGUUUUAUUAGUCCAUUAAUCAUUAUUCUAAUGUAACACACUUGCCAAAAGAACAAAACAAUGGAUAAAAUAGAAUUGAUUUGAGAGCAUAGCUUGAAAUGAAUAUAUUAUCAAGAAUAUUGAGAAUAAAAGAGGAAUUGACUCAUAUCUUGAAAAAAAAUAAAGUAUUCCAAGAAUAAGCAAUUCAAUAUAAAUAGUAUGAAGAUUAGGUGCCCCAGAUAUCGUAACUUGAACUUCUCUGUACAAACUUCGUGAAGUCCAUUCUGAGUUUGAUAUGUGCUUAGGAGAUCUACAAUACUCUGUCGAUGCUCCAAGAUGUCGCGUACCCUUUCCUGCUGAUUCAUGCAUAGCAAGAUCACCGCAUGCCUCAUUUUGAUCAAUAUUUGAGUAACUUCGAUCACCUCAUGGCCUAUUCUAGUCAAAAUUUGAGCUGCCCUUUUCGGGUUUUCAACUCAAAUCCCCUUUGGUCUAAGGCGCCCUUUGCGGGUUUUCGCCUUAGCCUCUCCAUUUUUACUUUUUCAUUUUUCAUUUUCAUCAUUUUUUACGACUCAAAGUGCCAUUUGUGGGUUUUCACCUUGGUCCUUUCUCCUUUUUUAAACAAAGUAUCUCUUGACUGAGUCUGAGUUUAUAGGAUUUGGCAGGUUUUUAUCAUCCAUCUCGCUCAAAAUCAAAGCUCCUUUGGAAAAGACCUUCUCUACAACAUAAGGUUCUUCCCAAUUUGGCAUCCGUUUCCCUCUAAAAUAUUUUUUGUAGAGGGAGGAUCUUCUUCAACGUUAGGUCACCUUAGUGGAAUUCUCUGGGACGAACCUUUUGUUAUAGGCUUGCAUCAUUCAUUUCUGGUACAUCUGACCGUGAUGAAUAGCUUUUAACCCUUUUUCUUUCUAUCAGGUUCAACUGAUCACAUCGCGAUUGGAUCUGUUCUGCUUCAUCCAACUUGCUCAGCUAAUAUCCGGAGAGAAAGAAUUUCAACUUCAAUAGAAAAACUGUGAUAAACUAAAGGGGGAGGCAUUGCCCCGGUAGAGUUUUCAUUACAUCAUUCAUGAUAUCAAUCUUGAACAUACUGUAAAUUUUUGAUAUCGUGCUGUAGUUCAGAUUGCAAUAACAGUGCUUAAACAGGGGAUAUUCUGGUAUGACCAUGCGAAGACGCAUUUGAAUUCUUGAAGUAACUCAACAAUGUCUUGCUUUGUUUCUUCGAUUAUGCCUAUUCCCUCAAGGUCACAAUCUCUAUUGUCUCCUCAUAAGCUAAAUUUGUUUCUCUUCUUGCUCUACCAUCCUCAAAAAGUCAGGAGAUAAGCUACAAUCUAUGUCAUUUUCAAAGUCAUGAAAUCCCUCUAAACACAUGCCUUGCUCAAAAGGAAAUUCUGAGUCUGUAGCAGCGUCACUCAUGUCAUUGAUAUCUAGGGGCCCAUAAUAAAUAUCAAAGAAUGUAUAAAUUUAUGAAUAACUAUUUGUACAAUUAUGAUUAUGAAUGAAUGAAUGAAGUGGAAGAAAAUCCAAAAGAAUGAAAGAAUAAUUAUUCAAAAAUACCGAAAGAAUAUUGGUUCAAAAAUCAUCGGAAGGAUGCAUUUCAUUAAAAUAAUGACAUUCAGACAUGAGCCUAUUUCACAAAGGAAUUUUUAUUGUCUCUAGGCUAAAAGCAACAAAUAUGUUUUGAACAUUACUCUAAGUAAGCUCUAGAUACUAUAGAGAAUUCCUCUAUAAUCUGAUUAUUUAGGACACUCCCAAGUUUAUAAGGGUGAAUAUCUAACAACGACCAUUUUAAUUGUAUCUUCAUAUAUGGCAUUGAUGUGAACGCCUCUCAACACUUCUUCAUACAUCACAUUCACCCCAUUAUCAAAUGUGAUUGGGUAACAAAUUUCCUGCACUAUAUGAGUCAUCAAACUUAACAACACCUAUGCUGAUGAGUCUUUCAACUAGCUUUUUGAACGUAGUGUAAUUUUCUAUUGAGUGACCCUAAAUUCUUGCAUGAUAAUCGCAUUUGGGGUACAGAGGCUGUGGGGGUUUUGAGUAGAAAGGGGAACAAUGUGCAUAUCAAAUAAGCUUUGAUACAGCUCCUUAUACGACAUUGGGAUUGGCAUGAACUGGAGCUUCUCAGUACUUUGCUUCACACUUGAUUCUUGUCUUGAUGAACCCUGCUGAUUAGCAACCACCUUUCUUGGCUGAUUCACCAUAAUCGAUUUGUUGUACGUAUUCACGCUGUUCACCUCAUUUUCUUUUGAGGCUUGCCUUCUGUUAUUUCCUCUAGCAUUAAUCUUCUCGCUCCUUAUGACGCUUUCAAUCAUUUCACCAUUCAUGACUAUAUCAAAAAAACUUUUUGUGGCACUUCCUAACAUAUGUGUGAUGAAUGGGCUUUCAAUAUAUUUAUAAAAUUCAUUGUCAUUUCUCUUUCCAAGAGCAGUGGCUGAACUUAGACGGUGACCUCCCUCUACCUCUGUGCGUACUGCCUAAAACUUUCAUUCGACUUCUUUUCUAUGUUUUGCAAGGUGAUUCUAUCAGGAACCAUUUCUGCUACAUGACUGUACUGCUUCAUAAAAGCUUGUGCCAAAUCUCUCCAGGAACUAAUCUUGGUACGGCUCAAUUGAUUGUACCAUUUAGACGCUACCCCCGUGAGGCUAUCCUAGAAGUAAUGUAUUAAUAGUUGGUCGUUAUUGACAUACCCAGUCAUUCGCCUACAAAACAUGGUGAUGUGGGCUUCAGGGCAACUGGUCCCAUUAUACUUCUCGAAUUCCGGCAUUUUAAACCUAUAAGGGAGCACCAAAUCUGGGACCAAACUUAAAUCCUUAGCAUCAAUCCCAACAUCUCUCAGUAGUUUCCAUUGCUUUGAAUUUCUCCUCAAUCCACUUCCAUCUUUUUUCUAAUUGCUUUGGUAAUUCUUCUUUUGUUUUCUCUUUUUCAACCGCCUCAUUAAAAUUAGGAACAACAGGAUUGACAAGAUUAUUCUUAGGGCUAGAGCCUAAUUCAGAUUGGAAAUUCAUUGACCUUGAAGCAUCGGCCUGAAACUGUUGAGGCUUAAUUGUAAUUGAAGAUUUACGCGGGUAAACUUCAACUUGGGGCUGCGUAUGUGGAGGAGUAAAGCCUGGAGGAUACAGAGGUCCAUCAUCACCUUCCUCUUCAACACUAGCCACAGGGCUCUUUCCCUUAUCAUUUCUGUCAGUCAACAGUUGCGUUAACUGUGUCAUCAUGCUCCCUUGGGAUUCCAUCAUUUUAUCCAUCAAAUUCUGCUGAAUCUUCUCGAGCUGUUCUUUCAUUUGCUGCUGAAGCUGAUACUGCAUUUCUUUUUGAAACUACUCGAGCUUUUCUAAUAUUCGAUCCAUACUUUUUGAUUUCGCCCGUGUACUGUAACGGUGUUGAAUUAGCUGGUUAGAUUCCAGAUUAAUUGAGGAAUGAUUUCGAUUAAUUAGGCCUUUUAAUAGUUUUUUAAUCCAUAUGAUGCAAUGUAUGAAAAUGAAUGCAAAAAGAGACGUUGAUUCUGAUUCAAUUCCAUUUACAAAAGCUUCACUAGGAAACAAAUUUCUUUACAUAAAAUGGAUGCAGGUACGACAUUGCCCUCAUACUCCAUGAAACAACGAUCUCAUUCUUUAUUCGCAUGUUUAAGAUAAGUCUCAUAAAUUUCCAAUGGAUGCUACUGCUAGCUCCUUUUUGCUUGGUCCAAGUCGCGAUCCAUCGUUUGCCCAUCCUCGUAAUGCUCAUCAGCUUCUUUAAGGAAAUUGGAUUGUCAAAAAACCCUUGAAUAACCAGCUUGAAUCCUCGAGCCAUGAAGUAAAGUCAUGUAUUCCUCUAUCACUCUUCUUGUGUUUCUCAGAAUAUAUUUAAGCAACCGUAUUAUCUUCCACUUUAUCAAGAAAUUCAUUUUCCCUGGCAACCUCUCUAAUUUAGUAAUCAAACCUGAAUCAACAUCUCCUUUCUAAGAUGCAAAUGCAAUGCAAUCAUAAUAAAAUAACAUAAAAAAACAAGUUAGUACAAAGUAAAAGCAAACAAGAAAUUAAAUUGAGUACCUACUCGGGUGACCUCUAGGGGUUUGGCAUAGUUCUACCUAGGUCAAGUUCCUAAAGUUCACUAUAUGUGGUUCGACUUCUAGAGCACAGGUACUUGAACCAGCAGAUUCCUCGAUCCUCACACAUUAUAGGCUCAUAUGGACCGAGUUCAAUUCAGGGGAAUACAUUUCCCUAUGGCUACAUGGAGAUGAAAAUCUAAAGAAGACAUAGGUACGGAUGUAUCCCGAAAGCGAUCCACUAUCCUGCAUGGAGGUGAUGACCUCACGAAGGACUAGUUUCUCACUCCCACUUAAAGGGGUAAAUUGACCAACUUAUGCAAUGCCAAAUGCAGAUACACAUUAACAGACUUGGACCAACCAAGCAAACACACUAUGAUGAAAAAUAAUGAAUGAAAAGGGGAAAUCAUGAAUUUUAAAACAAAAUUUGAUUUUUCGACCAAAAGACAAAAAUUAAUCAAUUUACGGCUGGACUCUCUAACCAGUCCCCAGCGGAGUCGCUAAGCUGUCGAACCCAUUUUUUUGAAAAAUAAAAAUUUGUUGUCAACUUUAAAAACAAAAAUUGGAGUCGACACCGAUUCUUGAUUGAGGUGUGAUCGGCUCACCUUAAAAGUGAUUUUGGUUUGCGAAAUUUGAGAAAAUAGGUUCGGGAGUCAGUUACGCACGAGGAAGGAUUAGCACCCUCGUAACGCCCAAAAUAGGUACCGAAUUGAUUGUUUAAUGUCUUGGUGUCGAAAAUUUGAAAAGAUUUUAAAAGAAAACUUUUUAACUUGAAUGAAUUAAAAUAAUAAAACAUUCUUAUUUUAAAGAAAUAAAACAUCACACCCAGUGAGUUAGGGCACAACAUGUUUUAUCUUCAAAAUUAAGUUCGUCUUUUGAUUUUUAAAACUUAUGCAUUUAAAUUUCAAAAGGAUAUUCGUUUAUUUGGGUUAAAAGAGAAAAAUCAAAACCCAGUAAGUUAGGGCACGAUCACUUGAAUUUCCCAAAUACGGAAUAUUGCCUUUAUUAUUUUAAAAAAUCCUCAUCUCGAAAAAACAAUGUGUCAUAUCCAAUGCAUUAGGACACAACGUAUUGAAUUCCCGAUAAUGAGCUUUUUAUGAAAUGUACAAUUUUAUUGAAAAAUAAAUACUUGGCUAUCUAAAUACAUCGAAUAGACUUGAAGCCCAAUAAGUUAGGACCAAAUCCUUCUCGAGAAUCAUGAAUACCACAUAUUUUAAAAAAAUUACGAAGUAAGAUGAUUUUCAUGCUUUAAAAAAACAAACAUUUUUUAGAAAACAAAUAUACAAAUAUAUGCUUAAAAUGAUAAUGAGAAUAGCAUGAGCAACAAUCCAAUAAACUAUAAAAUAAAAUAAAAUAAAAUAAAGAAACAUAAAGUAAAAAAACGUGUCAACUAAUGUAAAAGAAACAAUAAUAAACGAGUUGAAUUAAAAUGCUUUUGUAAUUAAAUGGGCAUAAAAAGAUAGACAUUUUGCGAAUCAACAAGACCAUAAAAUAUAUGAAAAUUUUAAUAUAUAUAUAUAUGUAUGUGUAUGUACAUAAAAUAUGAAAAAAAUAUGUAGGUAUACAUACUUUAAAAUUAUGAAACAAAAAUAUAUAAGUAAGUAUGUUUAUAAAAAUUAUAAUAUAUAGAAGUAUAUAAAAGUAUACGUAUUUAAAGAUAUGUGCAUAUAUAUUUACAAAAUAAAAUAAAAUAAAAUAAAUAUAUAAAUAAACUACAAAGAUAUAUAUAUGCCUAAAAAUAUGUAUGUAUAUAAAUGUAUAUAUAAAAUGAAAUAUAUAUAAAAAAUGUAAGUACAUAUAUAAACUAUAAAAACAAUAUGUACGUAUAUUUCAAAUGUAUUCACAUAAAUGCAUGGUUAUAAUAAUAAUAAUUUUUAUAAUAAUAAUAAUUUAAAACAAUAAUAAUAAUAGUGUAAAAAUAAAAGAAGGACUAAUUUGUAAUCCAAACAGAAAUUUAAAGGGCAAUUCAAAAUAAACAUAAAUGUGCGAACCCCAUUGAACACGCACAUAACAUAUAGGGACCAAAAGGGAAAUUAAUCCAUUCUCCCAAAACGCUGCGUUUCAAUAAGGACCGAAGUGAAACAAAAAGAAAAAGUGCAGUAAAAUUUAAGAAAAUUACGAAAUUUAAUUAAACACACUGGGAAAACAGGGGGACCAAUUUCGCAAAUAUCCCCACUAGCGAAAACACGCGAGUCUCCAAGCGGGUCGGGUCAAUCACACUGGUGUAGGCCUAUACGGUGCCGGUUUGGGGCCACUGAAACAGGCCUAAAAUGAUGCCAUUUCAUGUAUGUUAUAAAAAUCAAAAUUUUUCUAAAACAACCCAUUUUCUGCCAUUUUUUAUAUAAAAAAAACCACCCUAGCUUUCUCAGCUAGGGUUUCUAACCCUUUCUUUAACCGCCGCAACAUCUUUGUCUUUCCACUGCAGUUUCACCGCGACCGGUGGCCGGAGGCCCACCGAGUUGAGUUUUUGAGCCCCGCUAGUAGACCCAAGGGCAAAGGUAAGCUUUCUUACUUCUUUUCUUUUUAUUUUUUGUUUGGUGCACAAAGGGAAAAAAAUCAUCAAAGAAAUCAAUGAGCAGGAAGAAAAUAGACCCAGAAAAUCACCUUCAACUUCCUCUGUCCUUUUUUAUUUUAAAUGGGGUUUUUCUUAUACAACUUUUUGUUCUAUUUUCUCCUAUUCUUUUCUAUCCCCUACUAUUGUUGCGCCGUACACUAUUUGUUUGCUGUUUGGAUCUGUUUUUUUGUAGGUGUAGAGGUCGUGGAAGAGGCGUGCGACGUGGAGGCUUGCACAACGUGCGUGAAAAGUGACAACCGCUGGUACACACGCGCGGUGAGGGCCCGAUGAUUGCGGCGCCGCUGAAACUGCACUAGGGUUUCUCGAUCCUUCCUCUGCUAUUGGUUUCGGGCUACUGUUUGGGCUCAUUUAGGUUUAGUAAUGGGCUGUUAAUUAUUUGUUUUUAGCCAGGCCAAAAUUGGCCUAUUACACAUAUUUUAAUUUAUAUAUAUCUCUAUUUUUUAUAUAUUUUUUUAUAAUUUGUAUAUAUCCGUAUAAAUCUAAAUACGAAUUUUUAAUUUUCAUAAGCAUAUAUAUACAUACUCAUAUAUUUUUUAUUAUAUAUCUCGUAAUUAUUUUUUUAUAUCUUGUAAUUUAUAUAUAUAUACACAUGUAUUUUCUUACAUUUUUUAAAUUUAUUCAUUUUUAUUUACUUGCUCUUUUCAUUUUCAUUAUCAUUUUAAAAGGUUUUACUUUAACUUAUAUACUGGAUAUUGUGUACUCUAUUGAUUUGUCUUUUUUUUUAUCUUAUUUUUAUUGCUAUUGCUCAUAUUAUUUUCACGUCGUCAUGUUCAUUAUUGUUUUAAUAUGCAUAUCGAUAAUGUAAUUUGUUUUGCAUUCUUUUUAUUGCGACAUCAUAUUUCAUUUUACUCGAUGAAUCAAAUUUGUAUUUUGAGAUUCGAGAAAGUCGUACCCUAACUUACAGGGUCUCGAUUUUCUUGUUAAUUCAAAAUGUUUUAUCCUCAAAAUACAUGUUUUAAUAAAAUUAAAGGCAAGCUAAAUGUCGCCUUUGGAAUUUCGAGGGAUCGUACCCUAACUUACGGGGUUUCGAUUUUCCUGUCGAACUAAAAUGGCUAAGCAUUUCUUAUUUUUCAAAACCACUAAAUUUUAAUAAAGUUUUUAAAGGUUAGCUUACUCUUGAGAAUUUGAAUGUUGUUUCCUAACUUACGGGGUACGGCAUUUUGUUGUCUCGAGGCGAGAAAGCCUUUUUACCCUCGACCAAAUUUAUCCAAUAUUUUUUUAAAAAUCAAGAUAGAUGGUAUUAAUCAAAGGGGAAUCAUAUUUUAAAGUCUUGGAUUUUCUUUAUUCGACUAUGAGACAUCUAUUAAUUAAUUAGGUACCAAUUUUUGGGCGUUAUGAGGGUUUAAUCCUUUCUCAUAUGUAACCAACUCCCGAACCCAUUGUUUUAAUUCGUAGACCAAAUUUGCUUUUAGGUGAUCUGAUCACACCUUGGUAAAGGAUCAGUGGCGACUCCAUUUUCGUUUUAAAAGUCAACCCCGUUUUUCAAAAUAAAAAAAUGGUUUCGACACACACGUUUCAAACUCAGCCACCAGUACAGUUCAUGGAGAUCUCAAUACAUCUUAUUACCAUUAGGAUGCAUAGCAUAAGGGUUACUAUGUGCCUCCCUCAGAAUUGACUAUCUCAGAUCAAAAUCAUUUGGUACACAAACCCAACCCCAAAAACACAGAACCCCAUCUUUAUUCAGCCCAAAAUCAGAUGUAUUGCUAUUCUCAACCUGAUGAAAUCGCGGAACCAAAGACUCAUCCCCUAACUGGUUUUCUCAAAUCUGCCCAAUCCAAGUCGGCUUAACUUUCAACUUGGCUAAUAGACCCCCAUCAUCAAAUAGACUAAAACGAGUGAGCAUUGCUCUCAAAUCAGUCAUCACUUUACGAUUGAGAGCAUCGGCCACCACAUUGACCUUAACCGGAUGAUACUCUAUCGUGUAGUCAUAAUCCUUAAGUAGCUCAAUCCAUCCACACUGCUUAAGAUUCAAGUCCUUCUGAGUAAGAAGGUACUUGAGGCUCGUGUGAUCAGUGUAGAUAAUACACCUCUCACCAUACACAUAGUGCCUUCAUAUCUUUAAUGCAAAAACCACAGCAGCUAACUCGAGUUCAUGCAUCAGAUGAUUCCCUUAGUGUGACUUAAGCUGGUGGGACGCAUAAGCCACAACCUUACCAUCUUGCAUCAGUACACAUCCCAAACCUACAUGUGACUCAUCACUAUACACUAUAAACCUUUUACCAAAUUCAGGCUGUAUCAGAAUAGGAACCUGAGUCAGAACAGACUUGAGCUUCUCGAAGGUUGAUUGUUGCGUAUCCAUCUAGACAAAAGGAACACCCUUGCACAGAAGCUUAAUCGAGUAUCAUUUUUUAAUCAAAACAUAUAAAUAAAAAGCUCAUUCUCGGGGAUUCGAUAUGUUGUGUCUUAACUCAUUGGAUAUGACAUUUUGUUCUCUCAAGAUGAGGUUUUUUUUUUAAAUAAAGGCAAUAUUCUACGUUUGUAAUUUUGAGAAAUUGUACCCUAACUUACUGGGCUUCGAUUUUUCAUCUGACUUAAACAAUUGAAUAUCCUUUUUAAACUUCACUGCAUGAGUUUUAAAAAUCAAAGGACAAGCUCAUUUUUGAGGAUGAGAAACAUCAUAUCCUAAUUCAUUGAGUGUGACAUUUUAUCUCUGUGAAAUAAGAGGGUCUUAGCAUGUAAUUUAAUUUAUAUAAGCGUUUUUAAAUAAAAUGAUCGUAUUUUAAAAUCUUUGCAAAUUUUUGAUAUUAGGACACUAAUUAAUCAAUUAGGUACCAAUUUUUGGGCGUUACGAGGGUGCUAAUCCUUCCUUGUAUGUAACCGACUCUCGAACCCAUCUUUUUGAAUUUCGUGGACCAAAAUUGUUGUUUUAAUAAAUCAAAUCGUUUAUAAAAAUAACUAUUUUCCGAGGUGACCCGAUCACACCUCAUAAAAAAAAGAUUGGUGGCGACUCCCAUUUUUUUCAUUUUUCAAAACCCAAAUCGACCUGUUUUUUUCAAAAAAAAAUGGUUUCGACACAAUAUUUACAAAAUUUGUCAUUUUAGUUCAAAUUCUAAAAAUUUCAAUAAUUUUAGCCCUCAACAUUUACAGAACGACAAGUUUUCGAUCUCUCUUAGCCCUUGAGCUAAUGUUGUUUCUAAAAUCACCCCAAAAUGAUAGAAAAAUUAACAUCUGUUAACUUUGCUAACAUGACAAUUCACUUGCCUGUCAUGUCAUCAAUUAUUUUAAAAAUUUUAAUAUAAACAUAGAAACUUAUAGAAAAUUAUUUUUAAAAAAUUAAAAACAAGUGUUUAAAAUUCAAAUACAUAAAUUAUUCAAAUUUCAAAAACAAUAUAUAGAAUAUAAAAAAUGGUAAAAAAGUAAAUAUAUUAUAAGGCUUGGAUUUCUAACAGGUAAAAGAACCUUUUCUAAGUUUUCACUAUAGUCUUGGUUUUUUUGAAAUAAACAAAGUUCUCUUUUCUUCUAAUCAUGGGAGCCACUAUUACUAGUAUCGACGCUGGUGGCUUCUUCCAAUUACGCCAUCAAUGAUAUUUUAAAUUUGAAAUUCUAAAAUACCAACAUUAGCAUCAAUGACAUAUUUCAACCAAGGUUGAGACAAGUUUUUCAAAUUUAAAAUUCAGAAGUACCAAUUGACAAUGCUUCAAAGCAACAUGCCACUAGAUCUUUUUAUCUCUUUUUCUAUCGAGGCUUGAUGGAUUAUUAUAAAGGGCUUGACCGAUAAAAGAUUAAAUGAGUUUUGUUGAAAUGGUUGAUUAUGAGUUUCUUUUUAUUUUGGUUGAAUUAAGCGGUUUAAAAUUUUUAAGUGUUAGCUUUCUCUUUUUAGUGUUUUAGAUUUAGGGUUACGAGUUUUUGAGAAUGAUGAGCAAAAACUGAGACUUGAUUGUGUUCAUCAAUUUUGUCAAAUUUGGGAUAUAAAUAUUUGGUUUUCGUUCAAUUUUUUAUUGCUUUUAACUAAGAAUAAAACCCAAAAAAGUAAGUUUUCAUUCACCAAUUGGUUGAAGAAUAAUGUUCAAUGUUUAAAAUUUCCGAUGUUUGGUUGAAUAAGUUGUUUAAAAAAAAUUUCAAACAAAUUAUUUGUUCACUUUCAAUUUUCAUUCAUCAACUUGAGGCUUGAUUUUUGCUUUUUUGCUUUUUGUUGUUCGUCGAUGAAGCUUUUUGGAGAUGAUGGAUAUGUUAAAAAAGUAAAGAAAAUAAUAUUAAUAAUUAAUAAAGUAAUACUUAAAAGUAAUUGAAAAAUUAAAUAAACUCAGUAUGUUGGAGAAAAAAUUAAUCAAAUAUCCGUAAAACUAGAAGCAGAAGGUAAUGGGAAGGCGGUGUUGGUGAAAGUGGUAUGAUGAGCCGCACUUGGUUGAAUGGACCAACUUCGGUGUUUUUCAUGCGUCGAGCCAUUAUACUGGGUUGGUUUUCACACUUUCUUCUAUUCAAACAUGAAUUUCACACCAUUAAUUUCUCACAAGAUUUCCACAAAGACUGCAUGCCUGCACCAUUAUUCACGUUUGGGCCAAACAAUAAAAUAUUUUUCAUCUCUCCAUUGCUUCCAACCUCCAUCCUUUUCUACUUUUUGUAUAUUUGAAAUCAAAAUCUUAAUUUUAAUAAUAUGUAAAUCAUAAAUAAAUUAUUUAAACUUAAAAUAUAUCAAUAAUCAUAAUAUCAAAUGCUUAAACUAAUUUACUUGGAGAUUAUAUCAAAUGCUUAUAUCAAAAUCUUUGGGCUAUCUUAAUAGUUUGGUAUUAUUCAAGCCCAUCAAUGAAAAUCAGAGUCGAAUCGAUUAUAUCAAAUCUUUUGGAUCAAGACAAAAAUUGAGGCUUAUCUUCCAAUAAUCCACCUUACUUUUGCCACUAUUAUUAUAUUGUGCAUUUAGCUAUUUGAGUUGUUGUUUAGAGAGGAUUGUGAUUGUCAUUUAGUAUGUCAGUAAUUCUUGAAAACUUCUAUUUAUUUGAGAGACUUGUAUAAAUUUAUGUAGAAUGAUUUUUUAAAUUUAUAUUUAUAUAUUUUCAUAAUUAAAUUUAAAUAAGUUUAUUAUUUUUUAGAUAGUGAAAUGGGCAUUUGACCAGAUCAGUCGCUAGCCUAGAAUUUUUUUUUUUUUUAAAACCGAGUGUAUUCUUGAUUUAACUUAUAAACAUCUCUAAUUAAAUUAAAUUAAGUUAUUAUACUUAAAUUGAGCGUUAAACUAAUAAAAAAACUUAAAUAAUAUUUUAUCAUAUGGAGUUACAACAAAAAGAUUUAACUUUUUUGCGUACAACUCUAUUAUUAGCUUUAUUGGAUUUCUCACUAGUUAUUAAUCUCUUUUUUACUUAAUAAAUUUGCCUCGAAGCUAUUUAUAGUUAUAUCAAAUACUUUUCAUUUGAUUUAUUAUGUAUUUUGAAAAGAAAAUUGAUCCAUGGUGAAUGAAUCACGUAUCAUCAUUAAAUUAAACUAAAAUAUAUGGAGGGUUUAUAAAUAUAUACUAAUAAUUUUAUUUAAAUAUAAUUAAAUAUUAAUUAUAAUUAUUAUAAAUAAAUAUUAAUAAUUCUCAGAUUUAAGAUAUUGAGUUUAAGGAUUUUAGGUCUAGGGUCUUGGGUAUAAAGUCUAUGGUCUCGUAUUUAAGGGUUAGGGUUUUAGAAUUUAAGAUUUUUUAAAUAAAAUUAUUAGUAUUUAUUUUAAGUCCUCCAUGUUAUGAAUGCUAUUAAGUGAAUGUUCAACCUUUCAUCUUCCUUAAUUCUUCACCUUUCAUCUUCUGGUAACCCAUUUCCUAUUUAUGUAUUAGAAAAUGAGGGGUCUAAUCUCCUUAUAUAUAUAUAUAUAUAUAUAUAUAUAUAUAUAUAUAUAUAUAUAGGAAUAUACUUGUAAUGAUGAUAGAAAAAGAAGAGAAAUGCAAUAAAAAUCCCUCUUAUUUUCAUCUAUUAUUCUUGUGUUCUUCACAUUAUUAAUACUAUUUUAUAACACAUUAUUAGCACAAUAUUAUUCAAGAGUGAUAGGUCUUUAGUUUACGUCAAAAUUUUGUUGGGUUCCAAAUAUUGAAAUUUAAUUGUUUGGUUUAAAAAAAAAAUCAUGAGUGGUUGCUGGAGAUUUGCUUGAGUAUGAUCACUAUCUCUUCAUUGCAAAGAAUGCUCGUAGUCUUUACUUCUCAUCCGCAAUUAUCUAAGUAUUUCUAAUAAUUUUUUUUAAAAAAUUUGAUUCGAUUUCUAUUAUGAAGUUUAAUUUAUAUAAUACUCUAUUUGCAACUCUAUUAAUUUAUAAAUCCAUUCUCAAGUUUAUUUGUUGUGCUUUCUACGUGGAUAUAUAUAUUUGUUAUUUUUAUAUAGAAUUUAUUGGUUUAAUUUUAAUUUUGAUUAAAUUAUAUGAUUAUUUUUAUCUAUUCUUGUGUAUUGUAAGACUUCAAAUCUAUCCAUACUUGAGAACUGUAGAAUGAUAUUAAUCAUGAAUUUUUGUAAGAAAACACGUAAAAAAAAUCUUUAAAGUUAUAAACAUAUAUAUAUAUUAUUUUAUUUAAUGAUAAUGAUAAUGAAUCAUGUUAUUAUUCACCGUACUUAUGCCAGAUUUAUAUUAAAAAUCCUAUUAUAAUCAUCUGUAAUUUGUAAAAAGAGUUUUCCAAAAUUUUCUACUAUUAAUUCUAGAAAUGGUUUCUGAAUAUAUUUAUCCAAUUAAAUAUAUAAAAGUACAUGACUAUGAUGAUAUCGAUAAUUUCACAAAAAGAAUUACAUUAAUCUAAACCAAGUCAUUUCCGUUUAUAGAUUCAAUUCCAGAUCUCUUCUGUAAUAAAUCAACCUCAAAAAAUAUAUAUCCGACAAAUCUGAUUCAGGUUAAAAACAAACAACAAAUGUAUUGUAUUGUGCAAUUAAAACUAUGAUUCAAAUCCAAUUCAAAAGUAUUAAAGAUAAAAUUUUGGAUUAUUUUACCUCCCUUCAUUCUUGACAAAUUCUUUGGAAUAAAUUAACCAUUCUUGGAGUAUUAAUCCUUUUUCUUUUUUUGCUAAUCCAUAUCAAUUUUAUUAAAAAGAUAUAAAGACAGUCUUUACAAACCAGUGCACCUACCAAAAACACAUCAGGAAACAUUGCCAUGAGAGAGGACCUAAGAAAACAUAAUGCAAACUACAUAACAUACAAUAAAGCACCCAAACAGUUACAGAAAAUGGCCUACAUACCAACAAGCUAUGAAGUUUUCUGUUCUGUUUACAACUUGUUGAACUCACCGAAGAGUUGGCUUCUCUACCUUUCUGCAAAUCUUUGUCGAACUCGCUCGACGAUCCUAGUCAACCACCAUGGUUUUCCAGUUGUGAAUACAAUGUAUGCCAUGCUUAUUCCCAACACCAACCCACUUCCAUACCCCAUCAAUAUUGAAAAUUUCCAAUUCAGUUCAUCACCAUCUCUAUCAAAUUUGGCUGGAGUUUCUUCGUCAGUACCACAUCUUUUUGAUAAUGGCAAACCACAUAAAUCCAGAUUUCCCAAGUAGGAAUCAUUAGUGAAAGUAUCAAAUUGUUUGCCUUGAGGAAUGGGUCCUUUGAGAUUAUUCUGAGAAAGGUUUAAUAUCUCUAAGAAUCCAAGAUUUUUUAACUCUGUUGGAAUUUUUCCUUCGAGCUUGUUUGAUGAGAGAUCUAAUGAUUCAAGCUCUGACAAAUCACCUAAAGACGAUGGAAUAGGACCUAUUAAACAGUUAUGGGAGAGGUUUAGGAUAAUAAGCAAAUGAAGCUCACCAAGCAUUUUUGGAAUUUCUCCCGAGAAUUGAUUACUAGAAAGGUCAAUCAUCGUCCAAAUGGAUAAUAGUGAUUCAAACUUUGUUUCCAACCCUUUUGUUGUAAAGGAUAAACCAAGAGCAUAAUUCGUUGUAAUUCCACCAAUUGCAUCUACCAUGUACUCUGGUUCAACUUUCUUUCCAUACCCUUCUCUAAUGGCAUGCAAAUGUUCAAAAAAAUGGGUAGGUAAGUUGCCACUAAAGUUAUUGUGAGAAAGAUCAAUGACAUGCAAAUGAUUUAAGGAAACUGUAACAUCAAAGCUAUCCACUUGGCCGUAAAAUCUAUUCCACCUCAAGAUAAGAACUUGUAGCUGAUCCAAAUUUCGUAACCAAUUUGGGAAAGUAUCAUUCAAAUUGUUGUUUCCAACAUUGAGAAGUUUUAAAUCUUUGCAAUUACCCAAAGAUUGUGGUAGCGACCCUUCUAAUUCAUUGUUGUUGAUGCGUAAACUUUUCAACAUGCAACCUUUAGCAAAAUUUUCUGGUAUUUGACCACGAAAAUUAUUAUUCCUUAGAUCAACCACUGAGAGGGAAGAACUCAAGUUUCCAAUGCACUCUAGAAUUGUUCCAUCCAAAUUAUUCUCAGAUAGAAUGAGACCCAUAGGAGAAGUCAAAUUGCAUAUUGAGGAAGGGACUGUUAAACUAUAGUCUGAGCAAAAAUUAAUCACACAAUUAAAUAACAAGGUAAAUCAAAAGUGAAGAAAUACGUCUAAAUUAUACUUCAGAACAUAAAUUAAUUUAAUGUCAAUUUUAAAUAAAAUUUAAAUUUUUUAUUAUAUCAAAUAAAUUCUCUUAAUAAAAUACUUUUAGUGAAAUUAGAAGUCUUACUUAUAAAUGAUAAUGAAAAAUUUUGCUAUGAGAAAAUAGAAAAAUAGUCAAUACUCAUAAUCAUUUUCAUCAAUCAAGAGAUUUUGCAUGUUUGUUCUAUAUAUAUAUAUAUAUAUAUAUAUAUAUAUUAAAUUAUAAGUUAUAGGUGUAGAUUAUUAAUUGAAAAAACAAUCUGGUUGGGUUAGCAAUGCUGCAAAAGUUGGGAGUAAUAAUUUGUUAAAUUAUUAAUUGAAGGUGAAAAAUCAAAUCCUAGCAGUUAGAAUAUCUAUACGUAAUUAAUGAAAAAGAAGUACAAAAAUGGCGUAAAAGAAGUUUAUAUGACGUGGAUGUUAUAAUUGACAAAAAAAUAAAAUUAACGUGUUGACACCAUUUUUUUGAUGAAAACGGGGUCGACUUGGAUUUUGAAAAUGAAAACGAAAACGGGAGUCGCCACUAAUCCUUUUUUGAUGAGGUGUGACCGGGUCACCUCGAAAAGUGGUUGUUUUUAAUAAACGAUUUAAUUUUUAUUAAAACAACGAUUUUGGUCUACGAAAUUCAGAAAAACGGGUUCGAGAGUCGGUUACGCACGAGGAAGGAUUAGCACCCUCGAUACGCCCAAAAUUGGUACCUAGUUGAUUACUUAAUGUCUUGGUGUCGAAAAUUGAGAACUUUAAAGAAUUUAAAAAUACGAUCCUUCUUUAUGCGUGUUAUUUUAAAAUUACUCGGAUAAAUCAAAAUGGAAAAAUGCCUUCUUAUCUCGAAGUAACAAGAUGUCACAUCCAGUAAGUUAGGACACAACACAUCGUAUUUUCGAGAGUAAGCUUGCCUUUAUUUUUUGUUUGAACCUCAUUUAUUUCAAUUUUAAAAGGAUAUUCGGUUAUUUAAGUUCAAUACGAGAAAAAUCGAAACCCAGUAAGUUAGGGCACGACUUCUCGAAUUUCUAAAUACAGAAUAUUGCCUUUAUUAAUUUUUGAAAAAUCCUCGUCUCGAGAAAACAACGUGUCAUAUUCAAUGCGUUAGGACACAACGUAUUGAAUUCCCGAUAAUGAGCUUUUUAUUUAUGUUUUCUUUAUUAAAGAGGAUUCUCGAUUAUUUAGAUUCAACGAAAAAAAUUAAAACCCAGCACGUUAGGGCCUAAUUCCCUCGAAGAUCCCAAGUAUCGAGUAUUGCCUUUAUUUCCAAAAAUUUUAUGUUUUAGAAAUUUAAAAGGAUAUUUUGCUAUUUAGGUUUAACGAGAAAAUCGAUGCCCAGUAAGUUAGGAUACAAUUUCUCGAAUUUCUAAACGCAAAACAUUGCCUUGUUUAAAAAAUUUCUUUUUGAUGUAUGGUGUUAAUAUGCAUGGCGAAACAAUAAUGAAUAUGAUGGCAUAAAAACAACACGAGUAAUAGCAACAAAAAGAAGAUUAUUAAAUAUAAAUAAUAAUGAAAAUGAAGAUAAAUAAAUAACGAAUAGAUUGUAAAAAAUGUAUAUACAUGAAUGUACACAAAAUUAUGAAAAUAUGAAAAAUCUAUGUAUAUAUACAUAUUUUAAAAUUAUUAAAUAUAAAAAAUGUAUAAGGAUGUAUAUAUAUAUAUAUAUAUGUAUAAGUAUAUGUUGUAGAAAUGUACGCAUGUAUAUAUACGUAUGCUUUGAAAUUAUAAAAUAUAAAAAAAAAACAUUUAUGUGUAUGUAUAUGUAUGAGUUAUAAAAUAUACAUGCAUGUCUAUACAUGUAUUAUAAAAACGUAUGUAUAUAAGUGUACACAUAUAUGUAUAUAUAAAGUAUAUAAAUAAUAUAUAUGUAUAUAUAAAUAAAUUUAAAAAAUAUGUACGUAUGUAUGUGUUUAUAACAAAAUGUAUGUAUGUACAUAUAUACAACAAAAUUUGGAAUUAAAAUGACAUAAAUAAGUAAAUAAUAAUAAUAAUAACGUAAUAUAAUAGUAAUAAUAAUAUUAAAAUAAUUAAUUUAAUGAUAAAAUAACUGAAAUAAUAAAUAAAGGAUUAAAUGGAAAACUAAACUAAAAUUUGGGGUUUAAAUUCGCAAAUAAGUAAAAGAGGCGAUUCGGGGCUGAAAUGGAAUGCGCCUAAAGGCUGGAGGACUGAUCAGGAAAUAUGCCCCAGUCCCAGAGUGCAGCGUUUCAAUGCAAAUGACCGCAGAUGGUCAAGGGACCUGAUUGAAGCAAAAACAAAAUUCGCAGCCCAAAUCUAAAAGAAACAAAAGUUAUAUUGCACCUCAGCGCAAGAUGGAGGGACUAAAUGCAUAAAUUACCCAUUAGGGCAAAGCAUGCACAAGAUCCCCCCAUCAAACGGCGCCAUUAAUGGUUAAUAAAACCCAAAAUGUUUUUUUUAUUUCACUUUUCAGAUUUGCUAAAACAAAAACAGAAAUAGCCUCUCCUUUUUUUUUCAAACCCCUUUCUUUCAAACACCCAACCCUUGGGUUUCUUAACACCUGGAGCGCCACCGCCAUAGCCACAAAGGCCGACGGCCGAAGAUGAAGGAGAGACCCCCCGGUGGCACGGUCACGGCCAACUCCGGUGAGUUUCUCUUCCCCUUAUUUUCGCUUUUGAUUUUAGUUAUUUAAAAUAGAUUUGCAAAAGAAAGGAAAAAAAAGAAUAAAACAAACAAAUAAAUAAAAGAAAAAAAGAAAAAACGAAGAGGAAAUAACAAGGAUUUAACCCUUUAAAAUUUCUAUUCAGCUUUGGGUUUCUGAUGUGGGUUUUUUACAAAGAAAAUCGGAGAGGAAGCCAUACAAUGAAAAGUUUUGGCCUUUAUAGUCAAUUUCAAACUCUUAAAUCUGUUGUUUUUGUCAUUUUGUAUUUGUUGUUUUCUGUUGUUGCGUGUUGCUCGUUUUGCAGGUGUCAGACGCGUGGAGGAGCGGGAACGGCGCACAUGGUGGUGGCAGGCUGCGGCAGAGGCUAGGGGCAGGCAUGCGGCGCCUAGGGUUUUUGCCCUUCUUUGUGUUUGGCUGAAAUUGUUUUAGACUUUGGGCCAUUUGGGCUUUAGGGUUUUGGUUUAUUUUUGGGUUUAAAUUUUGGGUCAGAUUUUGGGUUUGUGAAUGGACUAUUAAUUUUGGGUUUAUUAUUUGAGUUAUUUUGUUGGUAUGGGCCCGGGCAAAAAUGGCUCUUACAGCUGCCCCUCUUUGCUCAUUUUCGUGUAACGAGAAUAGAGCAAAGACAUCAAAAGGGCCAAUUUUGCCCGGUCUUGCCGAGUCUUGACUUUUUGGUACUUAUCUUCUUCAAGUAGCCUCAUUUCAGUCCAUUGCGUCUUCUUGCUUUGAUCCACUUCACGGCAACUUCAAAAAGAGAUAUGCUUGUGGCUUUAAUCCACUCUGCUACAACUCCAUGGGGAUGAGAUUGGUUUUUUUUCGUCUGUUCCACUACUGCUUAGGGAGAUAAGACUGGAUGUGAUCUGCUCCACUACUGCUUAGGGAGAUAAGAUCUGGUUUCUUUCGUCUGCUCCACUACUGCUUAGGGAGAUAAGAUCUGGUUUCUUUCGUCUGCUCCACUACUGCUUAGGGAGAUAAGACUUGAUGUGAUUUGCUCCACUACUGCUUAGGGAGAUAAGAUCUGGUUUCUUUCGUCUGCUCCACUACUGCUUAGGGAGAUAAGACUUGAUGUGAUCUGCUCCACUACUGCUUAGGGAGAUAAGAUCUGUGGUUCUGUCUUCUGCUCCACUACUGCUUAGGGAGAUAAGACUUGAUGUUAUCUGCUCCACUACUGCUUAGUGAGAUAAGAUCUAGUUUCUUUCGUCUGCUCCACUACUACUUAGGGAGAUAAGACUUGAUGUGAUCUGCUCCACUACUGCUUAGGGAGAUAAGAUCUGUGGUUUUUUUCGUCUGCUCCACUACUGCUUAGGGAGAUAAUACUUGAUGUGAUCUGCUCCACUACUGCUUAGGGAGAUAAGAUCUGGGGUUUCUUUCGUCUGCUCCACUNNNNNNNNNNNNNNNNNNNNNNNNNNNNNNNNNNNNNNNNNNNNNNNNNNNNNNNNNNNNNNNNNNNNNNNNNNNNNNNNNNNNNNNNNNNNNNNNNNNNUCUGCUCCACUACUGCUUAGGGAGAUAAGACUUGAUGUUAUCUGCUCCACUACUGCUUAGUGAGAUAAGAUCUAGUUUCUUUCGUCUGCUCCACUACUACUUAGGGAGAUAAGACUUGAUGUGAUCUGCUCCACUACUGCUUAGGGAGAUAAGACUUAAUGUGAUCUGCUUCACUACUAUUUAGUGAGAUAAGAUCUGAUGCGAUCUGCUCCACUACUGCUUAGGGAGAUAAGAUCUGUAAUCUUCAAUCUAUUCCACUACUGCCUAGAGAGAUAGAACUACGGGCUUCAAUGUACUCCACUGUAAUCUCAGGGAGGUAAAAUCCGCUAUCUUCGACCUGCUCCACUACUGCUUAGGGAGAUAAGACCUGUAAUCUUCAAUCUAUUCCAUUGCUGCCCAGGGAGAUAGAACUACUGGCUUCAAUGUACUCCACUAUAAUCUCAGGGAGGUAAAAUCCGCCAUCUUCGACCUGCUCCACUAUUGCUUAGGGAGAUAAAAUCUGUAAUCUUCAAUCUAUUCCACUGCCAAAUACAGGGAGAUAGAGUUAUCGGCUUCAAUGUACACUGUAGUCAGAGGGAGGUAAAAUCUACCAUCUUUGAUCUACUUCGCUGCCAAAUACAGGAAGGCAAGAUCUACAAUCUUCAAUCUAUUCCACUGCCAAAUACAGGGAGAUGGAGUUAUUGGCUUCAAUGUACUCCACUGUAGUCAUAGGGAGGUAAAAUCUGCCGUCUUUGAUCUUCAAUCUAUUCCACAGCCAACCAAGGAGAUAGAAUUAUCAGCUUCAAUGUACUCCACUGUAGUCACAGGGAGGUAAAAUCUGUCAUCUUUGAUCUUCAAUCUAUUCCACUGCCAACCAGGGAGAUAGAAUUAUCGGCUUCAAUGUACUCCACUGUAGUCAGGGAGGUAAAAUCCGCCAUCUUUGACCUGCUUCGCUGCCAAAUACAUGAAGGCAAGAUCUGUAAUCUUCAUUGAUCUGUUCUCUGGGGAACAUGACCCGUAUAAUCUAUUUUAUGAACCUAUUUAUGCUUAGUGAUUAGGAUGACAUGAUCAGAUUGAAUCAAAUGCUCCUAACUAGAUGUGUAUGAAUGACAUUUGAAUGAAUGCAGAAUGUCAUGAAAAUGAUUCCUUUUUUAAUGUUUGGGGUUGUCAUUCCUCGUUGUUCAUCAAGGUUCUAUCACUGAUGUUUUCUCGUUCAGCAAGUAUCUUUGACAGAAGAUUCAAAGAAAUAGUCUCAAUUUAGACUAUCAUUUCUCAAAUGUUUUCAACCCUUAGGUUUGGUCAGUUCUAAAUAAUAGUCCUGUUUCAGGUCCUCGUAUUAUUUAGAAACUUUCAGAGUAAUAUGCAGAACUCCUUCUGCAUGAGUAUUGUCAGUCCAUUAAUUGUUAUUUCAAUGAAAAAUGCUUGAAAAAGAUUAUCAAAAUGGACAAAAUGAAAUUUUGUUGAGAGCAAAGCUCUAAACAAACAAAUCAAUCAAGAUAGCAUAUUUUGCUGAGAUACAAGAUGAAUAAGAUGAAAAGGAUUAUCACAAUGGAUAAGAUGGAAAUUUGUUAAGAGCAAAGCUCUAAAUGAACAAAUUAAUCAAGAUAGCAAAUUUGUCAGAAUACAAAAUGAGAUUACGUUAAUCAAGGUGGUGUAUUUUGUUAAAAAUACAAAAAAUAAAAGAAAUAGAAAUAGGUGCCCCAGAUAUCAUAGCAUGAGCUUCUCUGCCCCAAACAUUUUAAAUACCCUUUUGAACUUGAUAUGUGCCUAGAAGACCUAGAAGACUUUGUUGAUGCCCCAAGAUGUAGCAUCUCUCCUUCUUAUUAAUUCAGAAAGGGCAAGACUACCGCAUGCCCCACCUUCGAUCAAAAUUUGAACUGCCCAUUCCUGGGUUUUCAAUUCAAAACCCCUUUGGUCUCAAGGCGCCCUUUGAGGGUUUUCACCUUGGCCUCUCCUUUUUCUUUUUCUUUUUCAUUUUGUUUUUUUUCGUUUUGUUUCUUUUUCAAGUGAAGUGUUUAUUGCUUGAAUCAGAAUUCUCAAGAUUAGGCAGGAUCUUGCCAUCCACCCUGGUCAAUAUCGACGCUUUUUCAGAUAAGGUCUUCCACAUGAGGUCCUUUCCAGUUUGACAUACACUUUCCUAUGAAGUCCUUUUGCAUGGGAAGAAUCUUCCUCGAUAUUAGGUCCCCUCAUGGAAUUCUCUAGGGCGAACCUUUUUUUGGUGAGCUCGCAUCAUUUGCUUUUGGUACAUUUGACCAUGACAGAUAGCUUUUAAUUAUAUCGGACCUGGAUCCAUUCUACUUCAUCCAACUUCAACUCUGACAAGGCUUCGAAGGGAAGAAAUAUCACCUUCGAUGGGUAAGACUGCCUCUAUUCCAUAUACCAAUGGGAAAUGAGGUGCCCCGUUAGAGGUCUUUUCUUUUAUUUUAUUUUUUUUUGCUUCUUUUUUUUACUUUUUUUGCUUUUUUUUGCCUCCACUGACCUAUUCAUUUUGAGGCGACAUGAUGUUAAUCUUGAAUAGACUGCAAACUUCUGAUGUUGUGCCUUUGUUCAAAUUUAAUCCAUUGUCUGAUAUGAGCCUUUUGGUAUUCCGUACCGACAUAUGAUUUCCUUUUCAAGAAUUUAUUGUCUAUCCAUUUUGACACCGGCAUAUGAAGCAGCUUUCACCCAUUUAGCAAAGUAAUCGAUGACCACAAAGAUGACUCGAUGACCACCAGAAGCUUUCGGCGCAAUUAAUUCGAUGACAUCCAUGCCCCUCAUAGAGCAAGGUCAUGGAAGAGUCAUAACAUGAAGAGAUGAAGAAAGCACUUAAGUCUUGACUCCACCAAUUUGACACUUGGUAUAACUGAUGCAAUCCCCUUCCAUGGUGGACCAGCAGUAACCAUAUCUCAUGAUUUUCUUGGCCAUUACAAAACACCUCUUUUUUUUUAGCCUCAACAGCGUCUACGCGUCUUAGUAGCUCAGUCAUAUGUUGAUGCGAAAACAUGACGUCUCGCUUUGUCUCUGCGGUGAUACAGGAUCUGAUCUUCAGCUCUUUCUCUUCUUUUAAGCUCACAAUUUUCAUUAAUUCUUUGUAAAGUAAGAUCGGUUUCUCGACUUGUUCUACCAUCCUUAACAAUCAAGAGAUAAGCUACAGUCUCGAUCAUCUUCGAAGUUUUGAGGUUCCUCUAGACACAUAUCUUGCUCAAAAGAAAGUUCUGAAUUAAUAGCAGUGUCGCUCAUAUCGUUGAUAUCUGGAGACCUAUUCUAGAGACGACGGAAAACUCAAAAAGCUAAUGAAUCAAAGGGUAAUUAUCUGUAUGGUAUAAGUAUGAAUAAAAAUGGAAGGAACAAAAGAGUGUUUGCCAAGACAAAACACAAAGAUACAUUUUAUUGAAAUAAAAAAUAGUGGACAUGUGCCUUUUUCACAAAAGAAUUUUCUAUUGCACCCAGGCUUAGAGCAAUAAGAGUGUUCUGAAUAUUACUCUAAACUGGUCCUAAAAACACAAGAAUCUCCUCCACAGUCCAGUUGUUUAGAACGCCUCUAGGGAUGUAGAAACAAAUUAAUGAUAGGUUUUUCUUAGUUCCUCUUCAAAGGCACAAACAUCUUCACCUUUUGAACCAUCGAUAUAUUCAAAGAAUUCUAAUCCAUCUGGUUCUGUACUAGAGUUCUAAACUCGAUGUACUUUUGGAUUUUAAGAAAUUUAUUAUAUGCAAUGAAACGUAAUGUUGAUGCAUGAAUGCGUAUUUUUGGAUUUUAGGAAAUUUAUUGUAUGUAAUGAAAUGUAAUGUUAAUGAAUGAAAAGAUACGUGCGAUGAAAUGUAAUGCAGAUGCAUGAAUGCAAAAAGAGACGUUGAUUCUUGGUUCAAUUCUAUUAGAACAACUUUACUAGGAAACAAAUCUCUUUACAUAAAGCGGAUAUAUAUACGGCUUUGCCGUCAUAGACGGGGACAUUCGAUCCUCUUCUCCAUUUGAGCGUUAAGAUAAAUCUCACGAUCUCUUCAAAAGAACGUCUCUUCUAUCUCCCUUUUGCUUGGUCCGGGUCACGACUCGUUAAUCACUCAUCCUCGUGACGCUCGUUGGCUUCUCUUUUAAGAAAGUUCAGCAGCUCUCAAAUAAUCUUUGUCACAUUGAAUCCUCGGGCAACGAAGCAAUAGUUGUGUAUUCCUCCAUUAAACUAUCAUCCUUCUCUUAUCACGUUUCCUUGGACCAUAUUCAGACAACCGUAUUAUUAUCCACUUUAUCAAGAAACCCAUCUCCUUAUGACAAGCUCUCUAUUUAACAACCGAACGUGAAUCAACACCUCUUUUUAUGAUGAAAAUGCAACGCAAUCAUAACAAAAAAAGAAAAUAGGUUAGUACAAAGCAAAAGCAAACAACAAUAGAACACCUAUUACGGUGAAUACUAGGGAAUCGAAGUUGUUCUACCUAGGGUGGGCUCCUAAGGUUCACUACAUGAGGUUUGGUUCUAAAGCAAAGGUACCCGAACCAGCAGAUUCCUCGAUCCUCACCCAUUAUAGGCUCAUACGGACCGAGUUCAGUUCAGGGGAAUACAUUUCCCUAUAGCUUCACGGAGAUGAAAAUCUCACGAAAACAUAGGUACGGAUGUAUCCUGAAAGCGAUCCACUAUCCUGCACGGAGGUGAAGACCUCACGAAGGAAAUAGCUUCUCACUCCCACUUAAAAGGGUGUGACCAAUGGUCAUGCAAUGCAAUGCAGAGAUAUAAAAAUAAAAUACAAAAUAUGAUGAAAAAUAUGACUCAAAACAAAAGAGAUGCAACGAGAGUAUCGUAAAUUUAAAUCAAAUUUUUAACUUUCGACAAAAAGACGAGAAAUAAUCAACACGUGGCUUGACUCUCUUAUUUUGUCCCCAGUGGAGUAGCCAAGCUGUUGACACCAUUUUUUUGAUGAAAACGGGGUCGACUUGGAUUUUGAAAAUGAAAACAAAAACGAGAGUCGCCACCAAUCCUUUUUUGAUGAGGUGUGACCGGGUCACCUCGAAAAGUGGUUAUUUUUAAUAAACGAUUUAAUUUUUAUUAAAACAACGAUUUUGGUCUACGAAAUUCAGAAAAACGGGUUCGAGAGUCGGUUACACACGAGGAAGGAUUAGCACCCUCGAUACGCCCAAAAUUGGUACCUAGUUGAUUACUUAAUGUCUUGGUGUCGAAAAUUGAGAACUUUAAAGAAUUUAAAAAUACGAUCCUUCUUUAUGCGUGUUAUUUUAAAAUUACUCGGAUAAAUCAAAAUGGAAAAAUGCCUUCUUAUCUCGAAGUAACAAGAUGUCACAUCCAGUAAGUUAGGACACAACACAUUGUAUUUUCGAGAGUAAGCUUGCCUUUAUUUUUUGUUUGAACCUCAUUUAUUUCAAUUUUAAAAGGAUAUUCGGUUAUUUAAGUUCAAUACGAGAAAAAUCGAAACCCAGUAAGUUAGGGCACGACUUCUCGAAUUUCUAAAUACAGAAUAUUGCCUUUAUUAAUUUUUAAAAAUCCUCGUCUCGAGAAAACAACGUGUCAUAUUCAAUGCGUUAGGACACAACGUAUUGAAUUCCCGAUAAUGAGCUUUUUAUUUAUGUUUUCUUUAUUAAAGAGGAUUCUCGAUUAUUUAGAUUCAACGAAAAAAAUUAAAACCCAGCACGUUAGGGCCUAAUUCCCUCGAAGAUCCCAAGUAUCGAGUAUUGCCUUUAUUUCUAAAAAUUUUAUGUUUUAGAAAUUUAAAAGGAUAUUUUGCUAUUUAGGUUUAACGAGAAAAUCGAUGCCCAGUAAGUUAAGGUACAAUUUCUCGAAUUUCUAAACGUAAAAUAUUGCCUUGUUUAAAAAAUUUCUUUUUGAUGUAUGGUGCUAAAAUGCAUGGCGAAACAAUAAUGAAUAUGAUAGCAUAAAAACAACACGAGUAAUAGCAACAAAAAGAAGAUUAUUAAAUAUAAAUAAUAAUGAAAAUGAAGAUAAAUAAAUAACGAAUAGAUUGUAAAAAAUGUAUAUACAUGAAUGUACACAAAAUUAUAAAAAUAUGAAAAAUCUAUGUAUAUAUACAUAUUUUAAAAUUAUUAAGUAUAAAAAAUGUAUAAGGAUAUAUAUAUAUAUAUGUAUAUGUAUAUGUUGUAGAAAUGUACGCAUGUAUAUAUACGUAUGCUUUGAAAUUAUAAAAUAUAAAAAAAACAUUUAUGUGUAUGUAUAUGUAUGAGUUAUAAAAUAUACAUGCAUGUCUAUACAUGUAUUAUAAAAACGUAUGUAUAUAAGUGUACACAUAUAUGUAUAUAUAAAGUAUAUAAAUAAUAUAUAUGUAUAUAUAUAAAUAAAUUUAAAAAAUAUGUACGUAUGUAUGUGUUUAUAACAAAAUGUAUGUAUGUACAUAUAUACAACAAAAUUUGGAAUUAAAAUGACAUAAAUAAGUAAAUAAUAAUAAUAAUAAUAAUAACGUAAUAUAAUAGUAAUAAUAAUAUUAAAAUAAUUAAUUUAAUGAUAAAAUAACUGAAAUAAUAAAUAAAGGAUUAAAUGGAAAACUAAACUAAAAUUUGGGGUUUAAAUUCGCAAAUAAGUAAAAGAGGCGAUUCGGGGCUGAAAUGGAAUGCGCCUAAAGGCUGGAGGACUGAUCAGGAAAUAUGCCCCAGUCCCAGAGUGCAGCGUUUCAAUGCAAAUGACCGCAGAUGGUCAAGGGACCUGAUUGAAGCAAAAACAAAAUUCGCAGCCCAAAUCUAAAAGAAACAAAAAGUUAUAUUGCACCUCAGCGCAAGAUGGAGGGACUAAAUGCAUAAAUUACCCAUUAGGGCAAAGCAUGCACAAGAUCCCCCCAUCAAACGGCGCCAUUAAUGGUUAAUAAAACCCAAAAUGUUUUUUUUUAUUUCACUUUUCAGAUUUGCUAAAACAAAAACAGAAAUAGCCUCUCCUUUUUUUUUCAAACCCCUUUCUUUCAAACACCCAACCCUUGGGUUUCUUAACACCUGGAGCGCCACCGCCAUAGCCACAAAGGCCGACGGCCGAAGAUGAAGGAGAGACCCCCGGUGGUACGGUCACGACCAACUCCGGUGAGUUUCUCUUCCCCUUAUUUUCGCUUUUGAUUUUAGUUAUUUAAAAUAGAUUUGCAAAAGAAAGGAAAAAAAGAAUAAAACAAACAAAUAAAUAAAAGAAAAAAAGAAAAAACGAAGAGGAAAUAACAAGGAUUUAACCCUUUAAAAUUUCUAUUCAGCUUUGGAUUUCUGAUGUGGGUUUUUUACAAAGAAAAUCGGAGAGGAAGCCAUACAAUGAUAAGUUUUGGCCUUUAUAGCCAAUUUCAAACUCUUAAAUCUAUUGUUUUUGUCGUUUUGUAUUUGUGGUUUUCUGUUGUUGCGUGUUGCUCGUUUUGCAGGUGUCAGACGCGUGGAGGAGCGGGAACGGCGCACAUGGUGGUGGCAGGCUGCGGCAGAGGCUAGGGGCAGGCAUGCGGCGCAUAGGGUUUUUGCCCUUCUUUGUGUUUGGCUGAAAUUGUUUUAGACUUUGGGCCAUUUGGGCUUUAGGGUUUUGGUUUAUUUUUGGGUUUAAAUUUUGGGUCAGAUUUUGGGUUUGUGAAUGGACUGUUAAUUUUGGAUUUAUUAUUUGAGUUAUUUUAUUGGUAUGGGCCCGGGCAAAAAUGGCUCUUACAUAACGGAUCUAAUAUUUUGAGGUAUCCAGAUAACGAAGAAUAGUUUAAGUAUCACCAUUAAAAAAAAUUAGGUACUAACAUGAAAAAAUAACAUAAUUUAAUUACUCAUUUACAAGUUAAGUCUUAUUUUUCUAUGAAGUAAUAAAUAUUAAUUUGAGAAUGUUUUUAUAUUUUUAUUAAAAAGAUAAUAUAAUGAUAUUUAAACAUAAAAUACAAUACUUUUCAUAGCUUUUUCUUGAAUGAAAUAAUAUUCAUGACUUCAACUUUAUUUGGAACAAAAAAAAAUGUAAAUAAAUAAUAUUUACGAUGUCACAUGAAUGAAGUGUAUAAAAUGAAUGAUUAAUUUAUUUCACAACAACUAACUCUUUAUAGAUGCAUGAGCAUGACUCUAAUUUAUUCUUACAGUGUUAUGAAAUUUUUAACUGAAAAAUUAAAUUUAAAAUGAAAAAUAUAAAAUAAUAAAUAGAUAUAAAAUUUCAUCUAAAUCUUAUCCUGGGUCUUUACAAUUUCUUAUGAGUUCCAUUUUUUGGAACCUAAAUUAUGGCAUAAUGUAUAAAUUUUUUAUCAUUAUAAAUUGUGUUAAAUUUUGUUGAGUGUAGACAGUUUAAUAUUCAAAUGAUUAUAUUUGGUAUACUGAAUUUAAGUAGUAAGUAAUUCAAAUUAUUGAUAUUUUUAUUAUACUAAUAUGCCUAUAUUUUUCUAAUAUAUUUUUCUAAUUUCAUAGUUAAAGGAUAGGAUGUGUCAUUAAUUUUUUUAACCCAAAGUAUUACAGUAAGAAGUUCAAAGAUUACAACUAGAAGAGACUGCAUAUCUGUAACAGCAAAAAGGAAAAUAAAGAUGUUAUUAUACCUGUUAAGUUGUUACCACUAAGAUUGAUGUAGAUGAGACAAGUAAGAUUUUCAAUAACAGAUGGAAUUUCACCUGAAACAUAUAAUUAAAAUUGUCAAAAUUUCACCUUUGUUAAUUUUUUUGUGGAGCACUGUAGGUUUUAUUUAAUUUAUCUUUUCGUUUUUUUUUUAAAGCAGGGCAUGGCAUUAGAGUUAUCCGAGAAGUUGUUUGCAAUGGAGAAAUGCAUAAGAGAAGAGAAGUUGAUGGGUCAUGACUUCAAAAAUGAAAGUUGAUCGAGGGUUGUAUUUUAUGAGGCUGUGAGAAAUGUGUAAAGAAGUGAAAGAAGAAAUGGAAGUGGAAAGUGUUAUCAAUGCGGGUAGAUAUAUGUCUGAAACAUAUAAUAUGAACUGUUUCUCUGUAAUAAAAAAGCUACAACUCAUGUGCGCUGUUUCUUUCCUAUUCAAUAAUAUCGACUAUGGCUGAGCAACAACUAAUUCAACACAUAAUUAGUAGGUAGAAGAAACAGCUAGUUAGAAGUCUUGCCUGAUUCAAUAUUCUGUUUUCAAAAGGUAGCAAAUUAAAAUUCUAAUCUUAAAUUAAUUUAAUGUAAAAUUGAACUCUUUUCUUGAAUAAAUUUAUUUAAUAAAAUCGAAUAUAAAAAAAAGCAAAUAAUUGUUUAUGGUUACAAAUUUUUGUUUAAUUCGGGUGUCUUGAUCAUUUAGUAUGAAUUGAUAUUAUGAAGUCUAAUUAUGAGAAUAUUUGAUAAUUGUGUGCUUAACAUGAUUACGGAUUGACACGUUAGCUUGAGGGAGACGGUUAUGGGAUUGAGAUUUUACUAAUGUCUAUUUAUUUAAUUGAAUUGAGGAUUGUAGUGUUUGAACUAACUUGAAUGGUAGUGGUAUGCUCAGAUUGAUAAAUGCUUGAAAUGCGUGAGGGAAAACAUUAACUAAGUGGGGAGAAUUUAAUAACACAUAAUUAGCAUAUUUUUAUUAUUUAUUUUAAUUAAUUUUGGAUAUGAAUUUUACUUACGUGACACUUAACCGAUUAAUUUCUGAGUGCAAUUAUUUUUUAAUGCUUCAAAGAAGAAAUAUGCAGAUUGUUUAACAAGUGAUCUCGAAUUGAUGUACAAAACGAAAAUUUUAGUAGCUUUAUCUCUUUUUAUUUUUGGGUUUAUUAGUUAUUAUAUAUACUUAUAUAUGUGUGAAAGGGGCGCACGACACCCUUUCUUUUUAGGUUUAUUUAUUAUAUAUAAGUUAGAUAGCGAGGAGGAGUGAGCCACCUUCUUUAGUUAUUAGGUUUUAUUUAUUAUUAUUAUUAUAUACAUACACACAAACAUCUAUACACUUAGGCGCGAGGCACAGAACUCAAAACGAUAGUUUUUAUUUUAUUUUUAUUUUAAAAAUAAUUCUCUUUUCGAUUAUUUAUUCGUUUUUACACAUUAUUUCUUGUAGUAUAUUAUAUUUAUUCCCAAUAAAUUUAUUUAUGGUUGUAUUGAUAUACUUGGUCCAAUUUAUCCUCAAUAAAUUAGUAUUAGAGCUCCAUCUCGAUUGCUUUUGUGAUAUUUGCAAAGUGGUUGUGUUCAUGUUUUUUUUUUUACUUUCCUUGUCACUUAAAAUGUUGAUAUGACUGCAAGUGUAUCAUUAACUAAAUACAAAGGCAAGAAAUUCACCAAGAAAAGUAGUUUCAACCUAUGGCAUGACAAGAUGCGAACAAUAUUGGUUUAACAAGGAUUGCUUGAGGCGUUGCUAGUAGAGACAAAUUACGAAACGCGCUUUCAAAAGAGAAAAAGGACGAGAUACUAGAGAAAGUACAUAGUGCUAUUCUACUAUGUCUAAGCGAUGAAGUAUUAUGAGAGGUAGUUGAAGAAACUACCACAUCUAGUUUGUGGCUCUGGUUGGAAAGCAAGUACAUGACAAAGUCAUUGACAAACCGACUCUACCUCAAGCAACAACUCUACACUUUGAAGAUGGAGAAAGGUACACCUAUUUCACAGCACCUUAACACUUUCAACUAUAUUAUUAUGGAUCUCAAGAAUAACGAUAUUAAAAUUGAUGACGAGGUACGAUCAUUGAUUGUUAUGUGUUCUUUAUCUCGCUCAUACGAGAACUUUGUUGACACUAUGUUGUACAAUCAUUGUGAUAUUUCUCUCAAGGAUGUGAAAAUGAUUUAGGUUCUAGUGACUUGAGGAAAAAAAACUCGUUGAUAAGGUAGGUGAAAACAAUCAAGAUGAGGGUUUGGUUGCUCACGGGAGAUCCAAGACAAGAGGAGGACAUUCAAGCAAAACUCAUCCCGAAUCACAGUCCAAGAAAAGUAUAUAGUGUUAUUAUUGUAAGAAUUUUAGGAACAUAAAGAAAGAUUGUCCAAAGAAGAAGGAUAAAGCAAAACCACAUGAGCAAUAAAAUGAUAGUGCACAUGUGGUUGAUGCAGAAACUUCAAAUGAUGUGGAGUUUGUUUUGGCAGUAUCCGACUCUUGCACUAGUGAAAGUGGAUUCUUAAUAUUAUUAAAUCUAGUGCCCUACGUGUAGCAUAUUCAUUUUGUAUACUUGUAUUUUUCAAACAAAUUGGUUUAAUAAUAUUCAUUAAUUGUAUUAAUGCCCUCUGUAUAUUGUCCUCAAAUUUUUUACAUACAAAGCAAAAUGGAAGCAAAUAUUAGUUCACUGAUUAUCUAAUAUUUAACUAAUACUGAAUGGUAUUACAUGGUCGAAUUGUAAUACGAAAAGACAACUUGUAUUAGUAGAUGAACCAAAACAUGCCCUUAGUCAAAUCGAAAAUGAGCAAACCAAUUAAGUCCAAUUGGGAAGAUGCUUUGUCUUAAGGAUUGGAGCGGAUGACUAUUAAAAGAUAGAGACAUAGAUGUGACUAAUUGAAUUGAUAGUGUGGCAUACCUUAUUCCUAAGUGGAUGAUGGACUAUGUAUGGGUGACUCAUAUACUUUAAUGUAAGUAAAAGCCUGAGUUCAAAUAGCUAAGGAACUGAAAGUUGAUGCAUUGGGUAUAUGACUUCUGCAGUAUGUAACGUCAUUUAAAGUAGUGGAAUUCAUAACCCAACUAAUGAGUAAAUGAUAGCCUUUCAUCAACAUUACAUGAUAAAUGUAAAAUAAAUAUGGUCACGGGUCAUUUUUCUUUGUGAUAAACAACUUGAUUAUUAUUUGAUAGUAAUGGAUUUUUCAUGAUGGAAUAUGUAAUGGUUACCAUGAGAUAAAAAAGAAUCAUAUUGGGAGAAUGAAUUUAUCCAAAAAGAUUAAGGACAUCCUAUGGGGUAACACAUUUACAACAAGGUCAUUAAACGAGUAAUGAUUGAGUAGCUUUCGUAAUAGUAUGUAACUAGAGAGAACUCAAUCAGGACACUAUAAUGGAAUGACUUUGUGACUAAAUAAGUUUACAAUUAAUAGGUAAAAAUUUUAAACUUAAUUAUAAAUUAUUUGAGCCCCAAUUACAUAUGUCCAAUUAGUCAUUCCACUAGCUCGUUGAAACUAGAAAUGAAUUGCAUGUAGAAUCAAAUGAACAGAAAUAGAUGGAAUGAUAAAAUUAGAGAAAUGUAUUACAUUCAUAAAUGAAUGUGUUUUCUCACUAAAUAUAGAGAUGAGUUGAGGAUUAAUUUAAGGUUUUUGAAUUAUUAUUUAUUUAAUUAAAUAAUUGGAGUUCAAAAAUAAAAUUAAUUUAAUUAGUUAUUGAGAAUCCAUUAAAUAUGAAAAUUAAAUAUAAUUUCUCAUAAUUUUUUUACGAUAAAUUGUUAUGACUUAAACAAAAUUAGAAUUGGGUUGACAAAACAUGCACUAUUGUUGCUUCUAAGGGGAGUAAAUUCCAUUUGAUUUGCUUAAGAUUUGACUUUCCAUUUUGAUUCAAGCACUAAGAUAGGUAAGGAGUUUCAUAUGUUUGAACUCACUUGUUAAUUCUAUUAUGAUUUGAAGAAACUAUGAAACCUAAAGAGCAUGUGACACUUUAUGUUGCCAUACCCACGAACACAACUAUUAUGAAUUUUUUACCAAAAAAGGGGAGACAGAGGAAGUUGUUGUUCAAGGGGAGGUUUUUGUUGUCUUAUGCUAUGGGUUUCGCUCAUGCUUUAAAACUUGAAGCUCUUUUAGCCUGCUAUUCAUGUUCCCUUUCGUUUAAGAUAUGGAGAGUGAUAUUUUUUAUUUGUAAGAGCUUUCCAGAAAAUACCAAAGAGGAAGAUUGUUAGUACACAAUCAAUUUUGGUACAAGUUCUGCCUACGUAACAAACCAUAACACAUUUGUGGAGCACUUUUAUUGUUGGUAGUUUUUGACUUUGUAUUUAUUGUUAUCCUUAUAUUUAUCGUAUAAGUAGCAAAAAUGUGGGAUAUCUAUUUGAUGCAACACACUUAGAAGAUUCCAAGUUAGAAGAACUUUAUUUCAAGUAUGAUUCUUGAAGAGUUCUUAUUCUUAUCUCGAUAGUCCUGAGCAUGAUAUGUAAGAUUGAAGGUAAUUUAUUAAAAAAGCUUGGAGAUAAACUUCAAGAUAAACCUUUUAAAAUUAAUUGGAUUUUAUCCCAUUUUACAAUGAGGAUAUUUUUAGCAUGAUGAAGGGAAGUUUCACAACCUAACCUAUAUGUAAAAGAUUUAGUUUUUUGAAAGGUAGUACUAAGAAAGAGCUUAUAUGUUCAUAGUAAGAAACUUAAUGAGUGCAUUUUAUUGUUUAUUCAAAUUAAAGUGAUUAGUUAACAAUCUUUAAUAAGAGAGGUUGUUUGGGGAGAGUUAAAACUAAAUGUAUAAAAGUAAGCCAUAAUUAUUUAAGGAUUAGGGUAGAUUAGACUUAAAUCAUUACUUGUACCGUGAGUUUAGUAGCAGAUUUGUUCUCUAGGUAAGUGCCUCGCAGUAGUAGGUGUUGCACCAAAUUGUAUUACCAGUUUGCUUGUGUUCAUUCUAGCAUUUUCUUCUUUAUUCAUUUUGUUGUGCCAAAGUUUAUGACCACAUUGUAUACCACAACGUGCUAAGAGUAUCAUUAUGUAAAUCUCUCCUAUUUUUAUAUGCCAAAAGAUUUAUAUCAAAAAAUUAAAAGAUCAUAAAGCUAAUUAAUAAUAUAACAUAGUUCUGUUAUAACUGAAAGGAUUGCAUAAACGUACUAAAAUAGAUAAGAAAUAUGAUAUUAUAUUUGUUAAGUUAUUAUAAAAAGGAUUGAUUUUAAUAAGGGAGUCGGAUAUUUAUUAGCGGGUGGAAUUUCACUUAAUAUAUAUAGUUAAAUCUAUUAAUAUUUAUUAAUAUCUUUUCUUGAAAACCCCUUCUUCUUCUUUUUUGUUGUUGAGCACUACAGACAUUUGCUCUCUUUUUUUCUUUUUUAAAUUUGUACAAUUUCAUUCAGUUUUAUAGCUAAGGGCGGUGGUAAGAGGCAAGCAAGGACCUUGCCUUCUAAAGGAACGUCCUUGUUUAUUUAGCCUAAAAUUUUAGGUAUAAUGAUUUAUAUGGCACUUUAAUUAAAAAAAUAUUUUAGCCUUUUAUUUAAUUUUUAGUUUUUUUUAAUCUUUAAACUUGUGUUGUUUGUCAAACCAAAAAAUGCAUAGAAAAGUUAAACGGUAGUUAACUUUGUUGACGUGGCAUACCUAUGUAUUGCCAUGUUAGCAAUUAAUUUUUUAAAAUUCAAAAAAUUAUUAAAAUUAUUAAAAUUAUUUUAAAAAGUAUAAAUUUAAAAAAAUUCAAAUUAGUGGUAAUAUAGGAUGUGGAGAAGUUUUGAUAAAAUAGCCAAAUGCGUGCACUUUUGACAAUAACUUAGAGGUAACCUAUGUUUGAAUUCUUCCAAAAAGUUGAAGAAAUUAUUAGAUAGGCCGUCGUACCACAUAGAAUAUGGUCCCUUCCCAUGAAAUCAUGGUACUUAAGUUUUUUUUAUUUUUUAUUUUACAUGUCAACCCUUCUCCUUUCUACACUUACCUUUCUAAAAAUCCUCUAACUUCUUUUUGUGUACGCGGAGGUGGCAGUUAUUGUAUGACCUUUAUCUUGUCUAGAUCCACCUCAAUACCUCUCUCGCUGACAAUGAAACUUAGCAAUUUUGCCGAGGUAGCCCCAAAUGUACACUUCUCUGGGUUAAGCUUCAACUGAAACUUUCUUGAUCUUUCGAACAGCUUCCUGAGGUUCCCAACAUGCUCUUCUUCUCCCCGGGACUUGGCAAUCAUAUCACCAUGGCUCUCUGAUAUGUUGCCCCAGCAUUCUUCAAUCCAAAUGGCAUCACUUUGUAGCAGACCGUUCCCCACAUUGUCACGAAUGUGGUUUUCUCCAUGUCUUUGGGAGCCAUCUUUAUCUAAUUAUAACCCGAGAAACUAUCCAUGAAUGAAAUUAAAGAAUAUUUUACCGUGUUAUCCACCAACGUAUCGAUGUGUGGUAAAGGAAAAUUAUUCCUAGGGCUUACUUGAUUUAGAUCAUGAUAAUCCACGCAUAUUCGUACUUUGCCGUCUUUCUUCAGUACCGGGACUAUGUUAGCCACCCAUUUCAGAUAUUUAGAGACCUGUAAGAAGCCCACAUCAUAUUGUUUCUUAACUUCUUCUUUUAUCUUUAAUAGCAUUUCAAGUCUCAUCCUUCUUAACUUCUGCUGAAUGGGUUUGCAUUCUGGUUUCAAUGGGAGCCUAUGGACCACCACAUCCUCAUUCAACCCUGGCAUGUCUAGAUACGACUAGGUAAAUACAUCUUUGUACUCACGGAACAAUGCGAUCAAAUUCUGUUUGAUGUUCUCUAAAAUGAAAGUCUCAAUCUUCACUUCUUGUUUUUUUUCUUCACUUCCCAAGUUCACUGUUUCAACAGAUUCUUGAUGGGGUAAAAUUUGUUUCUUUUCUUGUUCAACCAUUCUCAGUAAGUCAGGAGGCGGGACUCAAUCUUCAGCACUUUCUUCGACUUCGAAUUCUCCUAAACAAGCAGCCUUCUCGAAAUCGAUUUCAGGACUUGUAACGGGAUUGUUCAUGCCGUAUAUAUCUGAGCACCUGAAAGGUGAAUGAGAAAGAAAACUAUAGAGGAGCAUCAAAGUAUUGGAAUCAACACACACAAUGUUAUGGAAUGAUAUGAUAUAUGUGUAGGAAAAAGCUAUGAGAAGCAGGAAUAAUUACGACACUAAUGGAAAUGAAAAAAUCAUGACAAAAUGCAUCUUCAUUAAUGUUCAUUGAAAUGAUAAGAGCAAACAUAAGCUCUUACAAAAGAAAUCUCAUUACUUAGAGACAUACAAAAUAAUUAAGAAUUAACAUUGAGCAUUACUCUAGAGAGGACUUAGAAACUACAAUGAGGUCCACAGUAGUCCAGUUGUUCAAAAUAUAUCCUGAAGGACAAUGGUGUAUCAUCUCGAUUGCAUCACCCUCGUUGUCAACAACAUUUACGCUGAUGUUCCAAAAUCCCUUUUCAUUCAAAGCGCUUUGCAGAUUGUCUUGCCCCUCGCCUUCAUUUGUGACCGCAUUCACAUUCCCAUCAGCAUGGUUAGGAAGAGAAUUAUUAACACCAGUAAAUCGCAGAAUGCCAGCAUCGAUGAGAUCUUGAACCCUCCUUUUAAAGGCAAGGCAGUUUUCUGUAGAAUGCCCCUGAUUUCCAGCGUGAUCCAUGCAACUAGCAUUAGGAUCAUACCAUUUUGGAUAUGGGGGCUUUAGGGGUGCCAUGUAAUGCGGGGAUAUUAAUUGCUUCUCCAAUAGUUUUAGGUAUAAGUCUCCGUAUAACACGAGAAUUUGGGUGAACUGAGGCUUUUCAGAACUGGGUUUUGCUGGUCUUUGGUCAUUUUUAUGUUGGCUUUGUGUGGGCAUGGUGUUUGGUGGAAACAUGGUGAACCGUCUUUGAUUAUUCAUGGCAUAUACAGGAUAAGGAGAAGGUGUUGGAUUGUAGGGACCUUGGGGAGGAAAAUAGAAGUUUAAAGGCGGGCAAUAACGAGGUCGUGGUUGGGAUAGGUAAGGGUUGGAAGUAUGGUGGCUUGCAUUUUCGACCAUAUGGGUUUUUGCCUCCUUUUUCCUCGUGGGUACUGCCCUUUUUGAACUCAGGGUCUUCUAUCCUCCCACUCUUAAUGGCGUCCUCUAUAAGCUCCCCAGAUAUUACAAUGUCUGCAAAGUCCUUUGUGGCACUUCCUACCAACUUAUCAUAAAACGGUGCCUUCAGAGUGUUGAUGAAGAGGACUGUUAUUUCCAUUUUAGUCAACGGGGGUUCCACUUGAGCUGAAAUAUCCCUCCAUCUUUGCACAUAUUGUUUGAAGGUCUCCGUUGGCUUCUUUUCCAUCAUCUGUAGCGUUAGUCGAUUGGGGUACCAUAUCUGAUACAUGCUUGUAUUGCUUACAAAAUACUGAUGCUAAGUCCUUCCAUGAUCGGAUCUUUUCUCUACUGAGUUGAUUGUACCAUCGAAGAGUCGAUCCAAUUAAACUAUCCUGGAAAUAGUGUAUCAGUAAUUUAUCCUCAUUCACGUAACCAGUUAUCUUCUGACAAAACAUGACAAGAUGCACCUUUGGACAUCUCGUCCCAUCAUACUUUUCAAAUUCUGGUGCCUUAAAUUUAGGGGGUAAAACCAAAUCGGGCACCAAACUGAGCUCUUUGGCACUCAAUGUAGAAAAGACUUCAGUACCUUCUAUUGCUUUGAGCCUUUCUUCUAGGAUCUUGUACCUAUCUUGAGCGUCAUAAUCAUCAAUUUUCAACUUUGUUAUUUCCACCGGAUCGUCCAGAUCUGGGAUAAUUGGAUCGACAGGAUUAACUCCGAGGUUCGAUACGAAUAUACCUUGCCCUAGAUGAGCAGGUGGUAUAGGAUGUUGUUCUAGGACAGUAGGUUCCCCUUGAGAAUAUCCUCUUUGCAUUGCAUAAACGUGAGGUGGAGUGAAUCCUGGGGGAUAGAGUAGAUCUUGAUCAUUAUUAGCUCUUGACUGAGGCUCUAUGAUGUCAGGGCUUUGCAUGGGUCCCUUUCCUUUAACCAAAGCUGUCAUCACCUCUAUCAUUUUGGCCAUUUAAUAUCUUUGCUCGAGUGAUUUCUCUCGAGAUCUCACCAUCAUUUCUCUCGCAUCUUGUUGUGACUUGGCCAAUUGCUCUUGUAACUCUCUUUGGAACCUUUCCAUCAUUUCGAUUCUUUCAUUGAGUUUAGUAUCCAUAGCUCUGGUUCUUAGACAUGUCCUGUAAGGAUGACGUGAUUCCAGACUUGUGUCGCAACUGUCGAUUAUACUGUUUUAGCCUCAGUGAAUGAUUAAGGUGAUAUGCACAUGCAAUGAAUGGAUGAAUGAAAGAAUGACAAAUGAAUAUUAUUCAUGCAUAAAUAUGCACAAAAAAUUGGUGUUAAUUUCAAGAUAGCCCUAUAAUUAGGCGUUUCGUUAAUCAAAAUAGUCUAUUAUAAAGUAUUUUUCCAAUGAAGAUGCCCCUAGUGCUAGAGUCUCACUGUUUCCAGAUCCUAGUCAAAUCUUCAGGGUUAUUCUGACGAGCAUCUGAAGUUGCCUUCCCGGAAAGAUCAGAUAUAUAUCUUUCCUUUAAACUGUCCCUUUUGCUUUCUAGGCCCUCAAAGACCAGUCUCUGACUACGGGAUUUUUCCUUGGUUACUUGCGUAAUUGACUCCUCCAUCAGAAACUCGUUUUUGGCAACCAAUCUCUAAUCAACACCUUCCUAAUGAGAUGCCUAUGAUGCAUGAUGAAAAAUAAAAUUAAGACACAUAAACUUAGCUAGCAAUCACGACAAAUAUAAACAAAGAAAAACUAUGGAAAAUCUAACAAACCGACCUAUUUUUUUUACUUCUUCAUGCUUUACAAUAUAAAAUUACCCCACAUGCUCAUCAAUUUACCCGACCCAAUUUAUUAAACGGACCCGAUUCCAUUGCAAAUAAAUGUAAAUGUAAAAGAAAUACAAGGUAAGAAGCGUUUCUCCCAUGUACUUAUUUUGGUGACUAUUCAACGGAUAGAGGUUCGGCAUGGCUCUAAUUGGGUGGCUCGUACGGUUCACUAUAUGUGGCUUCGAUUCUAGAAAGGUACUCGAAUUGUCCAUACUGUCACCUACUAAGGUUAGUACGGAGCCUCGGUUAUCACCCGUCAUGGGCUUGCGAGCUCAAUUCGAGGGAUUACAUUUACUUAUGCCUAUGCAGAGGGACAAGUUAACUCAUGAAAGCAUAAGCCAUAUGUAACCCGAAAGUAAUUACUAGCCUGUGCGGAGGGACGAGUUAACUCACGAAGGCGUAGCAUUUACUUCCACUUAAAUGGAUGGAGCCCGGGUAGAGAGCUCAUGUUAUGCAAGAAUGCAAGUACACGGUGUGUGGGGAGAAACUCACAAACCUUUUAUUUUUUAUUUUUACUAAAAAACAAACUAAAAAAACGUAAAACUUAUAGCUGAAAAAUAAAAAUAAAACAAGUUAGAAAAAUAUUAAUUUAAAAACCGAAUGCAGAUGCAUGACCUUUUUUUAAAAAAAAAUUCAAGGAUCACAAUUAAAAAUUAAUUUGAACAAGAAAUUUUGAAAAUUUUGACAACACGCGUUUAACAUCAGACUCGACUCUAAAAAAAAAGGUCUCCAGCGGAGUCGUCAGCUGUAGCGACCUAAAAAAUUUGGGCACGGGCGCUAGCCGAAGUAAUUAUUGCAAAUUUGAAAACAGAAUCUCGAUUUUAUUUGAAAAAAGGAGUCGCCACCGAUCUUUUUUCUAGGUGUGAUCGGACACCUAAUAAAUUCUCUUUUUUAAAAGAAAAAUUAUUUUUCAAAUUUUCUAAAAAAAAGAGUCAAUUUUAGGUCCAUGUCAAAAUUUAGAGAAAAUUAGGGUUUGGGAGUCGGUUACGCGCGAUGAAGGUAUUAGCACCCUCGCAAUGCCCAAAAUUGGUAUCUCGUUAAACGCGCGUUGUCUUAAUUUUCAAAAAUACGAGUUAAAUUUAAAAUUUAAUCGUUAUCCAAUUGAAAGAUGAAAUUUUUUUAUAAAAAAACACGAGAAAUUUGAAGCACAAUAAUAAUUUUUGAAAACACGGAAAAUUUUAAAAUAUGAGAAUUUUUGAAAACAAGGAAAUUUAUGAAACAUGAGAAUUUUUUUUUUGAAAACACAAAAAUUGUUGAAAACACGGAAAUUUAUGAAACACGAGAAUUUUUUUUUUGAAAACACGAAAAUUUUUCAAAAACGGGAAUUUUUUGAAAACAUGAUAACAUGAGAAUUUUUUGAAAACACGAAAACACGAAAGUUUUUGAAACACGAAAUUUUUUAUUUUUUCUUAAGGACGUAUCGUAUUUAACUCGAAUCGGUGAUAUUCACUCAACAAUGCAAUGCAAUCAACGAAUUAGUGUCAAAUCGAUUCGUUACCUUAUUUAUUAAAUUUUAAAAAAAAAUUAGAAAACAUAAAUACAAAAAAUAAAAAAAAAAUUUGGAACACGAGAACUUUUAAGUUUCUCAAUUUUUAGAAGGGCGUCUUGUAUUUAACACAAACCGAUAAUAUUCACCCAACAUAGCGAUGAAAUCAACGGUUUAGUGUUAAAUUGAUUCGUUGCCUUAUUUAUUGAAAUUAUUUAAAAUAAAAUAAAAUUAAAUUAAAUUAAAAAUAUAAAUACAAAAAUAUAAAUUUGCAUAAAAGUGCCAAUAAUAUUAAAAUGGAAUAGCAUAAAAAUAAGGACAUUAAAUUGAAAGUGAAGUAAACAAAAUUACCGAAAAUGUUCAAGAAUACGAACUUGGUCGAACGGGUUACGCAAAUUGAACCCUUUUUCUUUUUUUUCUUCUUUUUUCCCUUUCUUUUUUCUAUUGGGCUGGCCUGUUGGGAUGCUGUUGGACUGGGCCUGGGGCUGGACUGGGCUGCUAGUCGCUGUUGGGCCUGGCUACUGGGCUGGCCUGCUUGAACUGCUGCUGGGCCUACACUUGGGCUGUUGUGGCCUGCUUUUUUUUUUCCUUUGCUGUUUUUUUUUGGGUUUUCUUUGGGCUGCUGGGUCGGGUGCGGGUGCGGGUCGGUUUGACCUGACUCAUUUAAUUAUUUUUUAUUUUUUUCUCUUUUUUCUUUUUCUUUUCUUCUUUUUUUCCUUUUUUCUUUCUUUCUUUCUUCUUUCUUUCCUUCCUUCUUCUUCUUCUUCUUCCUUCUUCUUCUUCUUCAAAACCAAGCCUCCACACCGCCGCUUCCUUCACGCCGCCGUUCGUGCUACCGCCGCCGUCUCCACCGGUCCUCUCUCUUUCCUUUCGAAAAAGCCCCCUUUUUGUGGGUUUUUUCCUUUGAAAUUUUUUUGUGGUUGGGGGUUUGAUUUUGGGGAUUUAAACCCCUUUUUAUACUUGAUUUUUUGCUUCUUUUUGCAGGUAGCAAGUGGGGAGGGAGAGGGGGCUAUGCCCUAGGUCGGCCGCCCCCGUUACAGGUGCAACUUGCACUGGUGGCUGCCAGAAGGACCAAAAUGUACUGGAAGCAAAACUUUUGGGGCUUAAAUGUAAUUUUGAGACAAUUUUGGGGUCAAAAUAUAAUUGCAAAAAAUUUUUGGGGUCUAAAUGUAAUUUGAAAAAGGUAAGGGUUUAAAAUAUAAUUUUAAAAAAGUUUAAGGAUUAAAAUGUAAUUUUAAAAAAGUUCAGGGGUCAAAAUGAAUUUUUUUAUAAAACACGAAAUUAAUCCCGGACAAAAUUAGUGAUUACAUAUAAUCUAUAAACAAGAAAAUCAUCCAAUAAAAAAUAUAGAAGUACAUAUCUAUAAUUUCACAAAAAGAGAACUACAUUAAUCAACCUCACAAAUCUGAUUGAGGUUAAAAAGAAAGAAUGCAUGUAUUGUGCAAUUAAAACCAUGAUCCAUAUUCAAUUCUAAAGUAUUGAACAUAUAAUUUUGCAUUAUUUUACCUCCCUUGAUUCUUCACACACUCUUUUGGAAUAAAUUAACCAUCUAUUCCUUAUUUCAAUUUUAUUAAAAAGUUAGGUUCCCAUAAAGACAGUCUUUACAAACCAGUGCCGGAGAGAGGACCUAAGAAAACAUUAUACAAACUACAUAACAUACAAUCAAGCACCCACACAAAAUGUUUAUUAAACAGCUACACAAAAAGGCCUGCAUACCACCAAGCAAUGAAGUUUUCUGUUCUGUUUGCGACUUGUUGAACUUGCCCAAGUGUUGCCUUCUCUACCUUUUUGCAAAUCUUUGUCGGACUCGCUCCACGAUCCUAAUCAACCACCAUGGUUUUCCAGUUGUGAAUACAAUGUAUGCCAUGCUCAUUCCCAGCACCAACCCACAUCCAUACCCCACCAAUAUUGAAAAUUUCCAAUUCAAUUCAUCACCAUCAUCAUCUCUAUCAAAUUUGACUGGAGUUUCCUCAUCAGUACCACAGUUUUUUGAUAAUGGCAAACCACAUAAAUCUGAAUUUCCCAUGUAGGAAUCGUUAGUGAAAGUAUCAAAUUGUUUGCCUUGAGGAAUGGGUCCCUUGAGAUUAUUUUGAGAAAGGUUUAACACCUCUAAGAAUCCAAGAUUUUUUAACUCUGUUGGAAUUCUUCCUUCCAGCUUAUUUGAUGAGAGAUCUAAUGAUUCAAGCUCUGACAAAUUACCUAAAGAUGAUGGGAUAGGACCUAUUAAACAGUUAUGGGAGAGGUUUAGGACAACAAGUAAAUGAAGCUCACCAAGUAUUUUUGGAAUUUCUCCCCUGAAUUGAUUACUAGAAAGGUCAAUAACCGUCCAAAUGGAUAAUAGUGAUUCAAACUUUAUUUCCAGCCCUUUUGCUGUAACAGAUAAACCAGAAGCAUAAUCCACCCAAAAUACACCAAAUGCAUCUUUCGUGGGCUUUACUUCUCUCAUGUAAUUUGGUUCAACUUUCUUUCCAUACUCAUCUCUAAUGGCAUGCAUAUGCUCAAAAAAAGGAGUAGGUAAGUAGCCACUAAAAUUAUUGUGAGAAAGAUCAAUGAUUCGCAAUUUAGUUAAAGAAACUGUAAUAUCAAAGCUCUCUAUUUGGCCGUAAAAUCUAUUCGACCUCAAGAUAAGAACUUGCAGCUGAUCUAAAUUUCCUAACCAACUUGGGAAAGUGUCAUUCAAAUUGUUGUUUCCAACAUCGAGAAGAUUUAAACCUUUGCAAUUACGCAAAGAUCGUGGUAGUGACCCUUCUAAUUCAUUGUUGUUAAUGCCUAAACUUCUCAACAUGCAACCUUUAGCAAAAUUUUCUGGUAUUUGACCAUGAAAAUUAUUAUUCCCUAGAUCAACUGCUAUGAGAGAAGAACUCAAGUUUCCCAUGCACUUUGGAAUUGUUCCCUCCAAAUUAUUCUCAUCUAAAGCCAUAACCACAAGGGAAGUCCAAUUGCAUAUUGAAGAAGGGAUUUCUCCAAUUAAGUUAUUACAUGAAACUGCAUACCAUUGCAAUAAAGGUGGUGGUGUUGGAAUUCGACCUUAGAGAUAAAAUUGAAAAUGAGAUAGAAUUAGGAGUUUGAAGAUUCUUUGGAAUAUAAAUUAUAAAAUAACUAUAUUUGUGAUGUGUACACUGAAUACAAAUAAUUGAUUAAUUUACUACACUACUUCUAACCAUUUUAAGAUGCAUCACAACAACUUUUAAGUUGAAAUCUAUUGAAGGAAACUACUACUAUCCUCUAGAGAGAAAUUUUUAUUUCCCUUACUUAAAAGUAAAAAGGGAUUGCAUAAAUGUAUAAAAAAUAGAAGGAAAAAAAUAUCAAACUAUACUUAAUAGUUUAUUAUAAAAGAGAUAACCAUUUAAUAUCUUACUUAUAUUUCAUUUUUUAGUGUUUAUUAUUAUUAUUUUUUGUACUUUUAUGUAUAUUUUAAAAUUUAUUAUUGGGGUUCACGGUUGUUAUUAUCAAGAAUAUCAGCUUUAAGACUUAAAUCUUGUUCUCCCCUUAAGAGAGUAAUAUGUUUUACCACUGCGCCGAAUAUUUAUUGGUGUAGUAUUUAUUAUAACUACAAAUAAUUUUAAUUAUCUUUUUAUGAAACUCUAAGUUAGAGGUCAAAUAAAAAAACAAAUUAAUUGAUAUAGUGUUUAAAUUUUUAUCAUUACAUGUAAAGUUUUAAUUAUUAGUUAUAAUUUUUUUUCCUCACAAUUGAAAUUUAAAAACGACAUUUUAUGAAAUUUAAAGAUAACAUAAUUAAUAGAAAAUUGACAUUUUCUUUAGAGUCGGAAUCUAAGUAGUAGCAAUAUCUGUAACUGGUACUUCAAAUAUACAUUUUAUGUUUAUAAUUUUUAUAAGAUUGGGAAUUAAUUGAGAUUGUAGCCUCAAAAUUGGUGUUAUAAUUGAAACCUAUUAUGAAAUUCACUAUUACUGACUCGAAACUUGAGUAGGUUUAAGUUAUUGACCCACAAUCCAAGUAAACUCAAAGGAAUUUGGGUCGGGCCCCAUGAAGAGGACAUAUUAGAGGUCGCACAUCCAAUUCGUACAAAUUUGAGUAUUUUUUAUGAGAAUACUAAUCAAAUAGAAACUUGGGAAAAGAAUAGUGGCCUUUUUAUUCAUGUUUGGCAAAUUAAUAUACUUUGUUUCUCUCAUAAUAUAAAAUAUGUCCUGUGCAUAAAUUAAUUAAACAAAUAAAUAAUAAGGCAAAUCAAAAAGGUAAAACUACAUCUAAAUUAUAAUUCAGAAUAUAAAUUAAUUAAUGAUUAUAAAUUGUAGACAAAUAUUUUGGUUGGGUUAGCAAAGCUGAAAAAGUUGAGAAUAAUAAUUUUUUAAAUUUAUAAAUUUAAUGUGAAAAAUUAAAUCCUAAUUGUUUAAAUAUCUAUAUGUAAUUGAUGAAUAAGAAUUGCAAAGAAUGGCGUAAAAGAAAAAUAAAAUGAAAGAAUUUAAAAUAUAAUUUUUAAGUUUAUAUCACGUGUCGUAUUAUAAUUGAAACCUAUUAUGGAAUUCACUAUUACUGACUUGAAGCUUGAGUAGGUUCAAGUUAUUGACCCACAACCCAAGUAGACUUAAAGGAAUUUGGGUCGGGCCCCACAAAGUGGGCAUACUGGAGUUCGCACAUCCAAUUCGUAGGUAUGCUAGAGCUCGUGGGCCUAGCUUACAAGGCAAGCUUGCACAUUGGGUUCACAUGUCUCUAUAUGAUUGCAAGGAGAGGUGCGAAGUCAAGCACGUGGUCCAUGAACAUGUGUUAAGUCUAGAACAAGAUACGUGUUAACAUACAUGAAGCUUGUCUAAGACGUCAUUUCAGUGAGUGUGGUCAAACUUUCGAUUGACCAUAGUAGACACAAAGAGAAAAUACUCAACAAUUUGGUGCAGUGAGUGUGGUCAAACUAUCGAUUGACAGAUUUUCAGCUUGUAACAAUCAAUAUAGCUCACCUAAAUGAAAAUUUCCCCAUCAAUGUUUUGUCAGGAUAAGUUGCUAGUAUUAUAUUGUUGCUAGUAUUAUACAAAACAAAAAGUCACAAAAGUGAGAGAAAACCCAGUCAUCAGCACACCAAAACUCGUUAAGUCAAUCAUAGUUGCUAGAAUUAUAUUGUAUCUUCUUAGAUCAAGAGAUAAGGUAGGUGAGAAAGGGAGAUAAAAGACGGUGAGCUUGGAUGGGACAUUAAGUGGGAAGAGAGGAAAAAAUGUCAUGUGUCUAAUUAUUUCUAGUGUUUGGACCGUUUUGAGUCAUAUCUAUCUUUGAACUCAUACCGUCCUAAGCCUUAGAACAUUACAAGCUUAGAAGACCAAUGUGUUUCCUAUUCAAUAAUAUCAACUAUGGCUUAGCAACAACUAAAUCAAGACCUAAACAAUAAGGCAAAUCUAAAAGGUAGAAGGAAUAGCUAAUUAAAAGUAGUGUGUGUUCAGAAGCUAGAUGGUGAACUUAGGAUGUGGAGUUCCAAUAAAUACCUAAACUUUUGGCAAUUCAAAUAGUUUCUUUAUAAAAAUUUGUAAAUUUGUAAAUUUUUGCCAUAAGGUAGAUGUUUGAAUUUAAAUAUUUGAGUCUUAUUUGUAUUAAGAAAUACAUUAUUUGAAAGAGCUUAAUAAUUUUAAGCGAUCUAAUAAUGAAAAUAUUAUAUUAAACUUUAGUAGAGUUUAAUUAUAUAUUAUAAGAAUAGUCUUCGGUGUAUUUAUCCAUUUAAUUUAAUUUUUUUAUUUUGGUCCCUUGGAACGGUGCGUUUAGGGGGUAUGGGGAUAAUUUCCUAGUUGGUCCCUGUCCAUUUUCACGCAUUUAAUUUUAGUCCUUUAUUCUAUUUUAUUGUUUAAUUUAUUUAUUUUAUUACGAUUUAUACUUUUAAUUUCACUUAAAUUUCGAUUCAGUCCCUUAUUUAUUUAAUUUCAGCCUUUCAUGAAUUUUAUUUAUUUAUUACUUCUUUAUUUUCAUAUACUUAAAAAUUGGAUUGUUUACAUUCUUUUAUUUGUGCAUUUUUUUUUGCUCAUUUAUUUUAUUUACGUAAAAAGAUUGCAUAAAUUUAAUAACAAAAAGGAGAAUAAAAGAAAUGAAAUUAUACCUGUCAAUUUGUUACUCUGAAGAGAAAGCAUUUGAAGAGAAGUCAUGUUUCCAAUAACAAGAGGAAUUUCACCUGAAACAUAUAAUUAAAUCAGCAAAAAUUAUAAAUAUUUUCCUAGCAAAACCUUAAUUUAUUUGUUGAGCAUAUUAGUGUCCAUUUGAUUUAUUUAUUUUUAAAUACGCAAGUUUUGUUUAGUUUUAUAGUACUUAUGACAACCCAAAAAUAUUUUAAUUACAAUACUCAAAUUGAUAGUUGAAAUGAUGAUGAAAAUUAGAUGGAAUAAAAUAGUUCACGCUUAAUAUUUUUGUUCAAAUUUAGGAUACAUUAGAGGUGAUUAUGGGUCGGGUUUGGGCUGGCUGACUGAGACAAAAUUUUAGGCCCGUUUUCCCGAGCCCGAAAUAUGGGCCUAAAAAUUUGUCCAAGCCCAGCCCAAAAGAAAAUUGCUAAGUUGAGCCCGACCCUGCCCUGCCCAUAUUAAAUUUUACAACACCAAAAUAGCAUCAAAAACUUGCAAUAUAUAUAUAUAUAUUAUUAAAAAUAAAAAAAUAUAUUUAAUAUAUAAUUCGGGCCAGGCUUGGGCCAAAAAAGUUUUACUCGAAGCCCGCCCCGUUUUCUAAAAUUUCCAAUUUCUGUAGGUAUACUUCCCUCCAAGGAGUUGCUCGACAAUGAUAAAAACUUCAAAUCUUUGCACUUGAAUAAACUAUUUGGAAUUCUACCGGAAAUUUGAUUCCCACCCAAGCCCAACCUUUCUAGUUUUGACAAAUUGCCUAGAGUAGAUGGGAUAACACCAAUGAAGUUGUUAAGGUACAAAGACAAUCUUUGAAGUUUACUGAAGCAACCAAACCAUGAUGGGAUUUCUCCAUUGAAGCUAUUGUUACCAAAGUCCAAAUACCAAAUUGGUUAACUCAAUGGGUAAAAAGCCAUGGAAACUAUUUUGAUGAAUGUCGAGCCAAGCAAGGAAAGAUAGAUUUCCCAAUUGAGAAGAAAUGGUGCCUGUGCGAUCCAUGCUUGAUAAAUUCAGAGCAGUGACUCUAUGGUGUCUAGAUCCACAUGUGACACUAAUCCAGCUACAAACGGAGGUAGAAGUAGACCAAUUGGUUGCCAAGAAAUUGUGAGGAUCAUGAGUUAUAUGAGAUUUGAUUGCUAGAAGAGCAGAUUGAUAAACGGUGAUGCUAGAAUAUUUUGCAGACAAAAUAACCCCAAAGGUUGCAAAUAGCAGCCCAAACAAUACAUUAAUUACAUAUUUAUUUUUACAUAUCUCAUUUUAUUUACUGUCACUAGACAUUUUAUAUAUAUAUAUAUAUAUAUAUAUAAAUUAUUAAAUAUUAAAUUUCAUAUAUAUAAAAAAAUCCACAUAUUACUUAUUUUAUUAAUACAUAAUAAAUCGUUUAGAUGAUUUCAAGUUAAAAAAAACAAACAUAUAUUUUAGAUUUUAUGUGGAUUCUUUUAAGUUCAGUAUUCAAAUUAUUCAGAUUUCCAUCAUCAAAGUCGAAUAGUUUGUAAUUCAAAUUAUUGCUCUCUUUUUACUUGUACCAAUAUUUCCUAUAAUUUUCUUAUGUUAAAAUAGUUAAAGUAUUAAAUAUAUAAUUAAUUGGAGAGAAGUCAAAAGCUAAUUAAUAAUAUAUAGGGAUUGCAUAAAUGUAACAACAAAAAGAAAAAAAAAUCAAAGCUACUUCAUGGUUGUAUUUUGUGAGGCUGUGGAAGUUGAAAGAGUAAUAAUUUUAAGCUGUCUAAUGAAAAUAUUAAACUAAAACUUUAGUAGAGUUUAAUUAUAUAUUAUAUUUUAAUUUUUUAAUAAAAUUGCAUAUUUUAAAUCAAAAAAUAUUUUAAUCAAAUCAUCUGUAUUAGUUUUGAAGUUCAGGCUUAUAUAUAUAGAAUAUAUAUUGAUUGAGUGUAUAACUUCAACUUUAUUUGGAAGAAAAAUUGGAAAUAAAUAAUAUUUGCUAUACACAUGAAUGUGUAUAAAAUGAAUGAUUAGUAGAGUUUAAUUAUAUAUAUAUAUAUAUUAUAUUUUAAUAUUUAAUAAAAUUACAUCUUUUAAUUCAAAAAGAUAUUUUAAUCAAUCAAUUUUAUUAUUUUUCGAGUUUAGGCUUAUAUUUAUAAUAUAUAUGUCGAGUUAGAAAUACUACAAAAGGUUGACAUUUUUUAAAAGUAUGAUAAUUUGAAUAGAAGUAACAUAUGCUAAUGUAGAGUAAUUGUUCCAUAUAAUCCUUUUUAUGAUGAAAUGAUUGCUUAGUUUACUUCAUAACUUCUUACACUUAGACAUAAUAAUGAGGAAAUUAUUUUAUUUUAUUUACUUAAAAAAUUGCAUAAAAUUAAUAAAAAAAAGAGAAUAAAAGAAACAUGAAAUUAUACCUGUCAAUUUGUUAUUGCUAAGAUGAAGAAAUUGGAGAGAAGUCAAGUUUCCAAUAACAAGAGGAAUUUCACCUGAAACGUAUAAUUAAAUCGGUCAAAAUUUGCAAAUAUUUUCCUACCGAACCCUUAAUUUAUUUGUUCAUAUUAACGUUUGUUUCAUUUACCUAUUUUUAAAUAUGCAAGUUUAGUUUAGUCUUAUAGUACUUAUGAUAACCCAAAAAUAUUUUAAUUAUAAUACUCAAAUUAACAAUAAAAUUAAAAAAUAUUUAUCUUUGUGCCAGAAAAAAAACACCGCAUAGAUCAUAAAAAGGAAAAACUAAAACAUCCAAAAGAAUAUGUCAAACACUAAACACAAAAUUCAUAGUUGUAGAGGAGGAUUAGAUACAUUGGUCCCAUAAUAUGUCACUCAAAAUCUCAAAUUCAUCCAACAAAAAGAAAUCAUCACUUUAGUUAAUUAAAUCAAGAACAAAUGAAGUUAUGGAUGAACAAAUAUGGGAAGCAAAGAAAUGUGAUGGAUCAAAAGGGACGGAUAAGCUAAUUUCUGCCAUAAGGUAGAUGGUGAACUUAGGAUGUGGAGUUCCAAUAAAUACCUAAAAAUACCUAAACUUUUGGCAAUUCAAAUAGAUUAUAAUAAUUUUUAAUUACUUAAAAAUAUUGCAUAAAUUUAAUAACAAAAAGGAGAAUAAAAGAAACAUGAAAUUACACCUGUCAAUUUGUUAUUGCUAAGAGAAAGGUAUUGGAGAGAAGUCAAGUUUCCAAUAACAAGAGGAAUUUUACCUGAAACAUAUAAUUAAAUCAGUAAAUAUAUAAUUAUUUUUAUUAAUUAUUUUAAGAGUUUAAUGUUGAGCAUAUUAGUGUCUGUUUCAUUUACCUAUUUUUAAAUAUGCAAAUUUAAUUUAGUCUUAUAAUAAUAUGAGUAAUAUUGGGCUCCAACCACAAUACACGGUAAAAAAUGAAAGCCAGAAAAAUGCAAGACUGCAUGUCUACACCAUAUUAUUUUUAUAAAUAAAAGAGUAAUCUCUCUCUAUAUAAAUAAAUGAGUUGGGUUGGAUUCCAUUUAAUUGAAAAUGAGUUGGAUUGGCUGAUUAUUUGAUUUUGGGUUAAAUGAAAAUCAACUUCAGCCUGGAUGUAGGUAUUGGGUUUAAUGUAACUUAUAUAAAGAGUUUAGUAUGUCGCUUUAUUUGACUUAUUUGGUUUGGACACUCAAAUUUGAAAUUGAUCAAUUAAACCAAUAGAAUUGAGUCUCAACUAAAUAAAGUGAAAACUCAACUAAAUAGAAUUGGAUUAAAGUGAUUCAAUUAAUCAAAUUUUCACAUACUUAUAACUAUCGUGAUUCAUUCAUAUUAUUAUUCUCAUACUAUAAUCAUGUUAUGUAAUAAAAUUGUGUAAUAAAGUACUUGAUUUUGUUUUCCUAACUUGAUGUAUUUGGAAAGAUCGAAGCUUUUUUCUAUUUUAGGGUGUCUCUUGGAGCACAGGUGAGAUUAUUAAGAUAUUAUAUAUUUUGGGCAAAAUAGUUUGUUUCUUUUCAUAAGGAAGACAUUUCUAGACAAAAAGAACAAAAGUUAGCAGUUGAGAUGUCAGAAAGUUGGAUCAAUCUUUGCACUGAUGGGGCGGUCCAAAUUGCCCUGGGUGAUUCUAAAGCGGGGGAAGUCAAAAGAAAUGGAAAAAGGGAGUGGAUUAUGGGAUACAACAAAAAUCUAGGCAAAUGCUCAGCCUUCAAUGCUGAACUAUGGGUAGUUCUUGAUGGAUUAGCUCUCAUUCACAAAGGGCGCUAUGAUGGUGUAUUGAUACAAACUGAUAGCUUGGAGGUGGUUAAAGCCAUUCAGGACUCCUCUCCCUCAAGCUUGAAUUCUACCCUCAUCAGACGUAUAAAUGUACGUUCAUGGGCCAUUCAACAUUUUCCUAGAGAACAUAAUAAAGUUGCCGAUUGCUUGGCCAAAAUGGCCUUUGAUACGAAUAUGUCACUUUAGUUAAUUAAAUCAAGAACAAAUAUAGUUAUGGAUGAACAAAUAUGGGAAGCAAAGAAAAAUGAUGGAUCAAAAGGGAAGAAUAAGCUAAUUUCUGCCAUAAGGUAGAUGGUGAACUUAGGAUGUGGAGUUCAAAUUAUUGAUAUUUUUCUUAUUCUUAUAUUUUUCUAAUUUUAAAGUAGUUAAAGGAUUAAAUGUGUAAUUAAUUGUUUUAAGCCAAAAGUAUUAUAGUAAUAUAAAAAGAAAAUAUGAGUAUAUAAAGAAAUACUCAAAUUUGUUUCUUAUACUCAAAAUGUUUACACAUAAGACACAAUAAUAUUUAUAACUUUUUGUAAUGAAAUAAUAUUCAAAACUUCAACUUUAUUUGGAAGAAAAAUUGGAAAUAAAUAAUAUUUGCUAUACACAUGAAUGAUUAGUAGAGUUUAAUUAUAUAUAUAUUUUUUAUAUUUUAAUAUUUAAUAAAAUUACAUCUUUUAAUUCAAAAAGAUAUUUUAAUCAACCGUUUUUAUUAGUUUUCGAGUUCAGGCUUAUAUAUAUAAUAUAUAUGUCGAGCUAGAAAUAGUACAAAAAGUUGACAUUUUUUGAAAGUAUGAUAAUUUGAAUAGAAGUAACAUAUACUAAUGUGGAGCAAUUGUUCCAUAUAAUCCUUUUUAUGAUGAAAUGAUUGCUUAAUUUACUUCAUAACUUCUUACAUUUAGACAUAAUAAUCAGGUUUUAAUCUUUUAAGAACUUUUAUUUUAUUUACUUAAAAAUUGCAUAAAUUUAAUAAAAAAAAGAGAAUAAAAGAAACAUGAAAUUAUACCUGUCAAUUUGUUAUAGCUAAGAUAAAGUGAUUGGAGAGAUGUCAAGUUCCCAAUAACAAGAGGAAUUUCACCUAAAACAUAUAAUUAAAUCGGUCAAAAUUUGCAAAUAUUUUCCUACCAACCCCUUAAUUUAUUUGUUGAGCAUAUUAGUAUAUGUUUCAUUUACCUAUUUUUAAAUAUGCAAGUUUAGUCUUAUAAUACUUAUGAUAACCCAAAAAUAUUUUAAUUAUAAUACUCAAAUUAACAAUAAAAAAAAUAUUUAUCUUUGUGCCAAAAAAAACACCGCAUAGAUCAUAAAAAGGAAAAACUAAAACAUCCAAAAAAGCACUAAACACAAAAUUCAUAGUUGUAGAGGAGAAUUAGAUACAUUGGUCCCAUAAUAUGUCACUCAAAAUCUAAAAAUCAUCCAACAAAAAGAAAUCAUCACUUUAGUUAAUUAAAGCAAGAACAAAUAAAGUUAUGGAUGAACAAAUAUGGGAAGCAAAGAAAAAUGAUGGAUCAAAAGGGACGAAUAAGCUAAUUUCUGCCAUAAAGGUAGAUGGUGAACUUAGGAUAUGGAGUUCCAAUAAAUACCUAAACGUACCUAAACUUUUGGCAAUUCAAAUAGAUUAUACUAAUUUUUAAUUACUUAAAAAUAUUGCAUAAAUUUAAUAACAAAAAAGAGAAUAAAAGAAACAUGAAAUUAUACCUGUCAAUUUGUUAUUGUCAAGAUAAAGCACUAGAAGAGAAGUCAAGUUUCCAAUAAUAAGAGGAAUUUCACCUGAAACAUAUAAUUAAAUCAGUAAAUAUUUGUAAAUAUUUUCCUAGCAAACCCUUAAUUUAUUUGUUGAGCAUAUUAGUUUUUGUUUGAUUUACCUAUUUUUAAAUAUGGAAAUUUUGUUUAGUUUUAUAGUACCUAUUUUAAAAAUAUAUACCUGAUAAUAUAUAACAACUAAAAAGGGAUUGCAUAAAUGUAACAACAAAAAGAAAAAAAAUAAUAUUAUACUUGAUAAGUUGUUAUUAGAAAGUUCAAUAACUUCGAGAGUGGUCAAGUUUCCAACAGUUGAUGGGAUUUCACCUAAAAAUAUAAAUAAAUAGGUCAAAAUAUCUUGGUGCUAGAAUUAUGUUAUCUUUUUUUAAAUUUAUGUUUAAUGUAGAUAACUAACUUAGAAGUAACCGAGGAUAUAGAGAAAUUUUAAUAAAUACUCAAACACGUUGAACUUUUGACAAUUUGUAACUCAAAUUUGUUUCUUAUACUCAGUAUAGUAUAAGAAAAAAAAAGAAAACAAUAAUAUUAUACUUGAUAAGUUGUUAUUAGAAUGAUCAAUAGCUUUGAGGGUGGUCAAGUUUCCAAUUGUUAAUGAGAUUUCACCUAAAAAUAUAAGUAAGUUAGUCAAAGAAAAAAUAAAGCAUCUAAAAAUAUAUGUCUUAUACCAAGAUUCUUAUAUUUUUCUAAUUUCAAAGUAGUUAAAGGAUUAAAUGUGUAAUUAAUUGUUUUUAAGCCAAAAGUAUUAUAGUAAGAAGUUAAAAGAUUGUAAAUAAUUAGUAAUAUAUAGCACCUGGUGGAGGAGGGAAAAUACCAAAAUGAGCUUUAUAAAAUGCAGUUUUUCGGGACAUCAAUCAGUCUCUCAACUCCACAAGUUUUUGCGCAAAAAUAAAAACUAACAUUAUUUAAGCACAUGAAAUGCAAUGAAAACAAACAACAGUUCUCAAGAAACAAAGUAAAUGCAACCUCAAAAAAGUUUGGUUCUGCUAGCACUGAACUUAGUGGUUAUUGUUUAAAGUCCCGCUUCACUACUUAAAACAACUGUUGAUGGAAAUUGCCUAGAGUAGAUGGGAUAACACCGAUGAAGUUGUUAAGGUACAGAGACAACCUUUGAAGCUUACUGAAGCAACCAAACCACGAUGGGAUUUCUCCAUUGAAGCUAUUGUUACCAAAGUCCAAAUAUUUCAUCCGACGCAAAUUAGUUAACUCAACGGGUAAAGAGCCUUGAAAACUAUUUUGAUGAAUAUCGAGCCAAGCAAGGAAAGAUAGAUUUCCCAAUUGAGAAGAAAUGGUGCCUGUGAGAUCCAUGCUUGACAAAUUCAGAGCAGUGACUCUAUAGUGUUUAGAUCCACAUGUGACACCAAUCCAGCUACAAACGGAGGUAGAAGUAGAUCAAUUGGUUGUCAAGAAAUUGUGAGGAUCAUGAGUUAUAUGAGAUUUGAGUGCUAGAAGAGCAGAUUGAUCAACGGUGAUGCUAGAAUAUUUUGCAGACAAAAUAACCCCAAAGGUUGCAAAUAGCAGCCCAAACAUAAAUGGAGGGAGGAAGCUUGGUUUUGCCAUAAGGUUGGACAUGGGUGUAAGGCGCAUCAUAAGGAGAGAAACAACCGAGUUUAAUACUUUUUAAUGUUAGUUCAAUAUUCUUUAAAUACUUUUCUAAUUUGAAAAUUCGUCACAUGAAUUGAUGAGUCCCAGUUGGCAUUGUAGGCAUUUUUUUGAGCAUUCUAGGCAUUUUUUUUAGCACUAAACACAAAAAUAUUUGUAACUAUUUUCCUAGCAAACCCUUAAUUUAUUUGUUGAGCAUAUUAGUGUCGGUUUAAUUUACCUAUUUUUAAAUAUGCAAGUUUUGUUUAGUUUUAUAGUACUUAUGACAACCCAAAAUUAUUUUAGUUAUAAUACUCAAAUUUUUAGUUGAAAUGAUGAUGAAAAUUAGAUGGAAUAAAAUAGUUCACGCUUAUUAGUUUUGCUCAAAUAUAGGAUACAUCAUCGAAGCCGAACAAAUAUAUAUAUAUACUUAGAAACUUUUAUUAGUUAGAAGUGAUUAGCUAAUGUCAAACAACUCAUACUAUUGCAUACAAUAUGUUUCCCUAAACUGUAUGCUAUUUAUCUCUCGCCACAAAUUAUCAAAAACACAUGUGCAUUUUAAGCCAAACAUUUAUAAUAGUGAUAAGCGCCGUAUAGAUACAAUUUCUUGCUAAGGAAUCAGCAAACACACACAUAUCUGCACAUAUUGACACACACAUAUAUGCACAUAUAGACUACUAGGAACCCAAAAAUGUCGCUAGACCCCAGAUAUAGUCUAGGUGAAAAGGGACUGAGGAGUUGAACAGUAAAGAAACUAGUAAGAACUCACAUGAUAAUGAGCUUGUUGUAACCAGAAUACAAAGAUUGGGGCAUAGUCAAGUUUCCAAUUUCUAUAGGCAUAAUUCCCUCCAAAGAGUUGUUAUGCAAUGAUAAAUACAUCAACUCUUUACACUUGAAUAAGCUAUUUGAAAUUCUACUGAAAUUUAAUUAUGUGUCAAGCUUAAUAAUUGCAAUUUAGAAAUUUGAUUAUGUGUCAAGCUUAAGAAUUGCAAUUUAGAAAUGUUAUCAAACAUGUUGAUAGUAGAUGACCUAUAAUGAGAUGAUUAGUUUUAAAACUAAUUUUUUACUGAUGAAAAUAUAUUCAAGUUUUACACAUGUAAGGAACCUGAAUAAGAAUUAUUAUGAAAAUAUAAUCAAAUGAAGCUUGAAAAAUUCCUAGGUAUUAUAGGAAUCUGCCCUUCUAAAUCAUUGUUAUAUAAUAUCAACUGUUAAAUAUUUGAGUCGAAAUUUAUUAUUUGAAAGAGUUUAAUCAUUUUAAGCUGUCUAAUAUUGAAAAUAUUAAAUUAACUUUAGUAGAGUUUAAUUAUAUAUAUAUAUAUAUAUUAUAUUUUAAUAUUUAAUAAAAUUACAUUUUUUAAUUCAAAAAAAUAUUUUAAUCGAUCAUUUUUAUUAAUUUUCGAGUUCAAGCUUAUAUAUAUAAUAUAUAUGUUGAGCUAGAAAUACUACAAAAAGUUGACAUUUUUUAAAAGUAUGAUAAUUUGAAUAGAAGUAACAUAUGCUAAUGUGGAGUAAUUGUUUCAUAUAAUCCUUUUUAUGAUGAAAUGAUUGCUUAAUUUACUUCAUAACUUCUUACAUUUAGACAUAAUAAUGAGGUUUUAAUCUUUUAAGGUAACUUUUAUUUUAUUUACUUAAAAAAAUUGCAUAAAUUUAAUAACAAAAAGGAGAAUAAAAGAAACAUGAAAUUAUACCUGUCAAUUUGUUAUUGCCAAGAUAAAGCUCUCGAAGAGAAAUCAAGUGUCCAAUAACAAGAGGAAUUUCACCUGAAACAUAUAAUUAAAUCAGUCAAAAUUUGCAAAUAUUUUCCUAGCAACCCCUUAAUUUAUUUGUUGGCAUAUUAGUGUCUGUUUCAUUUACCUAUUUUUAAAUAUGCAAGUUUUGUUUAGUCUUAUAGUACUUAUGAUAACCCAAAAAUAUUUUAAUUAUAAUACUCAAAUUAACAAUAAAAAAAUAUUUAUCUUUGUGCUAGAAAAAAACACCGCAUAGAUCAUAAAAAGGAAAAACUAAAACAUCCAAAAAAACACUAAACACAAAAUUCAUAGUUGUAGAGGAGAAUUAGAUACAUUGGUCCCAUAAUAUGUCACUCAAAAUCUAAAAAUCAUCCAACAAAAAGAAAUCAUCACUUUAGUUAAUUAAAGCAAGAAAAAAUAAAGUUUUGGAUGAACAAAUAAAUUUAAAGUCUUUAAGUUUCGAAUUUAGAAUUUUAAUAUUUAUUUAUAAUUAAUCUGCUAAAAUCCUUUUGAGUGUCAUCAGCCCUCCUAUUAGCUUUUGUCUUAGUACCAAAACUUAAACAGCUUUGCUUUGAGUGUCUUAAAAUCAUAGGCAAGGAUAUUCCAGCAUGUCAUGAUUUUCACCAGACUCGAUGAGCAGAUAAAAACUGGGUCACCUGUCUGGUAAGUUGUUCCAAGUCAUUUAACUUGGGGGGGUCCCCUCUACUUAAAGAAUGCUCCUUCACGGGCUCCACUUUUCGACCCUCCAAAACCCAAUGUCCCUAUCCAUCUCAGUCCCCACUCAAAACUUUAAAUUUUAAUUCAUCCUGGAGGGAAACAACAAAAGGCAGAGAGGGCUGCCUAGCGCCCUUUCCUAGAUAUUAUUAUCGGUAACUUCAAUUCAAAUACUAAUUACCAAACCCUAUGUGUCCAAAACCAAACAUCAAACUCCAAAUUCCGUCCAACAAUCAAACACCAAACACGAAACUGCUCAAAAACAACCCCAAUAAACCUCAAAUUUCACUAACUCGUUGUGAGGCGGAAAGGAUAUAAAGCCAAGUGCGUAGUCCUCACGCCAUGAAGUAGUUUCCUUUGCUUACCACAUCAUUUCCCAAUUCACAAUUUUUUUGCUUUCCAACGCCAAAUGUUAACUCAUUGCACUUGAUUAAACUAUUUGGAAUUCUACCCGAAAUCUUAUCGCCUCUCAACUUUAAGACUUGCAGUUUAGAUAGGUUAUCAAAUAUUUCUAACUGUAGAUGACCUACAACGAUAAUAUUAUUACCUAGUUUUGACAUUUCUAGUUUUGAGAAAUUGCUUAGGGUAGAUAGGGAUAACACCAAUGAAGUUGUUACUAUACGUACAAAUACAAGCUUUUAAAUUUUAGAAAUUAUUGUUGCCAAAGUUGAAAUAUUCUAACUGAUGCAAACUAGUGUACUCAAUUAAUGGGUAAACAAACAUAGAAACUAUUGUUACAAAUGUUGAGUUUGGCAAGGAAAGAAGAUUUCCAGUUAAGAUGGUAUGGUGUUUGUGAAAUCCAUACCUAAUGCAUCAAGAGUUGUGAUGUUUGAAUUUAUAAGUAAAAGUAAUCUAUGAGAUUUUAAUGCUACAAGGUUGAUUUGAUUAACGGUGAAAUUAGGUAGGGGAUAAGGCUAUUCAGAGAGGAGGGAAAUAGUUGAGUGUAAAAUUCUACAUGAAUUCUUUUAAGUUCAAUAUUCAAAAUAUUCAGAUUUCCAUCAUCAAAGUUGAAUAGUUUGUAAUUCAAAUUACUGCUCUCUUUUUACUUGUACCAAUAUUUCCUAUAUUUUUCUUAUGUUAAAAUAGUCAAAGUAUUAAAUAUAUAAUUAAUUGGAGAGAAGUCAAAAGCUAAUUAAUAAUAUAUAGGGAUCGCAUAAAUGUAACAAAAAAAAAUGAUAUUAUACCUGAUAAGUUAUUAUAAGCAAGAUCAAUAACUUCGAGAGUAGUCAAGUUUUCAAUAGUUGAUGGGAUUUUACCUAAAAAUAUAAAGAAAUUGGUCAAAAUAUGUUAUCUUUGUGUGUACUUGUUUUUAAGCCAAAAGUAUUAUAGUAAGAAGUUAAAAGAUUGUAAAUAAUUAGUAAGAUAUAGCACCUGGUGGAGGAGGGAAAAUACCAAAAUGAGCUUUAUAAAAUGCAGUUUUUCGGGAAUAUAGAAAGUUGACAUCAAUGAGUCUCUCGACUCCACAAGUUUUUGCGGCAAAAUAAAAACUAACAAUAUUUAAGCACAUGAAAUGCAAUGAAAACAAACAACAGUUCUGAAGAAACAAAGUAAAUGCAACCUCAAAAAAGUUUGGUUCUGCUAGCACUGAACUUAGUGGUUAUUGUUUAAAGUCCCGCUUCACUACUUAAAACAACUGUUGAUGGAAAUUAGAUCAAAAUGAAUGAAACAAUAACCAGGAAUUGUUUACCUUUGAAAUGGUUGAGACCAAGACCCAACGUCUUGAGCAAAGUCAAAUUUCCAAUUUCUGUAGGUAUACUUCCCUCCAAGGAGUUGUUAAACAAUGAUAAAAACUUCAGCUCUUUGCACUUGAAUAAACUAUUUGGAAUUCUACCGGAAAUUUGAUUCCCACCCAAGCUCAACAUUUCUAGUUUUGACAAAUUGCCUAGAGUAGAUGGGAUAACACCAAUGAAGUUGUUAAGGUACAGAGACAAUCUUCGAAGUUUACUGAAGCAACCAAACCAUGGUGGGAUUUCUCCAUUGAAGCUAUUGUUACCUAAGUCCAAAUAAUUCAUCCGACGCAAAUUAGUUAACUCAAUGGGUAAAGAGCCUUGGAAACUAUUUUGAUGAAUAUCGAGCCAAGCAAGGAAAGAUAGAUUUCCCAAUUGAGAAGAAAUGGUGCCUGUGAGAUCCAUGCUUGACAAAUUCAGAGCAGUGACUCUAUAGUGUUUAGAUCCACAUGUGACACCAAUCCAGCUACAAACGGAGAUAGAAGUAGUCCAAUUGGUUGUCAAGAAAUUGUGAGGAUCAUGAAUUAUAUGAGAUUUGAGUGCUAGAAGAGCAGAUUGAUCAACGGUGAUGCUAGAAUAUUUUGCAGAUAAAAUAACCCCAAAGGUUGCAAAUAGCAGCCCAAACAUAAACGGAGGGAGGAAGCUUGGUUUUUCCAUAAGGUUGGAUAUGGGUGUAAGGCGCAUCAUAAGGAGAGAAACAACCGAGUUUAAUACUUUCCUAAUGUUAGUUCAAUACUUCGUAAGUUUAUAGUAAUUCCAACUGCGAGAUGAUCACAAAUUCCAAUUGGCAAUUGGAAAAUGAGAGACGAUGUUUAUGUUUUUUUUCAUUUUUAAAUAUAAUAAAGGCGAUUGACGGAAGGGAAAACUUUCUCCUUGGUUUAAAAGUCCAGAUAUCAAUUAGAAGACAUAAAAAACAAAGACAAGUAUUGGGGGCCAGCAGAUUGAAACUAUUUGAUUUAGUCUAAUUAUUACAACAUGUUUGAUUGAAACUAUUUUGUAAUCUCUGAUUAAAUAAAUAUUGAGAGGAAAAGACUUAAAUUUUCUUCUUUUCCUUGGCUAUAAAAUUGAAUUUCUAGUUUGGAUUACAUGCCUGUGGUUCUCAUCUCUAGUUAUGUAAGGCUGAGUCGCUGUUAGUUGGAUGGACCUACAUUGAAAACAUGAAUUGAAAAGAUAAGUAAUAGAAACUUUGUCAUAUUUAGACCAAUAUCAACCACAUCUUUGUUAACUUUUUACAUUUAUUAUCCCAAUAUUCAAAACCAAACAAUAAUACAUUCAUUGCAUGUUCCUUUUCUCAAAUAUCAUUUUAUUUAAUGUCAUUAGAGAUUACUCUAUUCUUUUUUCUUUGUGAUAAAAAUUAUUAAACAAAAAAUUAUUACAAAUGUUGUAGGAAUCUAUCCUUUGAGAUUGUUUGAUUCUAGUUUUUGACAAAUUGCUCAAAGUUGAUGGGAUAAAACAAGUGAGUUUGAUGGUGUUCGGAAACAAGCUUCGAUGUUUAGUGAGAUCAAAAUUUGUUGGCAAAUUAAAUUACUCAAUGGGUAAAUAUCCAUGGAAGUUAUUGUCCCAGAGUGGGGCUGGACUUGGAUGGUGUCUGCAAGACUCGUUUUUAUCAAAUUCAAAGCAGUGGCAGUAAUACCUAUAUUACAACUAGAAAUAAAAACAGAUCAGUUGGUUUGGUUGCCAAGAAGUUUCGAGGGUUAUGCUUGUUCCCUAUCAUCCCAAGUACUACUAAGUCAGUACCCCUCUAAAUGGGGAGAACUUUGUUGAUCUUUCACUGGUUUAAAAGUCCAAAUACCAAUUGUAAGGCAUCAAAACAACAAAGACAAGUAUUGGGGACCAGCUGAAGAGUGUGAGUGACAUGGUUUGAUUUAGAGUCUCAUGAUUGCAACAUGUUUGAUCGUGAUAUGAUUGUAAUGUCUAACAAAAUAUAUGCCUUUCUUUCUAUAAAAUCUAAAUUUCUAGUUUUGAAGACAUGCCUUUGGUUCUCACCUCUUACUUGUUCUGCACGGCUAAGUCGCAGUUGCUUCGAUGGGCCUAUGUUGGAAACAUGAAUUGAAAAGAAUGCCAACAAGUAAUAGAAACUUUGUAAUAUUCAGAUAGAUCAAAUUAAGCUUUGUGUGGACCAUUCUCAAAUAAUUACUUUGGCAAUCCUGAAUUUAACAAUCUAACCAUUGAAUUUAACAAUAUAAUUAUAGUUGCCUUGCAUUUAAAAUUUUGAAUUAAUCUAAUACCUCAAUCAUUUCAGUCCAAAACUUUGUUUAUUUCAUAUAUAUUAUAUAAAGCAAAGUUUGUAAGUGUUUUUGACUGUAACUAAGUAAGCAUGUUUCUUCUACCGCGAGUCAAAAGUUUGCAGCAAUUUUAGCCAUUUGUACACUAUAUAUCAUUAUAUUGUUGCCUUAAUUAAAGCAGAAUAAUAUAUAUUUCCAUAAGUUUUUAAAAAUAUCAUAAAUUUCCAUUGGAAAUUUUGUUCGUGUAUUCUAAAUUACAUAAUAAUCAGAAAUAUGAAAGAUUUCCAUAUAUUCUCGCCUUUUAGUAUAAGUAAUAAUAAAAAAUUUUAUUGAUUCACCUUUACUACGAAAAUAAAAAUAAAAAAUUACAAAAUUAGUACCGUAAAUCAAUUUUGGUUUAAAAUUUUAAACCUACAUAUUAAAGAUCUCCUAACAAUUUUACUUUAUAAGAGCACAGUUUAUGGAAUAAUUUUUAUAUCCAAUCAAAGGCUUUUCAUUCUUAUAAAUAUCGGAAAUUAUAAAGCUAAUCUUUAUGUAGAAAAUCUGAUAGGUAAGUAGCAUAGCAUCCAUCUAAUAGAUUAGGAAAUCUGUAGUCUAAUAAAUUAUAAUCUUCUUUGAUCUCGUUUGCAUAACAUCCAUCUAAUAUUGACAAAUCUUCUCUUUUAAUUUCAAAAUUGUAAUUAAAUAGUUUUAUCCGAUUAAAUAAUAAUAUAUGGCUAUGGUGAUGUCUAUAAUUUCAUAAAAUAAUUACUCUAAUCUAAUCCAUGUCUCUUCCUUUCUGAGUUUAUCAAGCAAUAAAUUCCCUUCGAUUUCACCUAACUUGUUAUAAUAAUGUUUUUUUUAAAAUUAGUUAAAGAAGAAAAUUUGUGAUGUUAUACUUAAAUUGAAUCUUUCGAUUUAAUAGGAAUUGAUUUUAAAUUAGAAAGAUCAAAAUUUAAGUAGAAUCACUUAGGGAUGCCAGUGGGGCAAGUUUUGCGGGUCCCGCCCUACUUCGUGCUCAAUUGACAGUGAGAUGGGGACAAAAAUUAAACCCAUUGUGAGUGGUGGGGUAGGCGUGGGUAUGACCUUGACCUACCUCAUCCCCACCUACCCCAUCCCAUCCCGCAUAAUAUAAUAAGCAUAUUUAAAAAAUAAAUAUUUAUAAAAAAAUUAAUUUAAUAAUUAUUUUAAUAGUAUUUAAUUUUUGCUCUUGUGUUGCAUUUGAAGAUAUUUAUGAUGUAUUUGAGAUAUUGUUUGUAUUUUGAUAUUAUGUAAUGACUUUAUUUUUUGAAUUUUUAAACUUGAAAUUAUAUCUUAUUUACCAAUUAAAGGUCGUAACGACUUACUUUUUUUUUUUUAAAUAGUGACAGUUAGAAUAAUGUCACAUAUGUGGUGGGAGUCUGGAGGAUAAAUAUUUUAUACUUUUGUCACAAAAAGUUGGUUUAUUUUAUUUAACUGAUACUUAUAAAUAUAUUAUAUGAAGUGGGUCAUAAGGCAAGUAUAGCAGGGAUUAGGUGGGUUUGAGACCCACGUGGGUGGUAGGGCGAGGAUGAAUUUGAGUUUUGUACCCGUAACGGGUCACAGGACGGAGAUGGGGAUGAAAAUUCUUGGUGGGGAUGGGGAUGAAAAUUGUGUAAGUCAAAGUCUGUGUACUGUUUGUUUGGAUGUGUUUUGUCUUGUGUUGAUCUGAUUUGUUUUGUUCCAGUGAUGUUAAGCCUUUGACAAGUAAUACGAGUAAUUUUGGGCUCCAACCACAAUACACAGUAAAGAAUGAAAGCCAGAAAAAUGCAAGACUGCAUGUCUACACCAUUACUUAUUUUUUUUCUUUGUGAUAAAAUUUAUUAACAACAAAUGCUAUGCUUGUUUUCUGGAUAAAGUAAUGUUUAUUUAAUAUAUCCACAACAAUAUCAGUCUGAUUUACUGAAAAUAUAUAUAUCCACAACAAUGAAUUAAUUUCCAGUUAUACGUCUCAUCCAAUAAUAAUAUUUUCACUAUUACCAAAUAUUGUCCUUAUGGUGCUUUGGAAUCAUCGUUUUUUUAAAGAUGAUUUGAUUUGGCGAAAGGGAGAGGGCCCGAUGUGCGUAUUUGGUUGCAUCUAUAUUGUUGUGCAAAAAUCUUGCUAGUUGGAGGAUCAACUUUCCUUUUAAUUUUAAUAAAAAUUAUAUAUGAACUUGUGAACUUGUAUUGAGUCGCUCUUGCAAGUCAAUGCAGCAACCAAGAACCAUAUUAUUAAUACCCAGCUAAGAUCGUGGACGUUUUCUACUCUAUAUCUUUCUCCUAAAUGCUUCAUUCCAGUGAAAAGUGCUGCAAUUCCUACGACAAUGGCACCUCUGCCGAUAAUUACAUGGAAAUACUCCCAAAUUAAUUAAUCUCUUUGUGGAAGCGUCCUCCCCAUUAGCAGGUUUCUCCGGUCUGAGAUAUGCAUUCAUUGGUUGCACAGAGGCAGAAACUAUGGCAACAAUACCAAGCUGAACAUGCAACGAGCUGACACAGAAACCCCGAAGUUCGGCAACUGCAAAAAGAACACCAAGUAUAAUAAUUGCUAAUCCUGAAUAUUGUAGGUAAAUAUGAAUUUGGUACCAUCCAUCACCCUUUACAUGUUUUAGGUAUCUAGCAGCCAAUAUUCCACCAGGAAUCAAAAUACCCCAGGAGAGGAACAGCAUAAACCCAUGUACAGCUUUGACAGGUUGUAAACCUUGCUCAGCCUCGGAAGAACCACGGAUAAGCAGCACUUGCACAGGCCUUUGACUCGUGACAGUAUGCAUGUUUUUCUCACUGAGAUGUUCAUCAGUCCACUUUGAACCCAUUGCCCAUAUGACUUUAAGAGGAGUUGUAGGAUGAACAAUGUUCUUACACUCUGGCUUAUCAUUUUGAUUGCAUGAUGGUUUUAAUGGACGUGUGAAUUCCAAAGUAAUGAUGCCAUCUUCUGACCUGCACCUGACGUGUGUCAGAUUCUCAUUUGUUGGAUGGAUGUUCAAGGGAUGCUUUCCAUCAAUGCAAUACGUAUUUAAAUGCCAUUUUCCAGUAUCACCAAUCCAGCCCACAUAUGCAUAGCUAUUCACCAUCCCAUUACCGAAACCUAUUGCAAGAUAGCCACUGUUAUUCACACCAAGGGCAGCAAUAGUUAUUGAAUCUUCUGAUAACGUCCAAAAGAAAGUAACUUGAUCAUCUAAAAGCACACUAGUGUUAUACAUAUCAGACAGGGCACCAUCAAAAUCUUGAACUUUCCAUCCCAUCUUCUCUUGGUACAAGGAUUUGCUACAACUCCUUCCGCUUCUGGCUCUCCAGAAUAAAUAGUCUCAGUUGCAUUCCUUAAUGUAGCAUUCCCACCUAGAGAAUCUGAAGUAAUAUACAAUGCAACAUCAUGCCCUGCUUGCACCAAAAACUUAACUGGAACCCCUCUUUCCACUCUCAACACCGGUGCUUACUUAUUAUUAAUACACAAAACCUUAGUCGGACUUGCUGGAUUUGGAUAAUGCAACACCUCCCCUAUUGUAGCAACAAGGGAGACUUCUGUAUCAGCAAUAAUCAACUAUUGAUCCUCAUUAUCAUUAGCAUCCAAUGGCCCAAAACAAUCAUCUACCUUCUCUGAAACAUGAAGCACCAAAUGUCCUUAUGCAACCUUCUCUAGACCCCCAUGAAAUUGGGGCAAAAAAUGAGACCGAUUUUCAUUCGGUGGUUUCAUCAACCCUAAUGCCCAAAUAACCCUCAGAUCCUCAUUAGGAUACACAGGCAAAUCAUACUUCUUAUCUGUCGAAUUCAAUGGUUUCCUAAACAUAAUUAAAGAAACCCCAUCUCUCCUAUGUCCAUAAACCAACCUAGUAUUAUUCACCAUUAUGCCAUUUUUUGAGUUCUCAUAAACUACAUCAAGCAAAACACCUAUAGCUGUACGAUCUUUAGAACUCAACUUACAUUCACUAUAAGCCGUAAUGUAAAAAUCAUCAACAAAAGGCCUACCUUCCUCAGUAAAACUUGCCACCGUAACAUCAGCUUCGGACAUCAGCUCCUUCGUCCUAUUCGGAUUCGCCCACCCAAAUGCCAUGUAAUAGGUCGUCGGUGCCAUCGCUUCUAACCCGAUCUCGAUCCAAUUUUCCUCCACAUUCAAGUUCCACCGGACCCUAUAAUUAUUCGAAAAAUUCUUACAGUUAUCAAACACUGUAUGCACCGAGUCUGAAACCGAAUCUGACCCAUUUCGAGGGAGGGUGACAUGGCCGAAGUCUGAGGUGCUAGCGAUGUCCCAGAUUCAAAGAAUGUUGAUCUGGUCCCAGGUUAUGUCGGGGAGCAAUUGGACUGAAAACGAUGCGUUUUUGUAAGCUGUUUGAUUGAGGCGUUGAUCGGAGAUAAGGAACCCGCUGGUGAGGUUAGAGAAGUUAAGGGAGACGGUGCCCCAAAAAACAACGUCGGAUGAGCCAGAUAACAUGUCAAAUAAUUAUUCAUAAAUUUAUACAUUCUUUGCAUAUUCGUGGGUACCUACAAUAGGUCCUUGAAUAUCAACGACAUAAGUGACGCUGCUACAGACUCAGAAUCUCCUUUUGAGUGAGACAUGUGUUUAGAGGGAUCUCAUGACUUUGAAAAUGACAUAGAUUGUAGCCCAUCUCCGGACUUGUUGAGGAUGGUAGAACAAGAUGAAAAACAGAUCCUACCUUACAAAGAAUCAAUGAAGUCCAUGGCUUUUCUCUAUGUGGGGCAUGGAUGUCAUUGGGCCGAUUUUGGCAAAAGCUUCUAGCGGUCAAGAAUUCAUCUUUGCAGCCGUCGAUUACUUCACUAAGUGGGUGGAAGCUGCUUCAUAUGCUAAUAUCACAAAGUCGACUGUCAGCAAAUUUUUGAAAAAAAUCAUAUGUCGGUAUGAAAUGCCAAAAAGGAUCAUAUCCAACAAUGUACUAAAUUUGAACAACAGCACGAUAUCAAAAGUUGGCUGUCUGUUCAAGAUUAACACCAUAUCGCCCCAAAGUGAACGUACAGUGGAGGCAAAAAAAAAGUGAACCUCUACCGGGGUAACAUCUUUCUCUUUGGCUUAUUGCAGUUUUUUACCCAUUGAAGUCGAGAUUCUUUCCUUUGAACUUUUUGUGGAUCUAAUCCUGAUUGAAGAGGAAUGUUCAAAGUUAUCUGUCAUGGUCAAAUAUACCAAAAGCAAAUGAUGCAAGCUCACCAAAAAAGUUUACCCCAAAGAAUUCCAUGAGAGAGAUCUAGUAACGAAGAAGAUUCUUCCCAUACAAAAAGAACUUCAUAAGAAAGUGGAUGUCAAACUCGGAAGGACCUUAUGUGGAAGGUCUUAUCUAGAAAAGUGUUGAUUUUGAUCAGAAGGGAUAACAAGGACAUGCCUAAUCCUAUGAGUUCAGAUUCAAUCAAAAAAUAUUUCAAAAAAAAGAAAGAAGAAGGAAAAGAAAAGAAAAAGAAAAAUGAAAGGCCAAGGUGAAAACCCGCAAAAUGGUGCCUUGAGACCAAAAGGGAUUUGAGUUGAAAACCCGCAAAGGGUGGCUCAAGUUUUGGAUCAAAAUAGGGCAUGAAGGGAUCAGAACAACUCAAAUUUUAAUCAGAUUGGAGCAUGUGGUGAUCUUGCUAUACCUCAUUCAACAAGAAAGGGUAGACGACAUCUUGGGGCAUCGACAAAGUCCUGUAGAUCUCCUAAACACAUGUCAAACUCAGAAUGGUCUUUCAAAGAGUUUGUAUACAUAAGUUCAAGCUACGAUAUCUGGGGCACCUAAUCUUGAUACUAUUUAUAUUGAAUCUGCUGUCUUGGAAUACUUUAUUCUUUUUCAAGAUACGUGUUCCCAAUCAAUUCCUCUUUUAUUCUUACUAUCCUUGAUAAUUUAUUAAUUUCGAGCCAUACUUCCAAAUCAAUUCUAUUUUAUCCAUUGCUAUGGUCUUUUUGUAAGCAUGUUACAUUAGAAUAACGAUUAAUGGAUUGAAUAUUCAAGCAAAAGGAGUUUUGCAUAUUACUCUAGAAGUUUCUAAAUAAUAUAGGAACCUGAAACAGGACUGUUGUUUAGAACACACCAAGUUUAAAGGUUGAAAUUUCUAAGGAGGAAAACUCUAAAUUAAGACUACCCAUUCAAAUUUUAUUGUCAAAAUAUUGAUUGAAAAAAAAAUGACAAGAUGUCAUGUUGGUGACAAAGCUUCAAUGAUCACCGAGUGAUAAAAAGAGGUUUCUCGGAAGAGAAAGUUCUACAAUUGAGCAUAAACAUUUGGUACGACACCCUGGGAAUGGUGUAGGAGACCAAAGAGAUUCAAAUCCUAUAUCCUUGAAUUACAAUGUGAGAGGAUUAAGAAAGCCAGAUCUUAUACUCAGUGGGAGGAAGACGGUUCAAAUUUUAUGUCCCAAAGGUACAGUGAAUUGAACCUUGAAGAUUACAAUGGAGGCAAUCCGGUUAAGUAAGAUAUGAGCAUUACCAACCGGAAAAGAUAGCAUUCUGACAUGUUGGCAAUAAAACCUUAUUGAACAAUGAGCAAUAACAACUCAAACAUUGAGGGAUCAUUUUCAUGACAUUUUGCAUUCAUGCAUACACAUUUAGUUAGGAGAUUUUGAUUCGUUCCGAUCAUACUAUUCUAAUCACUAGGCAUAAAUAGGCCCAUGAAAUGGAUUCUAUAGGUUUUGUUCCAGUGAUGUUAAGCCUUGGACUAGUAAUAUGAGUAAUAUUGGGCACCAAAUAUUCCGAUCAUAAUAUUCUAAUCACUAGGCAUAAAUAGGCCUCUGAGAGGGAUUCUACAGGUCAUGUUCCCCAGAGAAUAGAUCGGUGAAACAAAAAUCUUAUCUCCCUGAAGUUGUAGUGGAGCGGACUGAAGGUAGCGAAUCUUAUUUCCCUGGCUUUGCAGUGGAACAGAUUAAAGCUAAAGGUAGUGAAUCUUGUUUCCCUGGCAUUGCAGUGGAAUAGAUUAAAGUUGAAGUGGAGCGGAUUAAAGCUGAAGGGGGCGAAUCCUAUCUCCUUGGCUUUGUAGUGGAACAGAUUAAAGCUAAAGGUAGGAAAUCUUGUUUCCCUAGCAUUGCAGUGGAAUAGAUUAAAGCUGAAGUGGAGCGGAUUAAAGCUGAAGGCGGCGAAUCCUAUCUCCUUGGCGUUACAGUGGAACAGAUUAAAGCUAAAGGUAGUGAAUCUUGUUUCCCUGGCAUUGCAGCGGAGUAUAUUAAAGCUGAAGGCAACGAAUUGUAUCUCCUUGGCAUUAAAGACUGAAGACAACGAAUCUUGUCUCUGAUUGAAGACAGACUACAAAUUUUAUCUCUCUGAAGUUGCAGUGGAGCAGAUUAAAGCCAAAAACCUUUUCUCUCUGAAGUUGCAGUAGAGCAGGUUGAAAGAAACUAAUCCUAUCUCCCUGAAGCUGCAGUGGAGCCACAGAUCUUAUUUCUCUGAAGUUACAGUAGAGUAGACAAAAGAAACCAAUCCUAUCUCUCUGAAUUUGCAGUGGAGCGGAUUAAAAUGAUGGAUCUUAUCUCUCUGAAGUUGCAGUAGAGCAUAUUGCAUCAGACUUUAUUUUCUUAAAGAUGCAGUAAAUCAAGUUGAAGCUACAAGUCUUAUAUCACUGAGGUUUCAGUGUAGCAGACUAAAAAUUGCAGAUCUUAUCUCUCUAAAGUUGCAGUAGAGCAGAUCAUAGCAAACAUUAUCUCCCUGAAGUGUAGUGGAGCAGUUGCAGUAUAGUAGAUUGAAACAACACUUCCUAUACCUCUGAAUAUGUAGUGAAUUGGAAUGAAGCUACCUUAAGAAGAAAAGCAUCAAAGUAAGUCAAGAUCCGGUGAGACUGGGCAAAAUUGGUCCUUUUUGAAGUCUUUGCUUCGUUCUCGUUACACGACAAUGAGUAAAGAGGGGCAACUGUAGUGACCCAUUUUUGCCCGGGGCCCAAUAUGACCCAAACAAAACCAAACACAAAAUAAAAACAAAACCUAAACUAAUUAGCAGCCCAUUUUACAACUGGCCCAAACAGCCCAAACUAAACCUAACAACCCUAGCCCAACAGAAUCAGAAAAAUGAAUAGUAAAAAAAUACCCUAGGUGCGCCGCACCUAGGUCUUCUGACCCCUAGCCGUCAGCCUGCCUGCACCGCCUCUGCAACCAUCACAGUAGGCCUCUGGCACCUGCAAAAUAGAGAAUAACACGCAACAAAAAUGCAAUAAAAAACAACAUGGAAACGGACAAAAAAGAAAAAGCAAACAGUUUUUGAUUCGGCUAUAAAAGCCCGAACUUUAUCUUUUUAUUUUUUUACCAGCACCAGUGAAUCAAAAUAGCAGAAAAAGUCUUAAAAGUUGUUUAGAUAUUUUAUUUUAUUUUUCUCUUCGUGUUCUUGUUCAUUUUUUAUGUUUGUUUACUAUUUUUUUUAUAUAUGGAACUAUCUCAACAAAAAACGCAAUAAAAGAAAAAAGGGAAGGGGUACCUAUCGGUUCUGAAAGCCUAUCACCGGAGGCCUUCUUUUUGCAUUGGAAACAGACCGAAAAGGGUGCGAAAGAUCCCAUCUAUUCGGCCUUUUGGGUCAAGAGAAUUGGGUCUUUAACAAGGAUCUGGAACGGGGUUAAAAAACCCAAUCUUUGCCUAGCUCUGACCACCGUCUGCGGCGGCGCGGCCGUUCGCUGGUGGUCACCAUGGCCGGAGGAGGGGAAAGGUUUUGAAAGAAAAAGAGGAAGUUUUUUUUAAAUAUUUUUUAAAUGGUGGCAGAAAUGAAUUUUUUUAAAAAAAUUGGGCUUAAAUAGCCCCUUAAAACAGCGUCAUUUCAUCUAACCUCCCCAGGCGCCAAAACGGCAUCGUUUUGGGGAGGUCGACCCGAAAUGGACCCGACCCAGGCAGGAUCCGCGUGUUUUUUAAGCGGAAGGGAUAAUUGCGCCUUCAUCCCUUCCGUUUUUUAAUUUUUUUAAAUUAGGUUUUUUUUUUUAAAUUUUACCCCGCGUUUUCAGCGAUUUCAAUUUGGUCUUCGCUAGACGACGCCGUUUUGGAGGAGAAGGGAAAAUUGCCCUUUUAGUCCCUCCAUAUUAUGCGCGCAUUUAGAAAGGUCCCCCUUUUUAUUUUAUUUGCAAAUUUGCCCCCAAAGUUCUAUUUUAAGUUCAAAUCAGUCCCUUUUUGUUACUUUUUGCUAUUAAAUUAAUUAAUUUUAAUGGUGUUAUCAUUAUUUUUACCAUUAUUAUUAUUUUUAAUAUUACUAUUACUAUUAUUGCGUUUAUUAUUAUUACUUACCUUAUUAUUAUAAUUAUUUUCUCAUUCAUACUUUUUUUUAAUUUAAUUUCAAAUUUAGUUAUAUAUAUGCAUACAUACUUUUUCAUAUUAUCUAUAUCUAUGUACACGUGUAUAUAUAUAUAUUUUAUAUAACUUAUAUAUAUAUAUAUAUAUACGUACCCAUAUAUAUAUAUAUUUAUAUUUUAUCUACAUAUCUACAUAUAUAUAUAUUAUAUUUUCAUGAAUACAUAUACAUACUUAUAUAUAUUUUUUAUAUUUUAUAAUUUUUAUAUACAUAUAUAUACAUACAUAUAUAUCUUUUUACAUUUUUAUAAUUUUAUUCAUCUUCUUUAUUUAUUUAUUUACGUUUUCAUUAUUAUUUUGAAAGAAUGUUUUAAUUUUGUUUGCUUAUAUACUUGUUAUUUUGUAUGAUAUUGAUUUGUCCUUUUAUUUAUCUUAUUUUGUUGCUAUUGCUCGUAUUAUUUUUACAUUAUCGUAUUCAUUAUAGUUUUGUUAUGCAUAUUAAUACCAUAUUUUAUUUCUACCAUUUCGCGUUAGAUUAAUUCUAUUUUGAUGCAUGAAUUGCGACUUUAAAAUAAUUAAAAUUUCGUAUUUUGAUUUGAAAAGGUCGUACCCUAACUUACGGGGUUUCGAUUUUCUUGGUAUAUUCAAAUAAACGAAUGUUUUUUUAACAAAGUUUUUUAAAAUAAUCUCGAGAAUUAAGAAAAUCAUAUUCUAACUUACGGAGUACAUUUUUUUCUAAAAUCGAGAUAAUCGAAUGUCUUUCAAAUAAGUAAAUUUUUCGGCAUAUAUUCUUGUAUCGAAAAUUCGAUACGUUGUGUCCUAAUGCAUUGGAUAUGACAUAUUGUUUUCCCGAGAUGAGGAUUUUUCUAGAAAAUAAUAAAGGCAAUAUUCAAUGUUUGAAAUUUUGAGAAAUUGUGCCUUAACGUAUUGGGCUGCGAUUUCUUCAACUGAAUUAAACAAUUGAAUAUCCUUUUAAAUUUUAUUGCAUGAGUUGUUUUAGGACAAACUCAUUUUUGAGGAGGUGAAAUAUCAUGCCCUAACUCAUUGGGUGUGAUAUUUUCUCUCUCCAAAAUGAGAGGGUCUUAACGGGUAAUUUGAUUUAUACAAUUUUUUUAAAAUACAAGGAUCGUAUUUUAAAAUCUUUGCUCAUUUUUUAUAUUAAGACACUAAUUAAUCAACUAGGUACCAAUUUUGGGCGCAUUGAGGGUACUAAUCCUUCCUCGUGCGUAACCGACUCCCGAACCUGUUUUUUGGAUUUUUGUAGACCGAAAAAUAAUGUUUUAAUAAAUCAAACUAUUUAUUAAAAUGGUUAAAUUGUGAGGUGAUCCGAUCACACCUCAUUAAAAACUAUUGGUGGUGACUCCCGUAGCUUUGAGGGAAAAAAAAGACAGAAAAAGAAUUUUAAAGACACAAAUUAAUAAAAUAAUUUUUUAAUCUACGAUAUAUUAAAACACACACACACACAAAAAUCACCUCAUUUUCCCGUAGCUUAUUAUUUACAGUUUUUCUUGCAAUCCAAGUGCGAGAUAAUCACAAAUUUCAAUUGGCAAUUGGAAAAUGAGAUACGAUGUUUAUGUUUUUUUUUUUUUUUUUUUUCAUUUUGAAAUAUAAUAAAGGCGAAAUUGACGGAAGGGAAACUUUCUCCUUGGUUUAAAAGUCCAGAUAUCAAUUACAAGACAUAAAAAACAACGACAAGUAUUGGGGGCCAGUAGAUGAUAGUGAGUGACACUAUUUGAUUUAGUCUAAUUAUUACAACAUGUUUGAUUGAAACUAUUUUUUAAUCUCUGAUUAAAUAAAUAUUGAGAGGAAAAGACUUCAAUUUUCUUCUUUUCCUUAGCAAUAAAAUUUAAUUUCUAGUUUGGAUUACAUGCCUUUGAUUCUCAUCUCUAGUUAUGUAAGGCAGAGUCGCUGUUAGUUGGAUGGACCUACAUUGGAAACAUGAAUUGAAAAGAUAAGUAAUAGAAACUUUAGAAUAUUUAGACAAAUAUCAACCACAUCUUUAUUAACUUUUUACAUUUCUUAUCCCAAUAUUCAAAACCAAACAAUAAUACAUUCAUUGCAUGUUCCUUUUCUCAAAUAUCAUUUUAUUUAAUGUCAUUAGACAUUACUCUAUUCUUUUUUCUUUGUGAUAAAAAUUAUUACAAAUGUUGUAGGAAUCUAUCCUUUGAGAUUGUUUGAUUCUAGUUUUUGACAAAUUGCUCAAAGUUGAUGGGAUAAAACAAGUGAGUUUGAUGGUGUUCGGAAACAAGCUUCGAUGUUUAGUGAGAUCAAAAUUUGUUGGUAAAUUAAAUUACUCAAUGGGUAAAUAUCCAUGGAAGUUAUUGUCCCAGAGUGGGGCUGGACUUGGAUGGUCUGCAAGACUCGUUUUUAUCAAAUUCAAAGCAGUAGCAGUAAUACCUAUUAAAUUACAACUAGAAAUAAAAACAGAUCAGUUGGUUUGGUUGCCAAGAGGUUUCGAGGGUCAUGCUUGUUCCCUAUCAUACCAAGUACUACUAAGUCAGUACCCCUCUAAAUGGGGAGAACUUUGUUGAUCUUUCAUUGGUUUAAAAGUCCAAAUACCAACUGUAAGGCAUCAAAACAACAAAGACAAGUAUUGGGGACCAGCUGAAGAGAGUGAGUGACACGGUUUGAUUUAGAGACUUAUGAUUGCAACAUGUUUGAUCGUGAUCCUCAACUUUGAUUGUAAUGUCUAACAAAAUAAACACCAAGAUGAGAAGACCUUUUUUCUAUAGAAUCUAAAUUUCUUGUUUUGAAGACAUGCCUGUAGUUCUCAUGUCUUACUUGUUCUGCACGGCUAAGUCGCAGUUGCUUCGAUGGACCUAUGUUGCCAACAAGUAAUAGAAACUUUGUAAUAUUCAGAUAGAUCAAAUUAAGCUUUUUGUGGACCAUUCUCAAAUAAUUAAUUUGGCAAUCCUGAAUCUAACAAUCUAACCAUUGAAUUUAACAAUAUAAUUAUAGUUGCCUUGCAUUUAAAAUUUUGAAUUGAUCUAAUACCUCUAUCAUUUGGGUCCAAAACUUUGUUUAUUUCAUAUAUAUUAUAUAAAGCAAAGUUUUUAAGUAUUUUUGAACGUAACUAAGUAAGCAUGUUUCUUCUACCGCGAGUCAAAAGUUUGCAGCAAUUUUAGCCAUUUCGUACACUAUAUAUUAUUAUAUUGUUGCUUAAUUAAAGCAGAAUAAUAUAUAUUUCCAUAAGUUUUUAAAAAUAUCAUAAAUUUCCAUUGGGAAUUUUGUUGGUGUAUUCUAAAUUACAUAAUAAUCAGAAAUAUGAAAGAUUUUCAUAUAUUCUCGCCUUUUAGUAUAAGUAAUAAUAAAAAUUUUUGUUGAUUCACCUUUACUAUGAAAAUAAAAAUAAAAAAAUUACAAAAUUAGAACCGUAAAUCAAUUUUGGUUUAAAAUUUUAAACCUACAUAUUAAAGAUAUCCUAACAAUUUUACUUUAUAAGAGCACAAUUUAUGGAAUAAUUUUUAUAUCCAAUCAAAGGCCUUUCAUUCUUAUAAAUAUCGGAAAUUACAAAGUUAGUCUUUGUGUAGAAAAUCUGAUAGGUAAGUAGCAUAGCAUCCAUCUAAUAGAUUAGGAAAUCUGUAGUCUUGAGAUGGAAUAGAUUUUACGGUCACAUUGGCAACCUUAAAUUAUAACCUUCUUUGAUUUCGUUUGCAUAACAUUAUUCACUAUUCAACAAUACAUUACUUAUUUUUUUCUUUGUGAUAAAAUUUAUUAACAACAAAUGCUAUGCUUGUUUUAUGGAUAAAGUAAUGUUUAUUUAAUAUAUCCACAACAAUAUCAGUCUGAUUUACUGAAAAAUAUAUAUAUCCACAACAAUAAAUUAAUUUCCAGUUAUACGUCUCAUCCAAUAAUAAUAUUUUCACCAUUACCAAAUAUUUUCUCUUUUAAUAAUUGUUUAGAAAAUGGCGUUCAACAUGAAUUUAGGCAAAUAGUUUAGUAGUAGAUUAAAUUCAUUGGAUAUAUUAACCAAAUCCACACCAGCAAAUUUUACCUAUGAUGGAUUCAAUUGAACAUAUAAAAUAAUAACUUGUUAGAAGGGUUGAUUAAUUGGAAAGCAUAGAAUGGAUUAAUCAAUUAGAAAACUAGAAUUUAUAAAACUUAAGGAUCUAAUUUUAUAUUGGAAUUAUUCAGUGGGAUGAAGAGUAAAUUUCAAGUAGCGAAAGGAUGGCUCCAUCUCUCUCCCUUCCAUAUUUAGUCUUUUGCAAAUCUUCAAGAAUAGGCUGAUGUACAAUUAUUUUACUUUGAAUGCAUGAGUCUAUGGUAAGGACGGGGUCCCAGCAGUAAGGUAAAAUGGUAAGUGUUGAAACAGAAAAUAAAAGAAAUGUAGCCGCUGUGGGUCUUAUGGAAUUAGUAUGAUUUAACGAUGAUGGGGUCUUAUGGUGCUUUGGAAUCAUCGUUUUUUUUAAGAUGAUUUGAUUUGGUGAAAGGGAGAGGGCCCGAUGUGGGUAUUUGGUUGCAUCUUUAUUGUUGUACAAAAAUCUUGCUAGUUGGAGGAUCAACUUUCCUUUUAAUUUUAUUAAAAAUUAUAUAUGAACUUGUGAACUUGUAUUCAAAUUGAAUCUUUCCAUUGAGUCGCUCUUGCAAGUAAAUGCAGCAAUCAAGAACCAUAUUAUUAAUACCGAGCUAAGAUCGUGGACGUUUUCUACUCUAUAUCUUUCUCCUAAAUGCUUCAUUCCAGUAAAAAGUGCUGCAAUUCCUACAGUAAUGGCACCUCUGCCGAUAAUUACAUGGAAAUACUCCCAAAUUAAUCCCUUUGUGGAAGCGUCCUCCCCAUUAGCAGGUUUCUCCGGUCUGAGAUAUGCAUUCAUUGGUUGCAGAGAGGCAAAAACUAUGGCAGCAAUACCAAGCUUAACAUGUAACGAGCUGACAAAGAAACCGCGAAGUUCGGCAACUGCAAAAGGAACACCAAGUAGGAUAAUUGCUAAUCCUGAAUAUUGUAGGUAAAUAUGAAUUUGGUACCAUCCAUCACCCUUUACAUGUUUUAGGUAUCUAGCAGCCAAUAUUCCACCAGGAAUCAAAAUACACCAGGAGAGGAACAGCAUAAACCCAUGUAAAGCUUUGACAGGUUGUAAACCUUGCUCAGCCUCGGAAGAACCACGGAUAAGCAGCACUUACACAGGCCUUUGACUCGUGACAGUAUGCAUGUAUUUCUCAUUGAGAUGUUCAUCAGUCCACUUUGAACCCAUUGCCCGUAUGACUUUAAGAGGAGUUGUAGGAUCAACAAUGUUCUUGCACUCUGGGUUAUAAUUUUGAUUGCAUGAUGGUUUUAAUGGACGCGUGAAUUCCAAAGUAAUGAUGCCAUCUUCUGACCUGCACCUGACAUGUGUCAGAUUCUCAUUUGUUGGAUGGAUGUUCAAGGGAUGCUUUCCAUCAAUCCAAUAUGUAUUUAAAUGCCCUUUUCCAGUAUCGCCAAUCCAGCCCACAUAUGCAUAGCUAUUCACCAUCCCAUUACCGAAACCUAUUGCAAGAUAGCCACUCUUAUUCACACCACGGGCAGCAAUAGUUAUUGAAUCUUCUGAUAACGUCCAAAAGAAAGUAACUUGAUCAUCUAAAAGCACACUAGUGAGGGCACCAUCAAAAACUUGAACUUUCCAUCCCAUCUUCUCCUGGUACAAGGACUGAUAAUACACUUGAUCGGGGGUAUUCCUAUCAGGAACCCAAAUCAAUUCGUGAGAAUUUGCUACAACUCCUUCCGCUUCUGGCCCUCCAGAAUAAAUAGUCUCAGUUGCAUUCCUUAAUAUAGCAUCCCCACCUAGAGAAUCUGAAGUAAUAUACAAUGCAACAUCAUGCCCUGCCUGCACCAAAAACUUAACUGGAACCCCUCUUUCCACUCUCAACACCGGUGCUUACUUAUUAUUAAUAUACAAAACCUUAGACGGACUUGGCGGAUUUGGAUAAUGCAACACCUCCCCUGUUGUAGCAACAAGGGGGACUUCUGUAUCAACAAUAAUCAACUCUUGAUCCUCAUUAUCAUCAGCAUCCAAUGGCCUAAAACAAUCAUCUACCUUCUCUGAAACAUUAAGCACCAAAUGUCCUUAUGCAACCUUCUCUGGACCCCCAUGAAAUUGGGGCAAAAAAUGAGACCGAUUUUCAUUCAGUGGUUUCAUCAACCCUAAUGCCCAAAUAACCCUCAUAUCCUCAUUAGGAUACACAGGCAAAUCAUACUUCUUAUCUGUCGAAUUCAAUGGUUUCCUAAACAUAAUUAAAGAAACCCCAUCUCUCCUAUGUCCAUAAACCAACCUAGUAUUAUUCACCAUCAUGCCAUUUUGAGUUCUCAUAAACUACAUCAGGCAAAACACCUAUAGCUGUACGAUCUUUAGAACUCAACUUACAUUCACUAUAAGCCGUAAUGUAAAAAUCAUCAACAAAAGGCCUACCUUCCUCAGUAAAACUUGCCACCGUAACAUCAGCUUUGGACAUCAGCUCCUUCGUCCUAUUCGGAUUCGCCCACCCAAAUGUCAUGUAAUAGGUCGUCGGCGCCGCCGCUUCUAACCCGAUCUUAAUCCAAUUUUCCUCCACAUUCAAGUUCCACCGGACCCUAUAAUUAUCCGACAAGUUCUUGCAGUUAUCAAACACUGUAUGCACCGAGUCCGAAAUUGAAUCCGACCUGUUUCGAGGGAGGGUGACAUGGCCGAAGUCCGAGGUGCUGGCGAUGUCCCAGAUUGAAAGAUCGUUGAUCUCGUCCCAGGUUAUGUCGGGGAGCAAUUGGACUGGAAACGAUGUGUUUUUGUAAGUUGUUUGAUUGAGGCGUUGACCAGAGAUGGGGAACCAGUUGGUGAGGUCAGAGAAGUUGAGGGAGACGGCGCUCCAGAAAACGACGUCGGAUGAGCCGGAUAACAUGUUGAAUCCGGUGACCUAGAAAGAGCAGCCAUCGAAGAUUUUGAGAUGGCCACGGAGUUGGUGUCGGUCCAUUGUGAAGUUCGAUUCGAACCCGACUAGGGAGCUGGUGUUGGAGCAUUUCUGACCCAAAUCCUCUUUGGAAGAGGCGAUGGAAUUGAUUAGAAAGAGCGGGAUUAGAAGGAAAAUUUUGGAAUUGUACAUUCGAAUCUGGUCGCGGGUGAUUCGAGAAUCCGAAUUCGAUGAUGAUGGAAAAUGAACGUUUCAAAGAGAAGGAAGGAGCCAAUGAGCGGCUGGUGGUGGUGAGUGGUGACUCGGUGCAGCCGGAGCGAGUCGUCAACUUGUCUCGAUAUUGUUUUAUAAUUUUACUUUUUUUCCUGCUUUUCUGAAGAGAGGAAACCAAAAUCCCUACUAUCUUCUCAACUAUCAGUUUUUUAAUUUUGCUCAUUCAACCGUCAAUUUUUUAAUCUAUUUCAAAUUUUUUAAUUUUGUAGUCCAACCUAGGGGUGAGUAUUCGAUCGAAUCGAAUCGAAAAUUUUCGAUUUAAUCGAGUUUUCGAAUCUCAUUUUAUUAUCCUAACUUUAUUUGAAGUUUUCUCGAAUCGAGUAGAGUGAGAUGGAAUUCGAAUCGAAUCGAAUCGAAUAUAUUUGUUCGAGUUAAAUUUUAAAAAAUAAUUUUGGGUCCUUGUAACCAUUGUCACCCAUCGCAAUAAAAUUUUUCCACCUUAAUCAAAUUUUUUAUUAACUUUCAUCACCUCAUAAUUUAUUUAUUAAUUUUUUAUAUACUGGUUAGCUUAUUUGUUUGCUUAGUUGUUUCAAUUAUCUUCAGAUUCUUAUCACUAUGUAUUUUGGAAUUAAAAAAUAUAUUAAAUAUAAAAAUAUGAUUUUCUAAUAAAAGUUAUUUUAAAAAUAAAAUGUGAAAUUGAUACCAAUAUAAAAUUUUAACACGAAUAUUUUAUGGCAUAAUUAAGAAUUCAAUUUUAAUAUAAAUAUUCAAUAUGACUAAACAAUUCAAUAAUAUAAAUAAUAUAAAAUGUGAAAUUUAAUUUAAUAAUAUAAAUAGUAUAUAUAAAUAAAAUUAUUACUAUCUAUGUUUAGUGUAUUUUGGUCACUCACAUUUUAGAGUAUUUUUAUUUUACUCAAUCUUCAUUAAAUGGUUAACGAAAGUUAUGAUGUUACCUUUUUUUUAAUUAGUAUAAAUAAUACAUUUAGUCUUCAAUGCUUACAAAUUUUAUCAAUUUGAUCCUCAAACACAUAGAAUUAAAUAUAAAGUAUAAAUUGUGAAAAGGUACAAAAUAUAAUUAUUUAUAUAUAUUUAUCUAAAUAAUAUAAUAUGUGCUUAUAUUUUAUUAUAAUUAUAAGGUUCAAAUAUGCAUUUAGCCCCUCAAACUUGACACCUUUUUCCAUUUUGGUACUUAUGAUUUUUUUGUCCCAAGUUGGUACCUAAUUUUUCAUUCCGUCAAGAGCUUUGAUUUUUUUUUUUUUGUUACAAUAUUAAAUAUAGGACACAUGACACUCUUAGGAUGCCAUAAUCCAUUUUUUUUAUAAAAAUAUAAUAAAAAUUUAAAAGGAACUAUAUGAAAUAUAUAUUUUUAAAAUAUAAAAGAAAUUAUAAAUUAUAAAAAUAUAUGUAAAUAAAAAAUUUAAAAUAUUACAAAAAAUCUAAAAUUCAAGUUGGAAAAAUUGAAAACCUAGAAAAUUUACACAUUUUUCUAAAUAAAUUGCAAACAAAUUAGAUAAAGAUAAAUUUUGCAAUAAAUUUUAUGUUUAGAGAUGGGUGCAAAUUAUUACACGAUUUUUCAAGUAAAUAAGAAUGUAAAAGAUGAUGAUUUAAAAAUGGCUUACAAGAAGUUUUUUCGUUGUCUUUUUUUUUUCCUGCUAAUUAUUGGCUAGGUGAUGAGAGAAAUUGGGUUCCUUUGUUGAAAAUGCUAUAAAAACCACAAAUUUACUAAAUUAUGGGGGUUUUGAGUUUUUUGGUUUAUCAAAAUCACACAUACAUAUAAAUUUAUCAACAUUUAGUUAUAUGUGUUUAAAUAUAAUCAUUUUUUAUAUUUAAUUAUAUGUGUUUUAGAAUAAAGUUGAUAGAAUUUGUAAAUAUGGAGUGUGAAAUUUAUUGAAUUAUUUAGAUUAAGAAUCAAAUUGAUAGAAUGUGUAAGUAUUAAGAAAUAAACAUGUUAUUAUACCAUCUAUAAUUUGAAAAAACAAAUAUCCAAAAAUAAUAUAAAAAUACAUAUCUAUAAUUUCGCAAAAAGAAUUACAUUGCCAUAAAAAUAUAUGAAUGUACUAAACUUUUUGGAAUAAAUUAACCAUCUAUUCCUUAUUUCAAUUUUAUUAAAAAGAUAGGUUCCCAUAAAGACAGUCUUUACAAACCAGUGCACCUACCAUAAACACAUCAGGGAACAUUGCCAUGAGAGAGGACCUAAGAAAACAUAAUACAAAGCACCCACACAAAAUGUUUAUUAAACAGCUACUGAAAAUGGCCUGCAAACCACCAAGCAAUGAAGUUUUCUGUUCUGUUUGCAACUUGUUGAACUCGCCCAAGUGUUGCCUUCUCUACCUUUUUGCAAAUCUUUGUUGGACUCGCUCCACGAUCCUAAUCAACCACCAUGGUUUUCCAGUCGUGAAUACAAUGUAUGCCAUGCUCAUUCCCAGCACCAACCCACAUCCAUACCCCAUCAAUAUUGAAAAUUUCCAAUUCAAUUCAUCACCAUCAUCAUCUCUAUCAAAUAUGGCUGGGGUUUCCUCAUCAGUACCACAGUUUUUUGAUAGUGGCAAACCACAUAAAUCCAAAUUUCCCAUGUAGGAAUCGUCAGUGAAAGUAUCAAAUUGUUUGCCUUGAGGAAUGGGUCCCUUGAGAUUAUUUUGAGAAAGGUUUAACACCUCUAAGAAUCCAAGAUUUUUCAACUCUGUUGGAAUUCUUCUUUCCAGCUUAUUUGAUGAGAGAUCUAAUGAUUCAAGCUCUGACAAAUUACCUAAAGAUGAUGGGAUAGGACCUAUUAAACAGUUAUGGGAGAGAUUUAGGACAAUAAGUAAAUGAAGCUCACCAAGUAUUUUUGGAAUUUCUCCCCUGAAUUGGUUACUAGAAAGGUCAAUAACCGUCCAAAUGGAUAAUAGUGAUUCAAACUUUAUUUCCAGCCCUCUUGCUAUAACAGAUAAACCAUCAGCAUAAUUCACCAAAAAUUCACUAAGUGCUUCUCUCAUGUAAUGUGGAUCAACUUUCUUUCCAUAUUCAUCUCUAAUGGCAUGCAUAUUCUCAAAAAAGGGUAGGUAAGUAGCCACUAAAAUUAUUGUGAGAAAGAUCAAUGAUUUGCAAUUUAAUUAGUUAAAGAAACUAUAAUAUCAAAGCUCUCUAUUUGGCCGUAAAAUCUAUUCGACCUCAAGGUAAGAACUUGCAGCUGAUCCAAAUUUCCUAACCAACUUGGGAAAGUGUCAUUCAAAUUGUUGUUUCCAACAUUGAGAAGAUUUAAACCUUUGCAAUUACCCAAAGAUCGUGGUAGUGACCCUUCUAAUUUAUUGUUGUCGAUGCGUAAACUUCUCAACAUGCAACCUUUAGCAAAAUUUUCUGGUAUUUGACCAUGAAAAUUAUUAUUCCCUAGAUGAACUGCUAUGAGAGAAGAACUCAAGUUUCCGAUGCACUUUGGAAUUGUUCCCUCCAAAUUAUUCUCAUCUAAAAGCAUAACCAUAAGGGAAGUCAAACUGCAUAUUGAAGAAGGGAUUUCUCCAAUUAAGUUAUUAGUUGAAACUCCAUACCAUUGCAAUAAAGGUGGUGGUGUUGGAAUUCGACCUUAGAGAUAAAAUUGAAAAUGAGAUAGAAUUAGGAGUUUGAAGAUUCUUUGGAAUAUAAAUUAUAAAAUAGCUAUAUUUAUGAUGUAUUACAUGCAUGAUUAAUUUACUACACUACUUCUAACCAUUUUUAGAUGCAUCACAACAACUUUUAAGUUGUAAUCUAUUGAAGGAAACUACUACUAUCUUCUAGAGAAAUUUUCAUUUCCCUUACUUAAAAGUAAAAUGGGAUUGCAUAAAUGUAUAAAAAAUAGAGGGAAAAAAAAUCAAACUAUACCUAAUAGUUUAUUAUAAAAGAGAUAACCAUUUAAUAUCUUACUUAUAUUUCAUUUUUUAGUGUUUAUUAUUGUUUUUGGUACAUUUAUGUAUAUUUUAUAAUUUAUUAUUGGGUUUCACGAUUGUUAUUGUCAAGAAUAUCAUCUCUAAGACUUGAAUCUUGUUCUCCCAUUAAGAGAGUAAUAUGCCUUACCACUGCACCGAAUAUUUAUUGGUGUAGUAUUUAUUAUAACUACAAAUAAUUUUAAUUAUCUGUUUAUGAAACUCUAAGUUAGAGGUCAAAUAAAAAAGAAAUUUAAUUAAUAUAGUGUUUAACUUUUUAUCAUCUUAAUUAUUAGUUAUAAAAUUUUUUCCUCACAAUUGAAAUUUAAAAAUGAGAUUUUAUGAAAUUUAAAGAUAACAUAAUUAAUAGAAAAUUGGCAUUUUCUUUAGAGUCGGAAUUUAAGUAGUAGCAAUAUCUGUAACUGGUACUUCAAAUGUACAUUUUAUGUUUAUAAUUUUUAUAAUAUUAGGAGUUAAUUAACAUUGUAGCCUCAAAAUUGGUGUUAUGAAAGCCAUUUUUUUAUGAGAAUACUUUUCUAUUUAACAAUGAUUGUCCAGCAUGUUAUAAUUGAAACCUAUCAUGGUAUUCACUAUUACUGACUCUGAACUCGAGUAGGUUCAAGUUAUUGACCCACAACCCAAGUAGACUCAAAUGAAUUCGGGUCGGGCCCCACAAAGUGGGCACGUUAGAGUUCGCACAUCCAAUUUGUUGGUAUGCUAGAGCUCACGAGCCUAGCUCACAAGACAAGCUUGCACAUUGAGUUCACAUAUCUCUAUAUGCUUGCGAGGAGAGGUGUUAGGUCAAGCACGUGGUCCAUGAACACGUGUUAAGUCUAGAACAAGAUAUGUGUUAGCAUGCAUGAAGCCUAUCUAAGACGUCAUUUUAGUGAAUAGUAACUGUAUCAUAUAAAUACUAAGUCUUACCCCCAUAGUAGACACAAAGAGAAAAUACUCAACAAUUUGGUGCAAUGAGUGUGGUCAAACUUUUGAUCGAUAGAUUUUCAACUUGUAACAAUCAAAAUGGUGCACCGAAAUUAAAAUUUCCCCAUCAAUUUUUUGUCAAGAUAAGUUGGAGCUCUAGUGCAAACAAUCAACCUAAUAAGACAAAUUUAAUUGCCUAGUGGUUUGCUAACCGGUCGAAAAAUUUGGGUAACAUGGCUCAUGUAAGAGCUUCAAAUUUUUGACUUAAAAUUUCCUUCUGGCCAGAUAUUGUCAUUCUCCUCUGGUUAGGAAACGUCACCAAAGUAGUUUCUUGCUAUUCAGGAGUUGAUAAAGAUAAUGAAGAAACAAAUGACCCUGUAAAACGUUAGAUUCGAACAACAAUAAAUUUUUUAGCAAGAGUUGUUAAAUCAAAAUGAGGAGUUCAGAAGGAAGCUGCAGUUUGAUAAUUUUGAUUUUCAUAACAAUGCCACCAUGUGAGAAGAAGGUUUUGGCAUGCAUGCAAAAUCGUGGCAGAGUGAGAUGGAUGCUUUCAAAGAGAUGUAAGGGCUUUACAUCUUGAAUCUCUAGAUAUUGAUUGACACAUUUAUUCCAAUAAUCCAUUGGCUCUUAAGGUGGAACCAUGAUCUUGCCAACUACUUUUAAGGUUUCAAAGGAUAUGUUUGAAGGAAGAAGGGACCUACGAGUGUAUCCCAUGCAGUAUAACAAUUAUUUGAAUGUGCUGGGAGCUUUUGAUUUCGUGAAGUGCAAGGUUUUUUUUGAAAACACUGAAGGGGGUGUGAAAGAUUGAUACUUAUCUCCUCACCAGGGUUUCAUUUGUAGUUUCUCUCAGUUGGGUUAGAUGUUCUUGGGACGAUUCAGGGCAGAUAGGACAAUUAUUAGCACUUCUAUGGGUCUGAUGUCUGUGAACCAAAGAGAGGGAGAAACUUUGUAGGAUUAUGUAAAGCAUUUCCAAGUAAUGACACUAAAUACUAAGAACCUCAAAAAUCAAUGGGCCAUUAAUACUUUAAUCAUGGGUGUAAAGAAUGAGCAUAUGCAGUAUUCUUUCACUGACAAUAGGCCUCAGAGUUUGGCAAAUUUAUAUGAGAGGGACCACAAGUUCGUAGAGGCAGAAGAAAUAAAAAGAGCAGCUUGUGGGACAUUCUAAAGAGAUGAGUGGAAUUUUAGAAACAUGGAUAGAGCUCGCAGUCGACAGGGUCUACUUCCUCAGGCUUUGCGUGUACAAAAUAAGGGACAACAAAAAGGGCAAUUGUAGAGCAAGACUGUUAAAACAUUCCAAAGAUCCAAACUUGAACACACAUGGAGGUAUGUUCCUCAAAGCAAAUUCAAAUCUUAUACCCCAUUGAAUGUUAUUCUUACCUAUAUUUUGAAUUAGGUGAAGAGUCUAGGUAUUUUACUGAGCCUUCCACCUUUGUGGCAUAGUGUUAGGAGGUUACGUUCGAGGGACAGAUGUGCUUUCCACAAUGACGGGGGGCAUAAGACUGAUGAUUGCUUUUCUUUGAAGGUUGCUAUCGGGGAAGUAGUCAAAAAUGGCAAACAUGGGGAUUUUGUGGCUCAAAAUACUACUUAGCAGAGGUAGAGUUUGCGUGCUGAGGUGAAGGUAAGUAAUCUUAUAUUGUUUCUAUUAUUAUACAAAAUAUAAAGUCACAAAAGUGAGAGAAAACUCAGUCAUCAGUGCACCAAAACUCGUUAAGUUGAUCAUAGUUGCUAGUAUUAUAAUGUAUCUUCUUACAUAGAGAGAUAAGGUAGGUGUAGAGGCAGACAAAAGACGGUGAAAUUGGAUGGGACAUUAAGAGGGAAGAGAGGGAACAAUGUCAUGUGCCUAACUAUUUCUAGUGUUUGAACCGUUUUGAGUCAUAUCUUUCUUUGAACUCAUACCGUCCUAAGCCUUAGAACAUUACAAGCUUAGAAGACCAAUGUGACUUAAGUGUUCUCUAAGCAUAAUAUUUUGAAAUUGCUAACAAUUAUACUUAAUGAAUAUUUGUUGAUUCAAAUGAUUGUGUCUACUAUAUAUCUAUUUGAUUUAUGUUAACGGUGAUAUUGUUAAACAUUUGGUCAUGGAAAUUACUUCUAGUUUGUUAGUAAUGUAAAUUUGUAAACUAGUUCCUAUUUACUUUAAAAAGUUUCCAAGACAUUAAACUAUCAAGAUUAAGUUACAUGUAUGAUAAGAAUUGUUAUAUCUUUAAUAGUUGACAACAAUGUUCGUAGUAGUAAUAAAAUCCAAGUGACGUCUUCUUAUUGCAUGCUAUGUGUCUAGACUUGGUUUAUUUGAGGACAAACAAAAAGUUAAGUGUGGGGGCGUUUAUGUUUGAGGUUCUCAUUUACAUCCAUCUUCAUUAUCUUAAGCUUGUUUAAAGAAAGGAACCCAGUUAAAUUUUUUUUAUUUUGCCCUUUUUUACGGCUAAAAUUUUCUUUAUGUUUUUAUGUUUAUUUUUCCCAUUCUUUUUUUCUUUGUUUAUUUUAAUUAUAUGUUUACAUUGCUUGGGAUCAAGCAAUGACUUAAGUGUGGGGGAGUAAUUUGAUAUACCGUAAUUCGAUGUAGUAGAUUAAACUAGUUUUCCUACUUAAAGAGCUUAGAUAUGAGCAUUUUAGUUAUGCUUUAGUUAGUUUUUGUAUUUUAGUUUUAAUUCAAUAAAAAGUGUAAAUUGUGUCUUUUUAUGAUCUUAGGGGCCGAAUGGGGCCUAAAGGUAGGCUAACAUGCUUAGUAAGUGUGCAGGACACCAUUCAAAGGCAUAGGAACUCGAGGUUGGUCGCCAUGUUGCGACAUGGGAAUUCAAUCUUGCAACAUAGAGGAUAUUCCAAGAUUGUCUUUAAUGUCGCGACAUAGACAAUGGAUGUCGCAACACACCCCUGAAGCUGAAUAUAGGAAUCAAGUAUACUACCUUCAAUGUUGUGACAUAGGUAGCGGGUGUUACAACACCAACUCUGCAUAGGAAAUAAUUACGAGCUGGGGGCAUUUUGGUCCACACAAUGAAAAUUAACACAAAAAAAUCAACCAACCUAGGUUUAAGGACGACGACCACCCCUUACUCUAUAAAUAGACUUAUUAGACACAUGUUUAAAAAACAAUUUUAGGGAGACAAAAAUUAUUAUUAGGUUUUUAUUCUGUUAUAAGUUUUUACUUAGUUAUUUGCUGUUCUUGUAAUCGAAAGGUCCUAUUCCGAAGUGAGAUUCUCAUGAGGGGAGAUUGUUCCGAAGACACUUUCUUAAUAAAAUACUUUUAGUGAAAUUAGAAGUCUUACUUAUAAAUGGUAAUUUUUAUUAAUAAUAAAAAAUAUUUAUCUUUGUGCCAAAAAAACACCGCAUAGAUCAUAAAAAGGAAAAACUAAAACAUCCAAAAAAAAAUGUCAAACACUAAACACAAAAUUCAUAGUUGUAGAGGAGGAUUAGAUACAUUGGUCCCAUAAUAUGUCACUCAAAAUCUUAAAAUCAUCCAACAAAAAGAAAUCAUCACUUCAAUUAAUUAAAGCAAGAACAAAGAAAGUUAUGGAUGAACAAAUAUGGGAAGUAAAGAAAAAUGAUGGAUCAAAAGGGACGAAUACGCUAAUUUCUGCCAUCAGGUAGAUGGUGAACUUAGGUGUGGAGUUCUAAUAAAUACCUAAACAUACCUAAACUUUUAUUUUAUGAUGAAAUGAUUGGUUAAAUUACUUUAUAACAUCUUACAUUUUAUAAAUGCAUAAUAAUGACACUAGGUUUUAAUCUCUUAAGGUAACUUUUAUCUUAUUUACUUAGAAAGAUUGCAUAAAUUUAAUAACAAAAAGAAGAAUAAAAGAAACAUGAAAUUAUACCUGUCAAUUUGUUAUUGCUAAGACCAAGAAUUCGAAGAGAAGUCAAGUUUCAAAUAAUAAGAGGAAUUUCACCUGAAACAUAUAAUUAAAUCAGUAAAAGUUUCCAAUAAUAAGAGCAAAACCUUAAUUUAUUUGUUGAGCAUAUUAGUGUCUAUUUGAUUUACCUAUUAGUAAGUUUUGGUUUUCCUAUUUUUAAUCAUUCUUCAAUAUGUUGAAAAUUUUCAUUCCAAGGAUGUAGGCACAACAUCCCUUGAUUAUAAUGUAAAAUUUCCAAUUUCCAUAGGGAUACUUUCAUCCAAAGAGUUGUUAUAGAAUGAUAAAAAUGUCAACUCUUUACACUUGAUUAAACUAUUUGGGAUUCUACCCGAAAUCUUAUUGCCUCUCAACUUUAAGGCUUGCAAUUUAGAUAGGUUAUCAAAUAUUUCUAACGGUAGAUGGCCUACAACGAUAAUAUUGUUACCUAGUUUUGACAUUUCUAGUUUUGAGAAAUUGCUUAGGGUAUAUAGGGAUAAUACCACUGAAGUUGUUACUAUACAAAUACAAGCUUUUAAAUUUCAGAAAUUAUUGUUACCAAAGUUGAAAUAUUCUAACCGAUGCAAACUAGUGUACUCAAUGGGUAAACAAACAUAGAAACUAUUGUUACAAAUGUUGAGUUUGGCAAGGAAAGAAGAUUUCCAGUUGAGAUGGUAUGGUGUUUGUGAAAUCCAUACCUAAUGCAUCAAGAGUUGUGAUGUUUGAAUUUAUAAGUUACCUCAAUUUAAUGGCAAACAUAAGUAAAAGUAAUCUAUGAGGUCUUAGUGCUACAAGGUUGAUUUGAUUAACGGUGAAAUUAGGUAGGGGGUAAGGCUAUUCUGAGAGGAGGGAAAUAAUUGAGUGUAAUAUAAUGUUCAAAAUUCUACAAAUACUUUGAUUCUAUGGAUUAAGGCAUAGAACUUGACCAUUUGAGUAAGAAAUAGCCACAUUUAUUGGGCUACAACCCCAAAACCUUCACAUACCCACAACUAAUGUUCAAUAUUCUAUAUAUCAGUAAAUAUAUAAUUAUUUUUCUUAAUUAUUUUAAGAGUUUAAUAAGGCAAAUCCAAAAGGUAGAAGAAAUAGCUAAUUAGAAGUAGUGUGUGAUUCAAAAGGGUAUAAAGUAGGUCCAAAUUAAAAAUCAAAAUUUAAAAUACUUUAGUGUAAAAUUUAAGUCUUUUCUUAUCACUAAAUAAAUUUAGUUUUAGAGAAAUUAGAAGUUUUAAUAAAAUACUUGAAAUAACUAAUUGCUUAUGACAAGGUGAAAAUUUGAUGAAAAAACAUAUAAUUAAUAAUUUAUAUAUCUAUUUCUCUCAUACUAUGGACUAUGGUCGAGCAAAAAUUAAUAAAAAAAUAAAUAAAUGGAUAGAAAUAGCUUAGUUACAAGAUUGAUGUUAAUUCAAUAAUUUUUUAAUAAAAACACACAUUGUUUCCAAAAGGGUAAGAAAUAGGUCCAAAUUAUAAUUCAGAACAUAAAUUAAUUUAAUGUAAAAUUUAAAUAAAAUUUAAAAUUUUUUGUUAUUAUCAAAUAAAUUUUCUUAAUAAAAUACUUUUAGUGAAAUGAGAAGUCUUACUUAUAAAUGGUAAUUUUUAUUAACAAUAAAAAAAAUAUUUAUCUUUGUGCCAGAAAAAAACACCGUAUAGAUCAUAAAAAGAAAAAACUAAAACAUCCACAAAAAAUAUGUCAAACACUAAACACAAAAUUCAUAGUUGUAGAGGAGGAUUAGAUACAUUGGUCCCAUAAUGAAAAAAUCAUCACUUGUGUUAAUUAAAGCAAGAAUAAAUGAAGUUAUGGAUGAACAAAUAUGGAAACCAAAUUAGAAAAAUGAUGGAUCAAAAGGGAUGAGUAAACUAAUCAAUCAUUUUUAUUAGUUUUCAAGUUGAGGCUUAUAUAUAUAUAUAUGCAGAGUUAGAAAUACUACAAAAGGUUGACAUUUUUUAAAAGUAUGAUAAUUUGAAUAGAAGUAACAUAUGUUAAUGUGGAGUAAUUGUUCCAUAUAAUCCUUUUUAUGAUGAAAUGAUUGCUUAAUUUACUUCAUAAGAUCUUACAUUUUCUAACUGCAUAAUAAUGACUGUAAGGUUUUAAUCUUUUAAGGUAAAUUUUAUUUUAUUUACUUAAAAAUAUUGUAUAAAUUUAAUAACAAAAAGGAGAAUAAAAGAAAUAUGAAAUUAUACCUGUCAAUUUGUUAGUGAAAAGAUAAAACUCUCGAAUAGAAGUCAAGUUUCUAAUAACAAGAGGAAUUUCACCUGAAAUGUAUAAUUAAAUCAGUAAAUAUUUGUAAAUAUUUUCCUAGCAAACCCUUAAUUUAUUUGUUGAGCAUAUUAGUGUCUGUUGAUUUACCUAUUUUUAAAUAUGCAAGUUUUGUUUAGUUUUAUAGUACUUAUGACAACCCAAAAUUAUUUUAAUUUUAAUACUUGAAUUUAUAGUUGAAAUGAAGAUGACAAUUAGAAGGAAUUGAUUAGUAAUAUAUAGCACCUGGUGGAGGAGGGAAAAUACCAAAAUGAGCUUUAUAAAAUGCAGUGUUUCGGGAAUAUAGAAAGUUGAAGCUACAAGUCUUAUCUCCCUGAAGUUGCAGUGGAGCAGACCAAAUAUAACAGAUUUUGUUCUUUGAGAAACUACAAAUUACAAAUCCUAUCUCCCGGACGUUGCGGUGGAAUGGAUCGAAGCAAUUCCUAUACCUCUGAAGAUGCAGCAGGAUGGAAUGAGAUUACUGGAAGAGAAGAGCACCAAGACCCAGCACGACCGGACAAAAUUGGUCAUUUUAAAGUCUUUGCUCUGUUCCCGUUGCACGACAACGAGCAAAGAGGGGUAGUUGUAAUACCCAAUUUGCCCGACCCAAUAAAAAUAAAAACAAAAUUUAUUAAAGUCCAUUUACAUUGGCCCAAUAGCUUAAAAACCAAAUAAAAUAACAGUCCAAAAACAACCCAAUCACGAGGGCCCCAGUUACCAGCCCAAUUCGGCCCACUAGCCUAAACACCUAAUGGCCCAACGCAGCCCAAAUCUCAACCUAAUUGCAGAAACCCUAGUGGCGAGCAAGCCCCAGCGCCGCAUCAGCCCCAACUCCUCCGCGCGUGCCAAGCCUCUGCCCACACGCAUGCGCCUUUGCCUCCGUAAAUGCCACGCCCCCAGCCUUGCACUCCGUACCUGCAAGAGACGAACAAACGAGCAGUAAAAACAGACAAUAACGGCAAAAAAGGAGCAGCGAUGAGGGAUUGACAGCAAAAAUUAGCAGUAAAUAGAAAAUGUAAAAAAUUUUAAAAUUUCUUUGUCUCUAUUCAGCUAUAAAAAGUUCCGAUUGAAAUUUGUAAGACUUACGCAAUCAAAAAUACAAAAAAAAAUCACAAUACCACAAGGUGAUUCCUUUUUUUUCUUUCGCAAAUUGUUUCUUUUGUUUCUUUCAUUUUUACAUCUAUUGAUGGCUUGUGGAAGUAGUAAAAGAGAAAGGGCGUACCUCGUGACCGGAUCUGUUGCUCUUUCUCCGUUGUCAUCGGAGUUUGGGGCAUGGUCCGGAGAGUCUCUGAAGGAGGCGAUAAACGUUGAGCGGCGCCGAGAGAGAGAGCUUAAGUUUUUUUAAAUGAGAUAAAAGUGUUAGGUUAGGUUUUUUUUUUGUUUUAGUCUUAAUCACCGGAUUUAAAACGGUGCCGUUUGAUGACCAAACCCGAGCGGUGACCCGACCCGGGAAGGAUCCGCGCACUAUGGGUCGUUUGGUUUAUUUAUUCAAUAGGUCCAUAUGUGUUUAUUGAGAUUGCGAUUUGAUUUCCUUUAGUUGUUUGUAAUUUGUACCGCAUAUUUGAUUCUGUACUCACUUAGAUCCAAACUUAAACUGUGCUGUUUUCUAUGUUAUUUUGAUUAUUUUAAAUUUUUGCGCUAAAUUGCUAUAACAGUCCCUAUGAUUUCUAAUGAUUUUCAAUGCGGAUGUUGGCUCAUUUAUUUCAAAUUAACUCUUAAAAUUUUGUUUGAUUUCAAAAUAGAUCCACUUUCAUUAAACUAAUUGGUUUAUUAUCAUUAAUUUCAUUUGUUGUUAUUAUUUUAAUAGUAUAUAUAUAUAUAUUAGUUAACCUAAUUUUUCUAUAAAUUCAUAAUAUUUCAUAUUUUCAUAUAUAUGUAUAUAUAGCAUGUGUUUUAGUAUACGUAUGUAUAUAUAUAAUAAUCUAUUAUUAAUUUCAAAUGAUAUUUUUAUGCAUAAAAACCUUAUUCCUUUUAAAUUUGUUAUCUUAUUUUAGUUAUUUAACUUUUAUAUAUUAUUACUGUAUAUACUUUUUUUAUUAAGUUUUAUUUAUAUAAAUCCAAAUGUAAACAUUAAUGUUAAGCUAUUCACUUUUAUUUUAUUUCAUGUUUUUCUAUAUUUUUCUCUUUUUUAAAAUUUAUGCAAACCUUUUAUUUGUUUUUUUUUUAACUCAGCAACUAAUGUUCAAUAUUCUAUAAAUACAAAAAAAACUCUAAUCUUCUUUUACAAGUAAAAGACGGUGAUAGUCUCCAAGAGAAAGAGACAAGUAAGGAGGGUGUAGGCAAACAAUACAUUCAUUACAUAUUUAUUUUUGCAUGUCUCAUUUUAUUUACUGUCACUACACAUUUUAUAUAUAUAUAAAUUAUUAAAUAUUAAAUUUUAUAUAUAAAAAAAAUCCACAUCUUACUUAUUUUAUUAAUACAUAAACAGUAAAUCGUUUAGAUGAUUUCAAGUUAAAAAAUAUAUAUUUUAAAUUUUAUGUGGAUUCUUUUAAGUUCAAUAUUCAAAUUAUUGCUCUCUUUUUACUUGUACCAAUAUUUCCUAUAUUUUUCUUAUGUUAAAAUAGUCAAACUAUUAAAUAUAUAAUUAAUUGGAGAGAAGUCAAAAGCUAAUUAAUAAUAUAUAGGGAUUGCAUAAAUGUAACAACAAAAAGAAAAAAAUGAUAUUAUACCUGAUAAGUUAUUAUAAGAAAAAAAUCAAACGGAUAGAAAUAGCUGAGUUACAAGUUUGAUGUUAAUUCAAUAAAUUUUUUAAAAAAAAAACAUAUUAUUUCCAAAAGGGUAAGAAAUAGGUCCAAAUUAUAAUUUAGAAUAUAAAUUAAUUUAAUGUAAAAUUUAAAUAAAAUUGAAAAUUUUUGUUAUUAUCAAAUAAAUUUUCUUAAUAAAAUACUCUUAGUGAAAUUAGAAGUCUUACUUAUAAAUGGUAACUUUUAUUAACAAAAAAAAAUAUUUAUCUUUGUGCUAGAAGAAAACACCGCAUAGAUCAUAAAAAGGAAAAACUAAAACAUCCAAAAAAAAAUAUGUCAAACACUAAACACAAAAUUCAUAGUUAUAGAGGAGGAUUAGAUACAUUGGUCCCAUAAUGAAGAAAUCAUCACUUCUGUUAAUUAAAGAAAGAACAAAUGAAGUUAUGGAUGAACAAAUAUGGGAACAAAAGAAAAAUGAUGGAUCAAAAGGGACGAAUAAAUUAAUCAAUCAAUUUUAUUAGUUUUCGAGUUGAGGCUUAUAUAUAUAAUAUAUAUGUCGAGUUAGAAAUACUACAAAAGGUUGACAUUUUUUAAAAAUAUGAUAAUUUGAAUAGAAGUAACAUGCUAAUGUGGAGUAAUUGUUCUAUAUAAUCCUUUUUAUGAUGAAAUGAUUGCUUACUUUUCUUCAUAACUUCUUACAUUUAGGCAUAAUAAUGAGGUUUUAAUCUUUUAAGGUAACUUUUAUUUUAUUUACUUAAAAAUUUGCAUAAAUUUAAUAAAAAAGAAUAAAAGAAACAUAAAAUUAUACCUAUCAAUUUGUUAUUGCUAAGAUAAAGUGAUUAGAGAGAAGUCAAGUUUCUAAUAACAAGAGGAAUUUCACCUGAAACGUAUAAUUAAAUCGGUCCAAAUUUGUAAAUAUUUUCCUAACAAACCCUUAAUUUAUUUGUUGAGCAUAUUAGUGUCUGUUUCGUUUACCUAUUUUUAAAUAUGCAAGUUUUGUUUAGUCUUAUAGUACUUAUGAUAACCCAAAAAUAUUUUAAUUAUAAUACUCAAAUUAACAAUGUAAGAGCCCAUUUUUGCCCGGGCCCAAUAACAAAUAACCCACAAAAAAAUAAUGCCCACAGUCCAAAAUUAUCUUACGAGCCCAAAAUAUAACAGCCCAAAGCCCAACAAACUAAUUUUUUUUUCAGCAAAAACCCUAACCCUAGCCUCCAAGCGCCGCAACCUUUACUGCCCAUGUGUGCCGCUCCACCUCCUCACGCACACGCCCUGCCACCACCGUCGGUCUGACACCUGCAAAAAGGAGACCCACACGCAACAGUAAAAUAGCCAAGCAACAAGACGCCAAGGAAAAUAGAAAUCAAGGGUUUGUAACGUGGCUAUAAAGGCCAAGAUAAUCUUGUUGUAAUUUUUUUACGCACACCAGUGAAUUGAAACUCAGAAACCAAAUUCUAAAGGUUGAUAUUUUUUUCUUUUGCAAACUGUUCUUUUCGUUUUUCUUUCUGUUAUUCUUUCUAUUUACUUUUUUUUUUAAAAAAUCUAUAAUAAAAAAGGUUAGCAAAUAAGAUAAAAAAAAGAAAAAGGAAAGAAAUACCUGAAUCGGCCCUUGGACCGGCCGGCGUUGGUCCAUUGCCGUCGUCGGAUUCGGGCUCGAGAGGGGGCCAAAGACCUUGUUUUCUCCUUGACUUCCCUUUUCAAAGUUACGGCGCUCUGAAUAUGCCUCAAAAGCACGGAUCGGGGAUUCCGUAGCGCGACGCCGACCAUCGGCCAUGGCGGCGAUUAGGAGCGGUCGAGAAAAGGGGUUGAGGGGAUUUGGGAUCCUCAGUUUUUUUAAAAAGAAAGAAAUGGGGGCUGAUUUCUCUUUUUUAGGGUUUUAUUUUUUUCUAUUUAUAUGAGAUUCUAAACUGUGCCGUUUGAAAGCUUGGAUAGCUGCGCAUUAUUGUCUUAAUGGGUACUUUACGCAAUUAGUCCCUCCAAUUCUGUGGACAUUCGAUGCACUCUUUUAUUUUCCUUAAUUUUGGCCACAUAAUUUGGCGCCUGUUCCAAUCUGGUCCUGCACAAAACGAUACGCAUAAGGGCUGGGGAAUAUUUCUCUAUAAGUCCCUAAUUCUUUGAGCGCGUCCCAAUUCAGUCUCGAACCACCCUCUUUUAUUUAUUUACAGUUUGGACCCCCAGAUUUUGGCUUGAUUUUAAUUUCAUCCUUUAGUUCAUUUAAUUUAUUAUUUUUAAAAAAAAGAAAAGAAAAGGGGAGUUCCUUUAUUAUUUAUUUUAAGUUAUAUAUAUAUGUGUGUAUAUUUUAUUUACCUAAUAUUUUUCUUAUUGUUUGUAUUACUUGAUUUAAGUCAUUAUAUAUACGUACAUGUGUUUUUUAUAAUACAUAUAUACACGUACAUAUUUUUCUAUAAUAUAUAUAUAUACUCAUAUACAUUUCUUACUAUAUCUUAUAAUUUAUAUAUAUAUGUACAUAUUCUUUAUUUAUUUUAAAUAUAUAUUUUUUAUAUUUCAUAUUUUCUACAUGCAUAUAUAUACUUAUAUAUUUACAUAUUUUAAUUCAUAUACCUAUACAUGUAUAUAGAUACUUACAUAUAUUUUUAUAUUUAAUAAUCUCACAAUAUGUAUACGUACAUAGAUUUUUCAUAUUUUCAUAAUUUUGUGUACAUUCAUGUAUAUACGUUUUUUACAUCUAUUCGUUAUUUAUUUAUUUAUUUAUUUACAUUUUCAUUAUUAUUUAGAAAGGAGGAUUCAAUUUUAUUUGCCUAUGUACUCGUCCCUUUUAUUAUCUUAUUUUCGUUGCUAUUGCUCGUGUUGUUUUUAUGCAAUCAUAUUCAUUAUUGUUUUGCUAUGCAUAUUAACACCAUACAUCAAAAAGAAAAUUUUUUCUAAAUAAGGCAAUGUUUUGCGUUUGGAAAAUCGAGAAAACGUGCCCUAACGUGCUGGGUUUCGAUUUCUCGUUCGACCAAAAUAGCCAAAUAUCCUUUUUAAACUUUCAAAAUAAGGCAAUAUUUCGUAUUUAGAAAAUUCGAGAAAAUCGUGCCCUAACUUACUGAGCUUCGAUUUUUCUCGCGUUGAUCCUAAAUAACCGAAUAUCCUUUUAAAAUUGAAAUAAAUGAGGUUUAAACAGAAAAAUAAAAAGGCAAACUUAUUCUCAAAAUACGAGAUGUCGGGUCCUAACUUACUGGAUGUGACAUCUUCUUACUUCGAGAUAAGGAAGCAUUUUCUAUUUUUAUUAAUUCGAGUAAUUUUAAAAUAACACAAUAAAGAGGGAUCGUAUUUUUAAAUUCUUUUCGAGUUUUUAAUCUUCAACACUGAGACAUUAAUUAAUCAACUAGGUACCAAUUUUGGGCGUAUCGAGGGUGCUAAUCCUUCCUCGUGCGUAAUCGACUCCCGAACCUGUUUUUUUCCUGAAUUUCGGAAACCAAAAUUAUUGUUUUAAUAAAUCAAAUCAUUUAUUAAAAUAAUGACUUUUCGAGGUGAUCCGAUCACACCUCAUCAAAAAGGAUUGGUGGCGACUCCUGUUUUCGUUUUCGUUUUCAAAAACCAAGUCGACCACGUUUUAUAAAAAAAUGGUGUCAACAGCUUGGCGACUCCACUGGGGACCAAAUAAGAUAGUCAAGCCACGUGUUGAUUAUUUCUUGUCUUUUUGUCGAAAGUUGAAAAUUCGAUUUAAAUUUACGAUCCUAUCAUUGCAUCUCUUUUGUUUUGAGUUAUAUUUUUCAUCGUGUUCUGUAUUUUAUUUUUAUAUCUCUGCAAAUUGCAUUGCAUGACCGCUGGUCACACCCUUUUAAGUGGGAGUGAGAAACUAGUCCUUCGUGAGGUUUUCACCUCCGUGCAGGAUAGUGGAUUGCUUUCGGGAUACAUCCAUACCUAUGUCUUCGUGAGAUUUUCAUCUCCGUGCAGCCAUAGGGAAAUGUAUUCCCCUGAGCCAAACUCAAUCCGUAUAAGCAUAUAAUGGGUGAGGAUCGAGGAAUCUGCUGGUUCGGGUACCCUUGCUUUAGAACUAAACCACAUAUAGUGAACCUAAGAGCAUACCCUAGGUAGAACCACUUCAAACCCCUACUGGUCACCCGAAUAGACGUUUUAUUUAUUCUUGCUUGCUUUUGCUUUGUACUAACCUGUUUUCUUUUUGGUUAUGAUUGCAUUACAUUUUCGUCAUAAAAAGAGAUGUUGAUUCACGUUCAGUUGCUAAAUAGAGAGCUUGUCAUAAGAAAAUGGGUUUCUUGAUAAAAUGGAUAACAAUACGGUUGUCCUAAUAUGGUCUAAGAAAGUGUGAUAAAAGAAGAAUGAUAGUUUACUGGAGGAGUACACGACCUUGCCUCGUUGCCCGAAGACUCAAACUGACGAAGAUUAUUCGGGAGUUACUAACACAGCUAAUGACGCGAUGACGAAUGACCAAUGGGGUACGACUCGGAUCAAGCAAACAUGGAGGUAGAAGAGGCACCCAUUGGGAGAGUUUACGAGAUUCGAUCUUAGCAUUUGGACAUAAGGAUCGAUGUCUUCACUUCGAGUAUUAGGGCAAUAUAUAUAUCUGCUUUAUGUAAAGAGAUCUGUUUUCUAGUAAAGUUGUUCUAAUAGAUUUGAACCAAAAUCAACGUCUCUUUUUGCAUUCAUAUAUAUGCAUUACAUUUUAUUGCAUGCAUCUUCUCCAUUCAUUAACAUUACAUUUCAUUGCAUACAAUAAUUUUCCUAAAAUCCAAAAGUGCAUUAAGUUUAGAACUCUAGUACAGAACUCUAGAAUUGGAAUUCUUCGGAGAUAUCUAUGGUAAGGAAUGAUGUUCGUGCCUUUGAAGAAGGAACUAAAAAAUUAUCAAGAAUUUGUUUCUACAUCCCUAGAGGCAUUCUAAACAACCGGACUGUGAAGGAGAUUCUUGUAAUUUUUAGGACCAUUUCAGAGAAAUAUUUGGAAUGCUCUUAUUGCACUAAGCCUAUGAGCAAUAGAAAAUCCUUUUGUGAAAAAGGCACACGUCCACUAUUCUUUAUUUCAACGAAAUGCAUCUUUGUGUCUUGUUUUGGCAAACAUUCUUUUGUUCCUUCCAUUUCAUUCACACUCAUACCACACAAAAGCUCUUUGAGUCUUCCUUUAUCCUUAGAACAGGUCUCUAGAUAUCAAUGAUAUGAGCAACACUGCUAUUGACUCAGAAUCUUCUUUUGAGCAAGAUAUGUGUCCAGAGGUACCUCAGGACUUUGAAGAUGACCGAGACUGUGGUUUAUCUCCUGAUUUGUUAAGGAUGGUAGAAUAAGUCAAAACAGAUCCUACCUUACAAAAAAAAUCAGCGGAGAUUGUGGGCUUAAGAGAAAAGAAAGAGGUGAAGAUCGGAGCAUGUAUCACUGCAAAGAGAAAGCGAGAUGUCAUUAAGUUACUCUAAGAAUUUAAAGAUGUUUUCGCAUGAUCAAGAUAUGCAUGAUCUGCUAAGACAUGUGGAUGCUGUUGAGACUAAGAAAUAUUAGAAAAGGUCCAUAAGGGUGCCUGAGGAACACAUGCUAAUAGUUUUGCAAUGGCCAAGAAAAUCAUGAGAUAUGGUUACUACUAGUCCACCAUGGAAGGGGAUUGCAUCAGUUAUGCCAAGUGUCAAAUUUGUGGAGUCAAGAUUUAAGUGCUUUCUUCAUCUCUUCAUGUUAUUACUCUUCCAUGACCUUGUUCUAUGAGGGGCAUGGAUGUCAUCAAAUUGAUCGAGCCGAAAGCUUUCGGUGGUCAUCGAGUCAUUUUUGUGGUCAUCGAUUACUUCACUAAGUGGGUGAAAGUUGCUUCAUAUGCCGGUCUCAAAAUGGACAGUCAGCAAAUUCCUGAAAAAGAAAUCAUAUGUCGGUAUGGAAUGCCAAAAGGCUCAUAUCAGACAAUGCAUUGAAUUUGAACAACGGCACGACAUCAGAAGUUUGCAGUCUAUUCAAGAUUAACACCAUGUCGCCCAAAAUGAACAGUUUAGUGGAGGUAAAAAAAUAGAAAAACAAAAAAAGCAAAAACAAAAAAAUAAAAAAAUGCGAAAACAAAAAAUAAAACAAAAAAACCUCUACCGGGGCACCUCAUUUCUCAUUGGUAUAUGGAAUAGAGGCAGUCUUACCCAUCGAAGGUGAUAUUUCUUCCCUUUCGAGUCUUGUCAGAGUUGAAGUUGGAUGAAGCAGAAUGGAUCCAAGCCCGAUAUGAUCAGUUAAAUUUGAUCGAAGAGUAAAGGUUGAAAGCUAUCCGUCAUGGUCAAAUGUACCAAAAGGGAAUGAUACGAGUUCACCAAAAAAGGUUCGCUCCAGAGAAUUCUAUGAGGGGGACCUGAUAUUGAAGAAGAUCUUUCCCAUACAAAAGGACUUCAGAAGAAAGUGGAUGUCAAACUGGAAAGGACCUUAUGAGGAAGGCCUUAUCUGGAAAAGCGUCGAUAUUGACCAAGAUGGAUGGCAAGAACCUGCCUAAUCUUGAGAAUUCUGAUUCAAGCAAUACAUACUUCACUUGAAAAAGAAACGAAACAAAAAAACAAAACAAAAAAGAAAAAGAAAAAGACAAAGAAAAAGGAGAGGCUAAGGUGAAAACCCGCAAAGGGCGCCUUGAGACCAAAGGGGUUUUGAAUUGAAAACCCAGGAAUGGGCAAUUCAAAUUUUUUGAUCAAAGGUGGGGCAUGCGGUAGUCUUGUCCUCUCUGAAUUAAUAAGAAGGAGAGAUACUACAUCUUAGGGCAUCAACAAAGUCUUUUAGGACUUCUAAACACAUAUCAAGUUCAAAAGGGUCUUCAAUGAGCUCGGGGCAGAGAAGCUCAUGCUACGAUAUAUGGAGCACCUAUUUCCAUUUUAUUCAUUUUUUUUGGUAUUUUUGACAAAAUACGCCAUCUUGAUUAAUUUAUUCUCAUUUUGUAUUCUAGCAAAAUUUGCUAUCUUGAUUAAUUUGUUCAUUUAGAGCUUUGCUCUCAAUAAAUUUCCAUCUUAUCAAUUGUGAUAAUAUUUUUCAUCUUAUUCAUCUCGUAUAUCAGCAAAAUUUGAUAUCUUGAUUGAUUUAUUUGUUUAGAGCUUUGCUCUCAACAAAAUUUCAUUUUGUCCAUUUUGAUAAUCUUUUUCAAGCAUUUUUCAUUGAAAUAACGAUUAUUGGACUGAUAAUAUUCAAGCAGAAGGAGUUCUGCAUAUUACUUUGAAAACUUUUAAAUAGUACGAGGACCUGAAACAGGGUUAUUGUUUAGAACUAACCAACUUAAGGGUUAGAAGCAUUGGAGAAAGAAUAGUCUAAAUUGCGACUAUUUCUUUAGGUUUUCUGUCAAAGAUACCGGCUGAACAAGAAGACAUCAGUGAUAGAACCUUGAUGAACAAUGAGGAAUGACAACCUAAGCAUUAAAAAUGGAUCAUUCUUAUGACAUUCUACAAAUAUCAUACAUACAUAUCUAGUUAGGAGCAUUUGAUUUAUUCUGAUCAUGUCAUCCUAAACACUAGGCAUAAAUAGGUCCAUAAAAUAGAUUUUACCGGUCAUGUUCCCCAGAGAACAGAUCAAAGAAACAGAUCAUAUACCCCUGAAGUUGCAGUGGGAUGGAUUGAAGUUAUUAAAGUAGAUCUUGUCUUCAUGUAUUGGCGUAAAGUAGAUCGAAGAUAGCAGGUCAUGCCUUCCUAUAUUGGUAGGAAGUGGAUCGAAGAUGCAGAUCUUGUCUUCUCGUGUUGGCAGUGAAGUAGAUUGAAGAUAGCAGGUCUUGUCUUCCUAUAUUGGUAGGAAGUGGAUCGAAGAUGCAGAUCUUGUCUUCUCGUGUUGGCAGUGAAGUAGAUUGAAGAUAGCAGGUCUUGUCUUCCUAUAUUGGUAGGAAGUGGAUCAAAGAUGCAGAUCUUGUCUUCCCAUACUGGUGGUGAAGUAGAUCGAAGAAAGCAAAUCUUGUCUUCAUGCAUUGGCGUGAAGUAGAUCGAAAAUGCAGAUCUUGUCUUCCCAUAUUGGUGGCGGAGUAGAUCAAAUAUGCAGAUCUUGUCUUCCCAUACUGGUGGCGAAGUGGAUCGAAGAAAACAGAUCUUAUCUCUCUGAAGUUGCAGUAGAGCAGAUCAUAUCAAACCUUAUCUCUCUGGCGAUGCAGUGAAGCAGAUUAAAACUACAACGGCGAAUCUUGUUUCCCCGACAUUGCAAUUAAAAAGAUUAAAGCCGUAACGGCAAAUCUUACUUCCAUGGCGAUGCAGUGGAGCAGAUUAAAGCUACGACGGUGAAUCUUGCUUCCCCGACAUUGCAAUUUAAAAGAUUGAAGCCGCAACGACGAAUCUUACUUCCUUGGUGGUGCAGCAGAACUGAUUAAAGCUACAACAGCGAAUCUUGCUUCCCCGACAUUGCAGUUAAUCAAACUAAAAAUAACAGAUCUUAUCUCCCUAAGCAGUAGGGAUCAGAUCGCAUCAAGUCUUAUCUCCCUAAGCAGUAGUGGAGCAGAUAAAAAAACCAAUCCUAUCUCCCUGAAGUUACAGUGGAACGGAUUAAAACCACAGAUCUUAUCUCCCUAAGCAGUAGUGGAGUAGAUUGCAUCAAAUCUUAUCUCCCUAAGCAGUAGUGGAGUAGACGAAAAAAACCAAUCCUAUCUCCUUGAAGUUACAGUGGAGCGGAUUAAAACCACAGAUCUUAUCUCCCUAAGCAGUAGUGGAGCAGACGAAAAAAACCAAUCCUAUCUCCCUGAAGUUGCAGUGGAGUGGAUUAAAACCACAGAUCUUAUCUCUCUAAGCAGUAGUGGAGCAGACAGAACCACAGAUCUUAUCUCCCUAAGCAGUAGUGGAGCAGACAGAACCACAGAUCUUAUCUCCCUAAGUAGUAGUGGAGCAGAUCACCUCAAGUCUUAUCUCCCUAAGCAGUAGUGGAGCAGGCAGAAAAAAAAUCCUAUCUCCUUGAAGUUGUAGUGGAGCGGAUUAAAAACACAGAUCUUAUCUCUCUAAAGUUGCAGUAGAGCAGAUCACAUCCAGUCUUAUUUCUCUGAAGUUGCAGUGGAGCAGACUAAAACCACAAAUCUCAUCCCCAUGGAGUUGCAGCAGAGUAGAUUGAAGUCAUAUCUCUCUAAAGAUACCGUGAAAUGGAUCAAAGCAAUAAGACGCAGUGGACUGGAAUGAAGCUAAUUGAAGAAGAGAAACACCAGAACGAGUCGAGAAUCAGCGAGACCGGGCAAUUUUGGUUUUUCUUAAAAGUCUUUGCUUCAUUCCCGUUGCACGACAACGAGCAAAGAGGGCUCAGCUGUAAAGCCCAAAAUCUGCCCGGGCCCAACACAUUCAAAACAGCCCAAUUAUAAAAAAACAAGCCCAGAUUCCUAACCCAAAUCAAAACUAAACCCUAGCCCAACUAAAACUAAAAAUUAUCAGCCAAGGGGAACCCUAGCCUCUGCUGCUCCUCCCUAGGCGCCGCAUGCCUGCCCCUAGCCUCUGCCGCUGCCUGCCACCACCAUAUGCGCCACUCCCGCUCCACCACGCGUCUGACAGCUGUAAGACCAAGGCAGCACGCAAUAACAAAUAAAAAACAAUGUAAAAAACAAAACAGAGAUUAAAGUGUUUGUAAUCGGGUUAUAAAAUCCCUAAGCACUGCUUCUAUUUCUUCUUCUUCGGCUUUUGACAAAAGAUUAAUAAAAAAAGAAACAGAACACCGAUUUUCAAAGGUGAAAUUUCAUUUUUUUCUUUUCUUUUUCUGUUUGAGUUUUUUAUUUUCGCAUAUUAAAUAAGUAAUAAAAGAGAAGGGAAAGGGGAUUACAUGAAUCGGCCUUUAGGCCCGCUGCCGAUGGCGCUUCACCGUCACCGGAUGUGGAUUUAAAGAUAGGCCAAGGCUUUUUUUCCCCUCGGUCCCUUGUUCCGUGGCCUCAACCUCCGAAUACGCUUCAGUGCGCUGAGGGGUGACGUCCUCGCAUGGCUCCGGCCACCGGGCAGUGGAGGCGUGACAGCGGCGGGGUUCCUAGCCUUGGAACCCUAGCAGGAAAGGGGACUUCCAUUGUAAAUUUUUUUUGUGUUCCUUGACAGCAAAUGAAACAACAGAAAAAAAGCAAAAUUUUUUAGUUUUAUAGUAAUUAAAACGGCGCCGUUUGAAGGAAGGAGGGCUGCGCAUUAUUGCCCUAAUGGGUAUUUUACACAAUUAGUCCCUCCAAUUCUUUGGCACAUUCGAUGCAGCCUUUUAUUUCACUUAAUUUCGGCCACAAAAUUUUGCGUCUGUUCUGAUCUAGUCCUUCACAAAAUGACGCGCAUGAAGACUGGGGAAUAUUUCCCAUGUAGUCCCUCGUGUUUUGAGCGCACUUUAUUUCAGUCCCUUGACACCCUGUUUUACUUAUUUGCGAAUUUGGCCCUAAAUUUUUAGCCUGAUUUCAAUUUGAUCCUCGGCCUGUUGAACCUUAUUUUUUAUUUUAUGUAUUUAUUUUAAAAAAAGGGAAAAAAAUCAGUUUUAUUUAAUAUUAUUUACUUAUUUAUUUUCAAUUUUUUGGUCAACUUGCAUUAGUUCAUAUUCAAUUUAUUAUUCUUUUUUAUAUGUAUUAGUUUGUGUAUUUUAUAUAUGUCAUUAUUAUUACUAUCAUUUCAUUAUCUAAUUACUUGCUAAUCUUCAAAUUUUUUUUAAAUGUUGGAUUCCUUGAUAUCAUCUUUAUUGUAGUUUAUUAUUGUUGUUGUUGUUGGGCAUGUCAUACAUAUUGUUAUUAUUAUUACUUGUGUUAUCGUUAGCAUUAUCCUUAUUAUUGUUCGUGUUCGUUAACCUUGUGAUUCAUGGGUGACAAUGUUAUGCAUGUUACAUUUUAUUAUGUACAUUAUGUCAUGGCUAUUUCAAAUGUAUGUCGCACUAUUGUAUUUAGCCACGUAUAACUCCUUUUACGUAUUAAACGACUUCUCUAAAAACCAAUGAAUUAAACGUGUAUUUGUUUUUACAUUUCGCUAUUCUUUUACCCAAAUUCGAAACAAAUUUCAAAAUAAGGCAAUGUUUCGCGUUUUGGAAAUUCGAGAAAUUGUACCCUAACUUACUGGGUCUCAAUAUUCUCGUUAAACCAAAAUAGCAAAAUAUCCUUUUAAAUUUCCAAACACAUAAAAUUUCAAUAAAAAUCAAAGGCAAACUCAGCCUCAAGAGUUCAAAAGUAUUGUAUUCUAACUCACUAGAUGUGACAUUUUGUUAUCUCAAGGUAAGGAUUUCUAAAAACGCAAAGGUAAUAUUCUGCAUGUGGAAUCUUGAGAAAUCGAGCCCUAACUUACUGGGUUCCGAUUUUUUUAUUUGACCCAAGUGACCGAAUAUCCUUUUAAAACUGAAAUUAAUGUUUUAAAUAAAAAAAUAAAAAGCAAGCUUACUCUCAAAAUACGAGGUGCCGUGUCCUAACUUACUGGAUGUGACAUCUUGUUAAUUCGAGAUAAGAAGGCAUUUUUCAUUUUGAUUUAUUCAAGUAAUUUUAAAAUAACACAAUAUAAAGAGGGAUCGUAUUUUUAAAUUAUUUUCGAUUUUUUAAUUUUCGACACCAAGACAUUAAGUAAUCAACUAGGUACCAAUUUUGGGCGUAUCGAGGGUGCUAAUCCUUCCUCGUGCGUAACUGACUCCCGAACCUGUUUCUUUUAGUUUCGCAGACCAAAAGCAUUAUUUUAAUAAAUUAAAUCGUUUAUUAAAAACAACUACUUUUCGAGGUGACUCAAUCACACCUCAUCAAAAAAGAUUGGUGGCGACUCCCAUUUUCAUUUUUUUAAAAUCCAAGUCGACCCCGUUUCAUCAAAAAAAAUGGUGUCAACACCUAUAUUUAUAGGCUUACAUAGAAACUAACUUAACACAAAAAUAGCUAACAACUUAUUUGAUAAAACUAAAAAAUUUGAAACUACCAAGAUUUUCUAAACAUCCCACUAAUCUGUUAUUUUGAAUUAAUUCUCAACAGGAAAUUGAUGUACAAUUAUUUUACUUUGAAUGCAUGAGUCUAUGGUAAGGAAGGGGUCCCAGCAGUAAGUUAAAAUGGUAAGUGUUGAAACAAAAAAUAAAAGUAAUGUAACUGCUGUGGGUCUUAUGGAAUUAGUAUGAUUUAACGAUGAUGGGGUCUCAUGGUGCUUUGGAAUCAUCGUUUUUUUAAGAUGAUUUGAUUUGGUGAAAGGGAGGGGGCUAGAUGUGGGUAUUUGGUUGCAUCUUUAUUGUUGUACAAAAGUCUUGCCAGUUGGAGGAUCAACUAUCCUUUUAAUUUUAGUAAAAAUUAUAUAUGAACUUGUGAACUUGUAUUCAAAUUGAAUCUUUCCAUUGAGUCGCUCUUGCAAGUAGAACAUGGCAGCUGACGAUUCCUCUAUAAUAAAUACUUUUCUUAGAGCAGGAUUCUUUAUAUUCAACCUUUUUUGUUGUGCGAAAAGAACAUGAUUGUCCAAUGAAUUGUGUAAGUCAAGAUGUUUGCGAUUUGCUAAUGCAUGGAUUGAAUACCAGCAAGGAAUCCUUAAACCCUCUCUUCAUCCUUUGAGGUAAUGGAUUAAACUGUGGAGAAUAAUUAUUAAUUAUACCAGUUUUUAUACUUACUUUUACUUAAUUACUGUUCAAGCUAAAUCGAGUUUGCACAUUACGUUUGUUAGACUCAAAUAUGGCUUUUCCUUGCUAAUGUUUUUAGGGAUGGCCCGUUUGAGGUUCAAGUUUAGUCGGAUAGACUCAAAUAUGGUUUAGCUUUGCUAAUCCUUUUAGGGAUGGCAAAAGCAAGGGUGGAGAGAUGCACGUGUUUUGAGGCGUGGUGGUGAUAUUAGCAUCAGUGCUCAUCUGGUUUUCUUCUUAGGCCUGCCAUUUUGGUUUAUUGUUUGGUUCUGUUUUGCCUUGUGUUCCUCUGUUUUGUUCUGUUCCUGUGACGUUGGGCAUUUUUACCGUAGCUUUUAUGGCGAAUACUAAUUAAAAAAUGGCCUAAUUAUCAUGUGUUCCUUCCAAUUAGAUUUUAUAGACGGACCAUGGAGAUUUCAAAAUGUUGUAGGAAUCUAUGUUUUAAAAUUGUUUUCAGCGACCACCAAGUUUUCAAGCUUUUGACAAAUUGGCCAAAGUUGAUGGGAUAGAACCAAUGAAUUUGUUGAUGUAUAGAUACAAGCUGUGAUGUCUAGUGAAGUAAAAGGAUAUUUGUUGGCAUAGCUCUAUUGAAGUUGUUACGAAUAUUUCAACUGACCCAAAAUUUGUAAAAUUUGUAAAAUAUGAGGGUUAAAUAUUUUAAAACUUUGACUAAAUCAAUAUAAGAUGUAAAAGUUGAGGGCUAGAUUUAUAAUUAUACUAAUUUUUUUAACUACCACAUUACCCUCCCAUAGAGAUUUAAAGAAAUGGACAAAAAAAAUUCUCAAUUUAUUGGUUGAUCAAAUUAAAAAAACUGAUAGUUGGGUGAGCAAAUAAGAAAAAGGCGCGAUAGUUGGGUGACUUGAGGUGUAGUUUACCCGAAUAAUAAAAUAUAGUAAGGUAAACUAUAGAGUUAGUCACCCCACUAUUAGUGUGUUUCUGUUUUGGUCACCUAACUAUGAAAAUUUUCAAUUUAAUCACUAUUGCUUUAGAUCAUUUCUAUUUUGGCCACGUUUUAGAUUGUUUUUAUUUUACUCAAUCUUCGUUAAAUGGUUAACCAAAGUUAUGAUGUGACCUUUUUUUUAAAUAGUAUAGAAAACACAUUUAAUCUUCAAUACUUACACAUUCUAUCAAUUUGAUCCUCGAAUGCAUACAAUUAAAUAUAAAUUAUAUAUUAUGAAAACGUACAAAAUCUAAUUAUUUUUAUAUAUUUAUCUAAAUUAUAUUAUAUGUGCUUAUAUUUAAUUACAAUUAUAAGGUUAAAAUAUACAUUUAGCCCCUCGAACUUUGCACCUUCUCCCAUGUUGGUACUUAUGACUUUUUUGUCCCAUGUUGAUACUUAUUUUUUGUUACGAUAUUAAAUAUAGGACACAUGACACUCUUAGGAUGCCAUAAUCUAUUUUUUUUAUAAACAUAUAAUACAAAAUUUAAAAGAAAAUAUAUGAAAUUUAUAUAUAUUUUUUAAAAUAUAAAAUAAAUUACAAAUUAUAAAAAUAUAUGUACCUAAAAAAUUAAAAAUAUUACAAAAAUUAAAAAAAAUUAUAAUUCAAGUUGGAAAAAUCAAAGACCUAGAAAAUUUACACAUUUUUCUAAAUAAAUUGCAAACAAAUUAGAUAAAGAUAAAUUUUGAAAUAAAUUUUAUGUUUUCAAGUUAAUAUGAAUCCGCUUUGGAAGAGGCGAUUGAAUUGAUUAGGAAGAGUGGGAUUAGAAGGAAAAUUUUGGAAUUGUACAUUCGAAUCCGGUUGCUAGUGACUCGAGAAUCUGAAUAUGGUGAUGAUGGAAAAUGAACAUUUUAAAGGGAAGGAAGGAGCGAAUAAACGGCUGGUGGUGGCGAGAGGUGACUCGGUGCUGCCGGAGCGAGUUGUCAACUUGUCUCGAUUUUGUUUUAUAGUUUUAUUUUUUUCCUGCUUUUCUGAAGAGAGGAAACUAGAAUCCCAACUAUCUUCUCAACUAUCAGUUUUUUAAUUUUGCUCAUUCAACCGUUAAUUUUUUUAAUUUAGUUCAAAUUUUUUAAUUUAGUAGUCCAACUAAUCAAGAUUUUUUUUUGUCAAUUUCCGUUAAGUAGCAUUAAAUCUCUAAUGAGAGGACAUGACAGUUAAAAAUUGAUAUAAUAACAAAUUUAACUCUUAAUUUUUACAUUUUCUAUCAAUUAAGUCAUUAUUUUAAAAGAUUAAUCUUCAAGAUUUACAAAUAAUCUCAAUUUGAUCAUCAAAAUUUACCUUUUCUUUCCACUUCCUCCGCUACCACUAUCAUCAUUGCCUCUAGUUCUCCUCCACCUUUCUCCAAAAAAAGAAAAACUUUUUUUUUUCAAUCAUGUUCAAAUUUAAGGUAUUAUAAUUUUUUUAGUUAGAUGAAGCCUAAGCAAUUUAAAUAUAUGUGCUACUAUUUAACAAUAAAUUAGGUUGAAAUAGAAAGAGGAAAGGUAUGUUUUUUUUGGGAGAAAGGUGGAGGUGGAGGUAAUGAUGGUAAUGGCACGUGGUGAAGUAGAAGAGAAAAGUAAAUUUUGAUGAUCAAAUUGAGACUAUUUGUAAAAUUUGAGAGUUAAUAAUUUUAAAAUUUUGACUAAAUCAAUAUAAGAUGUAAAAUUUGAGAGCUAGAUUUAUAAUUAUACUCAUUUUUUAACUACAACAUUACCCUCCAUAGAGAUUUAAAGAAAUGGAAAAAAAUAUCAAUUAGUUGAGUGAUCAAAUUAAAAAAAUUGAUAAUUAAGUAAAUAAAAAAGAAAAAGGGGCAAUACUUUUAUAAAAAUAUUAAAUAUCAUGACACUCUUAGGAUGCCGUAAUCUAUUUUUUAUAAAAAUGUAAUAAAAAAUUUAAAAGAAACAAUAUUAAAUUUAUAUAGUUUUUUAAUGGGCAAAAUACCAAAAAAAGCCCUUUUUUAAAUUUAUCAAAAUGGGCCCGGUAUUUUAUUAUUUACCGGAAUGGACCCUUUUCCCUGAAAACGCGUCCCCGUCAGCGCGAUGUCAGGGGACGUGUCAGCAAAACGCGUCCCUGGGGGCGCGCUUUGCUUACAUGGACACAAAGCGCGCUUACAGGGACGGGCUUUGUUGCCACGUAGGCAAAGUCUGCCCCCAGGGACGCGUUUCGUUGCCACGUAGCGCGCCCCUGGGAAUGCCCGUGAACAGUGCAAUGGUCAUUUUUUUGACCGUUGCCCCCCGAACGGUAAAAAAACACUAUAAAACCCCCACCCUUUCAUUUUUUUCACAAACUAAUUCUCUCUCAAUUAUUUUCUCAAUUUCCUCUCAAUUUGCUCUCAAUUUACACUCAAUUUCCUUCCAAAUUUCUCUUAAAUCCAUAUUUAAUUUUAAUUUGCUCUCAAUUUCCUCUUAAAUUUCUCUUAAAUCCCUAUUUUUAAUUAUUUUUUAAAAAAAAUUUCAUUUUAAAAAAAAAUUUUAAAUCGUAAAAAAUUGUACGAAUUUAGCAAUGGCCAGAGAAUUGAUUCGUCUUGAUAACCAGCACAUAUCCGUCGAACAAAUGAAAAUGGUAAGUUUUAAAUUUAUUUUUUAAAUAUUAUUUAAGAUUUUUUUAUUUAUGCAUUUUUAGAUAAUUAUUAAUUUAUUAUUUGUUAUAAAAAUCUGUAGAUCGGAUAUUGUAAUGCUAUAUCCGGAAUAUGCAUGGUCCUCCAUCACCGUUGGUAGAGAAUUACCUGCGGGAAGUGGGUUUUUGGCACGUGGCGAAGGUAGGCCGGGGAUGCAAGUUGGACCCGAAACUUAUCAGUGCGUCGAUCGAGAGGUGGAGACCCGAGAUGCACACAUUCCAUCUUCCAUGUGGAGAGUGCACUAUCACUUUGGAAGAUGUCAAUCUGCAAUUGGGAUUGCCGGUGGAAGGGUACCCAAUCACCGGGUCAGUUCAAUUUGGCGAUUGGGGAGCGGUGUGCUACGAGCUUUUGGGCGCUAUUUCGGAGAAAAUUAACGGAGGUCGAAUCGAGAUGGGCUGGCUACGAGACACAUUCCUGGAGUCGGAUGAUGAUUCAACCGAAGUAGAAAGAAUUUGAUAUGCUCGGGCAUACAUUCUUCAGAUAAUUGGAGGUUAUCUGAUGCCGAACUUGUCACGGAAUCUCGUACAUCUAAGAUGGCUGUUGAAACUCGUUAAUUUUAGAGCAGCUAGUGAAUUGAGUUGGGGGUCUGCCGUCUUGGCAACAUUAUAUCAGGAGAUGUGCGGGGCGACGCGACUGAGUAAAGCAAAAAUCGGAGGUUGCCUGCCACUACUGCAGUCAUGGGCACAGUUUCGCUUUCCAUUUCUACGUCCUUAAGUGGACCACCCAUAUACAUUCCUACUCAUAACGAGGUAAAUUUUAUAUUAGAUUUUUUACAAAUAUUAUAUAAAUUUUUAAAAAUAAUAGUAUGUUAAAUUUUUUUUAAUUAGGUGGAACCAUCCGACAAGUUAUGCUCGAUUACCUACCACUCUUGAAGAUAUACGGCUUCUAUUAGACCAACAGUCGGAAGCACAUGUCAGUAUUAAAUAAAAUUUAUAUUUCCAUCAUAAGCUAGUCGAUUGGUAUUUAGUAUUUAGUAUUUAGUAUUAUGUAUAUAACAAAUAUUUCUAUCAUGUUCAUAUAGUUUCAAUAGACACCAUACGAGGAUCUGGCAAUUCAGGCAGUAAUUUCGGAUGAGUUCUUCCAAAAUCCAAACGCUUGGCACGAGAAAGUCGGGUUGAUCAGCUAUGCAACCGUGGAGAUGCACCAGUCAGAGAGUGUUACGACAAUUUGGAUGUAGACAACCGAUUCCCGUGGCAUCUGAGGUGUUUGAUGAUCAACACGAAAUUGACCUAUGGCAAUUGCAUACGGAUUGGCCAAGAUUCUGGUCCCACUACAUCCAAAUGUGGGAAGAUUGGUAUGAUUAUAUACCUACUCUGGAACCGACCAUCGUUCCGGAUUUAGCAUGCGUGCCAGAAUACAUGCCAUGGUUUAGGAUCCAUGGCAAGCCGUAUUUACUAUCAGUAGAGGAAAGGCAGUGGCAAUUACGUGUCCAAAGGGAAUGAUUUGGGCCUUUAAAUCCAAGACGAAGGGACGACGACGCAGGCUCAUCAACGAGUCCUAAACAUUCACCCGGCCCAUCAUCAACGGCCAUUAAAUCACCAGGCCCAGUGAGAGCACCGACACAGUCACCUGACCCAGCAGUUCAACCAACGAUACCCACAGCACAGCCUUUUCUAAUGAUGUCAGGUGCGUAUCCUAGCCCUUUUAUGUAUCCUAACCCUUAUAUGUUUCCUUUUUCGAGUCCUAUGGCAGGUUGGAGCCAAUGGCCUGGUUCAUCUCCAUUUUCUGUUAUGCAGAGUGGACCGCCGAUGUAUAGGCCAGCGUCACACGAGGGAUCGCAAGAGGGGCCGUCGGGGAGCUCUUCUUUUUACCAAUCUCCAUCACCGUAUGGGUUUCAAACACCGUCCCCGUUGGUGAUGCAAACACCUCCACAUUCACUAUUCUAUCAAGGUUGCUCAUCGUCCCAACACCGACAACCAGAUGCCCUACCGGAGGAAUCAGAAUCCCCGUCGGAGCAAUCACAACCCCCGCCGGAAGCUGGACGAAGGAGGAAUCCAGCGCGUAACUGUCAACGGCCGCGAUGUGGCACUGAAUCCAACGAGCAUGGAGAUUGAUUUGUAUUUUAAUAUAUAUGUACAAACAUUUUGAAUAUUUUGAUAUUAUUUGAUGCAAUAAAAUAAAAAUUUAUUUGAGUUAUUACUUAAAAACCCUAAACUAAUUUAUUAAAAAUUUAUAAAUUUAUAAUUUAUAAUUAAAUUUAUAAUUAAAUUGACAAACCCUAACAAAAACCCUAACCCUAACCCUAACCCUAAAAACCAUAAACCCUUAACUUAAAAACCCCAACCCUUAAUUUAAAAACCCUAACCUAAUUUAUUAAAAAAUUAUAAAUUAUAAAUUUAUAAUUAAAUUUAUAAUUUAAUUGACAAACCCUAACAAAAACCCUAACCCUAACCCAAACCCUAACAAAACCCCUGCUUGAAGCGUUUUUUAUACUAUUUUCUCAGAAACGUCAACUCGAAAUUAUUUUUUCAGUACCAACUGUAGCAAAAGCGCGUCUACGUGGGCGCAAUUUCAAAAAUUCUUCUGAUAAAGCAUCCUGCUUUGAUUUUAUCUUAAAAACCCAUAAACACGAAACCUAAUAUAAUUUUUAAAAAAUUAUAAUUAAUUUAAUUAAGAAACCCUAAACCCUAAUCCCUUAUUUAUUUAAUUUUUUCUCUAAAACCCUAAAACCCUAAACCCUAACCCUGAAAACCCAAAAGCUAACAUGGGAGAAAUGGCAAAAACGCGUCCCAGGGGCACGCUACGUGGCAGCAAAACACCUCCCUAGGGGCGCGCUUUGUUAAUGUGGCAACAAAGGGAGUCCUCGUAAGCGCGCUUUGUAUCCAUGUAAGUAAAGCGCGCCCCCAGGGACGCGUUUUGCUGACACGUCCCCUGACAUCGCGCUGACGGGGACGCGUUUUCGGGAAAAAGGCCCAUUUCGGUAAAUAAUAAAAUACCGGGUCCAUUUCAAUAAAUGGAAAAAAAGGGCCUUUAAUGGUAUUUUGCCCUUUUUUAAUAUAUAAAAGAAAUUAUAAAUUUUAAAAAUAUAUGUAACUAAAACAUUAAAAAUAUUACAGAAAAUCUAAAAUUCAAGUUGGAAAAAUCGAAAACCUAGAAAAUUUAUAAAUUUUUCUAAAUAAAUUGGAAACAAAUUAGAUGAAGAUAAAUUUUAUACUAAAUUUUAUACUUAGAGAUGGGUGCAAAUUAUUACACGAGUUUUCAAGUUAACAAGAAUGCAAAAGAUGAUGAUUUGAAAAUGGCUUACAAGAAGCUUUUUCAUUUUCGUUUUUCUUUUUUGGUUAAUUAUUUGCUAGGUGAUGGGAAAAAUUGGGUUCCUUUGUUGAAAAUGCUAUAAAAACCACAAAUUUACUAAGUUAUGGGGGUUUUGAGUUUUUGGGUUUAUCAAAAUUACACACACAUAAAUUUAUCAGCAUUUAGUUAUAUAUGUUUAAAUAUAAUCAUUUUUUAUAUUUAAUUAUAUGUGUUUGAGAAUAAAGUUGAUAGAAUCUGAAAAUAUGGAGGGUGAAUUUUAUUGAAUUAUUUAGAAUAAGGAUCAAAUUGAUAGAAUGUGUAAGUAUUAAGAAAUAAACGUGUUAUUAUGCCAGUUGGAAAAGGCAACAUCAUCACUUCCGUUAACUAUUUAAUGGAGAGUGAUCAAAAUAGAAACAAUCUAAAGUGUCAGUAACCAAAAUAGAAAUAAUAUAAAAUGUAAGUGACUAAAUUAAAAAAAAUCAUAGUUGGGUGACUAAUUCUGUAGUUUACCCUAGACGGUAGAAGCAAUUAGGAUUAAUUCCACCAAACAUAUCAAACUAUUACUCAUAUUUUAAAUUGAACCCUAAACUUGUACACAUUCUAAUUAAAUUACUCAAAUAGAAUGUGAUAACAUGUUAUGCUAUUAUUCUUAGAUAGUGCAUAGAACUUAUGCACCAACAAUGCAUCAAAUAUUCUCAUUAAAAGAAAAUGUAUAAAAGAAGUUUUAUACCAUCUAUAAUUUGUAAAAAAGAAAAUUAUCCAGUAAAAAUAUAAAAAUACAUAUCUAUAAAUUCACAAAAAGAGAAUUACAUUAAUCAACCUCACAAAUCUGAUUGAGGUUAAAAAGAAAGAAUGCAUGUAUUGUGCAAUUAAAACCAUGAUCCAUAUUCAAUUCUAAAGUAUUGAACAUAUAAUUUUGCAUUAUUUUACCUCCCUUGAUUUUUCACUUACUCGUUGGAAUAAAUUGACCAAUCUUGGACCAUCUAUUCCUUAUUUCAAUUUUAUUAAAAAGAUAGGUUCCCAUAAAGAUAGUCUUUACAAACCAGUGCACCUAUCAUAAACACAUCAGGGAACAUUGCCAUGAGAGAGGACCUAAGAAAACAUAAUACAUACUACAUAACAUACAAUCAAGCACCCACACAAAAUGUUUAUUAAACAGCUAUAGAAAAAGGCCUGCAUACCACCAAGCAAUGAAGCUUUCUGUUCUAUUUGCAACUUGUUGAACUCGCAGAAGUGUUGCCUUCUCUACCUUUUUGCAAAUAUUUGUUGGACUCGCUCCACAAUCCUAAUCAACCACCAUGGUUUUCCAGUCGUGAAUACAAUGUAUGCCAUGCUCAUUCCCACCACCAACCCCCAUCCAUACCCCAUCAAUAUUGAAAAUUUCCAAUUGAAUUCAUCACCAUCAUCAUCUCUAUCAAAUUUGGCUGGAGUUUCCUCAUCAGUACCACAGUUUUUUGAUAAUGGCAAACCACAUAAAUCCAAAUUUCCCAUGUAGGAAUCAUUAGUGAAAGUAUCAAAUUGUUUUCCUUGAGGAAUAGGUCCCUUGAGAUUAUUUUGAGAAAGGUUUAACACCUCUAAGAAUCCAAGAUUUUUUAACUCUGUUGGAAUUCUUCCUUCCAGCUUAUUUGAUGAGAGAUCUAAUGAUUCAAGCUCUGACAAAUUACCUAAAGAUGAUGGGAUAGGACCUAUUAAACAGUUAUGGGAGAGAUUUAGGACAAUAAGUAAACGAAGCUCACCAAGUAUUUUUGGAAUUUCUCCCCUGAAUUGGUUACUACAAAGGUCAAUAACCAUCCAAAUGGAUAAUAGUGAUUCACCCUUUAUUUCCAGCCCUUUUGCUGUAACAGAUAAACCAUAAGCAUAAUUCACCCAACCAAGUGCAUCUUUCGUGAUCUUUAGUUCUCUCAUGUAAUUUGGUUCAACUUUCUUUCCAUACUCAUCUCUAAUGGCAUGCAUAUGCUCAAAAAAAGGGGUAGGUAAGCAGCCACUAAAAUUAUUGUGAGAAAGAUCAACGAUUCGCAAUUUAGUUAAAGAAAUUGUAGUAUCGAAGCUCUCUAUUUGGCCGUAAAAUCUAUUCGACCUCAAGAUAAGAACUUGCAGCUGAUCCAAAUUUCCUAACCAACUCGGGAAAGUGUCAUUCAAAUUGUUGUUUCCAACAUUGAGAAGAUUUAAACCUUUGCAAUUACCCAAAGAUCGUGGUAGUGACCCUUCUAAUUCAUUGUUGUUGAUGUGUAAACUUCUCAACAUGCAACCUUUAGCAAAAUUUUCUGGUAUUUGACCAUAAAAAUUAUUAUUCCCUAGAUGAACUGCUGUGAGAGAAGAACUGAAGUUUCCGAUGCACUUUGGAAUUGUUCCCUCCAAAUUAUUCUCAUCUAAAAAAAUACCCAUAAGGGAAGUCCAAUUGCAUAUUGAAGAAGGGAUUUCUCCAAUUAAGUUAUUAUUUGAAGCUCCAUACGAUUGCAAUAAAGGUGUUGGUGUUGGAAUUCGACCUUAGAGAUAAAAUUGAAAAUGAGAUAGAAUUAGGAGUAGGAGUUUGAAGAUUCUUUGGAAUAUAAAUUGUAAAAUAACUAUAUUUGUGAUGUAUUACAUACAUGAUGUUUACACUCAAUACAAAUAAUUGAUUAAUUUACUACACUACUUCUAACCAUUUUUAGAUGCAUCAUAACAACAUUUAAGUUGUAAUCUAUUGAAGGAAACUACUACUAUCUUCCAGAGAAACUUAAAAGUAAAAAGGGAUUGCAUAAAUGUAUAAAAAAUAGAAGGAAAAAAGAGAUCAAAUUAUACCUAAUAAAUUAUUAUAGAAGAGAUAAUCAUUUAAUAUAUUACUUAUAUUUCAUUUUUUAGUGUUUAUUAUUAUUAUUUUUGGUACAUUUAUGUAUAUUUUAUAAUUUAUUAUUAUGGUUCGUAGUUGUUAUUGUCAAGAAUAUCAUCUCUAAGACUUGAAUCUUAUUCUCUCCUUAAAAGAGCAAUGUACCUUGCCAUGUACCGAACAUUUAUUAGUGUAGUAUUUAUUAUGACUACAAAUGAUUUUAACUAUCUUUUUAUGAAACUUUAAAUUAGAGGUCAAAUAAAAAAGCAAAUUAAUUGAUAUAGUGUUGAUCAUUUUAAGUAAAGUUAUAAUGUUUUUUCCUCACAAUUGAGUUAAUUUUGUGCUUAUAAUUUUUAUAAGAUUGGGAGUUAGUUGAGAUUGUAGCCUCAAAAUUGGUGUUGUUAAAGCCAUUUUUUAUGAGAAUACUUUUCUAUUUAAUAAUGAUUGUCCAGCAUAUGCGCACUAAUCAAAUAGAAACUUGGGAAAAGAAUAGUGGCCUUGUUAUUCAUGUUUGGCAAAUUGAUAUACUUUGUUUCUCUCAAAAUAUAAAAUAUGUCCUGAGCAUAAAUUAAUUAAACAAAUAAAUAAUAAGGCAAAUAAAAAAGGUAAAACUACGUCUAAAUUAUAAUUCAAAAUAUAAAUUAAUUAAUGUAAAAUAUAAAUUUAUUUAAAUCAUUAUUAUUAUCAAAUAAAUUCUCUUAAUAAAAUACUUUUAGUGAAAUUAGAAAUCUUACUUAUAAAUAAUAAUAAUAAAUUUUGCUAUGAGCAAAUAGAAAAAUAGUCAAGAUUCUUAAUCAUUUUCAUUAAUUUAAGAGAUUUUGCAUGCUUAUUCUUAUAUAUAUAUAUAUAUUAUAGAUGUAGAUUAUAAAUUGUAGACAAAUAAUUUGGUUGGGUUAGCAAAGCUGCAAAAGUUGAGAAAAAUAAUUUAUUAAAUAUAUAAAUUUAAGGUGAAAAAUUAAAUCCUAAUAGUUAAAAUAUCUAUAUGUAAUUAAUGAAUAAGAAUUGCAAAGAAUGGCGUAAAAGAAAAUAAAAUGAAAGAAUUUAAAAUAUAAUUUUUAAGUUUAUAUCACGUGUCAUGUUAUAAUUGAAAUCUAUUAUGGAAUUCACUAUUACUGUCUCGAAACUCGAGUAGGUUCAAGUUAUUGACCCACAACCCAAGUAGACUCAAAGGAAUUUGGGUCGUGCCCCACGAAGUGGGCAUAUUAGAGUUUGCACAUCCAAUUUGUAGGUAUGCUAGAGCUCGCGAGCCUAGCUCACAAGACAAGCUUGCACAUUAAGUUCACAUGUCUCUAUAUGCUCGCGAGAAGAGGUGUUAGGUCAAGCAUGUGGUCCAUGAACACGUGUUAAGUCUAGAACAAGAUACGUGUUAGCAUGCAUGAAGCCUGUCUAAGACGUCAUUUCAGUGAAUAGUAAUAGUAUGAUAUAAAUACUGAGUCUUACCCCCAUAGUAGACACAAAGAUAAAAUACUCAACAAUUUGGUGCAAUGAGCGUGGUCAAACUUUCGAUCGACAGAUUUUCAGCUUGUAACAAUCAAAAUGGCUCACCCAAAUGAAAAUUUCCCCAUCAAUUUUUUGCCAGGAUAACUUGGAGCUUCUAGUGCAAACAGUCAACCCAAUAAGACAAAUUUUUUUACCAGGUGGUUUGCUAACUAGUCAAAAAAUUUGGGUAACAUGGCUCAUGUAGGAUCUUCGAAUUCCUUGACUUAAAAUUUCCUUCUGGCCAGAGAUUGUCAUUCUCUUCUGGUUAGGAAGCGUCACCAGAGCAGGUUUUUGCUAUUCAGGAGUUGGUAAAGAUGAUGAAGAAACAAAUUUCCCUAUAAAACGUUAGAUUUGAACAACAAUAGAUGUUUUAGCAAGAGUUGUUAAAUUAGAAUGAGGAGCUUAGAAGGAAGGUGCAGUUUGAUAAUUUUGAUUUUCAUAACAAUGCCACCAUGCAAGAAGAAGGUUUUGGCAUGCAUGCAAUAUCGUGGCAGAGUGAGAUGGAUGCUUUGCGUAAAGAUGUAAGGGCUUUACAUCUUGAAUCUCAAGAUAUGGAUUGACUCAUUUAUUCCAAUAAUCCACUGGCUCUUAAGGUGGAUUCCAUGCAGUAUAAUAAUUAUAUGAAUGUGCUGGGAGAUUUUGAUUCCGCGAAGUGCAAGGCUUUUUCGAAAACACUCAGGGGGUUGCGAAGGAUUGAUACUUAUCUCUUCACCAGGGUUCCAUUCGUAGUUUCUCUCAGAUGGGUCAGAUGUUUUCGGGACAAUUCAGGGCACAUAGGACAAUUAUUAGUACUCCUAUGGGUCUGAUGUCUGUGAAGCAAAGAGAUGGAGAAACUUUACAAGAUUAUGUAAAGCAUUUCCAAGAAAUGACACUAAAUAAUAAGAACCUUAAAGAUCAGUGGUCCAUUGAUAUUUUAAUCGUGGUGUAAAGAAUGAGCAUAUGCAGUAUUCUUUCACUAACAAUAGGCCUCAAAGUUUGGUGAAUUUAUAUGAGAGGGACUACAAGUUCGAAGAGGCAGAAGAAAUAAAAAGAGCAACUUGUGGAACAUUCCAAAGAGAUGAGAGGAAUUUUAGAAACAUGGAUAGAGCUCACAGUCGACAGGGUCUACUUACUCAGGCUUUGCGAGUACAAAAUGGGGACAUCAAAAAGGGAAAUUGCAGAGCAAGACGGCUAGAACAUUCCAAAGAUCCAAUCUUGAACAAAUAUGGAGGUAUUUUCCUUAAAGUAAAUUCAAAUCUUAUACCUGAAGAAUAGUGAUUUUGGUUUGUAAAUUCAGUUCAAUUGUAUUUGACUAUUGAUAGCAAAUAUAUACAAGAUUACAUCAGAGUGUUAUCUACAGCUAUUCACAAUUUGAAUUUGAAUUUUAAGUAGAAUACGAUCCUAAAGAAUAGGAGUGAUAACAAGUCUAGUUUGACUUGGUUAACUCUCAACAGCCCCCCACAAACGGAUGGGGGAAGUCACCAUCAGUUUGUCUCGAAGCGUAAGAAACUGAGUUGUCGAUAAAGGCUUCGUCAAGACAUCGGCUAUUUGAUCAAUGGUCGGAAUAUAGGAGAUGGGAAGAUUCUUCUGGCGUACUUGGUCUCGGACAAAAUGAAAGUCCAACUCAAGGUGCUUGCUAGGAGAAUGAAAAAUUGGAUUCGCAGCUAGAUAGGUAGCGGAAACGUUAUCGCACCAUACUUUCGGCGUUGUUGGAAGCUUGUAAUUGAGUUCCCGAAGAAGACACUGAAGCCAAUAAACCUCCGAAGCAGCUGAUGCUAAAGCUCGAUAUUCUGAAUCCGUGCUUGAACGAGCGACAGUCUUUUACUUACGAGAAAUCCAAGAGAUCGGAUUGGAGCCAAGAAAGACAACAUAUGCAGAAGUGCUCUUUCGAUCAAGCUUGUCGCCACCCCAAUCAGCAUCCGAAAAGCAACAAGUGAAGCUUGGCGAGAAGAGCGAAGCACGAGACCAUGAUCUAUUGUGUCGCGGAGGUAACGUAGGAUCCGUUUCACUGCUUGCCAAUGAUGGAGGCAAGGAGAAUGCAUAAAUUAUGCAGCUUUGUUCACUGCCAUGGUUAUUUCGGGGCGAGUGAGUGCCAAAUAUUGAAGAGACCCAACAACCUGUCGAUAAAGCUUAGGAUCAUCAAAGGUAGAAGAAGUAGUGCCGGUGAGGUCAGCUUGUGGUGUUGAAGGAGUCAAAACCGACGAGGCAUCUUGCAUAUUCGCACGAUGGAGCAAAUCUUUGAUAUAUUUGGAUUGUGUGAGCUGCAAGCCACUCGAGAACCAUGCAACUUCAACACCCAAGAAAUAGGAUAGUGGUCCUAAAUCCUUGAGCGCAACAACCUUCCCAAGUUGAGCAAUAAACCGUUGUAACAGCGAAGAGGAUGAUCCUGUCAACACCAAAUCAUCAACAUAGACCAAGCAAUAUGCAUACUCGUCAUUACCGGAAUAUAUAAAUAGCGAACUGUCAACCUUGGAACUGUGAAAACCAAGCUGUUGUAGUGCAUUCGAAAGGCAAAAAUACCAAGCGCGUGGCCCCUGCUUUAAACCAUAAAGCGAUUUCUUUAGAGCACACACAAAAUCAGGUUUAGAAUGAUCAACAAAUCCCUGUGGUUGUUCCAUAAAAAUAGUUUCAUCAAGAGUCCCGUAAAGAAAGGCAUUCGAAACAUCAAGUUGCCGAAUGGGCCAAUGACGAUUGACGGCAAUGGAAAGAAUUAACCUUAUGGUGGCCGGCUUUAUAACAGGGCUGAAAGUCUCAAUGUAAUCAAGGCCUGGUCGUUGAUGAAACCCUUUUGCAACCAACCGCGCACGACAUCUAUCGAAGGAACCAUCCGCUUUUGUUUUUACAUGGUAUACCCACUUGCAACCAAUUAUAUUCGAAGCUCGAGAAUGAGGAACAAGAUCUGAUGUGCCGUUUGAUAGAAGAGCAUCAAUUUCUUCUCCCAUUGCAGCACGCCAUACUUGCUGUUUUGCUGCUUCAGUGUAUGACGAAGGGGCUGACAGUAUAGUGGACGCAGUAGCAUGAAAAACCUUUGGUUUAAGUGAGCCAGUAUGGGAGCGUAAAGUCAUUGAAUGACGCACGGUAGGUGCUUGAGCAGUGGUAGGAGAAGCAUUGGGACUGCUAGAACCUAUCGGGAAUGUGAUAGGGUCAUUGGAAACAAUAGGAGCAAGUUGGGAGGACACGGUGGUGAUGGCAAGAGAUUGAUCGGCAGGCGGUGGGGGGUACUUGGGACAGUAGGGAGCUGCUGGUUGGGGCAUGGGGCUGUAGGCAGUGGGACGGCAGGUAAUGGAUUAGAGUCAGAGCGAUGGCCAAGAGAAAAAAUGGUUGUCGGGGAAGGUGGAGGACUGAGAACCGAUACGUGCCCAUCACUUGACUUGAAUGGAAAAACCUGUUCAUCAAAAAUAACAUGGCGUGAGUAAAACACUUUAUUGGUGGACAAAGAUAAACAUUUAUAACCUUUGUGAAGAACACUGUAACCAAGAAAAACACAUUUGGCAGACCUAGGCUCAAGCUUAUUUUUGGUGUACGAACGCAACCAGGGAUAGCAGCAACAACUGAAAAUUCUCAAUGACUUGUAAUCAGGGUCACGAUGAAAAAGAGCUUGGUAGGGUGAUUUAUGGUGUAAUUUCGGAGUUGGAAGACGGUUGAUAGUGUAUACAGCAGCAACAAAGGCAUGAUCCCAAAAUUUUGGAGGGACAGAGGCAUGAUAUAACAAGGCGCGACCAGUUUCAGUUAUAUGAUGGUGUUUUCUUUCGGUGCAGCCAUUUUGUUCAGGGGUAUAGGGACAAGAGUUGCGUUGGAUUAUAGCUUCAGAGGCCAAAUAUUUUUCAAGGGCUUGGAAUUCCCCACCCCAAUCGGAUUGGAACUGCUUAAUAGGUAAACCAAAGUAUUUCUCAACAAUAGCACGAAAUUGAAUGAAGCAAUUAUAAAGAUCCGAUUUACGACGAAGAAAAUAGAUCUAAGUAUAUUUGCUAUAAUGAUCAAAAAACACCACAUAAUAUAGAAAACCAUCACUAGAAGCAAUUGGAGAAGGACCCCACAGAUCCGAACAAACUAACUCUAAUGGUUGUUUUGCUUCAUAAGUAGAAUCCGAAAAAGACAAUUUGUGUGAUUUACUAACACAACAAGUUUCACAAAGAGAUGAACCAUGCUUAUUAGAAGCAGAUAAUUUAUUGAAACUAAGAACUUUAUUGACAGUGUUUGAGCAAGCAUGGCCUAGUCUAGCAUGCCAUGUAGACAACGAAACUGAAUGACAAGUAGGAGAUACUGGAUCCGUGGCUAGGCGAUAUAAACCAUUCUUGAUGUACCCUCUAUGCAGAGUUUGCUUCGUCCGUCGAUCCUUAAUCACAAAAUAAUCAUGGAAAAAUUCAACAGAGACAUCAUUAGUGAAUGUAAACUGAGGAACAGACAAUAAAUUUAGGUUAGCCUCAGGAACAUGAAGAAUAUUAGACAAUUUGAAAGGAUGAGAAUUAAGAGUUAAGACAGACGAGCCACCACGAGAGAUAGGUAAGGUUUUACCAUUGGUGAGAGUGACUUCAUCGGAACCAGUGUACUCAGAAUGAAUGCCUAGGUUUCUCAAUUCAGAUGUCAAAUGAUGAGUGGCACCGGUAUCAACGAUCCAUGGCUUGGGAUUUGUUUGAGGAGACAAGCUAUAGUUUGUUGAGGGUUUGGGGUAGGACUCGACAUAUCUUAGGCUGGGACACUGACGACUUGUGUGGCCACGUCCCUUGCAGUUGUAACAUGUUGGAUCCUUGGGCGGGGAGGCAGCUCGGCCACGACUGGAAUAAUUGCCAUUGCGCUUACUGUUACGACCCCGUCCACGAUUAGCGGAAGCAGAAGGCUGCCGACCGGCAAAGUGGGCAACGACAGUAGGAUGACGAGGCUCUUGAACAGCUUUAAAUUGUAAUUCCUCAGAAAGUAAUAAGCCAAACAAAUCAUCAAAGGAUAUUGACUGUAGUUUUGCCUCUAGAUUGCAAACGAAUGGUUGAUAAUCGGCACCAAGUCCUCGUAAAAUAUGAUCAACAAGAUCGUCUUCAGAAAUAACCGCAUUUAGAGCCCCGAGUUAAUCAAAAAUCCGUUUCGCACGAUCCAUGUAUAUGACGAUUGAAUCGUCGCCACGAGACAAGGCAUAAAGAGAGCCUUUAAGGGUCCGGAUUUGAGCCCGAGAUCCGGAAGCAAAAGUUUGAUGCAGCUUUGUCCAAGUUGUGAAUGCGGUAGUGGUUCCGACUGCCUGAGAUAGCACGGACUCAGACAACGAGCCAAGGAUCCAGCUAAGAACCAUUUGGUCCUUAAGAAACCACGGCUCAUAGGCCGGGUUAGGAGCAUUGUCAACGGUCUUGGGAGAAGCUGCUGUGCCGUCGACAUGAUGCAUGAGUUUUUGGCUAUAUAAGAGAGGGGUCAUUUGUGUUUUCCACAGGAGGUAAUUAGAGGGAGUAAGCUUGAUGGUGAUUUGAUUUGGCAUGGAAGGUGGAGAGGAAACAGUCAAAUUGGCCAUGAGGAAGAAAAGAAAAAAGAAGAGAGAAGACGGUGAUUGAAACCUUUUACUGGCAGGCUGAUACCAUGAAGAAUAGUGAUUUUGGUUUGUAAAUUCAGCUCAAUUGUAUUUGACUAUUGAUAGCAAAUAUAUACAAGAUUACAUCAGAGUGUUAUCUACAACUAUUCACAAUUUGAAUUUGAAUUUUAAGUAGAAUACGAUCCUAAAGAAUAGGAGUGAUAACAAGUCUAGUUUGACUUGGUUAACUCUCAACAAUACCCCUUUUAAUGUUAUGUGUACCUAUAUUUUGAAUUAGGUGAAGAGUCUAGGUAUUUUACCGAGCCCUCCGCCUAUGAGGCACAAUGUUAGUAGGUUAGGUUCGAGGGACAGAUGUGCUUUCCACAACGACGAGGGGCCAUAAGACUGAUGAUUGCUUUUCUCUGAAGGAUGCUAUCAAAAAAGUAGUGAGAAAUGGUAAACUGGGGGAUUUUGUGGCUCAAAAUACUACCUAGUAGGGGUAGAGUUUGUGUGCUGAGGCGAAAGGUAAGCAAUAUUAUAUGUUGCUAGUAUUAUACAAAACAAAAAGUCACAAAAGUGAGAGAAAACUCAGUCAUCAGUGCACCAAAACUCGUUAAGCCGAUCAUAGUUGCUAGUAUUAUAUUGUAUCUUCUUACAUGGAGAGAUAAGGUAGGUGAUAGAAGGAGACAAAAGACGAUGAGCUUGGAUGGGACAUUAAGGGGGAAGAGAGGGAACAAUGUCAUGUGCCUAACUAUUUCUAGUGUUUGAACCAUUUUGAGUCAUAUCUUUCUUUGAACUCAUACCGUCCUAAGCCUUAUAACAUUACAAGCUUAGAAGACCGACGUGACUUAAGUGUUCUCUGUGCAUAAUCUUUCGAAAUUGCUAUCAAUUAUACUUAAUGAAUAUUUGUUGAUUCACAUGAUUGUGUCUACUAUAUAUCUAUUUAAUUUAUGUUAACGUUGAUAUUGUUAAACAUUUAUUCUAGUUUGUUAGUAAUGUAAAUUUGUAAACUAGUUCGUAUUUACUUUAAAAAGUUUCCUAGACAUUAAACUAUCAAGAUUAAGUUACAUGUAUGAUAAGAAUUAUUAUUUCUUUAAUAGUUAACAAUAAUGUUCAUAGUAGUAAUAAAAUCCAAGGGACGUCUUCUUAUUGCAUGCUGUGUGUCUAGACUGGUUUGCUUGAGGACAAAUGAAAAGUUAAGUGUGAGGGAUUUUAGGUUUGAGGUUCUUAUUUACAUCCAUCUUCACUAACUCUAGCUUGUUUAAAGAAAGGAACCAAGUCAAAAAUUUUUUUUAUUUUGCCUUUUUUUACAACUAAAAUUUUCUUUAUGUUUUUAUCUUUAUUUUUUACAUUCUUUUUUCUUUGUUUAUUUUAAUUAUAUGUUUACAUUGCUUGGGAACAAGUAAUGACUUAAGUGUGGGGGAGUUUAAUCUACCGUCAUUUGGUGUAGUAGAUUAAACUAGUUUUCGUACUUAAAGAGCUAGGAUAUGAGCAUUUUGGUUAUGCUUCAGUUAGUUUUUGUAUUUUAGUUUUAAUUUUAAAAAAAAGUAAAUUGAGUCUUUUCAUGAUCUUAGGGGCCGAAUGAGGCCAAAAGGUGGGCUAACAUGCUUAGUAAGUGUGCAGGACACCAUUCAAAGGCAUAGGAACUCGAGGCUGGUCUACAUGUUGCAACAUGGGAAUCCAAUGUCACAACAUAGAGGAUAGAGUGCCAAUAUUCGAAGAUUGUCUUUAACAUCGCAACAUAGACAAUGGAUGUCGCAACACACCCCUAAAGCUGAAUAUAGGAAUCAAGUAUGCUACCUACGAUGCUGCGACAUAGGCACUGGGUGUUGCAACACCAGCUUUGCACGGGAAAUAAUUACGAGUUGAGGCCAUUUUGGUCUACAAAAUGAAAAUUAACACGAAAACAUCAACUGACCUAGGAUUAAGGACGACGACAACCCCUAACUCUAUAAAUAGACUCAUUAGACACAUGUUUAAAAAACAAUUUUAGGGAGACAAAAAUUAUUAUUAGGUUUUUAUUUUGUUAUAAGUUUUACUUAGUUAUUUGAUGUUCUUGUAAAAGAAAGGUCCUAUUCCGAAGUGAGAUUCUCACGAGGGGAGAUUGUUCUGAAGCCACUUUUUCAUUGAUAAAUCCAUAAGCAUCUCUUUUCCUUUAUUCUAUUCUUUAUAUCUCUUUCUUUAACAUUGUUUAAUUGAAUGUUUGUGUAAAGUUUAGAUAUCACUAUUAACAAAGUAAUUAGAUAACAAAGGAUAGUUUAUAUCUCUUUCUUUAACAUUCUUUAUAUUAGUGUCUGUUUGAUUUACCUAUUUUUAAAUAUGCAAGUUUUGUUUAGUUUUAUAGUACUUAUGACAACCUAAAAAUAUUUUAAUUACAAUACUCAAAUUUGUAGUUGAAAUGAUGAUGAAAAUUAGAUGGAAUAAAAUAGUUCACGCUUAAUAUUUUUGUUCAAAUAUACGAUACAUCAUCGAAGCUGAACAAAUAUAUAUAUUUUAGAAAAUUUUAUUAGUUAGCAGUGAUUAGCUAAUGUCAAACAACUGAUACUAUUGCAUACAAUAUGUUUCCCUAAACUGCUUGCUAUUUAUCUCUCCCCACAAAUUAUCAAAAACACAUGUGCAUUUUAAACCAAACAUUUAUAAUAGUGAUAAGCGCCAUAUUGAUUAAAUUUUUUGCUAAGGAAUCAGCAAACACACACAUAUAUCUGCACAUAUAGAUACAGACAUAUAUCUGCACAUAUAGACUACUAGGAACCCAAAAAUGUUGCUUGACCCCAAAUAUGAUCUAGGUGAAAAGGGACUGAGGAGUUGAACAGUAAAGAAACUAGUAAGAACUCACAUGAGAAUGAACUUGUUGUAACCAGAAUACAAAGAUUGGGGCAGAGUCAAGUUUCCAAUUUCUAUAGGCAUAAUUCCCUCCAAAGAGUUGUUAUGCAAUGAUAAAUACAUCAAUUCUUUACACUAGACAGUUUUUAUAUAUAUAAAUUAUUAAAUAUUAAAUUUCAUAUAUAAGAAAAUCCACAUAUUACUUAUUUUAUUAAUACAUAAACAAUAAAUCGUUUGGAUAAAAAAAACAAUAUAUUUUAGAUUUUAUGUGGAUUCUUUGAAGUUCAAUAUUCAAAUUAUUCAGAUUUCCAUCAUUAAAGUUGCAAAUUAUUGCUCUCUUUUUACUUGUACCAAUAUUUCCUAUAUUUUUCUCAUGUUAAAAUAGUUAAAGUAUUAAAUAUAUAAUUAUUAUUUUUAAGUCAAAAGCUAAUUAAUAAUAUAUAACAACUAAAAAGGGAUUGCAUAAAUGUAACAACAAAAAGAAAAAAAAAGAUAUUAUACCUGAUAAGUUGUUAUUAGAAAGUUCAAUAACUUUGAGAGUGGUCAAGUUGCCAAUAGUUGAUGGGAUUUCACCUAAAAAUAUAAAUAAAUUGGUCAAAAUAGCUUGGUGUUAGAAUUAUGUUAUCUUUGUGUGUCUACUUUUUUAAAUUUAUGUUUAACGUAGAUAGCUAACUUAGAAGUAACUCAGGAUAUCAAGAAAUUUUAAUAAAUACUUGAACACAGUUGAACUUUUGACAAUUUGUAACUCAAAUUUGUUUCUUAUACUCAAAAUAGUAUAAGAAAAAAAAAGGAUGGUAUUAUACUUGAUAAGUUGUUAUUAGAAAGAUCAAUAGCUUCGAGAGUGGUCAAGUUGCCAAUUGUUAAUGAGAUUUCACCUAAAAAUAUUAAUAAAUUAGUCAAAGAAAAAAUAAAGCAUCUAAAACAAUAUGUCUUAUACCUAUAUUCUUAUAUUUUUCUAAUUUCAAAGUAGUUAAAGGAAUAAAUGUGUAAUUAAUUGUUUUUAAGCCAAAAGUACUAUAGCAAGAAGUUAAAAGAUUGUAAUUAAUUAGUAAUAUAUAACACACACAUAUCUGCACAUAUAGACGCACACAUAUAUCUGCACAUAUAGACUACAAGGAAGUCAAAAAUGUUGCUAGACCCUAGAUAUAGUCUAGGUGAAAAGAGACUGAGGAGUUGAGCAGUAAAGAAACUAGUAAGAACUCACAUGACAAUGAGCUUGUUGUAACCAGAAUGCAAAGAUUGGGGCAUAGUCAAGUCUCUAAUUUCUAUAGGCAUAACUCCCUCUAAAGAGUUGUUAUGCAAUGAUAAAUACAUCAAUUUUCUCAAAACCAUUUUUUGAAAUUGACUUUUUAUUUAAAAACAAAAACGGGAGUCGCCACCAAUCCUUUUUUAUGGGGUGUGAUCGGAUCACCUCUUAAAUUGAUCGCUUUAAAAAAUAGUUUGAUUUACUAAAACAAAUAUUUGUGGUCUACAAAAUUAAGGAAACAGGAUUGGGAGUCGGUGACGCACGAGGAAGGAUUAGCACCCUCGUAACACCCAAAAUCGAUACCUAGUUGAUUAAUUAAAGUCUUAGUGUCAAAACCAUUUUUUUGAAUCAACUUUAAAAAUGAAAAUAGGAGUCGCCACCGACAUUUUUUGAGGUGUGAGCAGAUCACCUUGCAAUUCGAUCGUUUUAAUAAAACAUUUUGAUUUUAUUAAAACAAUGAUUUUGGUCUAUGAAAUUUGAGAUAAAUGGAUUCAAGAGUCGGUUACGCACAAGGAAGGGUUAGCACCCUCGAUACGCCCAAAAUUGGUACCUAAUUAAUUAAUUAAUGUCUUGAUGUCAAAAAUUUGAAAUUCGAAAAGUGUUUUAAAAAUAUGAACCUCGGUUUUACCAAAGCUAUAUUUUUUAAGAAAAAUACUUGAAACAAUCAUUAAAAGGCCCGCUCAUUUCGUGGUAAUAAAAUGUCAUAUCCCGUAAGUUAGGAUACAACAUUUGAACCCUCAAAGAUAAGCUCGCCUUUAAUUUUAUUAAAAAUCUGUUAUUUUGAAAUCUAAAAAUAUUUGGUCAUUUUGAUUCGACGAGAAGAUUGAAACCCAGUAAGUUAGGGCACAAUUUCUCGAGGUCCCAAAAAUGACAAAUUGUAAUUUUCUUUUUUUAAUUAGACAAAAAUGUCAAUUUAGAAACAAAGAAAGACAUGAAUAAAUACAUAAAAUAAUAUUUAGAAAAAUAAUUUAUAAAAUAUUAAAAUAAAUAAUCAAAUAUUAAAAAAAUGAAAUGCGGAAUACAAUAAAUAAAUUAAUACGUUAAUAUAAUAAUACAUAAUAAUAUGUAAAUGCAACACAUAAUAAUAAUAUGAAAAUGUAAUGAAUACGAUAAGAAUAAAGAAAUUAAUUCUUAAGUAAAUUAAUAAAUUAAGUUGCAUUAAAUUAAAAGAAUAAAUAAAUAAAUAAAUUAAAUCUAAAAAUUGGGGCAAAAUUGCACAUGAAAAUAUGCUAAAGGACCAAAUUGUAAUGCGCCAAAAAGAAGGGAGGGUCCAAUGGGCAACAAACUCAUUUCUUAGACAUGCGCCACUUCCCUAGGGGAUUAGCGCUUCAGGGACUAAAUUGCAAAGCGAGAAAAAAUUUGAGGUCCAAUUUAAAAAUAAAGGAAAAAGUGAAAAGGACUAAAUUCAAACAACCCAAAAUGGCGGAAGGACUGAAAGGGUAAAUAACCCAUUGAAGAAAAAACACGCGAUUCCUCUCCUCAGGUUGGGUCAACGCGCAGGUUAGGGUGUGUGUAAGGACCAAAACGACGUCGUUUUAGGGCUAUAGAGAUCAACCCUAAACGGUGCCGUUUCACUAGCCUAUAAAACCAAAAUUUUUUAAAAAAAAUUUCAUUCCCUUCUCCCUUUUCUAAAAAAAGAGAAAAACUCUCUCCCCUCCUUUAAAAAAAAUCCAGAAUCCAGCCAGCUUGGGUCGCCGGACCACAGUGGCGGCCGCCGGUCGCUAAAAAAAUUGAAAAAAGCCCAUUUUUUUGGCUUUUCGACUCCCCAACCUCAACUAACACCAAUUUUCAUCGAAAUCGACGAACCUCUUGCAAAAGGUACGUUUUUUAUUCCCUUUUUCCCCUUUUAUAUUUUCUGUUUUUUCUUCUAAAAACAAAUAAGAAUGAAAGAGGAAAAAUGCAACUACCUUUGAAAAUCUGCUGAUCUUUGUAUUGGUUUUUUUAUUCUUUUUAAUUGAUUCGUAAAGUAGAAGAGAGAAAAAUACAUGAAAUUGGGGCCCUUUUUUUAGCCCAAAAGUACCUUUUUUUAUUUUUCUAUUUUCUCUUAUUUUUACACCGUUAUUAGAUUCUUCUCGUUCAUUCGUUUUGCAGGUACAAGGCCGUUGGCCAGCUGGCGUACGGAGGCACACGUGGGGAGGUGCAGCACGUGUGGGAAGGGGCGGCUGCUAAGGCGGCGGCUAGGGUUUUCCCUCAUUUUUUGCUGCUGAAAAUGUUUAGUUUUUAGGCCAUAUUGUGCAACUAGGGAUUUUUUUGUAUUUGGGCUAAUUGGGUGUGAUAAAUUGGGCUAUUUGUAAAUGGACAUUUGGACUUUUAAUUGUUUUUAUUUAGUUUUAAAAUUUGUAUUUGGGCUCGAGCAAAAUAGGCCCGUUACACCUGCCCCUCUUUGCUUGUUGAUGUGUAACGAGAACAGAGCAAAGACUUUAAAAAGGGCAAAUUUUGCCUAGUCUUGUCGAAUCAUGACUUCUUGGAACUUCUUUUCUUCAAGUAACCUCAUUCCAUCCCAUUGCAUCUUCAGGGGUAUAGGAAUUGGUGCUUCGAUCCGAUCCAAUGUAAUUUCAGGGAGAAGAGACUUGUAGCUUCGAUCUGCUUCGCUGCAACUUCAGGGAGAUAAGGCUAGUGGCUUCAAUCUGCUCCACUGCAACUUUAGGAAGAUAAGAUUUGCCAUAAUUUGUAGCUUUAAUUUGUUCCACUGCAACGCCAGGGAAAUAAGAUUUGCUGUCUUCAAUCUGCUCCACUGUAACUUCAGGGAGAUAAGGUUUGAUAUGAUCUGCUCUACUGCAAUUUCAAAUAGAUAAGAUCUACAAUUUAUAGCUUCAAUCUGUUCCACUGUAACUUUAGAGAAAUAAUACUGGUGGCUUCAAUUUGCUCCACCGCAACUUUAAGAAGAUAAGAUCUGUCAUAAUUUGUAGCUUUAAUCUAUUCCACUGCAACAUUAGGGAAAUAAGAUUUGCUGUCUUCAAUCUGCUCCGUUGCAACUUUAGGGAGAUAAGGCUUGAUAUGAUCUGCUCUACUGCAACUUCAAAUAGAUAAGAUCUACAAUUUAUAGCUUCAAUCUUCCACUGUAACUUUAAGGAAAAUAAGAUUCACUGUCUUCAGUCUACUCCACUGCAUCUUCAAAGAGAUAAGGCUGGUGGCUUCAAUCUGCUCCACUGCAACUUCAGAAAGAUAAGAUCUGCCAUAAUUUGUAGCUUUAAUUUGUUCCACUUCAAUGCCAGGGAAAUAAGAUUUGUUGUCUUUAGUCUUCUCCGCUGUAACUUCAGAGAGAUAAGGCUGGUGGUUUCAAUCUGCUCCACUACAACUUCAGGAAGAUAAGAUUCACCAUAAUGACUUCAAUCCAUCCCACUGCAACUUCAGGGAUAUAGAAUUUGUAACUCCACUGAUCUGUUUUCUGGGGAACAUGACCUGUAGAAUCCAUUUCAUGGGCCUAUUUAUGCCAAGUGAUUAGUACGUCAUGAUCAGAAUGAAUCACAUGCUCCUAACUGGAUGUGUAUAGAAUGUCAUUUUUCGAGAAUGAUCCCUUGUUAAUGCUUAGGUUAUCAUUGCUCUUUGUUCAUCAAAGUUCUAUCACUAACGCAUUAACCUGCCUUCUUGUUCGACUAGUAUCUUCGACAGAAAACCCAAAGAAAUUGUCCCAAUUUAGACUAUCCUGUCUCAAAUGUUUCCAACCCUUAAGUUUGGUUAGUUCUAAAUAAUAGUCCUAUUUCAGGUCCUGGUACUAUUUAGAAGCUUUCAAAGCAAUAUGCAGAACUCCUUUUGUUCGAAUAUUAUCAGUUCAUUAAUCGUUAUUUCAAUGAAAAUGCUUGAAAAAGAUUAUCAUAAUGGAAAAGAUGAAAUUUUAUUGAGAGCAAAGAUCGAAAUAAAUAAAUUAAUUUAGAUAGCAAAUGUUGCUGAGAUACAAAAUGAAUAAAAUAAAAAUAGGUGCCCCAGAUAUCAUAGCAUGAGUUUCUCCGUACAAACUUCUUGAGGACCCUUUUGAACUCGAUAUGUGUUUCAAAGAUUCAAAACGCCUUGUUGAUGCCCCAAGAUGUAGCAUCCCUCCUUGUUAAUUUGGGGAAGACAAGACUACUUUGAUCAAAAUUUGAGCCGCCCUUUUCGGGUUUUCAACUCAAAAUCCCUUUGGUCUUAAGGCUCUCUUUGCGGGUUUUCACCUUGGCCUCUUUUUAUUUUUAGACUCGAAGCACCCUUUGCGGGUUUUCGCCUUGGCCUCUCCCCCUUCUUUAGGUAAAAUACUUCUUGACUGAAUCUGAAUUUAUAGGAUUAGGCAAGUUUUUACCAUCCAUCUCGGCCAAAAUCAGCGCUCCUCUAGCAAAGGCCUUCUUUACCACAUAAGGUCCUUUCUAAUUUGGUCCCAGAUCGUUUUCAACACCAGGUCCCCCUCACGGAAUUUUUUAGGACGAACAUUUUUGUCAUAAGCUCGCAUCAUUCAUUUUUGGUACAUUUGACCAUGCCUGGUAACUUUGAACAUUUUUCUUCAAUCAGGAUUGGAUCCAAAAAAACUUAGAGAGAAAGAGUCUCGACUUUAAUGGAAAAACCGUAUAAGCCAAAGAGAAAAGCAUUGCCCCAGUAGAGGUUUUUAUUUUUUGUUCUUUGUUUUGAUUUUUGUUCUUUUUAUUAUUUUUUUGUUUUUUAUCUUUUUUUGUUUUUUUUGUUUUUUUUCCUCUACUGCCGUUCAUUUUGGGGAGAUAUGACAACGAGUUAUGGUGUCUAAUCUUGAAUUGACUGCAGACUUCCAUUAUUAUGAUGUUGUUCAAAUUCAGCGCAUUGUCAGAUAUGAUUCUUUCUAGCAUUCCAUAUAGACAUAUGAUCUCUUUCUUCAAGAAUUUACUAACUGCCGACUUCGUGAUGUUGGCAUAUGAAGCAGCUUCCACCCACUUAGUAAAGUAAUCAAUGACCACAAAGAUGAAUCGAUGACCACCAGAAGCUUUUGGCGAGAUUGACCCAAUGACACCCAUGCCCCACAUAGAGAAAGGUCAUGAAUUCCAUUGAUUCUUUGUAAGGUAGGAUCUAUUUCUCAUCUUGUUCUACCAUCCUUAACAAAUCAGGAGAUAGGCUACUGUCUUGAUCAUCUUCAAAAUCCUGAGAAUCCUCCGGACCUACAUCUUGCUCAAAAGAAGACUCUGAGUUGGUAACGGAGUCACUCAUAUUGUUGAUAUCUAAAGACCCACUAUAGGACGAAGGAAGAUCCAAAGAACAAAAGAAUCGGAGAAUAUUUAUCUGUAUAGUAUGAUUAUGAAUGAAAUGGAAACAAUAAAAGAAUAUUUGCUCGAAGUGAGAAACAAAGAUGCAUUUUAUUGAAGUAAAGAUGUUGGACAUAAGCCUAUCUCACAAAAGGAUUCUUAUUGCCCCUAGGCUUAGAGUAAUAAGCAUGUUUUGGACAUUACUCUGAGUUGAAUCUAAAAAAUACAGGGCUCUCUUCCACAGUCCAAUUAUUCAAUUUUAUUGAAGAAGAGAACUUAUAAUAUGAAAAUGUAAUGAAUACAAUAAGAAUAAAGAAAUUAAUUCUUAAGUAAAUUAAUAAAUUAAGUUUCAUUAAAUUAAAAGAAUAAAUAAUUAAAUUAAAUUAAAUCAAGGAUAAAUUGAAAUUAAAUCUAAAAAUUGAGGCAAAAUUGCACAUGAAAAUAGGCUAAAAGACAAAAUUAUAAUGCUCCAGAAAGAAGGGAGGGUCAAAUGGGCAAUAAACUCAUUUCCUGGACAUGCGUCACUUCCCCAAGGGAUUAGCGCUCUAGGGACUAAUUUGCAAAGCGAGAAAAAAUUUGAGGUCCAAUUUAAAAAUAAAGGAAAAAGUGAAAAAAGGAUUAAAUUGAAACAACCCUAAAAGGUGAAAGGACAAAAAGGGUAAAUAACCCAUUGAAGCAAAAACACGUAGAUCCUCCACUCGGUUUGGGUCAACGUGCGAGUUAGGGUGUGCGUAAGGACCAAAACGGCGUCGUUUUAGGGCUGUAGAGAUAAGCCCUAAACAGUGCCAUUUCACUUGCCUAUAAAACCAAAAUUUUUUAACAAAAUUUCAUUCCCUUUUCCCUUUACUAAAAAAAGAGAAAAACUCUCUCCCCUCCUUUAAAAAAAAAUCCAAAAUUCGGCCAGCUUGGGUCGUCGGACCACCGUGGCAGCCACCGUCUGCGGUGGCCGAAAAAAAUCGAAAAAGCCCAUUUUUUGGGUUUUUCGACUCCCUGACCUCAAAUAACGCUGAUUUUCAUCGAAAUUGGCAAACCUAUCGCAAAAGGUACGUUUUUAUUCCCUUUUCCCUUUUUAUGUUUUAUGUUUUAUCUUUUAAAAACAAAUAAGAACGAAAGAGAAAAAUAAAAAAAAUAAGAAAAAUGCAACUACCUUCGAAAAUCUACUGAUCUUUGUAUUGAUUUUUUGUUCUUUUUGACUGAUUCGUAAAGUAGGAGAGAGAAAAAUACAUGAAAUUGGGGCCCUUUUGAUAGCCCAAAAAUACCAUUUUUUUAUUUUUCUACUUUCUCUUAUUUUUUACAUCGUUAUUAGAUUCUUCUCGUUUAUUCGUUUUUGCAGGUACAAGGCUAUUGGCUAGCUGGUGUACGGAGGUGCACUUGGGGAGGUGCGGCACGUGUAGGAAGGGGCAACAGUUAGGGCGGCGGCUAGGAUUUUCCCUCCUUUUUUGCUGCUGAAAAUGUUUAGUUUAUGGGCCAUAUUGGGCCACUAGGGUUUUUUUUUUUGUAUUUGGGCUAAUUGGGUUUGGUAAAUUGGGCUGUUUGUAAAUGGACAUUUGGACUUUUAAUUGUUUUUAUUUCAUUUUAGAAUUUGUAUUUGGGCCCUGGCAGAAUAGGCCCGUUACACUUAGUGUCGUGAAUUGAAAAUUUUAAAAUAUAUACAAUGAACUUGUAAAACAAAUAUACAAAUAAAAUGAAAAUAAAUAGUAUAUAUAAAAAAUAAAUAAAAAAUAAAUAACGAAUAAAUGACUAAAUAAAUAGAUAAGAUAAAUAUAAAUAAUAUUAAAUUUAAGUAUUUAAAAAUUCAAAGAAUGAUAAAUAAAUAAAUCGGUAAAAUAAAUAUAAAUAAUAUUAUAUUUAAAUAUUUAAAAGGUAAAAGAAUAAUGAAAAAGUAAAUAAAUAAAACAUAUAUAAAUAGUAUUAAAUUUAGGUAUUUUAAAAAUAAAGAAUAAUAAAUAAAUAUAUAAAUGCUGAAAUUAAUCAAACGAAGGACUGAAUUGAAAUCUCAACAGAAUUAAAGGCACAAAUCAUAAUAAAUUAAAUAAAAAAUCGAAUAAGGGCUGAAAUUGAAUGUGCGAAAAGGGAUGGGGGCCAAAUGAGAAAUUAUUCCCAGUCCUACGAACGCGCCGUUUCAUGAUGGACUAAAAUGAAACAAAACCAAAAUCACAAGGGAAACUUAAAAAGAAAAAAAAAGAGGUAGGACUAAAUUGAAACAGACCAUAAAAGCGGAAGGGCUAAAAGCGUAAAUAUCCUCUCCAAGCGAAAACACGCAGAUCCUAAGAGAUGGAUCGGGUCAUGUCAAAACGAUACCGUUUUGGCAUCCAUGAGCACUGGCUCAAACAGUGUCGUUUCAUACGCCUAUUUAAACCAAAUUAAAAAAAAAAAAACCUUCAUUUCUACCAAAUUUUAGAAAAAAAAAAAAAAAACCUCCAAAGCCCUUCUUUUUCUCUGCUAGGGCCUCAAGUCUGACCAUCAAGUGCCACUGAGGCUCCGCUUGAAUGUGUAAUUAAUUGUUUUUAAGUCAAAAGUAUUAUAGUAAAAAGUUAAAAGAUUGUAAAGUUAUUUAGUAAUAUAUAGCACGAUUCUAUUUAAGUAUUAUUACAGUAACAACAAAAAAAAACAAUAAAGAUGAUAUUAUACCUGCUAAGUUGUUAUCAAAAAGACCGAUGCACACAAGAGAAGUAAGAUCUCCAAUAACUGAUGGAAUUUCACCUAAAACAUAUAAUUAAAAUCAUUAAAUUUACUAAUAGAUCUUAAAAUCGUUAAAACUCAAAGCUGAUUGAGGGUUGUAUUUUGUGAGGCUGUGGGAGUUGUGUGAAGAAGAAAAAGAGGGAAUGGCAGUGGGUCAAUGCGGGUUAGUAUAAUUCUGAAACAUAUAAUAUCACCUAUGUACUCUGUAAUCAAAGCUAAGAUAAAUCAUGUACUCUAUUCCUUUCCUAUUCAAUAAUAUCAACAUAUAAAUAAUAAGGAUAGAAAAAAUAGCUAAUUACAAGUCUUGUGUGAUUCAAAAGGGUAUAAAGUAGGUCCUAAUUAAAAAUCAGACCUUAAAUUAAAUUAAUGUAAAAUUUAACUCUUUUCUUAUCACCAAAUAAAUUUACGUUUAGUGAAAUUAGAAGUUCUAAUAAUAUACUUGUAAUAACUGAUUGUUUAUGACUAGGUGUUUUGUUUUCAACGUAUUUUUCUAAAAAUUUCUACUUUUAUAAAAGCAAGAUAUGCCACUUAGAGAAGUUUCUUUAAGUAUUUUUUCUCUGCUAAAAUAAAAGGGUGGAACUAACGAAAGCAGUUAGUAAAACUUGAGAUGCUAAAUACAGACACAUUCCAGAAUAGGAAGGAAAACUACAAACAAACUCCUAAACCAAAUAAUUGGUUGAUGGCUGAAUUGACAUAAAACCAUUAAAGAUUUACACUAUAACUAUGUUGUAUUGUUUACGAAUAAUUGUUUCUUUAGACACAAACAUUACUAUUGUAAGAAGCUAAAAUAAACUACAACAAUAUAAAAACAAAGUUAUAAUUACAACUCAACCAAUCAUAAACAACCCUUAAACCAAUCAUGAGCCAACUUUGACUUUUCAACUAAAGCUGUUACAACUGAAAACCUGAAUUCAUGUCUCUCACUAAGAACAGGGAUUGAUGACAUAUCUCAAUCUGUUAUUCCUCAAGUAUGGGGUUGUGGAGAUGACUAUGAGUUUUGAUGUGUUCCUACCUGCUACUAAGGGUAAAUCAGGAACUGCAUUGAAAAUCUGACUACAUUCCAUUUGGCACCAUAUAAAUUGGUUGAUGGUUCAAGUCACAUAAAUAAUAUAUAUACUCUAUGAUUAAGUUUGGUUUUGCUAGCACUGAACUUAGUGGCUAUUGUUUAAAGUCCCGCUUCACUAUUUAAAACAAUUGUUGAUGGAAAUUAGAUAAAAAUGAAUGAAACAAUAACCAGGCAUUUUGUUUACCUUUGAAAUGGUUGCCACCAAGAUUCAACCUGUUGAGCAAAGUCAAAUUUCCAAUUUCUGUAGGUAUACUUCCCACCAAGGAGUUGUUAAACAAUGAUAAAAUCUUCAGCUCUUUGCACUUGAAUAAACUAUUUGGAAUUCCACCGGAAAUUUGAUUCCCACCCAAGCUCAACCUUUCCAGUUUUGACAAAUUGCCUAGAGUAAAUGGGAUAUCACCGAUGAAGUUGUUAAGGUGCAGAGACAUUCUUUGAAGUUUACUGAAGCAACCAAACCAUGUUGGGAUUUCUCCAUUGAAGCUAUUGUUACCAAAGUCCAAAUAUUUCAACCGACGCAAAUUAGUUAACUCAAUGGGUAAAGAGCCUUGGAAACUAUUUUGAUGAAUGUCGAGCCGGGCAAGGAAAGAUAGAUUUCCCAAUUGAGAAGAAAUGGUGCCUGUGAGAUCCAUGCUUGCCAAAACCAGAGCAGUGACUCUAUGGUGUCUAGAUCCACAUGUGACACCAAUCCAGCUACAAACGGAGGUAGAAGUAGACCAAUUGGGUGCCAAGAAAUUGUAAGGAUCAUGAGUUAUUUGAGAUUUUAGUGCUAGAAGAGCAGAUUGAUCAACGGUGAUGCUAGAAUAUUUUGCAGACAAAAUAACCCCAAAGGAUGCGAAUAGCAGCCCAAACAUAAACGGAGGGAGGAAGCUUGGUUUUGCCAUAAGGUUGGAUAUGGGUGUAAGGCGCAUCAUAAGGAGAGAAACAACUGAGUUUAAUACUUUUCUAAUGUUAGUUCAAUAUUCUUUAAAUACUUUUGAUUCUAAGGACCAUUGACUCAUAGUUUGAGUAACAAAUACGUAGAAACUUGUGGGUCCAACCAUGUUAUAGGGAAAAAAAAGGAAAGCCUAAAGUAGAAGACUUAGUCUCAAGUUGAAGAGUAGCACUAAUAAUUCAAUCGCAUUAACAAAGAUCAUCAUUUGGAUAUAUAAACCAAAUCCAAACUCGCAAUUAUACCUACAUAGAUGAAGGAUUCAAUUGAAGACAAGUAUAAAUUGUUAAAAUAUAAAAUUUCAUCAUUGGUUUUGAUUGUGUGGUGGUCUAUUGUAUGUACCAGUUGGGGUGGAUAUUCUUUAUUUUUAUUUUCAUAUAUUGGUGAGAAGCUGAUAUCCCUCGUGAUUGAACCAAAAAUUGGAAUAUUUUCUCACUUCUGCCCUCUAUUAUUAUGGAUUCCUCUUUUAUAAGCAUUUUUCAUAGCUCCAUGCAUUUAGGAACAUAGGAUCAUUCCUGCAAACACUACAGCAGAACAGGUUUUUAGCGGCAUUUUUUUUGCCUUUAGCGGCGCUUUUAAACGCCACUAAAUCCAUUUUUGGCGCUUGAAUAAGCGCCGCAAAAAAUGCCGCUAAUGACAACGUCGUAAACUUUUGCGGCGCUUACAGAAAAAAACGCCACUAAAGAUCAUGUUCUUUAGCGGCGCUUAGAAAGAAACGCCGCUAAAGAUCAUGUUCUUUAGCGGCGCUAAAAAAAUAAACACCACUAAAGACCAUGUUCUUUAGCGGCGCUUAGAAAUAAACGCCACUAAAGAGCAUGUUCUUUAGCGGCGCUUAGAAAUAAAAGCCACUAAAGAUCAUGUUCUUUAGCGGCGCUAAAGAAAUAAACGCCGCUAAAGAUCAUGUUCUUUAGCGACGCUUAGGACAAAAACGCCGCUAAAGAUCAUGUUCUUUAGCGGCACUUUGAAAGAAAACGCCUCUAAAAGUAAUGUUCUAUAGCGGCGCUUGUUUAAAAACGCCGCUAAAAGUAGUAUUCUUUUAGCAACGCUUAUUUCAGAAAUGCCACUGUUUGAUAUGACUUUUAGCGGCGCUUUUUUAAAAAACGCCACUAAUUUUAGGAUUUUUUUUAAAAUAAAACUUUCUGUUUUUUUCUGCCCUCCUGCAACAAAAAAUCAAAAGCAACCAAAUCUAAACUAACAAAAAACAAUAAAUUUAUAUAAUAUUUCAAAUUAAAUGACUAAAAUAAUAUUAAUUGAUAUAAAUAAAAUUGAAUUCAUACUUUUCUUUACAAAAGCGUUAAAAGUAUUUAUGCAACAUACACUAUGACGGCGGAAGUUGCAACUGCUGAAACAUCUUCAUCAUAAUCUGAAGCUGCUGUUGAAGUUCGUCGUACUUUUUGCUCUGCUCCGCUUCCCUCGAUGCCGCAUCUUUUUGAAGUCGUAGCUGUAGUUCUUCAUAUUUCUUUUGAACCUCUACUUCUAUCGCUGCUUCUCUCGCUGCGGCCUCUGCUUCUCUUGUUGCUGCCUUUGCUUUAAGUUGUUGCUGAAGUUCUUCAUAUUUCCUUUGAACCUCAAAUGUGGUCGCUUGCAUCUGAGCCAUCUGGUCUUUUAACCUUUGAACUUCAGCUUGAGAUUGACUCCCCGAAGCCAUGUAUUGGUGCGAGCUGGAUCCAAAAUAUUGGGUUGGGCUGAUAAAAGAUCCUUGAAAUCGAACCCGACCAUACUUUUCAGGACCAAAUACUUCAGUAAUAAUCCGGUUGUCAAUGUCUUCAAGAUGAACAGAACUAUCACUAGAAGCAAUCGCUUCGUACUCCGUCUUUUUUUCCUUUAGUUUUUCCUAAUAAAUAAAUCACAUAGUUAGGAACGCAAUAUAUAUAUAGUAAAAAAACAAAUGCAAUAUAACAAUAGUCGCAUUACAAGCAAUGAAUUAAACCAUUAGAAAAUAAACACUAUAAAUAACUAAAACAAGUGAAAUCGUAUUAAGUAAACGUACCAUAAUUUCACCAGCUUCAGGAGUCAUAGCAGAUCCAUCUUUCUUCUUAUGUGUAAUUUCAAAAAGUUGUAGGCGUCCAACUUUUUGACCGGACGACCGUUCCUGCAAUAUAGUAGUAAAAAUAUUAUUUAAUAGAAAGUUAUACAUAUUUGAGAAUAUUAAAAAAUUAAAAAUACCUCCGCCUCAGCUACACAUGCAAAACUUCUCGACCCGGCUGUGUGAGUGAAUUUUUGUUGCUGCCGGCUGCUUUUUCCAACUCGUUCACGAUCCUACGUUAUAAAAUUUUUAGUACGUAAAUAGUAAAUACUAUAAACCAAAAUAAUUACAAUAGUUUGGAAGUACGUCGUACCUCGCCUUUCUGAGAAUGCCAAAAUCUAACCGCAUCUUCCCAUUGGUACCUCAACAUACCCGGCGGGACAUUUUGCAAUUUCUCAUCGAGGGUGGUUUUUGUCUUAUAAUAAUUUUUCUUCAAAGUACUUUUAUUGUCUCUCCAUCUUUUUCCCAAUGCCUUCUUUACAUAAGCAUCGAAGACCUCUAAAGCAAACCUCGCCUACAAAAAACACAAGUUAAUAAAGUAAAUAUAAAUGAAACUAUUUCCCAAGCAUUACAGAUGACAUUAACAUUUUGUUACCUUAAUAUUAUCGAGGGCGUGGUUUUUGUUGCUAUCGGGCAUUUGACGCCAUGACUCGUAGUUGAUAGGCAACAUAUUCAGAUUUCGUGCUAAAAUGCCCAUGUGAGCAAAAGGUGGUUAAAGUCUGAUCCAACAGGCUGACCAAAACUGUUUCUGCAUACCUUGACACGCUCGGCUGGAUCUAACUCGUAUAACUCUCUAAGUAUCGUACGUCAUCGNNNNNNNNNNNNNNNNNNNNNNNNNNNNNNNNNNNNNNNNNNNNNNNNNNNNNNNNNNNNNNNNNNNNNNNNNNNNNNNNNNNNNNNNNNNNNNNNNNNNGCUACAAAUGGUAUAUUAUAAUAUAAGAAUUUGAAAAAUAAAUCAAUUAUAAGUAAACAAGCAUGGAAUUAAUGUAAGUUACUUUGAACUUCCGUAGGAUCCUCGUGUGUAAUCAGAACAUUCGAAGAUCCAAUUGCUGUCUGUUGUUCAGUACUAUUUGUUUCUAUCGAGUUUGGAUCAUUUUGAACAAUGCUUUCCCUUAUAAUUUUUCUUCUAGGCAUUUUAUCUGCAAUACACAUAAAAUGUAAUUAAACUUAAUAACUAAUUACAACAAUAACAGCACAUAUAAAAUAGUUGAGUUAUAUAAUAAGACCAAUAUUUAAUACUAAUGUAAGUUACAUAUAAUUAAACAAUCGUAAAAUCUUACUACAUCAUUAUUAAUCUUCAUCCGUAUCCUGACGAACCCAUUGAAAUUGUGCACUAGUACUAGGGAUAUUAUCGUUUAAGUUUUGUUCUGGAAAUGGCAAAGUUUCUGAUCUGUCGUCGAUAUUAUCUCUACUUCCACUGCCCAUGUCAAACAAGUCUCUAGGGAUGUUACGGAGUACAACGUACCAACCCUCAUCAGUUGGAUCUUUUGAGUAAAAAACUUGUUUGACUUGACUUGAGAAUACAUACGGCUCAUCUAUCAGUUGUUGUCUUGUGUGAAUCAAUCGGUCAAAGUUCACCAUUGUAAAACCAAAUUGAUCUUGCUUGAUUCCACGAGCUGUAUUAACAUCGGCCCAAUCACCUCGAAAUAAGACAACUUUCCAUUUGCCGUAGUAAUCCAACUCAAUUAUGUCAGUAAGCUGUCCGAAAUAUUCCACAUUUCCCUCGACUGGAUUAUUGUCCCUAGCGCUAGCAUAACUUGUAAUUGCAGAAUUAACAACUAUUCCACAAUUUUGCGUUCUCCUCAACCUCUCACGAUAUUUUGUAUGAAAUCUGAAUCCGUUGAUGAGGAACGCACUAUAUCUUUUAACCACUCGAUUUGGACCUUGGGAGAGCCAUUUAACUUCGUUGUUUACGCUCUUCCCAUUCGAAACCUAUUGAAUGGAAAGUAAACUAAGUAAUUAAAAAUGUUAUGAGAAAGCAUUAUUAUUUGUAAGCGAAAGCUCCAACUACAUACCGUUUGGCUUAACCAUUCAUAAAAAGAUUCUGUAAACAACUUAUUGAUAUCUCGAUGUUGUGUUCUUCGGUUGCGCGAACGAGAUCUCAAUAUUUGUUUGUACUCACUAUAUAUGUUAAAAAAAUGUGAUCUUUGUUAGAAGAUAAACAAUUUUUAGUUUGAUAAAUAUUUAUAAAAUUUGUAGAACUUACUUCCGUAAAGGUUCCAAUGAUUCGUGGUGAAACAGAACAUAUCGAUGUGCUUGUACCCACGAUAAAUUAUCUAAUUCCGCAAUUUCAACUUUGCCGAUUGGUUGUCCAGAACUUUGGAACAAAUAAGUACUAUCGGCUAAGUUAUAGUCCGUGAGUCCAGCAUUCCUAUUUGGUCUGUUCAACCUUGUUUCGACAUCUUCCAAAUAUCUUGAGUAGAAGGUCAUACAUUCCUCUGCCAAGUAGCCUUCAGCAAUCGAUCCUUCUGGAUAUCGCUUGUUGCGGCAGUAAGACUUUAAUUUGGAUAGGAACCUAAACACAAUAUACAACAUUAUCAUAAGUUGUAACUAUAGGCAUAGAGGUGAAUGAAAGAAAAUUUUAAAAAUACUUCUUUAACACCUUUCUAUGGGAUACAUCCAUCGAUAGAAAAUGGGUCUGCCAAGAAUUGCUUCGUACGGGAGAUGAAUUAUCAAGUGAACCAUAAUGGUGAAGAAUGAAGGUGGGAAGAUUUUCUCCAUGUUGCAUAAAGUCAAUGCGGCUCGAUCCUGUACCUUCUGAAGUUCUUGAACAUCCAAAACUUUGCCACAAAUGGCUUUCAUUAUGUUGGAUAGUUCAAUGAUACAAGACGUCACCUUCUUGGACAUACAACAUCGUAGAGCAACUGGCAUUAAAUCUUGCAUCAAGAUGUGAUAGUCAUGUGAUUUUAGCGAAUAUAAUCUUUGAUCUUUAACACUAACACAUCGAGAUAUACUUGACGCAUACGCAUCCGGAACCUUUAUAUCCUUCAACACCAUGCAAAACAGUUCUUUCUCUGUCUUGGACAUUGAGAAAAUUGAAGGCGGCAACCAAUAUUUCCCAUUCGGAAGUGGAUUAGGAUGAAGAUCAGGCCGAAUUCCCAUUUGGACUAAAUCAAGUCGACUCUGAAGAUUGUCUUUUGAUUUUCCGUCGACGUUCAAAAUUGUACCGACAAUGUUCUCGCAGACAUUUUUCUCAAUGUGCAUAACAUCAAGAUUGUGUCGUAAAAGGUGAUGCNNNNNNNNNNNNNNNNNNNNNNNNNNNNNNNNNNNNNNNNNNNNNNNNNNNNNNNNNNNNNNNNNNNNNNNNNNNNNNNNNNNNNNNNNNNNNNNNNNNNNNNNNNNNNNNNNNNNNNNNNNNNNNNNNNNNNNNNNNNNNNNNNNNNNNNNNNNNNNNNNNNNNNNNNNNNNNNNNNNNNNNNNNNNNNNNNNNNNNNNNNNNNNNNNNNNNNNNNNNNNNNNNNNNNNNNNNNNNNNNNNNNNNNNNNNNNNNNNNNNNNNNNNNNNNNNNNNNNNNNNNNNNNNNNNNNNNNNNNNNNNNNNNNNNNNNNNNNNNNNNNNNNNNNNNNNNNNNNNNNNNNNNNNNNNNNNNNNNNNNNNNNNNNNNNNNNNNNNNNNNNNNNNNNNNNNNNNNNNNNNNNNNNNNNNNNNNNNNNNNNNNNNNNNNNNNNNNNNNNNNNNNNNNNNNNNNNNNNNNNNNNNNNNNNNNNNNNNNNNNNNNNNNNNNNNNNNNNNNNNNNNNNNNNNNNNNNNNNNNNNNNNNNNNNNNNNNNNNNNNNNNNNNNNNNNNNNNNNNNNNNNNNNNNNNNNNNNNNNNNNNNNNNNNNNNNNNNNNNNNNNNNNNNNNNNNNNNNNNNNNNNNNNNNNNNNNNNNNNNNNNNNNNNNNNNNNNNNNNNNNNNNNNNNNNNNNNNNNNNNNNNNNNNNNNNNNNNNNNNNNNNNNNNNNNNNNNNNNNNNNNNNNNNNNNNNNNNNNNNNNNNNNNNNNNNNNNNNNNNNNNNNNNNNNNNNNNNNNNNNNNNNNNNNNNNNNNNNNNNNNNNNNNNNNNNNNNNNNNNNNNNNNNNNNNNNNNNNNNNNNNNNNNNNNNNNNNNNNNNNNNNNNNNNNNNNNNNNNNNNNNNNNNNNNNNNNNNNNNNNNNNNNNNNNNNNNNNNNNNNNNNNNNNNNNNNNNNNNNNNNNNNNNNNNNNNNNNNNNNNNNNNNNNNNNNNNNNNNNNNNNNNNNNNNNNNNNNNNNNNNNNNNNNNNNNNNNNNNNNNNNNNNNNNNNNNNNNNNNNNNNNNNNNNNNNNNNNNNNNNNNNNNNNNNNNNNNNNNNNNNNNNNNNNNNNNNNNNNNNNNNNNNNNNNNNNNNNNNNNNNNNNNNNNNNNNNNNNNNNNNNNNNNNNNNNNNNNNNNNNNNNNNNNNNNNNNNNNNNNNNNNNNNNNNNNNNNNNNNNNNNNNNNNNNNNNNNNNNNNNNNNNNNNNNNNNNNNNNNNNNNNNNNNNNNNNNNNNNNNNNNNNNNNNNNNNNNNNNNNNNNNNNNNNNNNNNNNNNNNNNNNNNNNNNNNNNNNNNNNNNNNNNNNNNNNNNNNNNNNNNNNNNNNNNNNNNNNNNNNNNNNNNNNNNNNNNNNNNNNNNNNNNNNNNNNNNNNNNNNNNNNNNNNNNNNNNNNNNNNNNNNNNNNNNNNNNNNNNNNNNNNNNNNNNNNNNNNNNNNNNNNNNNNNNNNNNNNNNNNNNNNNNNNNNNNNNNNNNNNNNNNNNNNNNNNNNNNNNNNNNNNNNNNNNNNNNNNNNNNNNNNNNNNNNNNNNNNNNNNNNNNNNNNNNNNNNNNNNNNNNNNNNNNNNNNNNNNNNNNNNNNNNNNNNNNNNNNNNNNNNNNNNNNNNNNNNNNNNNNNNNNNNNNNNNNNNNNNNNNNNNNNNNNNNNNNNNNNNNNNNNNNNNNNNCCCAUUUCGAUAACCGUCGCUUACCCUUGACAAAUUCAUCCAAGACCGGUCCAUUUCUUAAUUCUUGAAGCUGACGUUGACAAUAAAUUGCACGGUUUUAGGAUUUGACAACAAGAUAUACAUUAUGUAAGUUAUGUAAGUUAUGUAAGUUGUGUAAGUUGCGUAAGAUGUGUAUUAUGAAACUUAUGUAAGUUAUGUCUUAUGUAAGUUAUGUAAAAUAUGUAUUAUUUACACAUGUAAGUUAUGUCUUAUGUAAGUUGCGUAAGUUGUGUAUUAUGAAAGUUAUGUCUUAUGUAAGUUAUGUAGGGUAUGUAUUAUUAUGUAACUUAUUUAAUUUAUGUAGGGUAUGUAUUAUUAUGUAACUUAUUUAAUUUAUGUAGGGUAUGUAAGUUAUGUAAGCUCUGUAUUAUUUACGCAUGUAAGUUGUGUAUUAUGUAUUAUUACGUAACUUAUUUAAGUUAUGCAAGUUAUAUAUUAAGUAGGUUAUGUAAGUUAUGUGUUAUCUAAAUGAAUAUAUGUAUAAUAUUAAAAAAAUAGUAAUACUUAUUUAAGUUAUAAAUUUAUUAUUAAUAAAAUUUAAAUAUAGCUUACAUACGUAAAUGAAUAUAUGUAAGUUAUGUAAGUUAUUAUGUAAGUUAUGCAAGAUUAUAAUAUAAGUUAUGUAUUAUGUUAUUAUGUAUUAUGUAAUGUAUUAUCAGAUUAUAUAUAAGUUACGGAAGUUAUUAUGUAAGUUAUACAAGCUUAUAUAUAAGUUAUGUAUUAUGUUAUUAUAUAUUAUGUAAGUUAUGCAAGCUUAUAUACCAAUUAUGUAUUGUGUUAUUAUGUAUUAAGUUAUAUACUAAAUUUUUGUAAGUUAUCUAAAAUUAAACUUAAAAAUAAAUGGCAAAGUUUGAAAUUUUUUCCAUGAUUCAAAUUAAAUAAAAGAAAACAAAACAAACUAAAUUUCGGUAAUUAAAAUAGCAACUAAAGGAAAAAAAUUUGUUUUGGAGGAAAACAUAUAAAUAUUUGCAAACUAUACGGGCUUUAACCAAAUGUUUAUAUUAUUUAGACAUAAAUAACCUUCAUUUUCGAAAUAAUUUACUUGUUAUAUGGAAUAAUAUGUAUACAACAGUUAACCAUAUUUGAUAUCAAUGAAACUGAAAUGUGAANNNNNNNNNNNNNNNNNNNNNNNNNNNNNNNNNNNNNNNNNNNNNNNNNNNNNNNNNNNNNNNNNNNNNNNNNNNNNNNNNNNNNNNNNNNNNNNNNNNNUUUAAAAAAAAUUUAAUCCAAUUUAUUAAAUUUAUUAAAUUGCUUCUAUUUUGCUCAACAUAUAUAGCAAUCGUUGAUGGAUGAUAACAAAAAACAUAAGUCAGAAAAGUACAUGGCAAUUGUAAAAUAAGUAAAAUGAAACAUAAGCUAGAGGAAAACAACCAAAACCAAUUACAUGUAUACAAAACCAGAGCCCCAAAAGAAACAUUUUUCAAAAAUCAUCUUGCUAUUUCCAUGUAAUAUUCACAAAAAGUCAGACCUUUUUAGUUUAUAGAUUUACUUACCACUAUAUUACAGUUUAAAAAUUUUAAAAAUAUAAGAACUAAACUUGAUCAAAUUUCUGAAUCGGCAGUAAGUCCAUAUGAUUAACUGUGCAGUGACUAAUAAGUCCAUACUUCAACAACAAAUGUUAUCAUUAAUCUAGACAAUAAAAGCAAAAGAAUCAAAAAAAAAAGAUUGAAUCUCAAAGUUCAGCCUAAUAAAGAGGCUGAAAGAAGAUUUAUACCAAAAAUAUUACUUUGCUCAGAAUGUAAUUUGAACUUACAAAUUUUGAACAGUGCUGUAGUGUUCCGUUCCCUGCCACUACUGGAUUUUUGUAAUAGUAUGUAUAGUAGCCCUGCCAUAGCAAACAUUAAUAGAUGUGAAUCAAUAGGUUUUGAGAAUGAAUCUCAACAUCAAUAACCUACCCCUCAUCCUGAGCUAUUUUCGACAGAAAAGAAAUAAAUGAUUAACCAAGGUAGUAACGUACUAAGUUUAUAGAGAAGAAUUCUUCUCUUAAAACCAUUUUCAUUGUCUGAUCGAAAUGGUUAAGGUUAUGUAAAUUAUUACCUAAAAAUGUUCUUACUUUCUUAACCCUAAUUUGAAUUUACCGUAUUAAUACCUAAAAAUGUUCUUACUUUCUUAACCCUAGUUUGAAUUUUCUUAUUUCAAUGGCUACUUGUCACUUCAGUGGCUAUUUCUCAACUAAAUACGACGACCCUCAUCAGUCGGCUAGGUAGAAUAAAAACUGAAUUGUAUGUUUAAAGAUUAAACUCUACGAAAAAAAGGAAUAAUGUGAAAACUAAAAUAUGUGAAAACUACUGCAUUUCACGAAUAAAUAUAGAUGAAAAUGCUGAAAUAUGUGAAAAAUGAAAACCCUUGAACUACCGUCGGCAAGAGAACAAACCUCUAAGCUGGCGAUUUCAAGGUUGCCGAUUUCGGGAAACUAGUUGGGCUGCCGAUUUUCGGGUGAACUUAGGGAUUUCAGGGGGAAUUCUCUAAAAAUCUUAAAGUUUGAGGAACUAAUUAGGGCUGCUGGGGAAAUGAAUGUCGAAAGUCUGCUGGGGAAGAAGGGGGAAAUAAAAAUCAGAGUAAGAGGAAAACGAAGGGGAAGCAAACGACGACGUUUUGCUAAACGAAAUAAACCCUUGUGGCGUUUAACUAGACGCGCCGCUAAAUCCAUGGCAAUUGCGGCGUUUAAAAACAAACGCCACUAAAAACCCACAAAAACGGUGACGUUUGCAUUAAUACAACACAAGGAAUUCCGGCGUUUUUGACAUUGCGCCUCUAAAUCCUGCAGCAUUUACGGCGUUUGACCAAAAACGCCACUAAAUAAGCUAUCAACACGGCGCCGUUUUGCUGAAAAUAGAUUCAGGGUAAGGGCAAAACAGAGGACAGAAAAACGAUGACGUUUGAGUAAUAGAAAUAAACUAUUGCAGCGUUUAUUAGAAACGCCGCUAAAUUCCUACCUACUGCUGCGUUUAAUCCAAAACGCCACUAGAGAACCUCCAAAACGGCCGCGUUUGGGUUAAUAGAAAAUGACGUUUGCAUUAAUACAACACAAGGAAUUGCGGCGUUUUUGACAUUGCGCCUCUAAAUCCUGCACAUUUACGGCGUUUCACCAAAAACGCCACUUGUGAAGCCAUUAACACGGCGUCGUUUAGAUAAAAAUAGAAUUAGAACGAGGGAGAAAAUGUAGGAGACCAAAACGACGGCGUUUUACUGUCUGCAAUAAAUUUUUGCGGCGUUUAACUAAAAACGCCGCUGGAUACACACAAAACACAGCCGUUUUGAUAAACACGGCACCAUUUUCAUUAAAAUAUCUUAUCUUUUUGCGGCUUUUUCUGUAUUGCGCCGCUAUAGGUCUACAUAUUGCGGCGUUUCUCUGAAAACGCCACUAAAUAAGCCUAUUGAACGGCACCGUUUUUAUGACAACAUAAUUCCUUUAGUAUGAAAUUUGUUUCUAUAUUUGAAAGGUUUAAUUAUUUCUUAAAUAAAUUUAAAUUAAAUUUGUUCUGUUCCACGCUAUAUAUUUAAUAUGUAAAAUUUUAAUUAUAAUUGUGUACAUGAAAAUAAUUUUAAAUAAUAUCAAAACUCGAGCUAGAUAUAUGUCUUCCUUCUGAAGAAUAUUAUGUAAUUUUUUGUAUUAAAUUAAGAAGGCAAAGCUUAUGAUGUUACGAUAGAAUCGAAAAAAAUUAGAAGGAUCAAAACAAUCAGAAAUAGAAGUUCAUGAAUAUUGGUUAAUAGAAAGGAUCGAUAUAUAUAUAAUUCUAUUCCCUUGACUGAUCUUGAUUUUAGUUCAACUAGUAUUCGUGUCUGCGCCUGUCUUCAAACAAGAGCACGAACAUAUGACAUUGUAAGAACCCUACAAUUAGUAAGGGUGAAAAACGCUUCAUUAAAAACACUAAUUAAUCAAAACCCCGAAACACUAAACCCCAAAAUUAUACACCCUAAACACUAAUCCCAAUUACCCCUAAACUUUAAACCCCAGCACUUAAACCCUAAACCGUAAAACAUAAUCACUAAACCCAUAAUCCAUAAACUUUAAAUUGUAACUCUUAAAUCUUAAACAAUAAACCUUAGAGCAUAACCCUUAAACCCUAAACUGUAAAACCAAACCCUAAAUAUAUCCCCAUAACCCCUUAAAGCAUAACCCCUAAAUCCCCCUAANNNNNNNNNNNNNNNNNNNNNNNNNNNNNNNNNNNNNNNNNNNNNNNNNNNNNNNNNNNNNNNNNNNNNNNNNNNNNNNNNNNNNNNNNNNNNNNNNNNNUUGAACCUUAAUUCCCAAACCUUAAAUCCAUACCCCGACCUACUCAUUAAACUCUAAACCAUAUACUAUAAUGAUAAUUAAUUCAAUAUUUUAAAAUUAAUACUACCUUUUUUACGAUUAUAUAAGAAAUUAUUUAAUAUAUAAACUAAAAAAAUCAGUAAUGUAUCCAAAAAACUUUAAAAAUAUUUUAAAUAAAUUUAUUUAAAUCCCUGAGCAUUAGCGGCGCUUUAUUAAAAACGCCGCUAAAACCUUGAAAGCUAAGAAAACGGUGUCGUUGGGUUUAAUUUUUUUUGCGGCGAGCAUUAGCAACGCUUUACUAAAAACGCCGCUAAACCCCCGAAAGCAAAGAAAACGGUGUCGUUGGGUUUAAUUUUUUUUGCGGCGCUUCCAUAAAAACGCCGCUAAAGCCCUGCAUUAGCGGCGCAUUAUUAAAAACGCCGCUAAACCCCCCCGGAAGCUUAGAAAACGGCGUCGUUGGGCUUAGUUUUUUGCGGCGCUUUAGUAAAAGCACCGCUAAUUCUUAUUUCAGUGGCGUUUUCAAUUAAGCGUCGCUAAUGAUCGAUCUUUAGCGGCGUUUGUUAUUAAAACGCCGCUAAAAACCUAUUUUGGUGUAGUGAAAUAAAAGAUGGUAGGUGACUAUUCUUCUAAUAAAAACAUUUUUUCUUAAAGCAUUAUAGAUAGAAUUAUUUGUAUUCAAUCUCUUUGGUGGUGUAGGAAAAGGAUAUGAUUGUCCAAUAAUGAAUUGUGUAAGUCAAGGUUUUUGUAAUUUGUAGGAAUGCGAGGAUUGAAUGAAUAGCGACAAGGUUUUUGUAAUAUUUUGUAAUUUUCUUCUUUUCCUUAAGCUAUAAAAUUUUAAUUUCUAGUUUUGACUAUAUGCCUUUGGUUCUCAUCUCUUGUUAUGCAUGGCUGAGUCGCUGUUCGUUGGAUGGACCUACAUUCAAAACAUGAAAUGAAAAGACAAGUAAUGUGAAACGUGUUUGAUUGAGAUCCUCAAUUUAUUUUCUUCACGGUUGCUCCCAAUUUCUUUCUAUUAACACACAUUGGGAAUAUGAAUUCAAAGAAUCACCAUUUUUUCCAAUAUCUAAUUUGAAAAUUCGUCACAUCGAGACAAAUCAAGUUGAACUUUCCACAAGAUAGACUUCUUUUAAGACUGCAUGUGUGGACCAAUAUGCAGGAUUCAACUAAAGAUGAGAUGAUUUUUCAGCUCUCCAUUGGUUAUAGCAACUUCCACCUCUAUCGUUUUCAUCUUAAAUUUCCAUUUCAAUUGUUGGGGAAGUUAAAUUUCCACUGAUUAGACUCGUUAUUUUGUGUCUAUCUGCAAUUUGAAUGGGAUAACCAACAAAACGAGGGAGGAGCAUUUGAUUUUUUCCAUUUACACUCUUUUCUUUUCUUUUUUUUUUUCGAAAAAAACUUGUGGCUCUAAACGAUCACUUCUACCUUAUUUUUAUUUAUAGUAAGAUUUUUUUUAUUUGUUGCAUUUUGUGUUUUAUUUUAACCAUAACCCGAAUUCUAAAAACAAAUUAAGCUCAAUUUAACAAUUUGAGUCCAAUUAAAAAUCAAACUCUAUUGACAAUUAAGUUUUACGACCUUGUUAAACUUGUUCACUUUUAUCAUCAAUGAACAACUAAGCAAAUCCUAUGAGAUAAAGCUCAUAGGAUACAUAACUCUCCCCUUCAACUAAAUUUUUGUUUUAUUUUUUGUGAAUAGUUUAACUUAUGAAUAGAUUUACUCUCACAUACGUGAUAGUAUUAUCAAUUUUAUAACCUUAUCAAGGCUUUUAAAUUUACUAAAAAAAAUUACAGAAAUAUAACAACAAAAAAGAGAAGAAAAAUGAUAUGAUAGUUGUUACGUUGGUUUUAGAAAGAUGUCCAAUAACUGAUGAAAUUUAAUUGAAACAUAUAAUUAAAUUUGUUAAAAUAACAUGGCGUUAUGCUUUGUUGAGUUUAAUGGCGUGGAAGUGUAUGUUUGUUGUCUCCUGUUAGAGGUCGAACUCAUGUACUCGGUUUCUCUCAUCUUCAUGAUUGAAAAGAAAAUAGUUAAACAAAUAAAUGAUAACGCAAAUCAAAGCGGUAGAGGGAAAUGUUAAUUCAAAUAAAUAAUAUUUCGUAAUCUCUAUCUUUCUCUCAUUUUCCUUUGAGGUGAUGCUGUCGAAACUAUUUUUUGUAAAAGGGGUUCACUUUUAUUUUGAAAAUAAAAACGAAAAAAUAGGAGUCGCCACCAAUCCUUUUUGAGGUGUGAUUGGGUCACCUUGUGAUUAAUCGUUUUAAUAAAAUGUUUUGAUUUACUAAACCAACGAUUUUGGUCUACGAGAUUCGAGAAAACGGGUUCAGGAGUCGGUUACAUACGAGGAAGAUUAGUACACUCGUAACGCUCAAAAUUGGUACCUAAUUGAUUGAUUAAUGUCUUAAUGUCGAAAAUUGAAAUUUUUGAAGAGAUUCAAAAUACAAUCCUUUUAUUAAAAUCACUUAAUUGAAAAAAAAAUUAGAAAAGGGUGUAUUUCACGUCAAUCGAUAAAAAGGAUUAUAUCCCGUGAGUUAAGAUAUAAUAUUAAAUCCCGAAACGAGAAUAAACAUUAAAAAUUUUAUUUAUUUUUAGAAGUUUUUUAUUAUCAUGGUUUAGAAAAGAAAUCAUAUUCCGUAAGUUGGAAAACGAUUUUUAAUUCCUGAGAUAAUUUUGAAAAUAUUUUUUUGAAAAAUGAUUCGUAUACUUAGAUUUAUCGAAAAAGAUCGAAAUCUCGUAAGUUAGGAUAUGACCUUUCCGAAUCCCAAAAUAUGAAAUAUUGCUUAUUUUCUAUUUUUUAUUUUUUUUACAAAUUUGGGUAAAAAUGUGUAGUAUUUAAAAUAAUACAUGAAUGAAAUGUUGCAUUAAUAAAUAACAAUAAUGAAUAUAAUAAAAACAAUUUACAAGAAUCAUCUAAUGUACACUACUUUUACGUUAAUGAAUAAUCAAAAGAUAAAUAAAAUAAAUAAUGACAAUGGUAAUAAUACUAAAGCAUGCACAUAAAAGGACAAUACCAACUAAAAAGAAAAUAAAUAAAUAAAAUACAUACAUACAUACUUACAUACUUACAUACAUACAUACAUAACGUAGGAGAAAAUAGUUUAUAAAAUAUUGAAAAUAAAGAACCGAAUUACAAUAUAAAUGAAAUUUAAAGACACAAUUUAGAAUAAAAUAUGUAAAUAAAUGAAAUAAUAAAAACCAUAAAAGUAAUAAUAAUAACAAGGAAAGAAUAAAAUAAAUAAAAUAAAACAAAAUAAAAGCAUCAUUAAAUACAAAAAAAUCAAAAUAAAAAAAUGGUAAGCAAAUAAAUAAAAUAAAUAAGACACAACACAAAAAAAAAAACUAAACAGAGAUAAAGGUGAUUAAAUUGACAUUGAGAUAAAAUUAAGAGUCCAAAUCCUAAUAAAAUAAGUUUAUGAAUACAAAAGGGGCUAAAAUUAUAAUAAAAUAAACGCAAAAGGACUAAAUUGAAGUUUAAUAAAAAUUUUGGGUAAAAAUCGAGAAUAAAAAUAAAGUAAAGGGCCCAUUUGAAAGGUGCGAAUAACUUAGAGGGACCAACUGCGGAAAUAUCUCCGCCCUCUGAAACGCGCCAUACGCGGUGGCCAGAAAACCAAAAAAGCCCAUUUUUUUUGUGUUUUUUGACUCCACGACCCUAAAAACGUCAUUUUUCAUCGAAAACGACGAACCUUGGCCUCACGGCGGAGCAAAACCUGAAUAAAAGGUAAGUUUUCGGUCCUUUCUUUUUAUUUUCUUUGUUUCCUAAAAAAUAAAAUAUAAAAAUGAAACAAACGAAAAUAAAAAAAAAAUAGAAGAAAAACUACCUUCAAAAUUGUUAGUAUUUUUUGUAUUGAUUUUUUUUCUGUUAAAAUUUUACAUUCGGUUUUUGUGGCUUUUAUAGCCGAGUACGAUGCUAUCUUUUUUUUCUCUGUGUUGUUUGUCCUUACAGGUACGGAGGCUGCGUACAAAGGUGCUGACGUGGAAGUACGGAGGUUGACAUGGCGGUGGUGGCACGCGUGGGAAGGGUGUGGUGGUGGCGGCUGGAGGCUAGGGUUUUUGCCUCUUUUUCUUUUGCUGGAAAUGUUUAGUUUUUGGGUCAUAUUGGGCCACUAGGGUUUUUUGUAUCUUGGGUCAAGGGUUUGUAAAUGGACUAUUUAUUUUUUGGACUAUUAUUUUAUUUUUGGUUUUGCUUGGUUUUUAUCUGGGCCCUGGCAAAUUGGGCCUACUACAGAUGUGUUUCCGUUUCCUUUUUUUUUCUUCUAAAUGUGAUGGAUUACUUCAAUCCUUCUUCUCUCAUGGUAUCUAGGACCAUACUAAAUAAAAAUAUAAAAGUUAAAAUUGAAUUUAUCAUUAUACCUUAUAUAUAGAAGGUUAAAAUGACAUAAUUGUAACGUACAAGGAGGACGAAAAUGCAACUAAAGGUGUAGUACAUGAACUACUAUAGUACCUUUUCAUAUCUGGAACAUAAAUCAUCUUCCAUUUAUUAAAUCAUUAUUUUUAGAAUAAAUACACAUGGCUAUCCAGGUUCAUUUGAAUCUAGACAACAAGUUGUCUAGAUUCAUUCUAGAAUUAUAAAAACAUAAAUUUUUUUUUAUAAAAAUUAGAUUUGUUUUAAAACUUUAUAAAAUGUAAUAGAAAUUAAUUAAAAUUCAUAAAAUUUUAUAAAAUUUAUAAAAAUAAUUUAUUAUUUUUAUAUUUUAAAUAAGAAAACAAACAUAAACAACUUAUAUCAUAAAAUCAAGAUUAACAAUUUAUUUGUUAUAUUAUUGCUUCUCAUUUUCCAAUUUUAUGACUUUUAAUUAAUUUCUAUUCAUUAUUAUAAUUUUAAUAAUCUUUUAUAAUUUUUAAUGUUUUAUAAUUGUAAAAUAAAUCUUGACAUAUGGAUGUUCAUAUUCAAAUAAACCUGGACAAUUAUUUGUGUAGAUUCAUUUUGUACUUAAAUCUAAAAUAUUUUUAAAAUAAUUUUAUGUUUUGAAUUUUUUUCUAACGUGGCAUUUGUUAAUGGCAUCAUUAACAUUGGCGUUAAAUACAAAUAGACAACAUCAGUUAAAAGGUCCAUUUGGCUAGUUUUGUUAGUUUAGGGGCUUAAUUGGGUGCAAAAAAUUUGGAGGAGCUUAAUUGAUUUUUUAAAAAUGCUCGAGACAUUAUUUUACCAAUAAGCCAAAAUUUUAACAAUUAACUAAAUUAAUAAAUAACCUAUAAUAUUUAAAAUAUUGUUUAAAAUAUAAUAAAUUAAUAAGAAUAUUCAAGCAAUUAUGAAUUUUUCAAAAUUAUAUAAAAUUUAAAAAUAUUAAUUUUUUAUUUAAAAAAUUGAUAUGUGUAUUAAUAUUUUAAUUCUAUUGGUACGAUGUAUAUAAAAUAAAAAUUAUUUUUAUUUACAUGAAAAAAAGUAUUUAUUGCUCUUUAAUAUCUUGCUUGUUUAUGUGUCAAUUAAACAAGGUUUUCACGUAAGCGUUGCGGGGUACUUGAAAAUGUUCUCUUUUCCCACUGAAAUUUAAUAAUUGUAGACAACUAAUUUUGAUUAAAUUGAUUAAAUCUUUUCGUUAGUAAAAUGUAAAACCAAGUUUAGAGAGGCUUGCAAGACGUUGAACAAUGUCAAUCAAAACCAUGUUUUCGGGUUAUGAAGUAAAAAAUGUACAUUUUGUGAUUUGGGCCAUGCAUUCUCCACUUUAGUUUAAAGUUACUAUUAUCUUUCUCAUUCUUUUAUUUUUAUCUUAAUUUCUUUCCAUCAUUCUUUUCGGAUUUGCUUUUGGAUGUUGGAAACUUGGAGUACUGGGCCUUACCAACCCUCGGUUUUGGUCUUAUAGGAAAUUACAUGAGAUAUGAACAUUGUGAGAUUAAUGUAUGUUUUUUUUUUUACAAAAGAUUAUUGUAUGUUAUUGUAAUAUUUGAGGAAUUUUUUUUAGAAUUGUAUCGAUAACCACCAAAGUUAUUGUGAGAAAGAUCAAUAACACUCAAAUGAGUGAAGAAAACUUCAAAGAUAUCCACUUGACCAUAAAAUCUAUUCCAUCCACUUGACCAUAAAAUCUAUUCCAUCUCAAAAUAAAAGCUUCUAGUUUAUCCAAAUUUCUUAAUCAAUUUGAGAAACUGCCAUUUAAAUAGUUUUUCUCAACAUCAAGAAGGUUCAAAUCUUUGCAAUUAUUAUUUGAAUAGUUAAUCCAAAUGCUCCUACUUUGUUGUUGUUGAUCCAAAAACUUUGCAAUGUGCAACCUUUAACAAAAUUUGAUGGUAUGUUAGCAUCAAAAUUAUUUUUUCGUAUAUCAAUGUGUAAAAGAGAACAACUUAGGUUUCCAAUGCACCGCUGAAUCACUCCUUUCAAAUUAUUCCUACAUAACUGAAGAGUUAAAAAGAGAACUCAAUUUGUGUAUUAAUGACGGAAUUUCUCCCUGAAAGAUUAUACCAAUGCAAUGAAAGUGGUGGAAUUGGAAUUCACCUUAAAAGAAAUUUUGGAAUAGAGUUAGUGUUAAGAGAUUGAAACCAAAAAAUAAUAACAACUUAUAUUUGUAACGUAACACAUGCAUGAUGUGCAUAUCCAAUAAAAUUGAUUGGUUAAUUUACUCCACAGAAACUUCUAGCCAUUGUUCAAUGCAUAGAGAAUACCAAUCCAUCGGAAUUACUACCUUUCAUAUGUGUACUUUUUAUUUCUAUUACUCAUGUGUUAUGAGAAACAAAAAAGUAAAAAAAAAUUACUAAUAUUUUCUUACUAACCCAAAAGCUUUUAAUUAAUAUAAUGAAAUACAAAGUUACUGUUUAAAGGAUAAAGCCCAUACCUAAUAUUAACCCUUAUUAAGAACCUCCCCAUCCUAUUUAAAGUCAACACUAAUAUUUGGACUAUUGGACGUUAAGAGUGUAUAUUACCUCAUACUUAUAUUGUGAGAUUAAAUUAUAAAAAUUAUCUUUUAAUGAUGCCUGACAAUGAUUCGUUAAUGCUCAUUAUGUGUAAAUUAUAUAGAAAAAGAUUUAAGGGCGUAAAAAAUUCUUAAAUUAAAAAAAACAAUUAAGUCAUUUUUUCUUUUUUUGCAUUUAAAAAAGCUUUUUAACAUUUAGUGUCACAAUCGCAUGUAGUAAAAAAAAAUUAUUAAAUUUUAAUUUAAAACUUUGCAAUGUUGAACCUUUAGCAUAAACAACAAAUUUACAUUGGCGACCUCUAUACAAAUAGCUACAGCACUUACCAGACAGAAACAAAUCGAAUUACAACUUUCCCAGAAAUCUCUAAAAUUUCCAAAUUUCAAAAGCCAUAAAAUAAUAUAUAAAACUACAGUUUCACCUUAAUCAAUAUAUUUCCAGAUUGUGAGUCAAAGUCGGGCUUUAGAUCGCUUCAAUAUUUCAAGUUUCAAUCAUUUUGACGUCGACUCAGUUGAAUUUAAUAGUCAAGUUAGGAUCCUUGAAUAUUUAUAAUUCAAUUAUUGAAUUUUGAUUUACUUGUACCAAUAUUUCUUACAAUUUCUAACGUCAAAUUUAGUUUAUGUAUUAAUAACAUUAGAAAAGAAUUUUUUAACACAUAUGUUCUAAAAUAGUUAGAUAUAAAUUUAAAAAAAUGUACAAAUUUAAACAUACAAUUAGAAAAAUAAGUAAAAUUAUUAUAAAAUAUAAUAUCUCUUCAAAAUAAGUGAAAAGUUUUUCUUUUCUUUACCACAAACAAGUCACGUGAGUGGCUAAAAAUUACUAAUUGUGAUUAGUUCAUAGCUAACAAAUUACUAAAACAUGUGAAAAAAUAAAAUUUCAACCAAACGUAGUGUCAACCUAUAAUUAUUUUUUUCUAAUCCAAAAGGAUUAUUUUAAAAACUAAAAGAUUGUAAAGCUACAUAAUAAUGAGAAGGAUCCAUUUACGUUGGGCGUGUCCUUGGUCGUGUGAGUCCUAAGACUAAAAUUUUCCAAAUUUAACUUUUCCAUAUUUGUUUUUCUUUUCUUCUUCUUGUUUCCACUUUCGUUCUUUUAGUUUUUGCUACAGAUGUCCUUUUUGCCACUUUUUUCUUUUCGUUAUUCAAAUUUCCUUCCUCUUUUGUUUUCAUAUUUUGCACGUUGCCGGACUUGCGCGUGUUGUUUCUUUUUCUUCUUCCUUUGCUGUGUUUUUUUCUGUUCUACUAUUGGUUGUUGGGGACGACCGUUUCUUUUGGAUUUUGUUAAGGGCAAUGUGUGGUAAGGGAAAUGGAUUUUGUAAUUUUAUCUUCUUUCUCUUGUGGUAUAAGUGUCAUCCGUUCGAUUCUUAAGAUAUUGUCUUUUCAGUUUGGCUUAGUUUUGGAUGUCUGAUCAUUUUCGUGGUAUGACUCUAUUUUGAUGAGGAUCGGGUAAUACGUACUCCUUUGGUGAUUUGAAGUGUUUCGGGAACUGACUUAGCAAGGGUAAGCAAUUGAAUGUCAAUUUGGGGGUUUUUUUGGUUGUUAGGGUAGAAUGCCCUACUAUUUUUAGCUAGAAUAUUAGGAAGCAAGGUUUGUUUUCUUUUUAAUUGUGCUCGUUUUAGUCACUAAUCUGUAUGUUGGGUGUCGUUUAGGUAUUGGAUUUGCUACUAUUGCGUUGGUGUCGAAAAAUGGCUAGGUGUAUAACGAGAACCUUGUAAAACAGUGAACGACACGAAGUUGAAAAAUGCACUGUCGAUUCCACACGGCCGUGUGGGUCACAUAGCCGUGUGGUAGGUCGUGUGAAUCACACGGUUGUGUGGCAGCUAGUGUGGGUCACACGACCGUGUGACAGACCAUGUGAUACGAGCAACUCAGCCCAAUUCAAAGGUCAUAAUAGAGAUGAGCUUAGUUUCCCUCAAGGCCCAAUUACGAGAUCCAAAUCCAAACAAAUAAAAUCAAAACUCAACUUAGUUGUUCAAUACUUUAUCAUGAAAAAAAAUUGAGAAGAAGAGUUGAAGUUUCAAGACGAUGAAUUCUGGAGUAAUGAUGAAUUAGAAGAGACUAAUUAUGUUCGUGGGCCUAAACUCUCAAUCUAUGAUGACAAGCCUAUGUGGAAAAUGCUAACAAGCUUAGGCAUUUCACUUCAAGAACCCCAAUUGAUCUUACAAGCCUACACGUUUCAUAUUAGGUUUGAGUUUUAGGCUUAAUUUUUUAUUAUAUAUAAGCCCAAUAUUUUAUUUAUCAGCUCUUAUUAUUUUAUUAUUAUUUUAUUCUAAAUUUUUUAUAAUUAUUAAGUAUUUUAAGUUAUUUAGGAGUUUUAUAUUAAUAAGAAAGUUGAGUUUAGAACUACCUCUUGUUUAGAUUAAAUUGGUGUUCUAGUAUACUUAGGACUUUUAUUUAGAUUUAUUUAGCUAGCCUAUAUAUAUAGGCCUUUGUAUUGUACACAAUACAUUCAAUUCAUUAUUAUUCUAUUUCCCUUUUGAGUUAAUAAAUUCUCUCUAGGUUUUUCUUUUUCAAGAAUUUCUGUUGAGUUUCUUCUAGAAUAGUUUUAACAAUCUUUUUAGAUUGUGGGGAUCAUCUUCAAACUUUUUCUUGUCAAGGUUUCUAUCUUAGAGGGGAAAUUAGAGCCGCUUAAAGGGGGUUGUGGAUUCUUAGUGUUUCCAAGGCUUCUUAGGACUUCUACAUACCAUGUUCUAUAUUUCUAUUUAUCUUCUUUAUUUGCUUCCUUAAUAUUUGAUUUAUUAUUUUAUUUUAGUUAUUUAUUUUAAUUUUUUCAUCUUACUUUGAUUCAAUUUCGUUUCAAGUUGUGCAAAAUCCAAGAUUCUUUUCAAACGUCUAGAGCCAUAAGCCAAAUUCGUAACUUUGACAAACUUUACAAUCCGCUUUCGCCUUUAUCCUUCUCAUCCUUUAUCACCAUGUAGGUCACACGGCCAUGUGAUAGGUAGUGUGUGGACCAUACGGGCGUGUGGACCCAUUUUGGGUAGAUUGUUGGGCUAGAUAUGAGAUUUUUAAAAUAAUUUGUAAUUACUCUAUAUGCAUGUAAGACCACUAAACCAUAAAAUUUAAGUGUUUGUAUGUUAGUGGCAUUGAUUACUAAACUCUAUUUAGGCUACGUGAUAUUAUUUGUAUUUAUACCUAAUUUGUAUCUGUAUGUGUAUUUUCUAACAGCAUGUCUGUGAUAAAUUUUACAUCUAAUCUGCAAUAUGAGAAAUUUUGUUAGCAUGUUAUGAUUUGUUAAAGCAUGAUUUUUCUGUAUGCGUAUAAGUAUAUAUUUUGUUUUUCUUUUCUUCUUUUCGUUUCUGCUUUCGCUCUUUUAGUUUUUGCUAUAGUAGUCCUUUUUGCCAUUUUUUUCUUUUCGUUAUUCAAUUUUCCUUCCUCUUUUAUUUCCAUAUUUUGCAUGUUGUAGGACUUGCGCCUAUUGUUUCCCGUAGCUUAUUAUUUACAGUUUUUCUUGCAAUCCAAGUGAAAGUGUCACGGGGCUAGAUCUUUCGUUUUGCGAUCUGUGUGGCCUUAGGCGAUCCGUUCGUCCAAAAUCACUUAAGUCAGCCUUUACUCAAGUGAGAAUUCCUUAAGAACUCCUCUCAAGGCACCAAGUUAAAGAGUGGAAGCGGUUUAUGCCAAAAGAAGAACAACAAAAGAACAAUAGAAAGAGCGCACACAAAGUGUUUAAGUAAAUGCUCUCAGAAUUCUAUUACUCUUAAAAAUUCAACAUACAAUGGAAUGAGUACAAAUGAGAGGGAGGCUCUCUAUUUAUAGUUGAGCUCCCCCAAAAUUGACGGUCAAGAUACAUUUAUAUCGAUAGACGAGAUUAACCUUAUCCCUUUAUUUUAGGGAUUUACAAUAUAUGCUAUAUCAAAUCUAAUCUAAUUUUUACAAGAUAUGAUUCCCUCAAUCUUCCAAGAUUAGUUACCAAAAUAGCCUAAGUUGCCAUAUCUCCAUUAUCGGGCCAACCAGACUUCAAUCUGACAGGCUUCUCCUAUAGCUCUUUAAAUCGAGCUAAUUCUCGUGGGCUAAAUGAUCCCCAUCUUAUCGAUAGACCUCUAUGGGGUGCAUCUUGUGCCAUGGUCACGGGCUUUGCACUUAGACCCAUGACAUUCUCCCCCACCUAUUCUCGCAACUCCCUCGUUGCGACUUCUAAAUGCCACUGACUUGUUGCCUUGGCUUCUUCCCGACUUGCCUUGCAAUCGAGUUGUCCCAUCCUUCGAAUCAUUUUCCUCACCUUUCGUCACCUCUUAACUUGAACCAUUGCACUUGUUGGUACAUCUUAUUGGCAAGAAGUCUUCACUCUAACUUGCCCUAAUUUUGACUUGUUCCCUUUUGAAUCGCCUUGAUUCUCACAUCUUGGCUUCGUAUUGUCCACAGUCCCUUGGCCUCCUUGCUUAUGAACUUUAAAAGGGCCCCUACGACCUUGCCAAGCAAACAAGUUAGAAUUCAAAACACUAACAAAGUGUUCGCAAUGUACCUUACUCGCAGCAUUUACUCGUCCCGAUUGUUUUUACAUCGUUCCUUUUUCCUUAAAGCCCGGUGCACAACCCACCUUUCCCAAAGGUGUCAGCUACACAGUCGAAUCUGUAGGCUUCAUAUCAAACUCUUAUGCCACAAACACUUUUGAAGUAGCUUUCGUAACUUUUCAUUCUAUCGAGUCAAUAUUCCUCCCAUACAAAACAUCCUCGACUAGUUGGAUUGACGACAACACAUUUGUCCCCAUCUUCAUAUCUCAAUGCACUGGCACAACAAUUUUUGUUAACGGAUCAGUGAUAAUAUGAAUUUCAUCAGCCCAUGGAAAUAGAACUGUCCGAAUCCUUUCAAGGAAGUUCAAGCCAAAAACAUAACCGUAAUCAUCUAAUUGGAUUACUUUAAAGUCUUCCUUGCCCUUUCAUUCGUCAAUUUGUAGCUCCACAUUAUGAACUACUCCCACAGUUGGGGCCUCCUCAGAAUUUACUGUCUUGAUCUUCUUAUUCAAUUUCUUAAUCGAUAGACCAAGCUUCCUUGUAACCUUUUCCGAUAUGAACAAGUCCGAUGCUCCCGUAUCAAUAAGAGCACUCUGCUUCUGACCCGCAAUGUUGAUCUUUACAAACAUCAACCCUUCUUCACCAUUCCUUUUCUUAGGAAUGAGCACCAUCGAAUUGAUCCUCAAUAGGCUUCGCCUCUUCCAACUCAUCAUUCCUCUUGAUAGCUGAAACUGAAGAUACCUUUGGGUAGUCCCUCUUUAUGUGUGGUCCCUUACAAAAGUAGCAGCGUAACUUUCCCUUCUUUUCCUUCGGGCUAUUAGGUCACCACUUCCUAUUUCAUGGUUUCCUAUCAUCACCAUCGCUGCUACUACUGUUUCCAUCCUAGCUAUGUCCCUCUUCAUCUUCCUCAUGGUACCCACCAUUGCCCCUCCUAUUGGGCUUGAAAGAUUCAAACUUUCCCUUAUCGAAACAAGUUCCACUAUAAACUCCACUACCAUCAUGGCAUUGGUAAGUUCCUAAACUCCUCGACGUUGCAAUUCUUGUUUCACCCAUGGUUUCAACCUAUUUGUAAAGGAGAAAAAUGCUUCUUUCUUGCUCAAAUUAAAGGUUUAGAGCAUGAGUUCACUAAACUCCUGCACAUACUCCCUAAUCGUACCUCAUUGUGUAAGCCACCGCAACUUUGCUCGAGCUUCAUCCUCGACAUACUUAGGGUAAAACUGUGCUUUAAAUUCCUUUCGGAACUCCUUCCAAGUCCCAAUCUCGAUCCCACCACGUCUCACAUUAGUGGACCUACGUCUCCACCACAACAAAGCAAUGUCAGUAAAAUACAUAGCAACAAUAUUUACCUUUGUGACAUCAUCUUUGAUGUUCAUCACAUGAAAGUAUUACUCUAUGGCCCAAUGAAAGUUGUCCACUUCACUUGCGGACCUUACCCCUUUAAACGCUUUUGGCUUGGGCACAUCCAUUACUUGUGGCUUCGCCUUUAAGGCCAACAUUCAAUUUCUUAUGACAGCCUUGAAAAUCUUAAGCUCCCCUUUAAGCUCAUUGAUCUCCCCCUUCAAAGCUGUCACCAUAGCCUCGAGAGCAUCGUCCUUCUCAGCUAGCUUAUUCUCCAAGGAACUGAUAGUAUCCCACACAAAUUCCCAAAACUGCUCUUACAUUAUUCAUAACCCAUCAUUGAGUCUAUCGUCGACAUCGUCGAUCCUCUCCUUUACGUCCCCCAUGGACUCCUCGAGAGUGACGACUCGAUCCUCCAAAGCUGACAAUAAGUCCCUUAAUCGACUCACUUUUUUGGCCCUUUAUCGGGUCUCCAUUGGCUCACUCUGACCAACAACUUCUUUUGACAUCCCAACAGUGCCUUUGAACCAAAAGCUCUAACACCAACUAUCACGGGUCAAGAUGUAAAAUCUGGAAAAUUACUAUAGUAAGAAAGUAGGUAUCCUUGAUAUAGUAAAAUAAGGAAAUAAAGUGCCAAAAAGGGAAAUUUUGAGUUAUGGCAACAUUGGGAAGUAUAUUAUGAUAUAUUAAUUCAAGAAAGAAUUAAAUCGUAAAAGUGAGAAAAGUUUUGUUGAUCAAGAGUAAAUACUCAAAAUUUGAGAGGGUAAAGUGUACAUAUGAAAAAGUUGAAGGACCAAUAAUGCAAAUAUUUUAAGGGUUAAAUAAUCAAAAAACUAAGGAAAAUGGAUGAAUUAGGACCAAAUUGAAAAGGUAAAGAAUUUUGAGGGACUAAAUCAUAAUUUUACCCAAUUAAGUGAUGACUCAAUGAUGGAAUUUUUAGAGAUUAUAUAGAGCAAAAUGGUCAAUUAGAAGAGAGAAAUCUAGAAGAUAAUGAUGAUGUUGGAGAUAUUUUAGAUUAAAUAAAUAAAUAAAUAUUAGUUUAUAAUAUUUUGAUUUGAUUUUUUUAAUGAUAUUUUAUUAUUUUAUUUAGUAUAAUACAUAUGUGGAAAGAAAGUUGAAAAGCCACCAUCCCACCAUUUUUCCCAUGCAUCAAUGGAGAAGAAGAGAAAAACAAAGAAAAUUUUGCUUUCUUUACAAUUUGGUCCUUUCACCAAAUACUCACCAUUCUCACUUAGAAAUCAAAAGAAUUUUCAUAGCCACCAAGAGACAAAAUUGAUAAUGAGACUAUGGGGAGCAAGAAUAUCAAGUUAGAUUCAAGAAAUAAAAGCUAGAGGAGAGAGAAAAAUCAAGUUAAAGAUUGAAUUCAAUAGGACAAGGUAAGAUCAUCAAGAUUUCAAUAUAUUUUUAAGAUUUAUAUUAUUGAAAAAGCAUGGAAAUGAUGUUAUAGUAGAGUUUUCUUAUAUAAGGUCUUAUGUUCUUGAUAUAUUAGUGAAGUUAAAUAAGUGAAAGUGAUGGGAAAUAUUAUAGAGAAAGGGAAUAAGGGAGUUAUAAACUUAGUAAUCAACAUCUUGCACUAAAACAGUUUUGGACAGCAGCAGUAGGUUAACUUUGAAAAAUCACCAUAAAUCAUGGAAAUUGAAUUAAAGGAUGAAAAAAAUAUGGAAUUAAAUCUUAUUAGUCUAGCUUCUUAUAGAAGAAACGAUGUAAGUAAUGGAAUUCUAAAUCAUGAGAUAUAAUAAAUUUUGUGAGACAAGGUCAGAAUGAUUUUGAGUUCCCCUAUUCAGACUUUGGGAAAUCAUAAAAAAAAGUUAAAGAAAACUAAUUAGGGUCUUAAAUUUCUAUUUUUAAAUCCUUAAUGAGUCUAUUUUUUAUAGAAACAAAUGGUAACAUCAUCCGAAUCCUGUACGAGGAGAUAAUUAAUUUUUAGUGAAGAAGGGUUGAAACUAUCAAAUAGCAGAAUAGGGAUGACUUUAAAGAAUAAACUGUACUUAUUGGGUUAACCAUAAAUUCUAAAAAUUUUAUGGUAAGAAUAUAUGUGAGUCUAGUUUCAUAUAAAUUUAUCGGAUUUUAAUUCGGAGUUCUGUAGCUCAAGAUAUAAAUAAUUUAGUGACUAUAAUUCAAGUGGAUAGCUUUGAAUGAACAUAUAAAUAAAUAGUGAAAUUAUAGGUAAUGUUACAUAUAAGCAUGUUAUACACAUUAAUGAUGUGGAAUGGAGAGGAGGAGGAGGAAAAUAUAUGAUUAUUCAACUAGCAUGAUUUUUCAUUAAAAAUGGCUAAUUUGCAUAUUUUAGGUUUAAGGACUAAAUUGAAUAAAAGUAAAAUUUUAAGGGUAAUUUUGUAAAACGGUCCAAAGUGACUAAAUUGCAUGAAAUGAAUUGUUUUAUUAUUUAAAUUAAUAAAUUGAAUGAAAUAUUAAUUUAGAUCAAGAUUGGGUGGAAAUUCAAGGAAAAUAGAAAAUUACCAAAAUGUCUUUGAAUUUUGGUAUUUUCUACAAUUUAGCCUGGUAAGUUCGUAUGAACUAUAUUCUGUAUAAUUUUAAUUAAAGUAAAUGUUAUUUGGUGAUGAAUAUUAUAUAAAUAUGUGUUUUAUUAUUGGAUUUGAAUUAUUAUUGGUAAUAUGUAUAAUUAUUAGAUGCAUUGAAAUGAUUAUCAGAAGCUCGAUUGGGUUGGAAGCUUGUCGGAGAUAUAUCACACUAUCCAUUGGUUCUAUCGAUAAUUUUGGAUGAUUUGAUUCUGGUUAUAUUCGCAUGUAUAAGUUAAAUUGGCCAACGUUAGCUCAUUAAUGUUUUGAUUUUGAUUGGUUAUAAAUAUGAAUGCUUGAUGAAAUGAAAUGUCUGUAAAUUAAUUUGUAAACUCCGGUAAUGCUCUAUAACCCUAUUCUAGCGAUGGAUACGGGUUAGGGGUGUUACACUAGAUCUUUCAUCUUACGAUCCGUGCGGCCUUAGGCGAUCCGUUUGUCCAAACUCACCUAAGUCAUCCUUUACUCAAGUGAGGAUUCCUUAAGAACUCCUCCCAAGGCACCAAGUUGAAGAGCAGAAGUGAUUUAUGCCAAAAGAAUAACAACAAAAGAACAACAGAAAGAGCGCACACAAAAUGUUUGAGUGAAUGCUCUCAGAAUUCUAUUACUCUUAAGAAUUCAACAUACAAUGGAAUGAGUACAAAUGUGGGGAGGCUCUCUAUAUAUAGUUAAGCUCCCCCAAAAUUGAUGGUUAAGAUACAUUUACAACGACGGAUGAGAUUAACCAUAUCCCUUUAUUUUAGGGAUUUACAAUAUAUGCUAUAUCAAAUCUAAUCUAAUCUUUACAAGAUAUGAUUCCCUCAAUCUUCUAAGAUUAGUUACCAAAUUAGCCUAAGUUGCCAUAUCUCCAUUAUCGGGCUAAGCAAACUUCAAUCUGACAGGCUUCUCUAAUAGUUCUUUGAAUUGGGCCAUUUCUCGUGGGCUAAAUGAUCCCCAUCUUAUUGAUAGACAUCCAUAGGUUGCAUCUUGUGCUAUGGUCACGGACUUUGCUCUUUGACCCAUGACACAAGAUUAUCACAAAUUCCAAGUGGCAAUUGGAAAAUGAGAUACGAUGUUUAUGUUUUUUUUUCAUUUUUAAAUAUAAUAAAGACGAAACUGACGGAAGGGAAAACUUUAUCCUUGGUUUAAAAGUCCAUAUAUCAAUUACAAGACAUAAAAAACAAAGACAAGUAUUGGGGGACAGCAUAUGAUAGUGAAUGACACUAAUUGAUUUAGUCUAAUUAUUACAACAUGUUUGAUUGAAACUAUUUUGUAGUAUCUGAUUAAAUAAAUAUUGAGAGGAAAAGUCUUAAAUUUUCUUCUUUUCCUUAGCUAUAAAAUUUAAUUUCUAUUUUGGUUUACAGGCCUUUGAUUCUCAUCUCUAGUUAUGUAAGGCUGAGUCGCUGCUAGUUGGAUGGACCUACAUUAAAAACAUGAAUUGAAAACAUAAGUAAUAGAAAUUUUGUCAUAUUUAGACAAAUCAAAUUAAUUUUUGUCUACCAUUACCCAACGACAUCUUUAUUAACUUUUUACAUUUAUUAUCCCAAUAUUCAAAACCAAACAAUACAUUCAUUGCAUAUUCCUUUUCUUAAAUAUCAUUUUAUUUAAUGUCAUUAGACAUUACUCUAUUCUUUUCUCUUUAUGAUAAAAAUUAGUAAACAAAAAAUUAUUACAGAUGUUGUAGGAACCUAUCCUUUGAGAUUGUUUGAUUAUAGUUUUUGACAAAUUGCUCAAAGUUGAUGGGAUAAAACAAGUGAUUUUGAUGGUGUUCGGAAUUGGCAAAUUAAAUUACUCAAUGGGUAAAUAUCCACGGAAGUUAUUGUCCCAAAGUGGGGUUGGACUUGGAUGGUGUCUGCGAGACUCAUUUUUAUCAAAUUCAAAGCAGUGGCAGUAAUACCGAUUAAAUUACAACUAGAAAUAAAAACAGAUCAGUUGGCUGGAAAGAGGUUUCGAGGGUCAUGCUUGUUCCCUAUCAUCCCAAGUACUACUAAGUCUGUACCCCUCUAAAUGGGGAGAACUUUAUUGAUCUUUCAUUGGUUUAAAAGUCCAAAUUCCAAUUGUAAGGCAUCAAAACAACAAAGACAGGUACUGGGGAACAGCUGAAGAGAGUGAGUGACACGGUUUGAUUUAGAGUCUCAUGAUUGCUGCAUGUUUGAUCGUGAUCCUCCACUUUGAUUGUAAUGUCUAACAAAAUAAAUACCAUGAUGAAAAGACCUUUUUCUAUCAAAUCUAAAUUUCUAGUUUUGAAGACACGCCUUUGGUUCUCAUCUCUUACUUGUUCUGCAUGGCUAACUCGCAGUUGCUUCAAUGGACCUAUGAUGGAAACAUGAAUUGAAAAGAUUGCGAACAAGUAAUAGAAACUUUGUAAUAUUCAAAUAGAUCAAAUUAAGCUUUGCGGGUCCUGGCCCACUUCACGCUCAAUUGACAGAGGGAUGGGGACAAUAAUUAAAGCUGUUGUGAGUGGUGGGGUAGGCGUGGGUAUGACCUUGUACCAACCCCAUCCUAUCUCUACCCAUCCUGCAUAAUAUAACAAAUGUAUUUAAAAAAUAAACAUUUAUAAAAAUUUAAUUUAAUAAUUAUUUUAACAGUAUUUAAUUUUUGCACUUGUGUUGCAUUUGAAGACAUUUAUAAUGUAUUUGAGAUAUUGUUUGUAUUUUGAUAUUAUGUAAUGACUUUAUUUUUUGAAUCUUUUAAACUUGAAAUUAUAUAUUAUUUACCAAUUAAAAGUCGUGACGACUUACUUUUUUUUUUAAAAAAAUAGUGACAGUUGGAAUAAUGUCACAUAUGUGAUGGGAGUCUGGAAGAUAAAUAUUUUAUACUUUUGUCACAAAAAAUUGGUUUAUAUUUAUUUAACUGAUACUUAUAAAUAUUGUCAAAACCACUUUUUGAAAACAAAAAAUUAGUUGUCGAAUUUAAAUACAAAAAUUGGAGUUGCCAUCGAUCUUUUAUUGGGGUGUGAUUGGCUCACCUUAAAAAACGAUUUUGGUCUACGAAAUUUGAGAAAACAGGUUCGGGAGUCGGUUACGCCCGAGGAAGGGUUAGCACCCUUGUAACGCCCAAAAUUGGUACCGAAUUGAUUAAUUAAGGUCUUAAUGCCGAAUAUCGAAAAUCCGUGAAGAAUUUAAAAAUAUGAUCCUCCCUUUUUUAUUAAUGUUAAUUUUAUAAAAGAUGCUUGUAUAAAUCGAAGCGGGUGCUAAAGACCUUCUUGUCUCAGAGUAAUAAAAUGUUACACCCAAUACGUUAGGACACGACAUUUUUAGUCCUCGAGAAUAAGCUUGUCUUUUGAUUUUCAAAACUUGUGCGGUGAAGUUUAAAAAGGAUAUUCAAUUGCUUUAAGUCAGAUGAAAAAUCGAAGCCCAAUACGUUAGGGCACAAUUUCUCAAAAUUCCAAGCAUUGAAUAUUGCCCUUAUUAUUCCUUUUGUUUUUAAAUCUCCGUCUCGAGUAAACGACAUGUAAUAUCCAAUACGUUAGGACACGACGUAUCGAAUUCCCGUGAAUGAGCUUUUUAUUCAUGAUCUGUGUGAUUUUAUUGCAAAAUAAAUACUUGGCUAUCUAAAUUCAUCAAAAAGAAUUGAAGCCCAGUAAGUUAGGGCACAAUUUUCUCGAGAAUCAUGAAUACCGAGUAUUUUGAAAAUUUACAAAAUAAGAUUAUUUUAAUACUUUAAUGAAAUAUAAUUUUUAAAACAAAUGUGGUGCAAUUGAAUAGUAACAUACAAUGCAAAAGGAUAAUUCGAAAAUAAAAUAUACAUUAAUGAGCAAUGAAUAAUCAAGAAAUAAAUGCAAACAAACAUAGCAACAAUAAGCUCAAUUGUACAUUAUGCCAAUAUCAAUAUCAACAUUCAAAAACUGAUAAAAAAACUCAAAAUAACUAAUAAUAUACAUGAUAAUACACGCAAAAAGUUGAAGUGGGUGAAAUAUAAUAAAGUAGGUUUUUUUUAAAAAAAAAGAAAUAAAUUAUAUAUAUGAAAAUAAGUAAAAAAACUAUGGAAUUAAUAAUAUAUCAUAAAUUGUGUAUAAAUAAUAUUAAAUUUACAUAAAAAAUAUAUAAAAUAAUACAUAACAAAUUUGAAGAAUAAUACAUCAAAACUUAAAAUGAUACAUAAAAGAAACCUUUAAAAAUAAUAAUACAAUAGAUUUAAACAAUAUCAACAAUAAAUUUAUAAUAAUAAGUUUAAUUAGAAAUAAUACUAGACUUAAAACUAAAUAUAUUAAAAAAACAAAAUAAAAGAAAUACUUAACUAAGUUUUUUUCUUUUUUUUAAAUGAGCAAAUCAAAAUAAGGAUUAAAUUGAUUUUAAGACAAGAUUAGAGAGGAAAAAAAUGGAAAUAAACUAAAACGGAGGGCUAAAUCGUGACACGCGAAUAACAUGAGGACCGAAUGAGAAAUAUUUCCUUCCCCCAAAACGCUGCGUCUUUAGCAUGGACUAAAUGAAACAAAUAUAAAAUAAGAGAUUAAAUUUAAAAAGAAAUAAAAGAACUGGAUUGAAGUGCACUUGAAAACGGAGGGACUGUGCACGCAAAUAGAUCGUCAAACAAAAUGUCCGGAUCCUUCCCUCGGGUCGGGUCACCGCGUGGGUCUGAGCACAAUACGGCACCGUUUUGGAACCAUCAGAACGGGCUUCAAACGGUGUCGUUUCAUAGCAUGCAUAAAAUUUUUUAAAAAAAAAACAAGGCAUUAAGCCAUUUUUGACAGAUCUGCAAACCCUAAGCAAAACUUUCCUCUGUGCGCCGCUCAGCAAACCGACGUUUAGAGGCCCCAAUCCCUCGUCCGACUCUGAUUACGACGGAGCGAACGACGUCUCGGCUAUCAAGUAAACUACUCUCCCUAACCUCUCUUUCUCUUUUAUUUCAUACUAUUAAUGAGCAGAGUAGUAAAAAAACAAAGAAAAGUGAAGAAAAUUCAAAAAAUCACCUUAUGAAACUCUGUUUACGUUCUAUUUCUUUGAAUAUUUUUUUUCUAUUUUUGUAUUCAAUCUCCGUGUGUAAAAAAAUACAAUGGCUUUCUGUUUGUUUUUAUAGCCGAAUAUGCGAAAACAUGAAAUAAAAAUAAAGUACGAUCUUUUUCUCUCUGCUAUGUUUUUUUUGUUUUACUUGUAGGUACGGCAUACAGAGGUGGUGGCAUGGCGCAUGUGGAUAGGAAGACCGAAGGCGGCGCGUUAUGAGGCUGUUGCGGCGGCUUAGUUUCUAGAAACCUUUAACGUUUCUGAAAAUGUAAAAAAAAUGAGCUAUUUGGGCUUGUAACGCGAUUGGGCUAGGGAUUGUAUUUGGGUUUGUAACCGGGUUUGGAGAUUGAGCUAAUUAGGCUUAGGUUAGGUUUGGGCUAGGGGUUUUGGUUAACUGUUUAAUGGACUGUUAAUGGGCUUUGUAUUUUUAUUAUUUGGUUUUUAUGUUAUCUGUAUCGGGCCAUCCAAAAUUGGCUAUUACAAAUAUAUUAUAUGAAAUGUGUCAUAAGAUGAGUAUAGUGGGGAUUAGGUGGGUUUGCGACCCAUGUGGGUGGUGGAGCGAGGAUGGUUUUGGAUUUUGUACCCGUAAUGGGUUGUGGGAAGGGGAUGGAGAUGAAAAUUCUUGGUGGGGAUGGGGAUAAAAAUUGUGCAAGUCGAAGUCUGUGUAAUUUGUAGUAAUGCAUACCAAGAAGGAAUCUUCCGCCCUCUCUCUUUCUAUCUCUGUCUUCCUCUCAUUUUGGUGUAUUGGUUGUUUGGAUGUGUUUUGUCCUAUCUUGUGUUGAUCUGAUUUGUUUUGUUCCAGUGAUGUUAAGCCUUUGACUAGUAAUAUGAGUAAUAUUGGGCUUCAACCACAAUACACGGUAAAGAAUGAAGGCCAGAGAAAUGCAAGACUGCAUGUCUACACCACUAUUCACUAUUCAACAAUACAUUAAUUAUUUUUUUCUUUCUGAUAAAAUUUAUUAACAACAAAUGUUAUACUUGUUUUAUGGAUAACGUAAUGUUUAUUUAAUAUAUCCAGAACAAUAAACUAAUUUCCAGUUAUACGUCUCAUUCAAUAAUAAUAUUUUUAUAAAUAAAAGAGUAGUCUGUCUCUAUAUAAAUAAAUGAGUUGGGUUGGGUUUCAUUUAAUUGAAAAUGAGUUGGAUUGGCUAAUCAUUUGAUUUUGGGUUAAAUGAAAAUCAACUUCGGCCUGGAUGUAGGUAUUGGGUUUAAUGUAACUUACAUAAAUAGUCUAGUAUGUCGCUUUAUUUGACUUGUUUGGUUUGGACACUUAAAAUUGAAAUUGAUCAAUUAAAUCGACAAAAUUGAGUCUCAACUAAAUAAAGUGAAAACUCAACUAAAUAGUACUGGAUUAAAUUGAUUCAAUUAAUCGAAUUUGUACAUACUUUAUAACCAUCACGAUUCGUUCAUAUUAUUAUUCUAUACUAUAUUCAUGCUAUGUAAUAAAAUUGUGUCAUAAAGUACUUGAUCUCAUUUUCCUAAAUUGAUGUAUUUGGAAAGAUCGAAACUUUUUUUUUUCAGGGUGUCUCUUGGAGCACAGGUGAGAUUAUUAAGAUUUUAUAUAUUUGGGCAAAACAGUUUGUUUCUUUUCAUAGGGAAGACAUUUCUUGACAAAUAGAACAAAAGUCAGCAGUUGAGAUGUUGGAAAGUUGGAUCAAUCUUUGCACUGACGGGGCGGUCCAAAUUGCCCUGGGUGAUUCUGAAGCGGGGGAAGUCAUAAGAAAUGGAAAAAGGGAGUAAAUUAUGGGAUAUAACAGAAAUCUAGGCAAAUGCUCAGUCUUCAAUAUUGGAAAUCUAAAUUUAAUUAAAUUCCAAGAUGAAAAGACCUUUUUUUCUAUAAAAUCUAAAUUUCUAGUUUUGAAGACAUACCUUUGGUUCUCAUCUCUUACCCAUCAAUAUUGAAAAUUUUGUUGCUUCGAUGGACCUAUGUUGGAAUCAUGAAUUGAAAAGAAUGCCAACAAGUAAUAGAAACUUUGUAAUAUUCAGAUAGAUCAAAUCAAGCUUUGUGUGGACCAUUUGUGAUUAAAGCCAGUUCUGCCCUGGAUUAUUAUAAAUCAAAUAAUUAUUUGCAAUCCUAAAAUUAACAAUCUAACAAUUGAAUUUAACAAGCCUUGCAUUUAAAAUUUUGAAUUGAUCUGAUACCUCUAUCAUUUCGAUCCAAAACUUUAUUUAUUUCAUAUAUAUUAUAUAAAGCAAAGUUUUUAAGUAUUUUUGAAUGUAACUAAGUAAGCAUGUUUCUUCUACCGCGAGUCAAAAGUUUGCAGCAAUUUUAGCCAUUUCGUACAUUAUAUGUCAUUAUAUUGUUGCCUUAAUUAAAGCACAAUAAUAUAUAUUUCCAUAAGUUUUAACAAAUAUCAUAAAUUUUCACUGGAAAUUUUGUUGGUGUAUUCUAAAUCACAUAAUGAUCAGAAAUAUGGAAGAUUUCCAUAUAUUCUCGCCUUUUAGUAGAAGUAAUAAUAAAAAAUUUUGUUGAUUCGCCUCUACUAUGAAAAUAAAAUAAAAAAAUUACAAAAUUAGAACCGUAAAAUUCAACUAAAUCAAUUUUGGUUUUAAAAUUUUAAACAUACAUAUUAAAGAUCUCCUAACAAUUUUACUUUUAAGUAAAUUCAAGUAUAACAAUUUUACAUAUUAAGGGUUGAUUAAAUAGUUUGCAUAACAUCCAUCUAGUUUUGAGAAAUCUUCACUUUUAAUUUUAAAAUUGUAAUUAAAUAGUUUUAUCCAAUUAACUAAUAAUAAUAUAUGGCUAUAGUGAUGUCUGUAAUUUCAUAAAAUAAUUACUCUAAUCUAAUCCAUGUAUCUUUCUUUCUGAGUUUAUCGGGCAAUAUAUUCCCUUCGAUUUCACCUAGCUUGUUAUAAUAAUGUUAUUUCAAAUUAGUUAAAGAAGAAAAUUUGUGAUGUUAUAUUUAAAUUGAAUAUUUCAAUUUAUUAGGAAUUGAUUUUAAAUUAGAAAGAUCAAAUUUUAAGUAGGACCACUUAGGGAUCAGAAAUUUGGGCAAUUGCUCAGUCUUCAAUGUUAAACUAUGAGGAGCUCUUAAUAGAUUAGCUCUCAUUCACAAAGGGUGCUAUGAUGGUGUAUUGAUACAAAUUGAUAGCUUGGAGGUGGUUAAAGCCAUUCAGGACUCCUCUCCCUCAAGCUCGAAUUCUACCCUCAUUCAACAUUUUCCUAGAGAACAUAAUUGAUACAACCAAUGAAUUUGUUGAUGUAUAGAUUCAAGCUAUGAUGUCUAGUGAAGUAAAAGGAUAUUUGUUGGCAUAGCUCUAUUGAAGUUGUUGUUACGAAUAUUUCGACUGAUGCAAAUUAGAUAACUCAAAGGGUAAAUACUUAUUAUCGCGCUAACGCAUGACCAUGAGUGACACUGUUUUAUUUGGAGUCUAAUGAUUGCAACAUGUUUGGUGAUGAUCCUCAACUCUAGUUGAAUCUAUUAUUUAAUAUCAAACAAAAUAAAACAUUGAGAUGAAACUAUUUCAAUUUUCAUGUUCUUUGAUGAAUCUAUUAUUUAAAAAUCUCAAUUAGUUAGUUGAUCAAAUAAAAAAAUUGAUAGUUGGGUGAGCAAAUAAGAAAAAGGGGCAAUAGUUGGGUGACUUGUGAUGUAGUUUACCCUAAUAAUAAAAUAUAGUAGGGUAAGCUAUAGAGUUAGUCACCCCACUAUUAGUAUGUUUUUGUUUUGGUCACCUAACUACGAAAAUUUACAAUUUAAUCACUAUCGUUUUAGAUCAUUUCUAUUUUGGUCACGUUUUAGAUCGUUUUUAUUUUACUCAAUCUUCGUUAAAUGGUUAACCAAAGUUAUGUUGUGACCUUUUUUUAACUAGUAUAAAAAACACAUUUAGUCUUCAAUACUUACACAUUCUAUCAAUUUGAUCCUCGAACACAUACAAUUAAAUGUAACAUAUAUAUUAUGAAAACGUACAAAAUCUAAUUAUUUAUAUAUAUUUAUGUAAAUAAUAUUAUAUGUGCUUAUAUUUAAUUAUGAUUAUAAGGUUCAAAUAUGCAUUUAGCCCCUCGAACUUGGCACCUUCUCCUAUGUUGGUACUUAUGAUUUUUUUGUCCCAUGUUGAUACUUUUUUUUGUUAUGAUAUUAAAUAUAGGACACAUGACACUUUUCUGACACUAUAAUCUAUUUGUUUUAUAAAAAUUUAAUAAAAAAUUUAAAAUAUAUAUAUGAAAUUUAUAUAAUUUUUUAAAAUAUAAAAUAAAUUAUAAAUUAUAAAAAUAUAUGUAUCUAAAAAUUAAAAAUAUUACAAAAAUUAAAAAAAUCUAUAAUUCAAGUUUGAAAAAUCAAAGACCUACAAAAUUUACACAUUUUUCUAAAUAAAUUGUAAACAAAUUAGAUAAAGAUAAAUUUUGAAAUAAACUUUAUGUUUAGAGACAGGUGCAAAUUAUUACACGAUUUUUUAAGUUAAUAAAAAUGCAAAAGAUGAUGAUUUUUCAAGUUAAAUUUUAUGUUUUAGAUCAUUUUUAUUUUACUCACUCUUCAUUAAAUGGUUAACGAAAGUUAUGAUGUGACUUUUUUUUAACUAGUAUAAAUAAUACAUUUAGUCUUCGAUACUUACACAUUUUAUCAAUUUGAUCUUCGAACACAUAUAAUUAAAUAUAAAGUAUAUACUAUAAAAAAGUACAAAAUAUAAUUAUUUAUAUAUAUUUUUCUAAAUAAUAUUAUUUAGUUUUCCUUUUUUUUUUGUUAAUUUUUUGCUAGGUGAUGGGAAAAAUUGGGUUCCUUGAAAAUGCACAACAUAUACACAUAUAAAUUUAUCAGCAUUUAGUUAUAUGUGUUUAAAUAUAAUCAUUUUUAUAUUUAAUUAUAUGUGUUUGGGAAUAAAGUUGAUAGAAUUUGUAAGCAUGGAGGGUGAAAUUUAUUGAAUUAUUUAGAAUAAGAAUCAAAUUGAUAGAAUGUGUAAGUAUUGAGAAAUAAACGUGUUAUUAUGCCAGUUGGAAAAGGCAACAUCAUCACUUCCGUUAACAAUUUAACAAAGAGUGAUCAAAAUAGAAACAAUCUAAAGUGUGAGUAACCAAAAUACAAAUAAUAUAAAAUGUAAGUGACUAAAUUAAAAAAUUCAUAGUUGGGUGACUAAUUCUAUAGUUUACGUGAGAUAGUAGAAGCAAUUAGGAUUAAUUCCAACAAACAUCUCAAACUAUUACUCAUAUUUUAAAUUGAACCCUAACUUGUACACAUUCUAAUUAAAUUACUCAAAUAGAAUGUGAUAAUGUGUUAUGCUAUUAUUCAUCGAUAGUGCAUAGGACUUAUGCACCAACAAUGCAUCUAACAUUCUAAUUAAAAAAAUGUAUAAAAUAAGUUUUAUACCAUCUAUAAUUUGUAAAAAAAUCCAAUAAAAAUAUAAAAAUACAUAUCUAUAAUUUCAAAAAAAGAAUUCAAUUAAUCCAAACCAAGUCUUUUUUUUUUUAUAAAUUCAAUUCCAAAUCUCCUGUAAUAAAUAAACUCACAAAUCUGAUUGAGGUUAAAAACAUGUAUUGUGCAAUUAAAACCAUGAUCCAUUUUCAAUUCUAAAGUAUUGAACAUAUAAUUUUGCAUUAUUUUACCUCCCUUGAUUCUUCACACACUCUUUGGAAUAAAUUAACCAUCUAUUCCUUAUUUCAAUUUUAUUAAAAAGUUAGGUUCCCAUAAAGACAGUCUUUACAAACCAAUGCACCUAUCAUAAACACAUCAGGGAACAUUGCCAUGAGAGAGGACCUAAGAAAACAAAAUACAAACUACAUAACAUUCAAUCAAGCACCCACACAAAAUGUUUAUUAAACAGCUACAGAAAAAGGCCUGCAUACCACCAAGCAAUGAAGUUUUCUGUUCUGUUUGUAACUUGUUGAACUUGCCCAAGUGUUGGCUUCUCUACCUUUUUGCAAAUCUUUGUCGGACUCGCUCCACGAUCCUAAUCAACCACCAUGGUUUUCCAGUCGUGAAUACAAUGUAUGCCAUGCUCAUUCCCAGCACCAACCCACAUCCAUACCCCAUCAAUAUUGAAAAUUUCCAAUUCAAUUCAUCACCAUCAUCAUCUCUAUCAAAUUUGGCUGGAGUUUCCUCAUCAGUACCACAGUUUUUUGAUAAUGGCAAACCACAUAAAUCCGAAUUUCCCAUGUAGGAAUCGUAAGUGAAAGUAUCAAAUUGUUUGCCUUGAGGAAUGGGUCCCUUGAGAUUAUUUUGAGAAAGGUUUAACACCUCUAAGAAUCCAAGAUUUUUUAACUCUGUUGGAAUUCUUCCUUCCAGCUUAUUUGAUGAGAGAUCUAAUGAUUCAAGCUCUAACAAAUUACCUAAAGAUGAUGGGAUAGGACCUAUUAAACAGUUAUGGGAGAGGUUUAGGACAAUAAGUAAAUGAAGCUCACCAAGUAUUUUUGGAAUUUCUCCCCUGAAUUGGUUACUAGAAAGGUCAAUAACCGUCCAAAUGGAUAAUAGUGUUUCAAACUUUAUUUCCAGCCCUUUUGCUGUAACAGAUAAACCACCAGAAGCAUAAUUCACCCAAAAUGCAAUAGUUGCAUCUUUCNNNNNNNNNNNNNNNNNNNNNNNNNNNNNNNNNNNNNNNNNNNNNNNNNNNNNNNNNNNNNNNNNNNNNNNNNNNNNNNNNNNNNNNNNNNNNNNNNNNNCCAUACUCAUCUCUAAUGGCAUGCAUAUGCUCAAAAAAUAGGGUAGGUAAGUAGCCACUAAAAUUAUUGUGAGAAAGAUCAAUGAUUCGCAAUUUAGUUAAAGAAACUGUAGUAUCAAAGCUCUCUAUUUGACCGUAAAAUCUAUUUGACCUCAAGAUAAGAACUUGCAGCUGAUCCAAAUUUCCUAACCAACUUGGGAAAGUGUCAUUCAAAUUGUUGUUUCCAACAUUAAGAAGAUUUAAACCUUUGCAAUUACCCAAAGAUCGUGGUAGUGACCCUUCUAAUUCAUUGUUGAUGACAGAAAAACUUUUUAACAUGCAACCUUUAGCAAAGUUUUCUGGCAUUUGACCAUGAAAAUUAUUAUUCCCUAGAUAAACUGCUGUGAGAGAAGAACUCAAGUUUCCGAUGCACUUUGGAAUUGUUCCCUCCAAAUUAUUCCCAUCUAAAGAAAUACCCAUAGGGGAAGUCCAAUUGCAUAUUGAAGAAGGGAUUUCUCCAGUUAAGUUAUUAUUUGAUACUGCAUACCAUUGCAAUAAAGGUGGUGGUGUCGGAAUUCGACCUUAGAGAUAAAAUUGAAAAUGAGAUAGAAUUCGGAGUUUAUCAUUUGAAGUGAAGUUAUAAUUUUAACCAUCUCUUUAUGAAACUUUAAGUUAGAGGUCAAAUAAAACAAGUAAAUUAAUUGAUAUAGUGUUUAUCAUUUGAAGUAAAGUUAUAAUUUUUUUUCCUCACAAUUGAGUUAAUUUUAUGUUUAUAAUUUUUAUAGCCUCAAAAUUUGUGCUAUGAAAGCCAUUUUUUUAUGAGAAUACUUUUUGAGUCAAAAGCUAAUUAAUAAUAUAUAACAACUAAAAAGGGAUUGCAUAAAUGUAACAACAAAAAGAAAAAAAAUAAUAUUAUACGUUAUAAGUUGUUAUUAGAAAGUUCAAUAACUUCGAGAGUGGUCAAGUUUCCAAUAGUUGAUGGGAUUUCACCUAAAAAUAUAAAUAAAUUGGUCAAAAUAGCUUGGUGCUAGAAUUAUGUUAUCUUUGUGUGUGUACUUUUUUAAAUUUAUGUUUAAUGUAGAUAACUAACUUAGAAGUAACCCAGGAUAUAGAGAAAUUUUAAUAAGUACUAGAACACAGUUGAACUUUUGACAAUUUGUAACUCAAAUUUGUUUCUUAUACUCAAAAUAGUAUAAGAAAAAAAAAAGAAAAAAAACAUGAUAUUAUACUUGAUAAGUUGUUAUUAGAAAGAUCAAUAGCUUUGAGAGUAGUCAAGUCUCCAAUAGUUAAUGAAAUUUCACCUAAAAAUAUAAAUAAAUUAGCCAAAGAAAAAAAUAAAGCAUCUAAAAAAAUGUCUUAUACCAAUAUUCUUAUAUUUUUCUAAUUUCAAAGUAGUUAAAGGAUUAAAUGUGUAAUUAAUUGUUUUUAAGCCAAAAGUAUUAUAGUAAGAAGUUAAAAGAUUGUAAUUAAUUAGUAAUAUAGGAGGGAAAAUACCAAAAUGAGCUUUAUCAAAAUGCAGUGUUUUGGGAAUAUAGAAAGUUGACAUCAAUGAGUCUCUCAACUCCACAAGUUUUUGCUUAUGCCUUAUCCUUCCACUCAUUUUCAUUCAAAUUCAUCUUAAUCUACAUAAAAAACCAUGCAAUCACUUGCUCAAAAAUAAAAACUAACAAUAUUUAAGCACAUGAAAUGCAAAAUAUCUAAAAUGCUAUGAAAACAAACAACAGUUCUCAAGAAACAAAGUAAAUGCAACCUAAAAAAAGCUUAUUAUGAUCAACACUCAUCAUAUCUUGCACUUACAUUUUUACCUCUCCUCAAAUAAAAUUAGUUUCAGAUUAGAAACAAAACUAACACAAGAUGAACUAAACUUAGUGCAUUGAUUAGAAGCCUUACUUACAAAUGGUAAUUUUUAUUAACAAUAAAAAAAAUAUUUAUUUUUGUGCUAGAGAAGAACACUGCAUAGAUUAUAAAAAGGAAAAACUAAAACAUUCAAAACAAUAUGUCAAACACUAAACACAAAAUUCAUAGUUGUAGAGGAGGAUUAGAUACAUUGGUCCCAUAAUAUGUCACUCAAAAUCUCAGAAUCAUCCAACAAAAAGAAAUCAUCACUUCAGUUAAUUAAAGCAAGAACAAAUAAAGUUAUGGAUGAACAAAUAUGGGAACCAAAGAAAAAUGAUGGAUCAAAAGGGACGAAUAAGCUAAUUUCUGCCAUAAGGUAGAUGGUGAACUUAGGAUGUGGAGUUCUAAUAAAUACCUAAACAUACCUAAACAUUUAUUUUAUGAUGAAAUGAUUGGUUAAACUUCAUAACAUCUUACAUUUUCUAAAUGCAUAAUAAUGACUCUAGGUUUUAAUCUUUCAAGUAACUUCUAUUUUAUUUACUUAAAAAGAUUGCAUAAAUUUAAUAACAAAAAGGAGAAUAAAAGAAACAUGAAAUUAUACAUGUCAAUUUGUUAUUACUAAGAUAAAGUGAUUGGAGAUAAGUUAAGUUUCCAAUAACAAGAGGAAUUUCACCUGAAACAUAUAAUUAAAUCAGUCAAAAUUUGUAAAUAUUUUCCUAGCAAACCCUUAAUCUAUUUGUUGAGCAUAUUAGUAUCUAUUUCAUUUACAUAUUUUUAAAUAUGCAAGUUUUUGUUUAGUUUUAUAGUACUUAUGACAACCCAAAAAUAUUUUAAUUAUAAUACUCGAAUUUAUAGUUCAAAUAAUGAUGAAAAUUAGAUGGAAUAAAAUAGUUCACGCUUGAUAGUUUUGUUCAAAUAUAGGAUACAUCAUCGAAGCUGAACAAAUACAUAUAUAUAUAUUUUAGAAACUUUUAUUUGUUAGCAGUGAUUAGCUAAUGUCAAACAACUGAUACUAUUGCAUACAAUAUGUUUCCCUAAACUGCUUGCUAUUUAUCCCUCGCCACAAAUUAUAAAAAACACAUGUGCAUUUUAAGCCAAACAUUUAUAAUAGUGAUAAGCGUCGUAUUGAUUCAAUUUUUUUGCUAAGGAAUCAGCAAACACACACAUAUCUGCACAUAUAGACACACACAUAUAUCUGCACAGAUAGACUACUAGGAACCCAAAAAUUUGCUUGUUGUAACCAGAUUACAAAAAUUGGGGCAUAGUCAAGUUUCCAAUUUCUAUAGGCAUAAUUCCCUCCAAAGAGUUGUUAUGAGUUGUUAUGCAAUGAUAAAUGAAAGAUAGUGAUUUUGGUUUGUAAAUUCAGCUCAAUUGUAUUCGACUAUUGAUAGCAAAUAUAUACAAGAUUACAUCAGAGUGUUAUCUAUAGCUAUUCACAAUUUGAAUUUGAAUUUUAAGUAGAAUAAAAUCCUAAAGAAUAUGAGUGAUAACAAGUCUAGUUUGACUUGGUUAACUCUCAACAGCCCCCCGCAAACGAAUGGGGGAAGUCACCAUCAGUUUGUCUUGAAGCGUAAGAAACCGAGUUGUCGAUAAAGGUUUCGUCAAGACAUCGGCUAUUUGAUUAAUGGUCGGAACAUAGGAGACGAGAAGAUUCUUCUGGCGUACUUGGUCUUGGACAAAAUGAAAGUCCAACUCAAGGUGCUUGCUACGAGAAUGAAAAAUGGGAUUCGCAGCUAGAUAGGUAGCGGAAACGUUAUCGCACCAUACUUUCGGCGUUGUUGGAAGCUUGUAAUUGAGUUCCCGAAGAAGGCACUGAAGCCAAUAAACCUCCGAAGCAGCUGAUGCUAAAGCUCAAUAUUCCAAAUCCGUGCUUGAACGAGCGACAGUCUUUUGCUUACGAGAAAUCCAAGAGAUCGGAUUGGAGCCAAGAAAGACAAUAUAUGCAGAAGUGCUCUUUCGAUCAAGCUUGUCGCCACCCUAAUCAGCAUACGAAAAAGCAACAAGUGAAGCUUGGCGAGAAGAGCGAAGCACGAGACCAUGAUCUAUUGUGCCGCAGAGGUAACGUAGGAUCCGUUUCACGGCUUGCCAAUGAUGGAGGCAAGGAAAAUGCAUAAAUUGUGCAGCUUUGUUCACUGCCAUGGUUAUGUCGGGGCGAGUGAGUGCCAAAUAUUGAAGAGACCCAACAACCUGUCGAUAAAGCUUAGGAUCAUAAAAGAUAGAAGAAGUAGUGCCAGUGAGGUCGGCUUGCGGUGUUGAAGGAGUCGAAACCGACGAGGCAUCUUGCAUAUUCGCACGAUAGAGCAAAUCUUUGAUAUAUUUGGAUUACGUGAGCUGCAAGCCACUCGAGAACUACGCAACUUCAACACCCAAGAAAUAGGAUAGUGGUCCUAAAUCCUUGAGCGCAACAACCUUCCCAAGUUGAGCAAUAAACCGUUGUAACAGCGAAGAGGAUGAUCCUGUCAACACCAAAUCAUCAACAUAGACCAAGCAAUAUGCAUUCUCGUCAUUACCGGAAUAUAUAAACAGCGAACUGUCAGCCUUGGAACCGUGAAAACCAAGCUGUUGUAGUGCAUUCGAAAGGAAAAAAUACCAAGCUCGUGGUGCCUGCUUUAAACCAUAUAGCGAUUUCUUUAGAGCACAUACAAAAUCGGGUUUAGAAUGAUCAACAAAUCCCUGUGGUUGUUCCAUAAAAACAAUUUCAUCAAAAGUCCCGUGAAGAAAGGCAUUCGAAACAUCAAGUUGUCGAAUGGGCCAAUGACGAUUGACGGCAAUGGAAAGAAUUAACCUUAUGGUGGCUGGCUUUAUAACAGAGCUGAAAGUCUCAACGUAAUCAAGGCCUGGUCAUUGAUGAAACCCUUUUGCAACCAACCGCACACGACAUCUAUCGAAGGAACCAUCCACUUUUGUUUUUACACGGUAUACCCACUUGCAACCAAUGAUAUUCGAAGCUCGAGAACGAGGAACAAGAUCCCAUGUGCCAUUUGAUAGAAGAGCAUCAAUUUCUUCUCCCAUUGCAGCACGCCAUACUUGAUGUUUUGCUGCUUCAGUGUAUGACGAAGGGGCUGACAGUGUAGUGGACGCAGCAGUAUGAAAAACCUUUGGUUUAAGUGAGCCAGUAUGGGAGCGUAAAGUCAUUGAAUGACGCACAGUAGGUACCUGAGCAGUGGUAGGAGAAGCAUUGGGACUGCUAGAACCUAUCGGGAAUGUGAUAGGGUCAUUGGGAACAAUGGGAGCAGGUUGCGAGAAAAACAGUGGUGAUGGCAAGAGAUUGAUCGGCAGUCAGUAGGGGGUACUUGGGACAGUAGGGAGCUUCUGGUUGGGGCAUGGGGCUGUAGGUAGUGGGACGGCAGGUAAUGGAUUAGAAUCGGAGUGAUGGCCAAGAGAAAAAAUGGUUGUCGGGGAAGGUGAAGGACCGAGAACCGAUACGUGCCCAUCACUUGACUUGAAUGGAAAAACCUGUUCAUCAAAAAUAACAUGGCGUGAGUAAAACACUUUAUUGGUGGACAAAGAUAAACAUUUAUAACCUUUGUGAAGAACACUGUAACCAAGAAAAACACAUUUGGCAGACCUAGGCUUAAGCUUAUUUUUGGUGUAUAGACGCAACCAGGGAUAGCAGCAACAACCGAAAAUUCUCAAUGACUUGUAAUCAGGGUCACGAUGAAAAAGGGCUUGGUAGGGUGAUUUAUGGUGUAAUUUUGGAGUUGGGAGACGGUUGAUAGUGUAUACAGCAGCAACAAAGGCAUUAUCCCAAAAUUUGGGAGGGACAGAGGCAUGAUGUAACAAGGCGCGACCAGUUUCGGUUAUAUGACGGUGUUUUCUUUCGGCGCAGCCAUUUUGUUCAGGGGUAUGUGGACAAGAGCUGCGUUGGAUUAUAGCUUCAGAGGCCAAAUAUUUUUCAAGGGCUUGGAAUUCCCCACCCCAAUCGGAUUGGAACUGCUUAAUAGGUAAACCAAAGUAUUUCUCAACAAUAGCACGAAAUUGAAUAAAGCAAUUAUAAACAUCCGAUUUACGACGAAGAAAAUAGAUCCAAGUAUAUUUGCUAUAAUGAUCAAAAAAUGCCACAUAAUAUAGAAAACCAUCACUAGAAGCAAUUGGAGAAGGACCCACAAAUCUGAACAAACUAACUCUAAAAGUUGUUUUGCUUCAUAAGUAGAAUCCGAAAAAGACAAUUUGUGUGAUUUACUAACACAGCAAGUUUCACAAAGAGAUGAAUCAUGCUUAUUGAAAGUAAGAACUUUAUUGACAGUGUUUGAGCAAGCAUGGCCUAGUCUAGCAUGCCAUGUAGACAACGAUAUAAACCAUUUUCGAUGUACCCUCUAUGCAGAGUUUGCUUCGUCCAUCGAUCCUUAACCACAAAAUAAUCAUGGAAAAAUUCAACAGAGACAUCAUUAGUGAGUGUAAACUGAGGAACAGACAAUAAAUUUAGGUUAGCCUCAGGAACAUGAAGAAUAUUAGACAAUUUGAAAGGAUGAGAAUUAAGAGUUAAGACAGACGAGCCAACACGAGAGAUAGGUAAGGUUUUACCAUUGGUGAGAGUGACUUCAUCGGAACCAGUGUACUCAGAAUGAAUGCCCAGGUUUCCCAAUUCAGAUGUCAAAUGAUGAGUGUCACCUGUAUCAACGAUCCAUGGCUUGGGAUUUGUUUGAGGAGACGAGCUAUAGUUUGCUGAGGGUUUGGGGUAGGACUCGGCAUAUCUUGGGCUGGGACACUAACGACUUGUGUGGCCACGUCCCUUGCAGUUGUAAUAUGUUGGAUCCUUGGGUAGGGAGGCAGCUCGGCCAUGACUGGAAUAAUUGCCAUUGCGCUUACUGUUACGACCCCGUCCAUGAUUAGCGAAAGCAGAAGGCUGCCGACCUGUAAAGUGGGCAACGGCAGUAGGAUGAAGAGGCUCUUGAACAGCUUUCAAUUGUAAUUCCUCAGAAAGUAAUAAGCCAAACAAAUCACCAAAGGAUGUUAACUGUAGUUUUGCCUCUAGAUUGCGAACGAAUGGUCGAUAAUCGGCACCAAGUCCUCGUAAAAUAUGGUCGACAAGAUCGUCUUCAGAAAUAGCCGCAUUUAGAGCCCCGAGUUGAUAAAAAAUCCAUUCCGCACGAUCCAUGUAUAUGACGAUUGAAUCAUCGCCACUAGACAAGGCAUGAAGAGAGCCUUUAAGGGUCCGAAUUUGAGCCCGAGAUCCGGAAGCAAAAGUUUGAUGCAGCUUUGUCCAAGCUGCGAAUGCGGUAGUGGCUCCGACUGCCUGUGAUAGCACAGACUUAGACAACGAGCCAAUGAUCCAGCUAAGAACCAUUUGGUCCUUAAGAAACCAUGGCUCAUAGGCCGGGUUAGGAGCAUUGUCAACGGUAUUGGGAGGAGCUGUUGUGCCGUCAACAUGAUGCAUGAGUUUUUGGCUAUAUAAAAGAGGGGUCAGUUGUGUUUUCCACAGGAGGUAAUUAGAGGGAGUAAGCUUGAUGGUGAUUUGAUUUGGCAUGGAAGGUGGAGAGGAAACAGUCGAAUUGGCCAUGAGGAAAAAAAAAAGGAGAGGAGGCUGUGAUUGAAACCUUUUUACUGGCAGUCUGAUACCAUGAAAGAUAGUGAUUUUGGUUUGUAAAUUCAGCUCAAUUGUAUUCGACUAUUGAUAGCAAAUAUAUACAAGAUUACAUCAGAGUGUUAUCUAUAGCUAUUCACAAUUUGAAUUUGAAUUUUAAGUAGAAUAAGAUCCUAAAGAAUAGGAGUGAUAACAAGUCUAGUUUGACUUGGUUAACUCUCAACAAUAAAUACAUCAACUAUUGUAACUAGAAGAGACUGCAUAACAGUAACAACAAAAAAGAUAAUAAAGAUGAUAUUAUACCUGUUAGGUAGUUAACAGAAAGAUCAAUGUCUGUGAGAGAAAUAAGAUUUCCAAUAAUCGACGAAAUUUCACCUAAAAUAUAUAAUAAAAAUUAUCAAAAUUGAUUUCAAAAAAAAUCAAAAUUUAUUAAUUAUUUUUAUAAUAAACCUUAAAAUCGUCAAAAAUCAAAGCUACUUCAUAGUUGUAUUUUGUGAGGCUGUGGGAGUUGUGUGAAGAAGGGAGAGAGACAAUAACAGUGGGUCAUUGCGGGUAGAUAUAAGUCUGAAACAUAUAAUAUCAACUAUGUACUCUGUAAUCAAAGCUAAGAGAAAUCAUGUACUCUAUUUUUUUCCUAUUCAAUAAUAUAAACACAUAAAUAAUAAGGCAAAUCUAAAGGAUAGAAAAAAUAGGUAAUUACAAGUCUUGUGUGAUUCAAAAGGGUAUAAAGUAGGUCCUCAUUAAAAAUCAAACCUUAAAUUAAAUUAAUGUAAAAUUUAACUCUUUUCUUAUCACCAAAUAAAUUUACUUUUAGUAAAUUAGGAGUUUUAAUAAAAUACUUGUAAUAACUGAUUGUUUAUGACUAGGUGUUUUGUUUUCAACAUAUUUAGAAUUAACUUGCCUUAGAAAAACAGUCUCUAUUAUUUUUAAGAAUAUUAUAAAAGCAAUAUAUUAGAAAAUGAAUGAAACAGUAACCAGGAAUUGUUUACCUUUGAGGUGGUUGUUACCAAGAUUCAAACUGUCGAGCAAAGUCAAAUUUCCAAUUUCUGUAGGUAUAGUUCCCUCCAAGGAGUUGUUAAACAAUGAUAAAAUCUUUAGCUCUUUGCACUUGAAUAAACUAUUUGGAAUUCUACCAGAAAUUUGAUUGCUACUCAAGCCCAACCUUUCUAGUUUUGACAAAUUGCCUAGAGUAGAUGGGAUAACACCGAUGAAGUUGUUAAGGUACAGAGACAAUCUUUGAAGUUUACUGAAGCAACCAAACCAUGAUGGGAUUUCUCCAUUGAAGCUAUUGUUACCAAAGUCCAAAUAUUUCAUCCGACGCAAAUUAGUUAACUCACUGGGUAAAGAGCCUUGGAAACUAUUUUGAUGAAUGUCGAGCCAAGCAAGGAAAGAUAGAUUUCCCCAAUUGAGAAGAAAUGGUGCCUGUGAGACCCAUGCUUGACAAAUUCAGAGCAGUGACUCUAUGGUGUCUAGAUCCACAUGUGACACCAAUCCAGCUACAAAGGGAG